rnacentral:lncRNA from 1 species
GGCAAUCCAUGCUGCGCAACCAGCACCUCAACUUUACUGGAACUCCGUCCUGCCAAACACACAGAUGCCAAGAUCUAUCAGUGAACUUCUGCAUCCUGGUUUGUGUUAAGCCAUUUAGAAUCUUAGAUAUUUUUUCUACCUGCCAUUUUACUGAAAUGUGUUCCAACCACAUAUUUAUCGGUUAAGUACUGUUUUCCAAUUUAUUAUUAACCUCGGCAAAAGUUAUUACAUGAGUAAUUAUAGUGUGGUACUAGAGUACGUACGGCUACAUAUUCACAAAUGUGUCACUCACUCUUCAAUCGGCUGACCACUUAUUUUCCAUUAUGGCGUGGAUAUAUAAUUUGCAGACUCCAAAAAUGAAGAAAAGAGCACAAAUGACGUUGGCAAACCUGAAACUUUCCCAUUGGGCAAUAAACGUUACUACAGUCAAAAAAGGUAUGGAAGAGGCAAUAAAAGUUACCGCAGUCAAAAAAGGUAUGGAAGAGGCAAUAAAAGUUACUCCGUUCAAAAAAACUAUGGAAGAGGUGCUUCUCCAUCUGACAAUCAACUACUCCAUUAUAAAGACUUGGCUAUUUUCUUCUUGGAGAAGGACAUGAGCCCUGGCACAACAAUGAAGUUCCAAUUCCCUAGAAAUUCAAACACGGCUACUUUCUUGCCGCGAGAAAGCGCUCAAUCGAUCCCCUUCUCCUCUAACAAACUACCAGAAAUUUUCAACCAUUUUUCAGUGAAGCCAACAUCUGAGGAAGCCAAAACAAUUAAGCAAACAAUCGAAGAGUGUGAAGCUCCAGGCCUUAAGGGAGAGGAAAUAUAUUGCGCCACAUCUUUAGAAUCAAUGGUUGAUUUUAGCACUUCGAAGCUUGGAACAAGAAACGUUGAAGCAAUCUCGACGGAGGUAUUGGAAAAAGGAGGCACCAUGUCCAUCCAAAACUAUACAACAAUGCCGGGACUGAAGAAGUUGGCAGGUGACAAAGUCGUUGUGUGUCAUAAGCAGAACUAUCCCUAUGCUGUGUUUUUCUGCCAUGCAAUAAAACAUACAGCAGCUUAUGCUCUCUCCCUGAAAGGCGAUGAUGGGGAGAAGGUUAAAGCAGUAACCAUCUGCCAUCUAGACACAUCAGAAUGGGACCCAGAGCAUAUGUCCUUCCAAAUCGUCAACGUUAAGCCCGGAACCAUUCCCAUCUGCCAUUUCAUUUCCACUGAUGCUAUUGCCUGGGUUCCGAACCACAAAUCUGCAUGAUCAUCACUUAGCACUGUACGUAUAAUUAUCUCCUUACUUAUUUCUGCCUCUUCAUCAUGUGGUGUAAGAUAUAUGAUGAGAUGAAGUUUUUGGGAUUAGUGGUUGGGUUGCCUGAAAAACACAGAUUACAGAAACUGCUUGAAAUUAACCCGAUCAUGUUUUCUCUUGUAACUAUAUAGACUUCAACUUGUACUCAUAAUAAAGCAUGCUAUAUUUAUGAAGAGAUAUUAAUCUAUAUAUAUUUUUUAUAUAUGCUUUGGCUUUGUGGUUCUACCCAAUGUUUGAGUGUUGAAUUGUUACGUUGGAAUAGGCUGCUAAUGCAUGUAGUUAGAGAAGCCUUCAUUUAUAUCAAAGUCCUCAAACUAUCAAGAACUAAUGUAUCCAGAAACAUAUACCAAGACGCAAAACAACAUAUUUUCCAUGCUCUGUCUGUAACACCAAAGCAAACUUCCUUGAUCACAAAAGGAUCAAAUUCCAGUACUAAUCUAAUCCAUCAUGUAAAGCAUACAAGUGCCUCCCUAAAUACUAUACUCUUUUUGUUAUUUCCUACUAUACUAUUUAAGUUUGCAUACUCAUAUAGCAUAUGCAAACACAAUUAGAAAUUCUACAAGAUACAAACAACCCCCUCAACUUUGACCAGUGUGUCAAUUUAGUUCUUGAAAUUUAGAUUACAAAGCAAAAUCAAAUCAUACCAUGAAACACAAGCGACUUAAACCUCCAGGCAAAUAGAUAUUAUGAACAUAUAUAGCAAUUUAUAGAACAAUACAUUAAUCCAGAAGAAAUAUUAUGAAAUGAAAAGAAUAAAAAGUAGAAAAACACAAGGAAAGGAAUUUGCACCUGCUCACUUGCAGAUUGCUUUCUCCGGCCGUAGAUGUAACAGAAAUUUUCUCUUAAUAAUACCACAAUGAUCGGGUAAUUGUAAGAACAAGUUGAUUUAAAAUUCCUUGACCCAAAAAAAAAAAAAGUUGAUUUAAAAUUCAGGUCAACCCAUAGAUUUCUCCCCUUUUUCUUCUUCAUCUCGUGGGGCUUGUCUUCUUCUUGAGGAUUGUAUAGGCCAAGGAAAUGCUUUGAGUUAGUUUUUACGCUUUUGCGUUUUGGGCCUUGGAAGUUGGGACCCAAACCAACUUCACAAAAAGAAAACGCUCAGACUAUAAUGAAUGGAAAGUUAUAAGGGGUAAGUUAUAAGGGGUUCACUUUAUAGCCAUCAGAUCAAUCCAAGGGCUGGGGAGAAUUGAGAUAAAGUUUUAAAAUCGGGUAGGUGAGGAACCCAAACCCGAAUUGAAUAUCCAGCACGUCCGAAAAAGAAGAAGAAGAGGCAAGCACGUCCGAAAAAGAAGAAGAAGAGGCAAGUUCGAAGUUUGAACAGAAAAAACUCAUCUCUUUAAAACCCAUAGCUCUGAGAAACGGUUGAAGGCAACGGUUAACGACGGUUAAAGGCAACGGUUGAAGCCACUCCGUUCUCCAGACCCUGAAAAAGUAUUUAUUUUGAGUAGAAGGGGCAAAGGUGUGGAUUCCGAAACAGUGAAGGGGCGAAGCAGUGGAAGGGGGAGGAGAGAAGCCGUAUUCGUUGGAAGUGGUAGGUUCCAUUUGUGGAGCAAAGCAACACAAAGACCCCGCACAGACACCUUGCGAUUGUUCAAUAACCAGCAUUUGGUGAGUAAUUUAUGGAAUUUGAGUUUAGGGUUAGAGUAAUGGUUUUCCCCAAUUUGUACCAUCAAUUUUGUUGGAUUUGGCAUCUCUUCUUUGUGCUUCAGUUGCAUGUUAAUUUUUGCUUGGGUAUAUGUUAAAAAAAGAAUGAAAAUCAAGUCAAUAACAAGUGAAUAACAUGUCAAUAAUGAUAUGAAUAAGAUAAUGGUGUUGAAUUGGAGGAGGCCCUCAAAACAUUCCACAUUUGAAGCAGUGCAUAGUGCAGAUUAUCUCUCUGGCGCUAGAAUAUAUAUAUAUUUUGAAAUAAAUAUGAUUUCCUUUGUUACUAAAUUUGCCUGAGAAACAUGAGAACAGAUAAUAAUAAACUCAUGAAUAGAAGUGCAAAGCAUUUGAUGAGUAAUUUAUGGAAUUUGAGUUUAGGGUUAGAGUAACGGUUUUUCCCAAUUUGUACCAUCAAUGUUGUUGGAUUUGGCAUCUCUUCUUUGUGCUUCAAUUGCAUGUUAAUUUUUACUUGGGUAUAUGUUAAAAAACAAAUAAAAAUCAAGUCAAUCACAUGUCAAUAACAUCUCAAUAACAUGUUAGUAAUGAUAUGAAUAAGAUAUAAUGGUGUUGAAUUGGAGGAGGCCCUCAAAACCUUCCACAUUUGAAGCAGUGCAGAGUACCUCUCUGGCACUAGAAUUUAUAUAUUUUUUUAAAUAAAUAUUAUUUCAUUUGUUACUAAAUUUGCCUAUGAGAAAUGAGAACAGAUAAUAAUAAACUCAUGAAUAAAAGUGCAAAGCAUUUGAAAUAAAGGUUGAUCUAUGACAAUUGUGGCUGACAGAAGAAAAAGCUAGAAAGAAAGAAGGAUGUGGCAAUUGCUUAGCAAGCAGAUAGCAGAGUAGAUGCUUUGCUUUGCUUCCUUCCACUAUAUUAUUUAUUUAUUUAUUUUGUGUUGUGUAUGAGAUGACAAUAAUUGUCAUGUGUGUGAAGUGCAGAACUUGCCUAGAUUGCACUCACACUCACUCAUGCAUCAACCAUUGAUUCGAAUUUGGAUCCAUGAAUAAAACACAUGAAAUUGUUUGUAAUUCACAUAAUCAUUGCAUUAACAGGUAUUUGCACAAAAUUUUUCAUAUUGCUUUGAUGAUGUUAAAGCCUGUGAUCAGUAAUCCCUAUGCUUAUGUACUUUGUAAAAUUUGUAAUGUGCCUGGUUGACUAGUUGUGUAAAUACCAAUGUGAUUGUGCAAAUACGUGGUAGUAUAUGUGUUCAUGUUAUUUCAUCUUGUAUUUCAGGAAAUGGGAUCCAAUGUGGAGCUGGUAUGGCCAGAGUCAGAGGCAUAUUCGUCACGGGUGAACAACUGCUCACAUGCAAAUUCAUCUCUAGCUGCAAUUCGAGCGAAGUUGAGUGCGGAACAAUUAGAACAAUUCAAGACAUCAUGCUUUGGCCAUCUUCUGAAUAUAGAUAAGAUUCAGUUUAGCGGGCAGAUUGUGCAUGGGGUUGUGUUGCGUAGAGUAGCGGGGCAGGGUGUGAAAGACUUGGAUGGACUGAGUUUCUUAAUAGGGUGUGACGUUGCUCAGUUCACUCGUCAAGAUUUCUGUUUGAUCACAGGGCUUCGUUUUGGGGAAGUGCCUGAAGUUUCCAGUGGAGAGAGUGAUGAAAUUAGACUUCAGAAAAGAUAUUUUAUAGACGAAUGAAUUACAUGCAAUGCUUUAGAAUAAACAUUUUUGAGGUGCACAGAGGAAGAUGACAUCUACAAGCUAGCUCUUGUUUACUUUGCUGAGUUAGUGGUUUUGGGAAGGGACAAACAUUUGAACAUCAAUCUAAAUUACCUGACCCUUGUAGAGGACUUAGAUGCGUUCAACAGGUAUCCGUGGGGUUCGGUGUCCUUUGACAAAACCAAAGACAGUCUAUUUUCUGCACCAACAAAGUAUGUGAAAAGCUUUGAAAAUGAAGAGGGAAGAGGGAAGGGGAAAAGUAAGGUAACAGGAACAAGCCGGAGAAAUGAAAAGGGCAAGAAGGAUAAGCAUGGUGAAGUGCAAAGGGGUGGUUGGAGUUUUAAAGGUUUCACGUAUGCUUUCCAGGUACAUGGUAAUAAUGUUCAUGUCAGUUAUGUCUUGUUUUUCUUUAAAACUUAAAUAAUGACUUUUGUCCUGUGAAUUGUGUAGAUUUGGGUAUAUGAAUUAAUUGCUAGAAUGGCAGACCUGAAUUACUGCAAGGUUGUUGAUCCGACAGCUGUCCCGCGUAUUUUGCGAUGGAGAACUACUACGUCUGUUCCUGAGAUGAGAAAGUUGAACAAUUAUUUUUUCCAGAGCAAAGAGGUUUGGUUUGCAGCCCUUAGAACUAUUUAUAAGAUUUAAUGAAAUUAUGAAGUAGAAUGAUUGAAUAUGACUCUUGUCUGUAUUCUGAAACAGUCAGUUCAGUUGCGGGCGCUAUGUCCGAGUGAAGAGGAAAUGAGACAACCAUAUUGGAGUUGGCCACAGGAUCGCCCUGCUGUUGUCUCGGCAGAGUCAAUUCCUUCUUCAUGUGCUGACCUUGAUGAGUUGAACAAGGUGGUAAGCUUGUUGAGGUCCGAGUUGUUUCAAGUAAAGUUGGAAAAAGACGUCCUUGAGUUAAAGGUCAUACGGAUGGAAAAACUUUUGGACCACUGUUUAGGUCCUCAAUUUGAGCAGGAAGUAAGGAGGGACCUAGCUUUACUGAAAGAGAGGACGAAUCUUUGUGUCAUCUCACAUCUAUUUAAGGGAAGUGAGGAAAUGGAUGACAUUCAAUGGGAUGAAGGGCCAAGUAACAGAAAUGAGGGAGAGGAAAAGGAAGAUGAAGGGAUUGAAGGGGGUGAAGGGCCAAGUAAUAGAAUUGAGGGAGAGGAAAAGGAAGAGGAGGGGAUUGAAGGGGGUGAAGUGCAAGGAAAACCAAGUGAGGUAGAGGAAGCUCAAAGGAAAAGAAGUGAAGGAGAGCAAGUGAAAAUAAAAAGCAGUAAGGGAGAGAAAACGCAAAGAAAGAGCAGUGAGGGAGAGGAAGUGAAAAGAAAAAGCAGUAAGGGAGAGGAACUGCAAAGGAAAAGCAGUGAGGGAGAUGAUCCGCAAAGAAAAAGAAGGGAGGGCAAGGAAGUGAAAAGACAAAGAAGUGAGGAAAAGGAAGUGUAAAGAAACCAAUGUGAGAAAGAAGAUAAUGAAGUUAUGUUGCUUGGCGAUGACAUUGGCGAGAGCACAGAGGGGACAAAGGUUGAGUUUAGUCUCGGGGACAUUGAUUUGGAUCAACCUACAGCUGUGCUAUCUCAGUUGAAUGUUUGGUUGAAUGAUAAAGGUAAAGCUGUGGAACAAGGGGUCCAAUUACGGAAGAGGAAGAUGAUCAUUCCUAUGUGGAAGAUCAUUGAAGGUAGUGAAUUGGUUUCAAAAACUUUGGCAGAGACAACCGGACUUCAGAUGUUAGACCCAACGAAGGCGAUUCUGUAUGAUGAUCUGGUGAAAUUGCUGAAACUUUGUUGGGAAUGGCGCCAUAACCCAAAGUAAGUCCCUUGUUUUUUGAGAUAAAAGGCAUGAGUGUAUAUAUUUUUUAAUUGUUGUGUUCUAAAACUUUUUUAUAUUCAUAGUUUGGUGAUGCAAUUUGGCAACAUGGAAGCUGAGAUUGAAUUCUUCGCUUCCCUCAUCAAAGCUGAUGGUUGGCUGAAAGGAGAUGUAAGUUUAAUUGAUUAUGCAUUUGUUUUAAUGUACAUAGAUUAUGAGAUUGACAAGAAAAACAUGUUGCAGCACAUUGAUUUGGGGUUGUAUCUCAUCCGGAAGCGACAACAAGAGUUGGAGGAAGUAGAAAUAUCGGACUGGACAAUGACCGAUGUAUUUUUUAUGGUAUGUCAUGGGCCUUGACCAAGUGCUGUUAAUAAUUACAAAUUAUCCAUACUUGUUUUGUGGAGGUGUUUAACCAUUGAUUGUUUUCUAUUUCACAGAAUCACAUUCGUACUUGCUUUGCGGAUAAUAAAAGAAAAAAAGAGCAGGUUUGGUGGAAAAUUAGAAACAGUUUACUGAACGUUGUAAAUGGCAAGGUUCCGGCGUGUGAGAUGGAUUGGCAGAACAUAUAUAAGGUGUAUGCCCCUUGUAUGUUGACGAAGUACAAGCAUUGGGUGGCUGUAAUGAUUGAUCUAGUUUUGUGUGAAAUCCAAGUGUACGAUUCAAAGGUUUCACUUAUUCCAGAUGAGAUCUUAAAGGAAGAACUCGCCCCGCUUUCAAUUACGAUUCCAAAUCUUCUCAACACCAUCGACUUUUAUGAAGAAGGUGUUUACGUAAACAAUUGCAGCCGAGAUUGGUGGUGUCCGUGGCCAAUAGAGCGUGUGGAUGUUCCACAACAGUCUAAUCAGUAAGCACAACUUUUUAUUUAAUUUUAUUACUUUAAAUUGUCAAUUACGUUAGAAUGUCAUUAGUUGAAUUGAUCGAGUUCUUGUUUUGCUUCAGAGGCGAUUGUGGCAUGUUCGUGUUGAAGUACAUUGAGCUUUUGGGCGCUGAGAUUCCGUUAGCUACUUGCACCUCGGAGAACAUGCCCUUUUUUCGGUUGAAAUUGGCUGCAAAGAUAACACGGGGAGAUGCUUACAUGCCAUGAUAUUGGUUGAACUUGGUUUAGGUACAUGAUGAUUAAAUAGGUUUUGGGAAUGUCCAAUUUCAAACUCAUGUAAAUACACAAUAGAGACCUACGGGUCCUUUUCGAAUUCUACCUCUGCUCCUCUAUUCUUCUUCGUCUUUCUCAAUCUUAGUGUAUUUUUGUACAUAAUUUGAGGUUUAAGUUAUUGGACGAUAACAAUUAGAACCAAAAUAGUGGCAAAUAUUAUAGCGGAUGCAUGCUUUCAUUUUGAUUAGUGUGAUACUACGCUACAUUUAUUCUCAUAUUGUGCUAAAUGUAUAUGGAGUUGGAUGCAGAGCAUAGACAGAAAAAUGAAGAAACUGAAAUGGAGAUGCUGAGGCUUGGUGAGGAGAAAAGUAAAUGGAUCUGUAAAUCUAUUGCACGUAGGCAAUCUAAAUGGAUAGGCAGAUGAGUUUUUGAAGUUAGACACUUGUCAUUCCCAUACAUAGAAUGUGCCUAUGGAGUGUAAAGUAUUUUUGGAUUUAAUGAAACAAACUUCUGUGUAAUAUUAGCCUAACUCCUUCACGACAUUUACAUAACCUUAACCAACUGCAUUGAAUUGGGAUUUAAAGACUGCAUAUGUGAAUUGGGAUUUGAAGAUGGCUUUUUAAGUGUAUUACAUCAUUGCAAAGUGAUAUGUCAUCGUUUAUGCAAGCCACCAUUAAUCGCAAUAGGUUGCAUCUUAAUAAGGUAAUUCUGUAAGGGGAAUAAGCGGCUAUGGCCUCGCCUCUAAUGUUUUAUUCAACCAUGCCCUCUUUAUAGAAACACAUGAAAAAAUGUCCCCAGGUGCAAUGCUAUAAAAACUUCCAGUUGGUUCUGUACCGCCCCUCGGGUUUGAAUCCCUCUCUCCUUUAUAAUCGGUUAAUAAAUUCAUUGAUUUUCUUUUUUUUAUUGGUUUUGGGCAGCUCAGUAGCAUAAAAGUAAUGUAUAUUGGUGCGUCUAUAUUGCAUGUCUGUUGCGUCUAUAUUGCUUCUCUAUUGUGUGUAUAUCUUACAUUUAUUGUAUGUGUAUUGAUUGUUUAUUGCUUACGAAGGAAAUAAACAACAAUACACAGGCAACAGACAAACAAUAUAUACACAACAGACAAACAAUAUACACACAAUAGAUACGCAAUAUACAUACAAUAGACAUGCAAUAUACACACAAUAGACAUGCAAUAUACAUCCGUCCCCAAUUACACAAACCAUAAGGAAGUCGUAUUGAAUAGGAAAUUAAACUUAACAGUUGUUCUUCCUACUAAAAGAAAGAAUAAGGUCCGUUUUCCCCCUUAAAUCUUACUUGAGUGGUACUUGUGCCCCCAAUAAACAUCCAAUAUUGGAGCAAUAACAUUCGAUAUACAUGCAGCAAACAAUCAAUAAACCUUUAAUAAACAUUCAAUAUCGGUUCAAUAACAUGCGAAAUACAUGCAGUUAAUAAUCAAUAAACCUUCAAUAAACAUGUAAACAAUCAAUAAACUUUCAAUAAACAUUCAAUAUCGGAGCAAUAACAUGCGAAAUACAUACAGUAAACAAUCAAUAAACCUUCAAUAAACAUUCAAUAUCAUGCGAUUUAUAUGCAGUAAACAAUCAAUAAACUUUAAGUAUACGCAAAUAAACAAUCUAUAUACACUAAAUAAUUAUGCAAUUUUCAAAAAAAAAAAUGUAUUGUCUUGUUAUUGCAUCGUAUUGGCCCUGUAUUGUGAUUUUAUCGUCUUCGUAUGAUUUUAUUUUUUUAAAGUAAGUCUUGGAAAGUUUUUGCUGGGUUUCAAACAAAUAAAUGCUUUUGUUUAAAUUCAAUGCCAAUCCACUUAUUUCAAGAACAAAAAUUACAAAAUGGGUUUGAAAACUCAUUGGUGGUGCGUGCAACAUGUCUUUUUGGGGAGAAAUUUCACAAUCCUUGAAACCGUGCACUUAAUUGAUCAUUAAAAGAACAAAUAAUAUGACAAUUGAUACAACUAAUAAAACUAAUACCAAGUCCUUAAUGGACUUCAGCAUAUUCAGCACUGUAGCAUCAUACGUGUCAUCUUGAUGUUCUGCUUCAGCGGAGGUUACAUCAACCCAUUCGAAUCCAUUGCAACUGGUGGAUCCCUAAUUGCAGGCAUCAUAUAUGCAAAAUAAUUCUGUCAGAGUUAGACAUAGGUUUUUUUUCCCCCACACACAUAUUCUUGAAAUGAAAACUUACAUAGGAGGUUAGACACUUCCAAAAUGGCUUCCCUCGAUUUUUAUCUGAUUUUGAAACCCGAACCACCAUUGUAGCUCCACAAUACUGACACCUUUUUGUUUGAGCAGGAGAUGAAGACGAAGACAUGUUGAAUCUUCUCACUUGUACCUCUUCUCACUCAGAUCUUCUCACUGAAACCUCUUCGGACUCAUACCUUCUCACUCAUAGUUCUCAGUCAUACCCCUUCACUCAUAACCCUAAAUUUCUCACUCAGCUCUCUCUCAUCUCUGCCCAAAUCAAAUUAUAUCCUUCUUUGCUGUGUGUGGGUGGGUUGGUCACGAUCUGGACACCUGUACCGUCAGAAUUGUGACAUCUUUUACCCCGAAAAGCAAUAUAAUAUUUCACUACCAAAUAUUAAUCUGAAAAUUGAGGGGACACUGCUUGAAAUAUAUUAUUUUAUUUAUAUUUCAUUAAGACAACUAGUUGGAUAAGAAUCCAUCAUCAUUGGUUUCAUUUUAAUAACAUUACUAGUGGUAGUUUGGUGUGGGAAAAUGAAAAAGUAUAUGAUGGGACCUUCUGUGACUAGUCAGUAAUCCAUCACAUUUGUAUCAAUGAAUUUGAUGGUGGGAAAAUCCUAAAAAUGGCUAUGCAAAUAGGUUAUUAAUUGAAUUUUUGACUGUCUGACUCUCUAUGCAAUUUUAUGACGUUUUCCCUUCUUUUGUCUCGAGUUUUAGGGUGUCGGGUUCAGUUUCUUUAAAAACGGUCAACUUGGAAAAACCCCAAGUGGAAACACCUUUUAAAAACACUAUAAACAGAGGCUAAAACAAAACCAAAACCCCAUAUAUUCUCAUUUCUGCCCUCUUCCACUCCUCAAAUCGUUCCAUUCCAAAAACAUUUCAAUGAAUUCGAAACAUUUCACUACACUCGGAGGAAAGAGAAGGAAGCAUCUCCAUUUGGAUAUGCCCCAAGCCUUCAUCCCGGAGUUAGCUUGGUUUAAAGUGAUGUUAUACGUGGCAACCCAAUCAUCGGAAGAUCUCUUCCGUAUGGCAUCUGUGUGCCCAUUGUUCCAUACUUUGGCAAACACUCCACAAGUGUGGAACACCAUUUCAGUGGCAAAGUACCCAAACCAUCCUAGCUGGUACCGUGCCAAUCCUGCGGUCCAGCAUUUCUUGCAACAAUGCAGGGCUUGCGAUAACCCUAAGUCGAUAUUUAGAGAAGCAUUCGAAGUGUUUUUUAAGCAGGGUAACGUGGAAGCAUUGUAUGGGAUGCGCAUUACAGCCACGGCAGGCCAUAUAGAAGCGGCAUAUCUAGUUGGACUACUUGACAUGUCCGGAAUUGGUCAGUCAAAAGAGGAUGCAUUAGAAUUCUUGUGUUCUUUGAAUCAAUGUAACAACAUUGAUAUGAAAGGAACCAGGGAUGCUUUGAGACAAAGAUUAAGCCGACCAACAGUUGCAAGACAUAUCCUAGAUAUGUUUGACUAUGGGAAGAUUAAGUUCAAUCACUGCAGCCCUUGUAACAACAAUGAAUGGUGUUUUGUUAUUCAAGGCUGGCCUACUGAAGAAAAGAUAAAUCCUGCCUUCUGGACUUGUUGCAAUCGAUGCAAAUGGCACCGUGAGAGUAUUUUUUGGUUCAAGGUGAUGCGUGUGUAUGUUGUGCGAGGGAAUCCAUACCCUUAUAAUUAGUUGUAGUAUGUUUUUACGGUUUUUAUGCAUUGUGGACUUGCUUCUCUUCAGUUCUAGGUUCGCUGGCUACGUUGUACAAAUGUUGUUUAAAUGUGGGGUUUUAAUCUAUUUUGUCUGGUAUUUGUGCUGUCAUAAACCGUUUUAUAUAUAAAUGUAUAAUAUAUAUUAUAUAGCGGAAUUAUUACUGACAUCAUAGACGGCUACGAAUGACAUUUUACUGACACAGAUAUUUUGCACAACUGCAAUCUUAAUAUUUGGUAAACGAAAAGGCAUGCAUGGAGUAAAUAGGUGUCUUUUCACCAGUGCUUGGGAAUGACAUUUUCCCACUGAGCAUAUCCCAAAUGAUUUGGUUACAAGUUUCUUAAGCAAAACUUGAAUAGUGAAUGACGUUGAAUAAUUUUUUCCUAAUGUUGUAGAAUAGAUGACUUGUAUAUUUCCAUUUUAUUUUUCAAAACAUCCCUUAAACCUAAAAAAUAAAAAAAUUAACAAAUUGAAGAAGAGAGAAACCGAUUAGCACCAGAAAUGGCCUAUUCGCACGGAAAAUAAAAAUUAAAAAAAAAAGUUGGAGUAAAUAUAAUUAACAAAUGGACAGGCUAAAAAGUAAUAUAAUAAUAAUAAAAAUAAUUUAGGAUAAUAAUAAAAUACUAAUGUAACAUAACCAUGAAACAGGGAAUUCAGUAGGAAGAUGAAAUCUCAAUAAGUUCGUAGCAAUUUUCGAAACAUUAUUGGGAUUUUUGUGUAUUUAGUUAUGAAUUUUCCAAGAAAAAGUAAUAAAAUAAUAAUUUAGGGUAAAAUGCAAGGAUGUGGCCAUGUUGACUGACGUACACUUGUGCAAGUGAUGAAAGUUGACGGGCUGAGAUCGUGCCAGGUGUCCUCUUGCAAUUAUUUUGGCUUUUUUAGUGCAAAAAUCUUUGAAAAAAGGUAAUAAAUAGUAGGUCUUGUGACGUUAUAAAACUAGGGGAACCUAUAAAUCAUCCGUCUCGCAAUGAAAAAAUCCAAAUUAUUUUAGAUAACUCACUUUCCUCUUAACCCUAAGUAUUUAUGUUUGUUAACUUUAACUUCAAUAACCUACUUGAACAAUCAUCUCCCGUUAAUGUUCGGAAUUAUUUUUUUAAAAUGUGUAACCAUGUAUCGGGGAAUUCAACAAGGGAGAUUGAGUGUCAAUGAGUUCGUAGCAAUUUUCGGAUCAUUUUUCUAAUUUUUGUGUAUUUAGUUAUGAAUUUUCUAAGAAAAAGUAAUAAAAUAAUAAUUUAGGGUAAAAGGCAAGGAUGUGGCCAUGUUGACUGACGUACACUAGUGCAAGUGGUGAAAGGUGAUGGGCUGAGAUCGCGCCAGGUGUCCUCUUGCAAUUAUUUUGACUUUUUUAGUGCAAAAAUCUUUGAAAAAAGGUAAUAAAUAGUAGGAAAAUCCUAAAAAUGCCCCGAAAAUUACUCGGACCUCCUUGUGAUGUUAUAAAACUAGAGGAACCUAUAAAUCAUCCGUUUCGCAAUGAAAAAAUCCAAAUUAUUUUUACAUAACUCACUUUCCUCUUAACCCUAAGUAUAUAUUUUUGUUCACUUUAACAAUUAUAUUUCCUUAAUAUUCGUUAUAUAAUUUGUAAUAAUACAAGAAUUAGUUUCCUUUCAUAUAUAAGGAUGUAAAAUAAUUUGUUUUGUUAUAAUAAUGUACAUAUAUAAUAAUUGCACAUGCUUUGAAGCCAUCAUUGCAACUACGCCUAGAGCUUUGAACACGUCAGAGGUAUUCAAUAAGUUGUCCAUAUGACGCCGCAUUGGGAAUCAGUAAUAUAUUUUCUAUCAUGUCCAAUCACAUAAAAUAAUGCCAUACUUUUUCUGAAAAACCUCACACAAGUCAAGCAAUUUUAAAAUAUUAGUGAAUAUUUGUCCUAGUCUAUAUGAGUGAUUAUAUAUUCAGUCUGCAUUUUUUCACAGUAUAUGUUAACUUUCAGAGGGAUUCCACAAACAUAUAAUAUAAAGAAAGAAAGAAAUAGUAGGAGAUGAACCAGUACAAAAAACAAUAUAUAAAUGGUACAUAAUAAUUCCAUAACCUUGUCACAAACGCACUCACAAAUGCUUUUCCAUAAACCUUGUCCUAACAUAUAAUAAAUAAAGGCAACAUUGCAUAUGAUGCAACCAUGUCCAAAUCUGAUACGUGAUCACAAAAAAAUGGACAUGGCAGCAACAUAUGACUGAAGUAGAUGAGCUCUUUGCAUCUUGUGUUAUCGUAAUUAAAGACAUCAAAAGAUUAAGGUUGAAAUCUUCCAUAGUAGUAAGCAUCAAAAUAGGUUUGAAGCAGAGUUUAACGAAAAUUCCAAUUCCACUUAUUGGCCUCUGCUCAAACACGAGAACCAAAAUGGUUACUUCCCUUGCUGAGUAUAUUUGUUAACGUCGGAAACAGUAACAGAUGACCAAUCAAACCCGGGUACGACGAGUUUUGCAUAGGAUCGGAAGUAGUCGAAUCCAGCUUGCAUCACACGCUUCUUUGACUCCACUGCAUUAGAUGAGUUCUUGUAUUUUUGAACAGCUACACUCCGAAGUCGUUUGUGUCUACGCUUCAUGCACUGCAAAUUCGCCCUAUCCAGAUUGGCCUGCCUUUUGUCAUCUUCAAUUUGGCCUUCAACAAAUUCCAAACGUGCCCUUGGCCUUUGGAUUUCAUCACCAAGUUGAAGAUGCCUCUCCUUCCAAAAAGCAAGAACUCUUUCAGAUUCAAAACUUCCAACAAAAUGGUCAUUCUGUCUAGGAAUGUGACAUUGCUUGUCUAGUGACUCACUUGCGUUUCGAAGGCAGUCUUUGUUUGGAGGGGUGUUUAUUAUGCUCACAUCAAACUUGGUUAGUAAAUCCAUUUUAUGGGGGGAGUGAGUUUCUAUGGAGGAGAGAGUUUUAGUAGAUGGAGACAGAUUCGGUGAAGGAGUGAGUUUUGUGUGGAGGGAGAAUUUCUAUGAAAGGAGUGAUAGUAAUAGCAAUAAAAGGGUUCCCGCCAAAAAAUAUUUGGUUGACAAUGUAUAAAUUAAUUUUUGGUCUGAUACAAUCUAAGUUUAAUCCUAACUAGUUUGGUUGAGUUCACUAACUAGAUGUCACUUCCAUUGAGUUUCUUUCAACCACUAUCAGUGGUGUAAGGAGAGUGUGAGGUUGACAUGCUUGAAAAGCAAAACCUGACACCUCUUUUUUUAAAAAUUGAAAGAAAGUACAUAUGUUGACUACACACAACCUUUGGUAUGUUGGUCUAUAAACCUAUGUUCCCUUUCUCAAAUGAAAUUGCAUAUGCAAUCCUCAUCCUCCCAAAACAAAUAGGAUUAUUCAAGCAUGUCAACCUCUUCAGGCGCCAACAACACAAUCGAAGAUGACAAAUUGGAGUCGCAGGUUCUAUUUCCACAUUGUACUCACCGACCCCUUCCUUUUUCAACAUCAUUUGGGAGUGAGGGGGACUCCGAUGAUCCAUUAGAGGCAAUACAUGCAGUCAGUAGCAAGCUGGAUUAUAAUUCCAAACUGAUCAAUUCAUGGCACGAGAAAUGUGUUGAAGACGAGGCCAUUUUGGCUGAUCUUAACAUUAGAGUGAACAAAGGGUUCUCCCAAAAGAACAAGUACUUGAAGCUGAGUCAUAAAAGGAAGCUGAAAGCUGAGGAGUUGGAUACAGUAAUAAAUGAUGAAAUUAAAGGUUGUUUGAUGAACCAUAUGCGAUGCAAAGAGCAUCAUAGUGAACUGGAGUUGGCAUUCAACGAAGGAUUUUUAAAAUUUCAAGCAUUUGCGGCAACUACUCAUACAAGUUAUAAUUGGGACUAUGUGUCCCCUGAUGCUGUGAGAGAGAUACUAGACGAUGAUGGUGACAUGAAUGAGCAUAAGCACGUCAAAGCUGCUCGGAAGAAGCCGACCGAUACGACUAAGUGAUUGCGGCUACCGUUGUUCAGUUGGUUGAGGGUGAUCAUGGUAUUGCACAAAUUAGAAGUAUAUUCCCUUAAUGUCAUUAUCUAAUUUAAAAUAACACAAAUAUCAGUUUCAUUUGCUUCAUAUAUAAUUAUUGGGACUAUGUAUUGCAAGUCAUCAUGUGUUCCUUCUGUCUAACAUUAUAUUUUGCAAAUAUCGAAAUAUUAUUCAAUAAGCAGUCAAUAUCACAGCAAGUUGGGAAUCAGUAAACCCCCAUUAUCAUGUACAUUCACAUUAAAGAGCUGGUGUACUUUUUCUCAAAAAACUGACACGUGAGUCAUAAGUAACAUAACAUGUGCUAUACAUUGUUUAGUGAAUGGUUUAUGAUUUAUUUAUAUAUAAUAAAAUUCCAAAUAUUGCUGAAUAUUUAUUUCGUCUAUAUCACUGGGGACAUGAGUGAACAUACGCAUGUGAGACCUGCUAAGAAGAAGCUGACCAAUACGACCGAGGGAUUGUGGCUACCAUUGUUCCGUUGGUUGGGGAGAUCGUGGUAUUGCUAAGAGGGAGCACAUAAUAUGUUUUGCAAUCAAAUUUUCUUUUGUGUGUGGAAUUUUCUUUUAUGUGUGGAAUUAUGAGUAGUUCAAAUGUUAGUGUACCCUUUAAUAUUCUCCAACAGUUCAAAAUGUGAUUAGCUGAAUGUACUUUUUUACACGCUGCUUUCUAAUCACUCUGUUCCAACAAAAGGCUUUAAGUAUCCUUCAGUUACAAAUGUUUACAAAAUCGUGCCCCUAAUAACCAGUCGAGCUUAGAUCUUAAUAACCAGUAAAACACUAGAACAUAACAUUCGGAAAAAGUGAGUACUGUUGGAAAUCAUUACUGGUAAUGGAAACAACAGCUGGCUGCUGGAAAUGCUGCAUUAGCAUGUGAUAUAAUCAAUGAAUCUCUGUUAAAACAUAAUUCACCAUAAACUACCCAUUUUACAUGGUAAAAGUCAUUGCUUCUUCACAUAACUCAAAAUUUGAUACUUUAUCAAAUGUCUAUGAAAAUUUCUAAAUAGGGAGAAGACGUAAAAUUAACAUGUGUCCAAAUUUCAUGCAAGAAUGAAACCAAGCAAAUUUUCAUUUCAAUUACCAGUGGACAUAGUAAGAGCUCAUGGGUGGACAUGAACAAAAUAAUAAUAAUAAUAAAAACUGAAUCUAGAAAACUUCACCUGAUCAUUAGUCUUCAUAACAACCGGAUUUCGUCUAAUAGAAACAUAAAUCAUUCAGUUGGUCCGUGCAUCCUGUCAAAUUCGUCGAAUAAUGGGUCACUACGAUCUAUUGGAGUUGAUUCGUCAUUGUUCGAUGGUGAUGUCCUGCAUAAACAUCAAACAAAAGCACAUAAAAAAUUUACCUAUUCAAAUUUUAGGUGUUAUUAUAAAUAGUGUUAGCAUCUUACGGUGUGUUCAAAUUUCUUGAGCAUUGUCUUCUAUCAUGGCCAAUGUGUCCACACUCCCGACAGUGUCUAAUCCUUCGCUUCAUUGCCUUUUCCUUUGCUCCCGUUACUCGUUUCGACCUUCCUUUGCACCUCACUCUCUUAGGGUCUUUCAUAUAUUGUGUUUGAGAGCUGGACUCUCCAACUUCGUUAUUACUUGGUCCAUCCUUCAACAACUUCAACUUCACCUACAAACUUUUUAGAGUCUCUGACAGUAGCUCACAUCCUUCUUCACUCAUUAAUGCAUCCUCAACCACAUCUGAAGCAAGUCGAGACAUUGUACUCCGCUUUAUUAAAAGACCAGGAUUUGCAGAGUCUUUAAUUUCGUUGCCAUUUGCAUCUGACACCAAUCCAGAUUUCGCAGUUUUCUUCCACCUCUUCAAAAUAUAUUUAUCGGGCAUAUAUUCAAUCUGGUCCCUUCUGAACAAUGCUAAGAUGUGCUUGCAAAUAAUUCCAACAAAUUCAAAUCUUUUGCAGCUACACGAUGCGUGGUCAGAAUCUUUGACAUAUACAACUUCUGCCACUCUUGUUUCCCAAUUUUUCCUUUCGCUCACGUUAAAGACAACUUUAGAAGCAUCCUCUGUUUUGAGCUCUAGGAAACAUGCUGUACUUUGUAUUAGUUCUUGCUCAAACUUUUGAAACAUUGUCCUUGUGUACAAGGUAGCCAUUUGUUUGUUUAUUGGCAUCGGUAGAAUACAUUGAGCCACUUCAAAUGCAUCUAUGUGAUCAGCAACUAACUCUUUUUGACGUUGAUGAGAAAGUGCCCUCUCAAAUCGUAUUAUGAAAUCCAUCAACGAAUUUCUCUUUGAUAUGUAUUGCUUGAAAAAACCAUGAGAACCUUCCGCUAUUUGGCUGCUUGAUAUUCCAGCGGCAAAAAAUUGUCGUGCGUAGGCUGGAACCCAAGAUUCCCUUAAAUCAAACAUUGAACUUAGCCAUGGAUGGUCAGUCAAACCAGCCUUUGUAACCACAAUAUUCCAUUUUGCAUCAAACUCAUCCUUAUUGUCAGUAUCCCAUAUGACUUUCUGAAAUUCACUCCAAUACUCCUUAUAAGCAGAAUGUGGUAACUUAACAGAGAACUUUGAUGUGAUGUGCCAUAUGCAAAGUCGAUGAAAUGUAGUCGGGAAGGCUAUUGAAAUCACUCUGGUCAUUGCCGCAUCUUGAUCUGUAAUGAUCAUUUUAGGUUCGCCACCUGGCAUGGGUUUCUUAAACUCCUCAAACAUCCAAAUAAACGACUCAGUCGUUUCCUUGCUAAAAAAUGCACAUGCUAAGACAAUUGUCUGACCAUGGUUAUUAACUCCCAACAUUGGUGCAAAUGUCAAGUCGUAUCGAUUCGUGUUGAAUGUGGUAUCGAAUACAACAACAUCUCCAUAAAACCCGUACGCCCGUCUAGAAGUUGCAUCUGCCCAAAAAAAUCGACUAAACUUGUCAUGGCCAUCUCCCUCAAUCUUGAAAUAAAAAGCCUCAUUUUUUUCUGUUCAGCCAUAAAAUACUCGGUCACUAGUUCAACAUCGUGGUUCCUCAGCUUCCCAUUCACACUACAUUCAAGAUUGUAGAUAUCUUUUUUGAUAAAUCUGAUUUUAUCCAUUCCUCCGGAUUGCACCUCGAAAAUACUUACCUUCUGAUGAAUGAGAAUAUUAACUGAACCCAACUGUUUUGUGAGUACUUUUGUAGAAUCUGAAAUACGACGGUGUGAUCUUAAUAAAUGCAUUCUUUCUGAGGGUGUCAUCUUAUGAUUGUGUCCCUCUGCAAAAAGAGAGAUGGUAUACUUCUUGCUCCCAUUUGCCUUCACAACUACAAUCUUAGCUUUGCAAUUGCAUCUACUUAUUCCCCGUUGUCUUUUUCUCUCUCAAGUUUCAUCUCUCAUGUAUGCACCUUGUUUGCAACAUACAAAUUCUUUCCUCAAAAUCUCUUUCUUAUUUUUCCCCCAAAAGCUGGAAUGAAGUCGAAUACCAAAGCCAGCCAAGAAUGCAUAUCUAUUAUAGAAAUUGUAAACGAGGUCAAGCGAGUCGAACUUCAUCCCAACUGCUGGUGUUUCCUCAUUUCUUACUUCAGGAAUAUAAACCCUCCCAUUAGCUGUUACACAGUCAUCACUCUCUGAGCCCCCAGACAUUUUAUCUACAUAUAUUAUUGAUCCACUUCUAUAUUACUGCAUAGCAAAUAUUAAUUCAUUAAUCAGUCAUUACUGCAUCACAACAUAUCAAUGCAUUCCACUUACACAAAACAUUGCCCAAAUUGACACAAAACACACAUAGCCUAACUUGUUGGAUUCCGAUUACACAAAACGCAAGCAAAAUUUAAUAAUAGUUACGUCAUCUCUUGUGAAAUAAUCUGGAAAAAAUAACAUUAGAACCAACAUGUUCAACUAAGAACACAAAUGUAAUUCAAACCACCAAUUACAGAACUUCACCCAAUAUCCUCUCCAAAUGCUUACUCCUAAUGUCAUUAAGCCUAAAUUUAGGAUCUUUUACCUACAUUUCAUAAUUUUCCACCCCCACCAAAAACAAUCAACUAAGUAUAUUGAAUAUUCAUAAAGAAAGGACACAUUAUUGACUCCACCAAUGACGCAUUAUUGAUGCCACAAAUGACGAAUUUCCCACCCUCACAAAAAAUAAACCAAAGCCAAUAAAAUCAAUCCAGCAAGUGAACUUACCUCUCAAAAUCAAUCGGGAGCUCCGAAGUCAGUCAGCUUGAGAGAAUGUGGUGGACAUUAGAGAAGACUCUUUGGUAUUUGAGACUCCAUCUCUACCAAAAUUGAGGAACAACUGCUGCUGCGGCAUCUAGCUACAAAAAGAGAUAUGCUACUUUACUUUCAUCUGGAAUCUUGUCUGCUGAAUGAAAAAGAGAAGGGGUUUUCACUUGAGCCAUAAAAUCAAAACAGGGCAACAGCUAGGUAAGAGCCAUUAAUCGCAAUACCGAGGAUACCAUAGAUCGCAGGCCUCCCAAGAAGCUGAUGACAAUGGAGUGACUAUAGGGUUUGGGAGCUUUGGAUCCUUCUAAUUGUGGGUUUUCUUUACAUUCAAAAAGAGAGGAUUAUGUUCUUGAGUUUUUCACAAAGAGGGAAAGAGGGAAAGAUGAGACUGAAGUUGGGUUUCUAACGGGUUAGAUUUCAACCCGAUUCUACAUGCACCCUUUUUAAAAACUCACCGUUGGAUGAAAUCCAACGGCUCUUACAUACCCCUCAAAAACACCCCUUAUAACUUUCCACUCACUAUAGAAGCUCCCAAAAGAAAACAGAUUUGCCAAAAAUCAAAUUUUAAGUCUCUCCUACGAUCGAAAUUUGGAUUUGAUGAACUAAAGUGGUUUUACUUUCUCCAUCAGUGUUUGAUGACUUAAUUUGUUAUUUACUUUUUUUAAAAAAACUUUAUCUUAUAUAUAUUAGUUUUCUUUUUUCCUUCAUAUUCACCACCUUUAUGUUGCUUAAGUAUUUCAGUCUUAACGGGUUUCCAUCUACCACUCAUCUUUGCUCUUCUCAGUGUAAGCCUUUUUUUUAAGCAUAAGAUUAGAGGGGAGGGGGGGGAGGGGGAUUUCUUAAUGUAAGCUUUGCAGUUUCAUAAUUAAUAUUUCCAAUAUCUCACUGUUAGUAAAAUACAAAACAUGAAAAGUAUGAAUAAAAUACGCACAUGUUACUAAUUUAUUGAGAUAAAAUACCAUUUUGCCCCUAGAAUAUUUUAUUAGGUUUAAAGUUGACUUUUUGACCAGGAAGGAAUUUGGGUAUUUCGACUAUAUCGUUGCAUAGAGCACGACGAGGUGAUUCCAUAGACACGUGGUAGGCUCGAAUCGGAGUUGUAAUGAGAGACAUACGAUCAAAAUACCUUCAGUGGCAUAAUCGUAAUUUUGGCUUAAAGGGUUUGAUAAAAUAUGAUUUUUCUUUCUUUCUCUCUCUCUCUCUCCCCGCCCAGUCUCUCUCUCGUGACGGCAGUGAUAGCCGGCCACAUUUUGGCCAGCCGUGCUCUCGUCCGGCCACCAAAGCUGAUGGGGCCGGUACCAAAAUGAUCAGGCCACCAUCCUUUUCCAACCUCAGCCAGGCCCCGCCGCCAGCAGUCGUGGUUUUGCCGGAAAAUGGAGAAGAAGCGGCCGGUUUUGUUCGAACUUCUCCGACUUCGUUCUCCCUCCUCUGGCCACCGAUUCCGAUGAAUGAGGUAUGGUUUCUCACCUACUUUUCAUGCUCUAGCUGCCUGUUGGGUAGGAUUCGAUCAAUCCCUAGUGUAGGUGGCUUGAUUUUCGAAUUGGGUUUCAGCCGAUUUUGGGAUCUCGAUUCCAGCCCCUUUCGAUCAGUUUUUAGGGUAGGUCCCAGAACAAAAGUGGUUCCAAAUAGGGUGUUAUACCUAGGUAGGAACCUUGAGCCGUGAUUUUGAGAAUUUUCUACGAUGCCUAAUCGCUUUGGACACCCACGCGCUACCGGCACGUGGGCACUGUAGAAAAAGGGCAUUGUGUCCCGAUGCGAUCCCCUUGUUGUCUUGAGUGCAUAGGUGUGCUCGGAUUUCAAUUGAAUACCGUUUGAGUCUCGAACGAAUAUCACAUAUUGUGCGUUAUCCGGAGUCGAUAGGUUUGAACCGUUGGAUAGUCUUAGAUUUAUAAUAUGUUAAUCUAGAUAUUCUUAGGAUCAAAAAGGAUUUGACGGAUCGUAAAAUGGAGUCCCGGAUACUCCGAAAAUGCCAACCCUAGGGCUAGGUUCCUAGUAACCGUCCGAUCGUGCAAUCAUGAGCAAUCCGACAGUCCGAUCCGGACCAAACUUGCAGGACGUGUAUCCUAAACCUUGUAGAACCCAUAGGAACUUUCAGAUUAGAAUUUGGAGGUCGUGGGCCCCUUGGGCCCGUUUGACUAAGUUUGGGUAGUUUGACCAUUGGCUGAUCGUGAGUCUUCAAAGGUAGUUUUACCUUCCUAGGAGGAUUAUAAAGACCCUAGUGACAGGUCUUGAGCGUUGUUGAGCUAUGUUGACUAGGUUUAGACUUUUAGAGUGUUUAUUAUUAUCGUAGGAAACUCUUGGAUAUUAUUUUAAUAAUUGAAAUUAUGAAAUUUAUGUUUAUGUGCAUGAUCGUUGGUCUAAAAAUAGCAUUAUUUUCCUGAUAAAAUUACGUUGCAGUAUACUAUAGAAUGGUAUCACUAAAUGGGGAUUACCUCUAUUAUUAGUUUAGAUAAUUAUGAGUAUGUCAGUUUGAAGUGCUAUACGCACUACCCUAAGUACCACCCUGUGAUUGUUAGGUCCCAUGUGGUGUAGGUUAUCCAGUGUAAGGACAGACCCCAUACGUGGCUUCAGAUGUUCUGAAGUAUUGGGGAGAUUAUGUGAUGGUUUUGUCACACGUGGCGUAGGUUAUCCGGCGUGUUGACAGACCAUAUACAUGGAGUUGGAUGUUCCGGCAUAUGGAGAGAUUUUGUGAUUGUUAGGUCCCACGUGGCGUAGGUUAUUCGGCGCGAGGACAAACCCUAUAUGUGGCUUUAGAAGUUCCGGCGUAUGAGGGAGAUUAUGUGAUGGUUAGGUCACACGUGGCGUAGGUUAUCCGGCGUGUUGACAAACCUCAUACGUGGUGUUGGAUGUUCCAGCGUAUGAGGAGAUUUUGUGAUUGUUAGGUCCCACGUGGCGUGGGUUAUCCGGCGUAAGGACAGACCCCAUACGUGGCUUUGGAUGUUCCGGCGUAUGGGGGAGAUCAUGUGAUGGUUAGGUCACACAUGGUGUAGGUUAUCCGGCGUGCUGACAGACCCCAUACGUGGCGUUGGAUGUAACGACCCGGUCCUAAAUAAAUUAGUAAAUAUUAAUUUAUUCAAAGAAAAUACCAUUUUGCCCAUAGAAUAUCUUAUUAGGUUUAAAGUUGAUUUUGUGAUCGGAAAGGAAUUUCAGAAUUUCGACUAUACCGUUGCGUAGAGCACGACGAGAUGAGUCCGUAGACACAUAGUGGGCUCGAAUCGGAGUUGUAACAAGAGAGAUACGAUCAAAAUACCCUCAGUGGCAUAACCGUAAUUUUGGCGAAAAGGGUUGAUAAAAUCAUAUUUCUCUCUCUCGGCCGGAAAUCCCAGUUGACAAAAUCCCGGCCGGAAACCUUGAAUUUCAGCCACAGCUUCGACUGGUUUGAACAGGGUUUUUCCCGGCUUUGCCCCAUCGCCUCCGCCGCCCAAUUCUGGUGAAACAGGUAUGGUUCCUCACCUAUUUUCCGAGAUCUAGCUGCUGUUGUGUAGGAAUUGGACAAUUUUCGUGUUUAGGAACUCGAUUUAGAAUUUUGGUUUUGCCCGAAUUUUCAAAGUGAAAUUUCGGCCACUUCUGCUAGUUUUUGGGGUAUGUCCAAGAACAAAAGUGGUUCCAAAUAGGGUGUUAUACCUAGAGUAGGAACCUUGAGCCAUGAUUUUGAGAAUUUUCGGCGAUGCGUAAUCGCUUUGGAAGCGCGUGGGCACUGUUGAAAAGGGGCAUUGUGUCCCGAUGAGAUUCCCCUGUUGUCUUUAGCGCGUAGGUGUGCUCGGAUUUCAAUUUGGAUACCGUUUGUGUCUUGAACGGAUAUCACAUAGUGUGCGUUAUCCGGGUUCGAUAGGUUUGAACCGUUGGAUAGUUUUGAAUUUGAUAUAUGUUAAUCUAGGCAUUUCUAAGAUCGUGUAGGAAUUCACGGAUCUUGAAUCGGAGCCCUGGAUGUUCCGAUUUAAUAACUUAAAGUUUAUGUUUAUAAUAACCGUCAGAUCGUGCAAUUGUGAGCGAUCCGACCGCCCGAUCCAGACCAAACUUGUUGGACGUAUAUCCUAAACCUUGUGGAACCUAUAGAAAUUUUCGGAUUAGAAUUUGGAGGUCGUGUGCCCCAUGGGCCCGUUUUACCAAGUAUGGGUAGUUUGACCCUUAGUUGACCAUGAGUCUUCCGAGGUAGUUUUACCUUCCUAGGAGGAUUAUAAUGACCCUAGUGACAGGUCUUAACCGUUGUUGAGCUAUGUUGACUAGGUUGAGACUUCUAGAGUGUUUAUUAUUAUUGUAGGAAAUUCUUAGAUAUUAUUUUAAUAAUUGAAAUUAUGAAAUUUAUGUUUAUGUGCAUGAUCGUUGGUCUAAAAAUAAUAUUAUUUUCCUGAUUAAAUUACGUUACAGUCUACUAUAGACUGGUAUCACUGAAGUGGGAAUACCUCUAUUAUUAGUUUAGAUAAUUGAGAGUAUGUCAGUUUGAAAUGCUAUACGCACUACCCUAAGUACCACCCUAUGAUUGUCAGGUCACCCGUAGCGUAGGAUUUUCUGGCGAGAUGACAUACCCCAAUUGUGGCGUUGGAAUUUCCGGCGUAUGGAGAGAUUAUAUGAUUGUCAGGUUACGCGUGGCGUAAGAGUUUUCGGCAUUAUGACAGACCUCAUACGUUGCGUUGGAAUUUCCGGCGUAUAAGGAGAUUAUUUGAUUGUCAAGUCACCCGUGGCGUAGGAUUUUUCGGCGGGAUGACAGACCUCAUACGUGGUGUUGGAAUUUUUGGCGUAUGGGGAGAUGAUAUGAUUGUUACGUCACAUGUGGCGUAAGUUAUUCGACGUGCUGACAGACCCCAUAGGUGGCGUUGAAAUUUCCGGCAUAUGGGGAGAUGAUAUGAUUGUUAGGUCACACGUGGCGUAAGUUAUCCGGCGUGCUGACAGACCCCAUACGUGGCGUUGGAAUUUCCGGCGUAUGAGGAGAUUAUGUGAUUGACAGGGAGAUGAAUAAAGGUAUUGUAUGUGUUUGGAAUGGGGAUUUAGUAGGAAGAACUACGUGUGGCUUGAUCCCUCAGUGAGGGUAUGUAGGUAGCCUAAGGUUAUUAGGUGCAGCCGCGGACAUAGAUGUGAUUGUGUUAGGAGGUUAAAACCUCGUAUGUUGGAAUUGGAAAAGUUAGAUGAUGUAUGUUGUAUUUAGUAUUCAUAAUUCAUAUUUGAGUUUAUUAUUUGCCUUGCUGAAAGCAAUAUGUGACUCAAGAGCUUUGUGGGUAGUUUGGGAUAUUAAAUGUGUUUUAUGCAGGUUGAAAAAUUUGGGGAAUGAUCAAUUUACAGGGGAGACUUUGCCGAAAUUUCGACAGAAAGUCCCGGUCUUUAGUAAGUGGGCCCGGCAUCGGGGUGAUGUCGAGAAUUCCAUAGGAUUCGUAUCGGGUUUCGGGAAAUCUGGGGCUAGUCUUGUCAUUGGAUGUUCCGGCGUAUGGGGAGAUUUUGUGAUUGUUAGGUCCCACGUGACGUAGGUUAUACGACGUGAGGACAGACCCCAUACGUGGCUUUGGAUGUUCCGGUGUUUGGGGAGAUUAUGUGAUUACUAGUGAGAUGAAUAAAGGAUUGUUUAUAUUGGGAAAAAUGUGUUUGUAGAAAGAAUUACGUGUGGCUUGAUCCCUCAGUAAGGGUACGUAGGCAGCCUAGGGUAGUGGUUAGGUGCAGCCGCUGACUAAACGUUAUAAUGUUGUUUUUAGGUUUGAUUAUAUGGUAUUAUGGGCCGAGGCCCCUGGGACUAUUGGUUAUAAUUCAUAGAUGGUAGUUGAUGCAUGCUAGAAAUUUGUAGGAAGUUAUUUCAUGUGGAUUGCAGUGGUACUCGUAAAAUUUAUUUGAGUUCCUGAAUUGCAUUGUUAGUAUAUUAAUUGACUUAAGAGUACUGCUAGUAGUUCUGCCUUGAUUUAUUUGAAGGUUGGAGGCCUUGUCUGUAAACUGUGUGCAAUUACAUUGUGUGUGCUGGCAGUUGGCUUUUUAAAUUGUGAAUUUUGUGCAUGUUGAAAUUUGGGAAAUGUUCAAUUUACAAGGGAGACUCUGUCAAAAUUUCGAUAGAAAGUCUUGUGCCCUUAUUCCUUUUUCGGAAAAAGGAUAUAUAGCUUUAGAAGUGGGCCCGACAUCGGGAUGAUGUCGGGAAUUUCGACAGAAUUCGUCUUAGGUUUCGGAAAAUUCGGGGCGGGUCCGAAAAAGUUGCUUCAGUUUUGGCAAGUAUCGGAAAAGACCAAAAUUUUCCGACUUUAUUAUUACUAGAAACAAAGUCGAAGUAUUCACCAAUCAUGUGGCCUUCCAAGUGCUCAAGGUUAAGCCAGGAACCGUUCCUAUCUGCCGUUUCCUUCCCAACUAUGAUCAUGUUGUCUAGGUUCCAACCCACAAAUCUACAUUGGGCUAUGUAUUUGAAUUUGUACUAAAGCGUGAUCUAUAGUAUGCAUUUAUUAGAUAAGUUUGAGAUGGCAGUGGCUUGGGUGUCCGCCGAGCUUGAACAAGUUUGGGUGUGCUGAGUGUUUCCAUGGGUGCGUUGAUGAUCAUGGUUAUUAGAUUUGUGAUAGUUUGGGCUCAAUUUCAACAGAACUUAUCUCAAGCCUAGUUAGUUGAUUCAUAAGUUUAUCAGGAAAAAAAAAUGAAAAAUGAAAAAUGAAAAAUGAAAAAAUCUUAAGUUAAGCCCAAGGACUUCUCACCAAAGUGUGCAUAAAUUGAAAUAUUUAAUAGAAGCCCAAGAUUUCUGAAGCACAUAAUAUCUACUAAAUUCUACAAAGUGUUAUACUUUACAAACUUCCUAUGUGUACCAAUUUUUACUAAAAUUAAUUUCUCUGCGGUGUUGAGAUUCAUCAUAAUUUUAGUAGAAAUUGGAAGUUUUCAUCAUUUUUGCUUUAAGUCUCUCCUCCACUCACUAAUAAAGAUUACUCAAGUGAGUUUACAAAACAUUUUUUUCUACUCUCUCCUGAAAACUACACUUCUUCUCAAAAGAUUAGAUCACUUCACAUCUUGCAUAUGUGAAAACUAAUGUAAAAAGUUGAAACUUUAUCAUAAAACCUCGACAAAAAUUAGCUCUACUUAAAACGUUAAAUUUGGAUUCGUUGAUUUAAAUGGCAAUUUGACACUUCAUAGAAAUUUUUACAUACAUGUGUUAGUGUUUGAUCACUUCACUUGUUACUUACUAUAUUUAUUCCAUGAUUCUCCCUCAAGUUAGGUAAAUAUUAUUAUCAAACAUUUCAAUUCAUUUGUGAUCUUUCUUGUCCAUCUUUUAAUGUACCCUGAAAUCCAUUAGCCACAUAUGAUGACCAAAAUCCAUACGUUCCUAUUUUUAAUGUAUGUUUACUCCCUAUAAUGUUCCAGUCUAGGGUAAUAACACUGCUAGUUUCAUAUGACAUCCUAUUUCUAAUGUGUAUCUACCCUUGUAAUGUUCCAGUUUAGGGUAAUAACACUGCUAGUUUACUAUCAUGUUGAUUAAUGCUUGUCAUGUUGCUAUUUCUAAUACAUGUCCAACAAAGAAAAGAUGAAGAAAGAACAAACCAGACCAACUCAAAAUAAGUUGAGUCCAAAUAGUUAAUACUAUUAUGUCGUAGAAGUACGUUGUUAAUACUCUGUAAUAGAAGUACAUGGUUAAUACUCUGUCAUAGAAUUACAUUGUUAAACAAAAAUAAGAUCCAUAACUGAAAUAGUAAUAAAAGAUAAGUCGAUCAUCAAAUCUUAAAAUACAUUUCGAAAAUCAACUAAAAUCCGAAGAGAAACACAUAAUUGAAGCAAAAGAUCAAAAAUCUCAAGUCCAAACCAAACAACGACGACGACGACAAUGAUGACGACAAUGACGUGGCGAAGAGGAGUAGAGCUCGAAGAUGAGGAGUAGAGCUAAGAGCAUUUGAUCAAGGUUCGUUUGAGGUCUCGAACAAUCCGAAAAAAAAAAAUCAAUAGAAGCAAGAUUUUAAAACAAGAAUCGAAUGUGAAAUAUUGAAAAUUGUAGAUUAAAGAUGAAGAAUAUAGUUGGACCUGAGACUGAGCUCCAAUGGAAGCUCCUCUUGCUCCAACACCAGAGAAAGCACCAACAAGAAAAGAGAAAAUAAAUAUGAUUUGGAUUUUUGGCAGAUUUGAAUUUUUGGCAGAUCUGGUUUUUUUGGCAAAUUUGAAUUUUUGGCAGAUCUGUGCAGAUUUGUUUUUUUGGCAGAUCUGAUUUUUCUCUCUCAAAUCCAUAUUGCAAGGGCAAUAUAGGUAUUUAACACACACAAAUAAACUAAAAAACAGCUAUUAAAUUGAAAAAUUUGACAGCUAUCAAUUUUGGGUGUGUUUGUAGUUUUUAAAUAGUAUAGGGUUUCUUUAUUAGACUAUGUCUACGAUUGGGUAUAUAAUUAAAUUUCUAUUAUUAAAAAAAAAGGACCCUAGUAAAGCCAUGGGACGAUACUCCUUUUAUAUAUAUUAUAUGAUAUAAAUAUUAUAAUAUAUUAUCUAAUAUUUGGAAUAUUUACUCUAAAAUAAACAAUAUAUUAGGUUCUUUUUGUCUACAAAUUGACCAUUAAACUUCUUAAUCACUCUUAUACUUUUAAUUAAAUCUACUAGGCUAGGUUACGAUAUUUGCACUAAAAACUCCUAAUUGUUUUUUCUUCUCUUUCUCUUGCUCUUUUUUUAACUUAAGCUGAAGUUUUGUAAUUUUUUUUCCCUCCCUUUUUACAUGUAUGAGUAGGGUACUUUAAUAUUGGGAUUUAUGAACUUUUUUUGUAUUUCUUCUCUAUGUUGGAAUAUAAAUUAGAGAUAUUUAGUCAUAUACCCAUUCUUAGCACUAAUAUUAUAAAUAAACCUUACAUCAUUCAAUUCCUAUAAACAAACCCAAAAAAUAAUAGCUGGCCCUAUUGAAUUUAAUUUUGACUAUUAAAUUACUUUGAUGCCCUAUUGAGUGUUUUGGGCUUUUUUUUAUGAGAUUUUGGAGUUGAGUUUGUUUUAAGAAAUCAAUGGCAAUUUUGUAAUUUAAAAAAAAUUAAAAGGCUUUUUGUUAUGUUGUAAAUAGGUUUCGAGUGUGUUUCUAAAGUCCAUUUCAUAUAGGUUUUUUAUAUAUAAUAAUUUGAACUCCUAUAUUGGGUAUAAUAGUGAAUCUCCAUUUAUUAACUUUUGAGUCUUUAAUAGUGUAGAUGAUGAGAUUAAUAUUCAACCAUUUUAUAAUAUGAAAUUAAGGACAAUCAUGAUUGUAAUGAAUGGAUUAUUAAUCAAUAUGAAAUGAUAUUAUGAAGUAGGCUAAAUGGAGUAGUUAGUAUCGUAUUAACUUAUUAACCGGUUAGCGCUUGAGCCCUCUAAUUCAAAUUAUUUUAUAAAAUUUUGUGAAGGGCCCCUUCUAAUGCAAAUUCCUGGCUGCGCCACUGCCUAUAGCAACUUGGUAAUGUGUGUGAAACAUCCCCUCCUUUUGUCGUUUAAACUAUCGGUUCGCUUGUAUUAAUAAAACAAAAAAUAAAAUAAAAGAUAAAAUUAUAAAUAAAACAAAACACAUAUUAAAGCCUAACUGUUAAUAAUGGAUCCAACAUAAGAUCCAGCCCAAGCCCAUGAAUAAAGCCCCCGAAAACGGUUGGUCCCUCAAUUAAAUUAUUCGUUCAAAUGGUCCAUCAACUCUAUAUUAUUCGCUCCAUUGGUCCUACCGUUAUAUUUUGUCAAUAUUUCUGUUAAAUAUGAGGGCAAAUUGGUCAUUAUUUAUCCUAAAAUUAGGUUAAAUCUAACAUAAAAUUAGACGGUAGGAAUUCGGGGCAGGUCAUGUCAAAAAGCUAAUUAGAGGGGCGAAAUUGACAAAUAAAUUUAAUACAAUAGCUAAAUUGGUUGAAAGAUUAAUUCAAGAUGUAGAUUUCAACAAGUGUGAUAAUUCAUGGGGUAUUCGGUAAUUUACUCCUUUUUUUCCCCUUGAUCUUCUAUAUUCAAGUAAUGGAAAUGUGUUCCACAUUUUCCAUUUAGUUGAUUAUAGAAAAGGAAGAGCAAACAUGAGUUAAGCCCAAGGCACCGAACUUAGGGUCAGUUUGGCAUUGUUAUGCUGUGAAAAUAAUCGUUGUCAGAUUUGCUGUGAGAGAAAAUAGUUUGGCGUUUGGUAAAAUUUUUGUUAAAAGUAUUAUUAGUAUUUAUUUUACGCAUAAUCAGAAAAUGAUUGCUGCAUAAUCAUUAAAUCCAGCGCCUUUUCGAAACUGAUUUUUGCAUAAUCAGAAAAUGAAAGCACAUCAUUAGCUGCUUUCCUUUAUAGCUUUCUCUCACAUCAAUUUUUAACAAUAAGUGAUUUUCUCACAGUUUACCAAAUGGAUUGGGCUUCUCAAAAUUUUAAAAAAAUCACUUAUCACCCCAAAUAAGUAAUGCCAAACGGGCACUUAGACUUCUCACCAACGUGAGGAAGAAAAAUAUGACAAAUUGAUAUAUUUAAUACAAGCUCAAACUGUGCACAAAUUAAUAUAUGCAACGGAAGCCCAAGAUUAUUUCUGAAGCACAUAAUUUCCGCAAAAUCUACAAAGUGGUGGGAGGCAGACCAACAAAAAAAAGUAGCGAAGGCUUAUAACUCUGGUAAAACAAGAGUGACUUGGACAGAAUAAUGUUAUGUCGUACUGAAGAUUUUUGGGUUUCUUUAAUUGGUUAAGUUUAUAUACCUUCAUUUGAAGAUUCUUUAUUUGGGUUGCUUUCAAGAUGAAAACCAUAUCCACAACCACAACCACAACUGGCAGACAAUCUUUGGCUGUUCAUCACAAUUGGGCGACAAUGAAGAAGACAGAAAUUGGAGUAAUGUAUGUUACCAGCAAUCCACGAGAAACUGACAUCUGCAAGCUUUCGUAAUAUAAGGAGGAUGGGGAGGCCGUGCAAUACUUAUCACCUUAGCCACCACCUACACCACAAGACCAAUAUGUUGUAGGCCAGGAGGCUUUCCAAUUUUAAUAUAUAUAUAUAUAUAUAUAUAAAAGUAAAGUGACAAAGAAAUUAAUGUAGGGUAAAGGUAGAAUAGAAAAGAGAAUGAACAAAAUUAAUAAAAAAAAGUUUUAAAAAGUAAAAGGGAGUGUAGAUGGAGAAAAGAGGAAUGGGGAAAUUAGCUCCCUAUAUAUAUAUAGAUUGAAAAAUUAAAAUUAAAAUCAAUCUAUUAUCUUAUAUAUUAUAAAAUAAAGAUUAUUGCUCCAAGGAAAUGAGAUCUUUUGUUUUCUGGGAAUUUUCUGAACCAAGAAGAAUCAAGUAAAAUUAAUAAAGCAUAAAUUGGAAAGGGAAAAGAUCCAGAGGAUGCAUUGUAAGAUUGCUGAUGCCAAUAAUUGUACCCUCUAAUUUUAUACAUGGACGGGCAUUCAAAUCGGCAAAUCAGAAAUCCAAGCCAAAUCGCACAGGAAAAAAUCGAGUUGACCAAAUAGUCAACAACCAAUCAAAAACCAUACCGGACCAGUUUGGACCGGUUUUGGAUCCAAUUCUAUGUCUUCAAAAACUGAACCAAGCGGAACCGAACCAGUCAAAUUAAAAAAUAUAUAAUUUCAAUAUAUAUUUAUAUUCAAUGCUAUAUUUUUAGUCUCAUAACUAAUAUUUAUGCAAGUUCAAUUUCAAAACAUCUCUCUUUUCUGGCUUUAAUAUUUAUUUUUAUAUAAAAUUAAAUAAUUUAUUAAUUUUCAAGUCAAAAAAAUAAAAUUUUAGUUGAAAUUUGUAUUAAAAAAUUAUUUGAAAAAAAUUAAUUUUAAUAAUCCAGUUCAAAACCAAAUCGGACCGGAACCUAAUCAAAAUCGGUUCAACCUGAACCGGACAGUUUUUGAAUUUUUUUUGUUAAAACCGAACCAAACCAAACCGGACAAAUAGUAUCGGAUUCGGUUCUAAUUUGAGACAAAAACCAGUCCAAACCGGACCGUGCCCACCCUAUUUUUUUUGUUUUCAAGUCUUAGAUGACAUGUCGACCUAAAAUUAUUGUUCCUAGCGGGCUCUCCACCCCCACUCAACCUAUUGUGUAUUAUUAUUUUCAAUAUUAUCUUAAAUUUAACUACUUAUGUCCAUUAUGAUUAGUCAUGUAUUUUAUGGACCAUCCAGCUGUGAGGCUUUAUCUCAAAAACAUUCAGUACCUUUUUCCCGCUUGCAACAAUUGUAUUUGAUUCAGAAUUAUGUCCUAUAUUGGUGGGUGGAGUGUUACUUCUGGGUACCCCUCAUCAUUCGUCUAUAAAAUGGUGAAGCCAGUUGCUACUGUUACCAUAAGAGCCAUCUCCGACUUUCUUUAAUUUCUUGCUUCAUAUCCACUAGCUACAUCUGUUGCCAAGUUAAUUUCAGUCCUAAUGGGGUUUCAUCUCCCACUCAUCUUUGCUCUUCUCAGUGUAAGCUCUGCAAUUUGAUUAACAUUUCCAUUAUCUCUCAUUGUACUCUAUAUAAACGAAAGUUUUGCAUUCCUAUAAUCCUCUCUGAUUUUAUUUACCACAUAAGUGUCGUCCACUAAUUAAUUACACUUUGUGAUUUGAUUUUAAUUAGAGUUCGAAUUAAUGUUGCAGCUAGCAGCGGUGGCACUGGCAAACCAUGCUGCUCAACCAGCAGCUCAACUUUACUGGAACUCCGUCCUGCCGAACACACAGAUGCCAAGAACUAUCAGUGAACUUCUGCAUCUUGGUUUGUGUUAAUCACUUUAGAAUCUUAGAUAUUUUUUCUACCUGCCAUUUUACUAAAAUUUGUUUGACCACAUAUUUAUCGGUUAACUACUGUUUUCCAAUUUAUUAUUAACCUCUACAUGAGUAAUUAUAGUAUGGUACUAGAGUACGUACGGCAACAUAUUCACAAAUGUCUCACUGAAUCUUCAAUCGGCUGAUCACUUAUUUUCCAUUAUGACGUUGAUAUAUAAUUUGCCGACUCCACAAAUGAAGAAAAGAGCACAAAUAUCAUGAAUGCUGUUGGGAAUGGAAAGCCAACUGACCACAAGGGAAAACCUGAAAUAAACGCAUUGUUUAGCGGAUACACAAUUCAAGUACAGUAUGCAGGAGUUCCUAAUUCUGACAAUCAACUCCAGUAUUAUAAAAACAUAACUAUUUUCUUCUUGGGGAAGGACAUGCGCCUUGGCGCAACAAUGAACUUCCAAUUCCCUAGAAAUUCAAACACGGCUACUUUCCUGCCACGCGAAAGUGCUCAAUCAAUCCCCUUCUCCUCUAACAAACUAUCAGAAAUUUUCAAACAUUUUUCAGUGAAGCCAACAUCUGUGGAAGCCAAAACAAUUAAGAAAACAAUCGAAGAGUGUGAAGCUCCAGGCAUUAAGGGAGGGGAAAGAUAUUGCGCCACAUCUUUAGAAUCAAUGGUUGAUUUUAGCACUUCCAAGCUUAGAACAAGAAACGUUCAAGCAAUCUCGACUGAGGUAUUGGAAAAAGGAACUGCCAUGUCCAUGCACAAGUAUACAACAAUGCCGGGACUGAAGAAGUUGGCAGGUGACAAAGUCGUUGUGUGUCAUAAGGAGAACUAUCCCUAUGCUGUGUUUUUCUGCCAUGCAAUAAAACAAACAGCAGCUUAUGUUCUCUCCCUGAAAGGCGAUGAUGGGGUGAAGGUUAAAGCAGUAACCAUCUGCCAUCUAGACACAUCAGAAUGGAACCCAAAGCAUUUGGCCUUCCAAAUCCUCAAAGUUAAGCCCGGAACCAUUCCCAUCUGCCAUUUCCUUUCCACAGAUGCUAUUGCAUGAACAUCACUUAGCACUGUACGUAUAAUAAGCUUGCACCCCUGUAUAAUUAUCUCCCUACUCUACUUAUUUCUGCCUCUUCUGUUGAGAUUUCAAUCAGAACUUGCACACACAAUGCAUCAGCUCACACAAAACCAGAUGAAUUUAAGAAAACAGAAAAAUGCAGAGAAAGAAUGGAUUGGCUACUCAGUAAUGCUCAAAGGUUCGUUGCUAUGCACAAAACAUGGCAGUGCACAAUACUCUCAUUUCUAACGGAACCAUUCCUUUUUACAAUGCUGAGAAUGUGAUCUCAGCCUUACAAUUGAUCCAGCAAUGUAAGCUGGACACUUGUCUUAAAUCUGAGUCAUAUAAGUUUCAUCCAACCAAAAUAUUACAUCUGUGAAAUAAAACUUAAACCAGCAGGAAUUUAUAAUUCGACAUUCCCUUCUAAAUUGUUGACUGGUUUAACACCAAGUAGACCUCUUAAGUAAUUGAAUCGAUCCUUAGACAAAGCUUUAGUGAAUAUGUCAGCUGCUUGCUCUUCGGACUUGCAGUAUCUUAGAUCCACCACACCUUCUUGCAAAGCAUCUCGAAUGAAAUGGUAUAUGCGGUUAAUGUGUUUGGUCUUUUGAUGGAAAACUGGAUUCCUUGUCAUUGCAAUGGCAGAGGUGUUAUCUACCAUUAAUGGAGUUGCCUCUGUUUGCUAUUCUCCAAAGUCUUCAAGCACAAACUUCAACCAUAUAGCUUGAGUAGUAGCUUCACUUACACUAACAUAUUCAACUUCAGUUGUGGAGAGAGCAACACUGGGUUGCUUGACAGAUGCCCAAGAUGACACGCCACUUCCAAAUGAGAAAGCAUAUCUAGAAGUGCUCUUCAUGUCAUCUUGACUCCCACUCCAGUCACUGUCACAGUAUCCAAUUAAUACAACUUCUUUUCCCUUCUGGUAUUCAAUACCAUAAUCAAUUGUGCCUUUGAUAUACCUCAACACCCUCUUAGUUGUUCCAUAGUGUUUCUUUUAGGACAAUGCAUGAAUCUAGCUAAUAAGCUAGCUGCAAACAUUAUGCCAGGCCUUGUAGCUGUUAAGUACAACAAACUUCCCACAAUCUGCCUAUAUUCAUUCUCAUCUGCUGGAUCACUUCCAUCUGCUUUGCAUAAUUUCUCACUUGCCACCAGAGGAGUGCUAACAGGUUUACAUUGUUUUAAGCCAAACUUGCUUAACAGAGUCAAAGCAUAUUUCUUUUGACUUAUGAAAAUACUCUUUUCAGUUUGAAUCACAGCCAUACCAAGAAAAUGAUACAAAAGACCUAAGUUAGUCAUUUCAUACCUUCUCAUCAUCUUAGACUAAAAAUCUGCAAUCAAUUCUUCACUGCUUCCUGUAUACACUAUAUCAUCAACAUAUAUCGAUACAAUGAGUGUUCUAGAGUUUUCCUUGGUCUUGCAAUACAGAGUUGCUUCACUAGAGCUCCUUGUAUAACCGCAGUCAAUAAGAUACGAGUUUAUUUCCUCAUCCCAUGCUCUUGGCGCCUGUUUUAGACCAUACAGAGCUUUCUUUAGUUUGUACACUUUGUCUUUAGAGUUCUUAAUCACAAAACCAUCUGGCUGGUCCACAUAUACUUCUUCCUUAAGCACACCAUUCAGAAAAGCAGACUUGACAUCCAAUUGAUACAACUUCCACCCCUUUUGAGCUGCCAAUGCAAUAAAAGUUCUAAUGGUGUCUAAUCGGACUCUGCACCCCUCUCGAUUGAAAACCUAUUGUGUAAAUCUUCAAUCCUAAACGAUGCACCUAAAACACAUGUUGCAAUACACAUCCACCCAUUCUCAGGCCAAUUAUUGCUCAUAGUGGGCUCCCGACCCCCUCUCAAAUUUAAGUGGUCCAUUAUUCUUAACCACAUAUUUUAUGGACCAUCCAGCUGUGAGGUUUUGUCUCAAAAACCUUCGGUACAUUUCUCCCACAUGCCACAAUUGUAUAUUCACAAUUACGUCUGAUACAUCACAUCAUGCCACUUGCCUCAAAUGAAUUUAAGUGAGUGAGGCAGUUGGAAGUAAUUAAGCUCUAUAUUGGUGGGUGGAGUGUUACUUCUGGGUACCCCUCAUCAUUUGUCUAUAAAAUGGUGAAGUCAGUUGCUACUGUUACCAUAAGAGCCAGCUCCGACUUUCUUUAAUUUCUUGCUUCAUAUCCACUAGCUACAUCUGUUGCCAAGUUAAUUUCAGUCCUAAUGGGGUUUCAUCCCCCACUCAUCUUUGCUAUUCUCAGUGUAAGCUCUGCAAUUUGAUUAACUUUUCCAUGCUCUCUCAUUGUACUCUAUAUAAACGAAAGUUUUGUGGUCCUAUAAUUCUCUCUCGAUUUUAUUUAGUACGUACUUAAGUGUUGUCCACUAAUUAAUUACACUUUGUGAGAUUUGAUUUUAAUUAGAGUUCGAAUUAAUGUUGCAGCUAGCAGCGGUUGCACAGGCAAACAAUGCUGCUCAACCAGCACCUCAACUUUACUGGAACUCCGUCCUGCCAAACACACAGAUGCCAAGAUCUAUCAGUGAACUUCUGCAUCCUGGUUUGUGUUGAGCUCUUUAGAAUCUUAGAUAUCUCUUCUACCUGCCAUUUUACUUAAAUAUGUUCGACCACAUAUUUAUCAGUUAACUACUGUCAUUACAUGAGUGACACAUAUUCACAAAUCGGCUGAUCACUUAUUUUCCAUUAUGACGUUGAUAUAUAAUUUGCAGACUCCACAAAUGAAGAAAAGAGCACAAAUGACGUUGGCAAACCUGAAACUUUCCCAUUGGGCAAUCAAAAUUACUCCAGUCAAAAAAAUUAUGGAACAGGCAAUAAACGUUACUGCAGUCAAAAAAGGUAUGGAAGAGGCAAGAAACGUUACUGCGAUCAAAAAAAGUAUGGAAGAGGUGCUUCUCCAUCUGACAAUCAACUACUCCAUUAUAAAGACUUAGCUAUUUUCUUCUUGGAGAAGGACAUGCGCCCUGGCACAACAAUGAAGUUCCAAUUCUCUAGAAAUUCAAACACGGCUACUUUCUUGCCACGAGAAAGCGCUCAAUCGAUCCCCUUCUCCUCUAACAAACUACCAGAAAUUUUCAACCAUUUUUCAGUGAAGCCAACAUCUGAGGAAGCCAAAACAAUUAAGCAAACAAUCGAAGAGUGUGAAGCUCCCGGCCUUAAGGGAGAGGAAAUAUAUUGCGCCACAUCUUUAGAAUCAAUGGUUGAUUUUAGCACUUCGAAGCUUGGAACAAGAAACGUUGAAGCAAUCUCGACGGAGGUAUUGGAAAAAGGAGCCACCAUGUCCAUGCACAACUAUACAACAAUGCCGGGACUGAAGAAGUUGGCCAGUGACAAAGUCGUUGUGUGUCAUAAGCAGAACUAUCCCUAUGCUGUGUUUUUCUGCCAUGCAAUAAAACAUACAGCAGCUUAUGUUCUCUUCCUGAAAGGCGAUGAUGGGGAGAAGGUUAAAGCAGUAACCAUCUGUCAUCUAGACACAUCAGAAUGGAACCCAGAGCAUAUGUCCUUCCAAAUCGUCAACGUUAAGCCCGGAACCAUUCCCAUCUGCCAUUUCAUUUCCACUGAUGCUAUUGCCUGGGUUCCGAACCACAAAUCUGCAUGAUCAUCACUUAGCACUGUACGUAUAAUUAUCUCCUUACUUAUUUCUGCCUCUUCAUCAUGUGGUGUAAGAUAUAUGAUGAGAUGAAGUUUUUGGGAUUAGUGGUUGGGUUGCCUGAAAAACACAGAUUACAGAAACUGCUUGAAAUUAACCCGAUCAUGUUUUCUCUUGUAACUAUAUAGACUUCAACUUGUACUCAUAAUAAAGCAUGCUAUAUUUAUGAAGAGAUAUUAAUCUAUAUAUAUUUUUUAUAUAUGCUUUGGCUUUGUGGUUCUACCCAAUGUUUGAGUGUUGAAUUGUUACGUUGGAAUAGGCUGCUAAUGCAUGUAGUUAGAGAAGCCUUCAUUUAUAUCAAAGUCCUCAAACUAUCAAGAACUAAUGUAUCCAGAAACAUAUACCAAGACGCAAAACAACAUAUUUUCCAUGCUCUGUCUGUAACACCAAAGCAAACUUCCUUGAUCACAAAAGGAUCAAAUUCCAGUACUAAUCUAAUCCAUCAUGUAAAGCAUACAAGUGCCUCCCUAAAUACUAUACUCUUUUUGUUAUUUCCUACUAUACUAUUUAAGAUUUAAAAUUCAGGUCAACCCAUAGAUUUCUCGCCUUUUUCUUCUUCAUCUCGUCGGGCUUGUCUUCUUCUUGAGGAUUGUAUAGGCCAAGGAAAUGCUUUGAGUUAGUUUUUGCGCUUUUGCGUUUUGGGCCUUGGAAGUUGGGACCCAAACCAACUUCACAAAAAGAAAACGCUCAGACUAUAAUGAGUGGAAAGUUAUAAGGGGUAAGUUAUAAGGAGUUCACUUUAUAGCCAUCAGAUCAAUCUAAGGGCUGGGGAGAAUUGAGAUAAAGUUUUAAAAUCGGGUAGGUGAGGAACCCAAACCCGAAUUGAAUAUCCAGCACGUCCGAAAAAGAAGAAGAAGAGGCAAGCACGUCCGAAAAAGAAGAAGAAGAGGCAAGGUCGAAGUUUGAACAGAAAAAACUCAUCUCUUUAAAACCCAUAGCUCUGAGAAACGGUUGAAGGCAACGGUUAACGACGGUUGUUGAAGCCACUCCGUUCUCCAGACCCUGAAAAAGUAUUUAUUUUGAGUAGAAGGGGCAAAUGUGUGGAUUCCGAAACAGUGAAGGGGCGAAGCAGUGGAAGGGGAAGGAGAGAAGCCGUAUUCGUUGGAAGUGGUAGGUUCCAUUUGUGGAGCAAAGCAACACAAAGACCCCGCACAGACACCUUGCGAUUGUUCAAUAACCAGCAUUUGGUGAGUAAUUUAUGGAAUUUGAGUUUAGGGUUAGAGUAAUGGUUUUCCCCAAUUUGUACCAUCAAUUUUGUUGGAUUUGGCAUCUCUUCUUUGUGCUUCAGUUGCAUGUUAAUUUUUGCUUGGGUAUAUGUUAAAAAAAGAAUGAAAAUCAAGUCAAUAACAAGUGAAUAACAUGUCAAUAAUGAUAUGAAUAAGAUAAUGGUGUUGAAUUGGAGGAGGCCCUCAAAACAUUCCACAUUUGAAGCAGUGCAUAGUGCAGAUUAUCUCUCUGGCGCUAGAAUAUAUAUAUAUUUUGAAAUAAAUAUGAUUUCCUUUGUUACUAAAUUUGCCUGAGAAACAUGAGAACAGAUAAUAAUAAACUCAUGAAUAGAAGUGCAAAGCAUUUGAUGAGUAAUUUAUGGAAUUUGAGUUUAGGCCCAGGAAAUUCCUUGACCCCAAAAAAAAAAAAAAAGUUGAUUUAAAAUUCAGGUCAACCCAUAGAUUUCUCGCCUUUUUCUUCUUCAUCUCGUCGGGCUUGUCUUCUUCUUGAGGAUUGUAUAGGCCCAGGAAAUGCUUUGAGUUAAUUUUUGCAUUUUUGCGUUUUGGGCCUUGGAAGUUGGGACCCAACCCAACUUCACAAAAAGAAAACAGAUUUGCCAAAAAUCAAAUUUCAAGUCUCUCCUCCGAUCGAAAUUUGGAUUUGAUGAACUAAAGUGGUUUUACUUUCUCCAUCAGUGUUUGAUAACUUAAUUUGUUAUUUACUUUUUUUUUAAAAAACUUUGGCUUAUAUAUAUUAGUUUUCUUUUUUCCUUCAUAUUCACCACCUUUAUGUUGCAUAAGUAUUUCAGUCUUAAUGGGUUUCCAUCUACCACUCAUCUUUGCUCUUCUCAGUGUAAGCCUUUUUUUUUUUUUAAAGCACAAGAUUAGAGGGGAGGGGGAUUUCUCAAUGUAAGCUUUGCAGUUUCAUAAUUAAUAUUUCCAAUAUCUCACUGUUAGUAAAAUACAGAAAAAGUACUAAUAACAUAUGCACAUGUUACUAAUUUAUUGAGAUAAAACACCAUUUUGCCCCUAGAAUAUUUUAUUAGGUUUAAAGUUGACUUUUUGACCAGGAAGGAAUUUGGGUAUUUAGACUAUAUCGUUGCGUAGAGCAUGGCGAGAUGAGUCCGUAGACACAUGAUUGGCUCGAAUCAGAGUUAUAAUGAGAGAGAUACGAUCAAAAUACCCUCAGUGGUAUAACCGUAAUUUUGGCUUAAAGGGUUUGAUAAAAUAUAAUUUUUCUUUCUUUCUUUCUCUCUCUCUCUCUCUCUCUCUCUCUCUCCUCUCUCUCACGACGGCAGUGAUAGCCGGCCACUUUUUGGCCAGCCAUGCUCUCGUCCGGCCACUAAAGUUGACGGGGCCGGUACCAAAAUGACCGGGCCACCAUCCUUUUCCAACCCCAGCCAGGCCCCACUGCCAGCAGUCGUGAUUUUGCUGAAAAAUGGAGAAGAAGCGGCCGAUUUCGUUCGAACUUCUCCGACUUCGUUCUCUCUCCUCCGGCCACCGAUUUCGAUGAAUGAGGUAUGGUUUCUCACCUACUUUUUAUGCUCUAGCUGCCUGUUGGGUAGGAUUCGAUCAAUUCCUUGCGUAGGUAGCUUGAUUUUCGAAUUGGAUUUCGGCCGGUUUUGGGAUCUCGAUUCCGGCCACUUCCGGUCAGUUUUUGGGGUACAUCCCAAAACAAAAGUGGUUCUAAAUAGGGUGUUAUACCUAGGGUAGGAACCUUGAACCGUAAUUUUGAGAAUUUUCGGUGAUGCCUAAUCGCUUUGGACACCUACGCUAUGCCUGCGUGUGGGCACUAUAGAAAAAGGGCAUUGUGUCCCGAUGCAAUCCCCUUGUUGUCUUGAGCGCGUAGGUGUGCUCGGAUUUCAAUUUGGAUACCGUUUGAAUCUCGAACGAAUAUCGCAUAUUGUGCGUUAUUCGGGGUCGAUAGGUUUGAACUGUUGGAUAGUCUUAGAUUUAUAAUAUGUUAAUCUAGACAUUCUUAGGAUCGAAUGGGAUUAAACGGAUCGUAAAACGGAGUCCCGGAUACUCCAAAAAUGCCAACCCUAGGGCUAGGUUCCUAGUAACCGUCCGAUCGUGCGAUCGUGAGCGAUCCGACCGUUUGAUCCGAACCAAACUUGCAGGACGUGUAUCCUAAACCUUGUAGAACCCAUAGGAACUUUCGGAUUAGAAUUUGGAGGUCGUGGGCCCCUUGGGCCGUUUGACUAAGUUUGGGUAGUUUGACCCUUGGCUGAUCGUGAGUCUUCAGAGGUCUUGAGCGUUGUUGAGCUAUGUUGACUAGGUUUAGACUUUUAGAGUGUUUAUUAUUAUCAUAGGAAACUAUUAGAUAUUAUUUUAAUAAUUGAAAUUAUCAAAUUUAUGUUUAUGUGCAUGAUUGUUGGUCUAAAAAUAACAUUGUUUUCUUGAUAAAAUUACGUUGCAGUCUACUAUAGACUGGUAUCACUAAAUGGAGAUUACCUCUAUUAUUAGUUUAGAUAAUUAAGAGUAUGUCAGUUUGAAGUGCUAUAUGCACUACCCUAAGUACCACCCUGUGAUUGUUAGGUCCCAUGUGGUGUAGAUUAUACAGCGUCAGGACAGACCCCAUACGUGGCUUUGGAUGUUCUGGCGCAUGGGGGAGAUUAUGUAAUGGUUAGGUCAUACGUGGCGUAGGUUAUUCAGCGUGUUGACAGACCCUAUACGUGGCGUUGGAUGUUCCAGUAUGGAAAGAUUUUGUGAUUGUUAGGUCCCACGUGGCGUAGAUUAUCCGGCGUGAGGACAAACCCCAUUCGUGGCUUUGGAUGUUCCUGCGUAUGGGGGAGAUUAUGUGAUGGUUAGGUCACACGUGGCGUAGGUUAUUCGGCGUGUUGGCUAACCCCAUAAGUGCCGUUGGAUGUAACGACCGGUCCUAAAUAAAUUAGUGAAUAUUAAUUUAUUCAGAGAAAAUACCAUUUUGCCCAUAGAGUAUUUUAUUAGGUUCAAAGUUGACUUUUUGAUCAGAAAGGAAUUUGAGAAUUUCGAUUAUACCGUUGCAUAGAGCACGGCGAGAUGAGUCCGUAGACACGUGGUAUGCUCGAAUCGAAGUUGUAACGAGAGAGAUACGAUCAAAAUACCCUCAGUGGCAUAACCGUAAUUUUGGCAAAAAGGGUCGAUAAAAUCAUAUAUAUAUAUUUUCUCUCUCUCUCUCUCUCUCUCUCUCUCUCUCUCUGCGAUAUUGUCCCUCUCUCUCUUUGAUUCACUGCCAUCUGCCCACGGCAGGACUUGAGACUGGUCACGUUUGAACCGGCUCGAUGUCCCGAUCACGUCGCACCCAAAAUGCAAAUGGAAACCUUGAAUUCCAGCCACGGCUUCGACUGGUUUGAACUGGGUUUUUCCCGGCGUUGCGCCACCGCCUCCGCCGCCCAAUUCCGGUGAAACAGGUAUAAUUCCUCACCUAUUUUUCGAGAUCCAGCUGUUGUUGUGUAGGAAUUAGACGAUUUUCAUGUUUAGGAACUCGAUUUAGAAUUUAGGUUUUGGUCGAAUUUUCAAAGUGAAAUUUCGGCCACUUCCGCUGGUUUUUCGGGGUAUGUCUAAGAACAAAAGUGGUUCCAAAUAGGGUGUUAUACCUAGGGUAGGAACCUUGAGCUGUGAUUUUGAGAAUUUCCGGCGAUGCGUAUUCGCUUUGGACACCCACGCGCCGACAGCGCGUGGGCACUGUAGAAAAGGGGCAUUGUGUCUCAAUGCGAUCUGCUUGUUGUCUUGAGCUCGUAGGUAUGCUCGAAUUUCAAUUUGGAUACUGUUUGAGUCUCGAACGGAUAUCGCAUAGUGUACGUUAUCCGGGUUUGAUAGGUUUGAACCAUUGGAUAGUUUUGAAUUUGAUAUAUGUUAAUCUAGGCAUUUCUAGGAUCAUGUAGGAAUUCAGGGAUCAUGAAUCAGAGCCCCGGAUGUUCCGAUUUAAUAACUUAAAGUUUAUGUUUAUAAUAACUAUCAGAUCGUGCGAUCGUGAGCGAUCCGACUGUCUGAUCUGGACCAAACUUGCAGCACGUAUAUCCUAAACCUUGUGGAACAUAAAAAAAUUUCGGAUUAGAAUUUGGAGGUCGUGGGCCCCGUGGGCCCAUUUAACCAAUUAUGGGUAGUUUGAUCCUUGGUUGACCGUGAGUCUUCCGAGAUAGUUUUACCUUCCUAGGAGGAUUAUAAUGACCCUAGUGAUAGGUCUUGACCGUUGUUCAGCUAUGUUGACUAGGUUGAGACUUCUAGAGUGUUUAUUAUAUUAUUGUAGGAAACUCUUAGAUAUUAUUUUAAUAAUUGAAAUUAUGAAAUUUAUGUUUAUGUGCAUGAUCGUUGGUCUAAAAAUAAUAUUAUUUUCCUGAUAAAAUUACGUUGCAGUCUACUAUAGACUAGUAUCACUAAAGUGGGAAUACCUCUAUUAUUAGUUGAGAUAAUUGGGAGUAUGUCAGUUUGAAAUGUUAUACCCUAAGUACUACUCUAUGAUUGUCAGGUCACCCGUGGCGUAGGAUUUUCCGGUGAGAUGACAGACCCCAUACGUGGCGUUGGAAUUUCCAACGUAUGGAGAGAUUAUAUGAUUGUUAGGUUUCACGUGGCGUAGGAUUUUUCAGCGGGAUGACAAACCCCAUACGUGGCAUUGGAAGUUUCAGCGUAUGGGGAGAUGAUAUGAUUGUUAAGUCACACGUGGCGUAGGUUAUUUGGAGUGCUGACAGACCCCAUACGUGGCGUUGAAAUUUCUGGCGUAUGGAGAGAUGAUAUGAUUGUUAGGUCACUUUGGAUGUUCUAGCGUAUUGGGAGAUUAUGUGAUUACCAGUGAGAUGAAUAAAGGAUUGUUAUGUUAUAUUGGGAAAAACAUGUUUGUAGAAAGAAUUACGUGUGGCUUGAUCCCUCAGUAAGGGUACGUAGGCAGCCUAGGGUAGUGCCUUGGUGCAGUCGCUGACUAAACAUUAUAAUGUUGUUUUUAGGUUUGAUUAUAUGGUAUUAUGGGGCAAGGCCCCUAGGACUAUUGGUGAUAAUUCAUAGAUGGUAGUGGAUGCAUGCUAGAAAUUUGUAGGAAGUUAUUUCAUGUGGAUUGCAGUGGUACUCGUAAAAUUUAUUUGAGUUCCUUAAUUGCAUUGUUAAUAUAUUAAUUUACUUAAGAGUACUGCUAGUAGUUCUGCCUUGAUUUAUUUGAAGGCUGGAGGCCUUGUCUGGAAACUGUGUGCAAUUAGAUUGUGUGUGCUGGCAGUUGACUUUUUAAAUUGUGAAUUUUGUGCAGGUUGAAAUUUGGGAAAUGUUCAAUUUACAGGGGAGACUCUGCUGAAAUUUCGGUAGAAAGUCUUGUGCCCUUAUUCCUUUUUGGGGAAAAGGAUAUAGUUUUAGAAGUGGCGAUGUCGGGAAUUUCCACAGGAUUCGUCUCGGGUUUCGGGAAAUUCGGGGCGGGUCUGAAAAAGUUGUUUCAGUUUUGGCAAGUAUCGGAAAAGACCAAAAUUUUCCGACUUUAUUAUUACUAGAAACAAGGUCGAAGUAUUUACCAAUCAUGUGGCCUUCCAAGUGCUCUAGGUUAAGCCAGGAACCGUUCCUAUCUGCCGUUUCCUUCCCAACUAUGAUCAUGUUGUCUGGGUUCCAACCCACAAAUCUACAUUGGGCUACGUAUUUGAAUUUGUACUAAAGCGUGAUCUAUAGUAUGCAUAUAUUGGAUAAGUUUGAGAUCAGUGGCUUGGGUGUCCGCUGAGCUUGAACAAGUUUGGGUGUGCUGAGUGUUUCCAUGGGUGUGUUGAUGAUCAUGGUUAUUAGAUUUGUGAUAGUUUGGGCUCAAUUUCAACAGAACUCAUCUCAAGCCUAGAUAGUUGAUUCUUAAGUUUAUCAGGAAAAAAAAUUAAAAAUUAAAAAAUCUAAAGUUAAGCCCAAGGCGCCGAACUUGGACUUCUCACCAAACUGUGCAUAAAUUGAAAUAUUUAAUAGAAGCCCAAGAUUUUUGAAGCACAUAAUAUCUACAAAAAUCUACAAAGUGUAAUACUUUACAAACUUCUUAUGUGUACCAAUUUCUGCUCAAAUUAAUUUCUCUGUGGUGCUGAGAUUCAUCAUAAUUUUAGUAGAAAUUGGAAGUUUUCAUCAUUUUUGCUUUAAGUCUCUCCUCCACUCACUAAUAAAGAUUACUCAAGUGAGUUUACAAAACAUUUUUUUUCUACUCUCUCCUGAAGACUACACAUCUUCUCAAAAGAUUAGAUCACUUCACAUCUUGUAUAUGUGAAAACUAAUGCAAAAAGUUGAAACUUUAUCAUAAAACCUCGACAAAAAUUAGCUCUACUUAGAACAUUAAAUUUGGAUUCGUUGAUUUAAAUGGCAAUUUGACACUUCAUAGAAAUUUUUACAUACAUGUGUUAGUGUUUGAUCACUUCACUUAUUACUUACUAUAUUUAUUCCAUGAUUCUCCCUCAAGUUAUGUAAAUAUUAUUAUCAAACAUUUCAAUUCAUUUGUGAUAUUUCUUGUCCAUCUUUCAAUGUACCCUGAAAUCCAUUAGCCACAUAUGAUGACCAAAAUCCACACUCUGUUGUUUGCAAACGUUCAAUAUACGACUUGCAUCCACAGUCCUGACCCAAAUGAAAUGCGGAAACUGUCAAGCUAACUGUAGGGAGGACUAUAUUUGAUUUUACCUUAAAGACUGAUCCGAAACCACCUUCUCCAAGUUUAUUGUUGUUUGAAUAGUUUUUGGUUGCACAAACAACAGCGGCCAAGUCAAAUAAUGGCAAUUCCAGAUCUUCCUUUUGGCCGGGCUUCAGUUCUCCUGUGAAGUACGUAGUGAAGUAAAUAAUGUAGCAUGGAACCUUAGCUUAGAAACCAGAGAGGCAACAGCAAAAAUUUUCUAUAGAACUGAACCUACCUAUCUUAGAAAAUGAAGGGGCAGAAGAGUAGAAAAUCAAAUAGCUUACCAUAUUUUUGUUGCUGGUUCUUCCUCACAUAUAAUAGCAGGGUAAGGCCCAGGGUCAGCAGUCCAGUAGACAACACAGUACUGGUUACUAUGAUCUUUGUAUUGUGUCCUUGAUCUAGGAAUGAAGUAUUUGAAAGCAGAAGAUUGAGGAGUCAGAAAUUCAUAAAGAAAAAAUCUCUACUUUUUAUCAUCCAACGAACAAUUAAUGCUAGUUUCUGAGACAGUUCUAAAGAAAUAUUUUUCUAACAAUGUCAAAAGUUUUCUGGCUCUAUCUUGUUUCUAAUCAUGUCACUGUUGGAAGAUUUCUUUCUUCUUUUUUCCUUGGUGGCUUUUAUUUUUCUUUCAAACUUUGUUUUAAACAGCAAGAUGAUUCCAUACCUAGUUCUGACGAAGCCAUUCUUAUGUAAAUAUCUUGCCCAUUUAUAUUGGAAUAUCUUAUAUCAACCAGAUCGCUGAACCACAGCAAGGACCCCCUUCCUCCAUCUCGGAUAUCCAAAUUUGAAAAAGCGGCGCAGGAGCAGUUGUUCAUGCACAUCAUCUCACAUUCCUUGAGGUUCAUAAUUGUGUUAUACUAGGAUUGUUCUGUACUUUAUUUCACCCCAGUGUACUUCUUAAAGAUGUCUCCACUGCAAUUCAGUUGGCUCUUUCUCACAGAUCUAUAUGACCAAUCCACCAAGUCCCAGUCUUGUUGAAAGUCGGUAUAAAUCCUUUCAAGCAGCUACGUACUGGGGACUUGUCAAUACAACAUGCACCAUUCGGACCACAUAUUCCAUAUUUGUCGCAGAUAUCAGUCGUUGCUCUUAGAUAAACAACCCAACCUUGGUUUCCAUCACUCCCGAUGUAGCUCAGCCCAAAUCCAUCUUGAGUUAACGCCAGCCUGAAAAGAGUUGAGCUGUUGAGAAGCUUAUAACCAUAAUAUACUUCAUCAUCAUUAUCCAACACAAAAUCAUAUGUUGGAUUUAAAUUAUGCAUCCCACUAAAUUGGAUUCCAUUCCAUGGUGCAGUCCGAUAUUUUAUAACAGAACCCUCCCUCAGAAUUAAUUCAUGGUACCCAUAAGGACCAAGUUGAUAUGGGUAAUGUCCUUGAGAAGGAUCCUGGGGGCUUUUCCAGGGUGUAAGAUGCCAAUUAAAACCUGUGAUUUUGUUCCUAACAAGCUUCAUACCUGGUAUUAAUGUAUCUCCUGGGUAAUCAAAACUCUGCCAUAAAAUAUUAUCAGAGUCAUUACGACCAUUGCCAUCUAUCACAACAAGAUUUCCGGAAUCCAAAAUCUGUGCCACUGGAUUCUAUGAAGAACUUGAUGUGUUGGAAGACCUGUAGUGUUCUUUGUUGAAUAUUUGGAUUGCAAAGGGAGCAAGAAAUGUACUGAGAGAGAAAGAGAGAGAGAGAGAGAGAGAGAGAGAGAGAGAGAGAGCAGUGAGCCUUAGAUUGUUCUAACAGUUUUCUUACUCUGCAUGAACAUAGCAGCAGAGCUUAUAUUCCUUCAUGACUGUUACAUGUUCUCUCUUACAUCAGUAGAUUCAAAUCUAACGGUUUGUAAUAGUAAGCCAAUGUGAGUAUGACACAUGGCAAUACACAGCUGUCCUAACAGCUGGGAAUUCAAAACAGACUCUAGCAUUGCACCUGGCAUAUAAGCACAAGGCACUCAGCUAACACAAAGAUUAAAAACAGAUUGAAUAUAAACUGACAUAGAACUUACUAACUAAUCUGAAAUUAGCUAGACAGUUUACAUUUUAACACUCCCUUCUAAAGUGCUAGCUGAUUUCACUCCAAGCAUUCUCCUCAAAUAGUCAAACCUGUCUUUGGGAAGAGCUUUGGUGAAGAUAUCAGCAAUCUGCUCUUCUCCUUUGCAGUAGAGCAGUUCAAUCACUUCUUCUUGUAUUGCAUCUCUAAUAAAAUGAAACUUCCUUUUAAUAUGCUUGCUCCGUUGAUGAAAAACAGGAUUUUUAGCCAUUGCUAUGGCUGAAGUGUUGUCACAAAACACAGUUGUUGCAGUGGUCUGUUCUUCCCCAAAAUCUUCAAGAACAAACCUGAGCCAAAUGGCUUGUGAUGUAGCUUCUGCUGCACUCACAUACUCUGCCUCUGCAGUAGAGAGAGCCACACUGUGUUGUUUGACUGAUGCCCAUGAAAAAGCACCACUUCCAAAUGAAAAUGCAUAUCCAGAAGUGCUUUUCAUAUCUUCCUCAGAUCCACUCCAGUCACUGUCACAGUAACCAACUAAGAGUGCAGAUUUUCCUGUCACAUACUCAAUUCCAUAGUCAAUUGUGCCUUGUAUGUACCUUAGAACCCUUUUAGCUGCCCCAUAGUGCAUCUUAGAAGGGUUAUGCAUGAAUCUUGCAAGCAGGCAGGCAGAGAACAUGAUAUCUGGCCUGGUUGCAGUAAGGUACAGCAGGCUGCCUACAAUUUUUCUGAACAAACUUUCAUCUGCAGCAUCACUUCCAUCCUCUCUUUUCAAUUUAUCAGUAGCCACUAAUGGAGUGCUUACUGACUUGCAGUCUUUGAGUCCAAACUUAUCCAAGAGAGUGAGAGCAUACUUCUUUUGAUGAAUGAAGAUGCUCCCUUCAGUUUGUGUUACUCCCAUACCAAGAAAAUGGUGGAGUAAACCCAAAUCAGACAUCUCAUACUUGCACAUCAUUUCAGCUUUGAAUUCUUUCAUCAUUUCAUCUCUACUUCCUGUGUACACUACGUCAUCUACAUAGAUUGACACUAUUAGUGUUCCCACCUUCCUUUGUUCUCACAUAGAGAGUGGCUUCACUUGGACUUCUGUGAAAACCACACUGAUUCGAGUAGGUGUCAAUUUCACUAUACCAGGCCCUUGGAGCCUGCUUCAACCCAUAGAGGGCUUUUCUUAACCUAUACACCUUAUCCUCAUCAUCUUUAACCACAAAACCAUCCGGUUGAUCAAUAUAAACUUCUUCUUCAAGGACACCAUUUAGGAAGGCUGACUUGACAUCCAAUUGCCAUAGUUUCCAGCCUUUCUGAGCAGCAAGAGCUAUGAGAGUUCUAAUGGUGUCUAACCUUGCUACAGGAGCAAAGGUUUCAUUGAAAUCAAUCCCUGGUUUUUGUGUGUAUCCCUUGGCAACAAGUCUUGCUUUAUGUUUUUGAAUGGAGCCAUCAAGAUUAAGCUUAAUUUUGAAUAUCCACUUCACUCCCACAAUUGGUUUACUACUUGGCCUGUCAACCAAUUCCCAACUGGAGUUUUUCUCUAUCAUAAGUAUCUCCUCAGUCAUAGCCUUCCCCCAAGCUUCAUCUUUGACUGCUUCUUCAAAAUUUUCAGGUUCAAUGAUGCUCAUCUUGCAUUGAGCAUACACUUCACUCAAACUCUUCCAUUUCUUUGGGGUGUUAUCAUAAGUUUCUAAUGGAGCAGAGUCUUGAGUAGCAUGCACAUCAUUACUUGUUUGUGUUUCCAUAGGAGACUGUACAAUCUGUUGCUGUAACAGAUUUGGUUAUGAAUCCAAAUCUGAUACAAUUGAACUUACUCCAUCACCCCAAGACAUAGGGAUUUGCAAUGCCUCAUUGGUUUCCCAAUUCCACAUUGCUUCUUCAUCAAAAAUAACACUCCUAGACAGCUCAAUCUUUUGAGUUCUCAAGUUGAGCACUCUAUACCCCUUUUCACAUACACCAUAUCUUACAAAUACUCCCUUCUCACCUGUGUCUUCCAGCUUGUGCCUUUUCUGUGUGGGGAUGUGAAUAUAGCAUAGAGAACCAAAUAUUCUCAAAUGCUUGACACCUGGUUUUCUUCCACCGAACUUUUCAAAUGGAGUGGAAUUGUCCAGUGCACUUGUAGGACAUCUGUUCUGCAAAUAUACAGCUGUAUUGACAGCUUCUGCCCAAAACUUCAAAGGGAUUUUCUUCUCAUACAUCAUGGCUCUUGCCAUUUCCAUCACAGUACGAUUCUUUCUCUCUGUAACUCCAUUCUGUUGUGGAGAGUAGCCUACUGNNNNNNNNNNNNNNNNNNNNNNNNNNNNNNNNNNNNNNNNNNNNNNNNNNNNNNNNNNNNNNNNNNNNNNNNNNNNNNNNNNNNNNNNNNNNNNNNNNNNNNNNNNNNNNNNNNNNNNNNNNNNNNNNNNNNNNNNNNNNNNNNNNNNNNNNNNNNNNNNNNNNNNNNNNNNNNNNNNNNNNNNNNNGGUGUGGUCAUCAAUGAAGGUGAGGAAAUAUCUGUUCCCUCCAAGAGUGAUGGUCUGCAUUGGACCACAAAUGUCUGAGUGAAUCAGUUCUAGAGGUUGAGUGGCUCUCCAAGCUCCUUCCUUAUCAAAAGAGCUUCUGUGAUUCUUGCUUUCAGCACAACCUGAGCAGACCUUCUCAUGUUCUUGUAAAUUAGGCAUUCCCUGAACCAUAUCUCUCUCUUGUAACAACUUCAAACUAAUAUAGUUUAGGUGCCCAAAUCUUCUGUGCCACAGCCAGGAUGUUUCUCCAACUGUUGCUCUGUUUGCCAUAGGAGGAUUAACAUAGUCAAGAUUUAAAGGAAAACAUUUGUUUCCCUUCAUUGGCACUCUUGCAAUGCAAUCUUCCAACUGCCUAUCUCCAUAGAUAUCAACUGCAUUAUCACCAAAUACAAGCCAAUGCCCAUGUUCUAUCAUUUGACCUACACUUAGCAAAUUUUCAUCUAAACUUGGUACAAUCAUGAUUUCUUUGAUAUAUCUAGUCACACCCUUCAUUUCUAUAGCCAAAGUCCCUUUGCCUAUUAACUGCACUAGAUCACCAGUCCCCAUUUUGACUUUACUCUUCAUACUUUUAUCAACAUUUACAAGUAAUGACUCAUGGGAAGUCAUGUGAUUGCUGCAUGCACUAUCAACAUACCACAUAUUCACAUUCUUUCCAAUUGUUGCAGCAUGACAUGCAUAGAACAUAAUGGCAGGUUCAGUUACCUGAUUUGCAAUGUUAGCAAGUUUCCCUGCCUUGUUUGCUUGGUCACAGUCCUUAACAAAAUGACCAAAUCGAUUGCAGCCAUGACACUUUGGUUUUCCUUUAAACCAACACUCACCAUAGUGUAACUUCUCACAAUGUUUGCAUUUUCCAGAUUUGUCUCCUUGACUUGGUUUUCCCCCUUGAUUGGCACUGUUUUGGGGUUUAGAAUCCCAUUUCUUAUCCUUGGACUUCCAAUUCUUCUUUGAUUUAUUAGAGCCAGAACUAGAACUUGAUUGAGAUCCUUUUGAGUUUAUGCUCAUGCUGCUGAAAGCUUUCUCAGUGGUGCUUUCUGCAUGUCUGUCAAGGCGCUGAGCAAAACCUCUUAAUGCUGCAAUUACCUCCUGCACUUCAAUGGUUUCAAUGUCUCUAGUUUGCUCAAUCACAUAGCAGACUGGAUCAAAUUCCUUGGUUAAGCUUAUUAGCAGUUUUUGAACUAUCCUCCCUUUGGUCAGAUCUUCCCCAUAUCCCUUCAUCUGAUUUACAAGCUCAAGUAACCGAGUGAUGUAUCCAGACAAGAUCUCAUCAUCCUUCAUCCUGGUGUACUCAAAAUCUCGACGCAGACCCUGCAACAUGAUGGAUCUGACUUGCUUAUCACCAUGAAACUCCUGAUGCAAGAUAUCCCAAACACCUUUUGAGGUUUCUUCAUUUGAGAUUCUGGGAAAGAUGUCAUCUGAAACAGCACCUUGGAUAAUACCAAGAGCCUUAGCAUCUUUCAUCAACAAGGACACCAUCUCUGAAUCUGAUGACCCUUCUUUAUCAGCUUUUGAAUCUGGAACUUGAAGGCCUUUCUCAACCAAAUUCCAGAUUCCAUGAGAUUUGAAAAUUGUUCUCAUUCGAAUCUUCCAAAACUCAUAGUUCUCCCCAUUGAAUAUUGGAGCUCUAAGAUCACUCCCUCCUGACCCAGCCAUCUGAGACCAGACUCAAUGAGUUGAGAGUAGGAAAUUUCCCGUUGGAUUUCCAGACUCAGCUCCCACAGCUUCAACGCCCUCUAUCCAGAUCCAACCUGCGCACCUGAUACCAUGUUGAAUAUUUGGAUUGCAAAGGGAGCAAGAAAUGUACUGAGAGAGAGAGAGAGAGAGAGAGAGAGAGAGAGAGAGCAGUGAGCCUUAGAUUGUUCUAACAGUUUUCUUACUCUGCAUGAACAUAGCAGCAGAGCUUAUAUUCCUUCAUGACUGUUACAUGUUCUCUCUUACAUCAGUAGAUUCAAAUCUAACGGUUUGUAAUAGUAAGCCAAUGUGAGUAUGACACAUGGCAAUACACAGCUGUCCUAACAGCUGGGAAUUCAAAACAGACUCUAGCAUUGCACCUGGCAUAUAAGCACAAGGCACUCAGCUAACACAAAGAUUAAAAACAGAUUGAAUAUAAACUGACAUAGAACUUACUAACUAAUCUGAAAUUAGCUAGACAGUUCACAUUUUAACAUUCUUAUGGUCGGCAGGGACAAGAAUUCCAGGGCUGCUCAACUUGAAUACACCUGAUGAACCAGUGAGGGGUGUGUUUCUUUUAGUCUGCACUAUAUAUGCAGGGUCUGACUCUAAUUAGAAGAUAAUUGUAUUAAUUUGGUAAAGCUUUGUCUGUAACUGUCUCGCACCUUAAAAAAAUUUCACAAUUAGCAGCAUUGGCAAUACUUGAUUAGAAAGCAGAAACCCUACAGUAUAUAGUUAAGUUGAGUAGCUGGGAAGACAAUUAGUAAGCUUUCAAUACUAAAGUUGAAUAUUGGGGAGACAAAUUACUAGAGCUUCAAGUUCAGAUAAAUAGGAUGAAUUUCUCUUAAGGGAUCCCCUUUCACUGUAGCUUGGAGUAGAAUUCAUUUUGACACAAUAUCAAUUAUCAAUGUAAACACGUUACUGAUGCACUAUUGACAAUAUCGAUGCACGUCAUAUCAUAUUUGUGGGAGUAAAUUUCCUCACGAGAAUAUUUGGUUCAAAAGAUUCCCCUUUUUUUUUUUUUUGCCGCCUCUUUCUCCUUGCAAAAUAGAACAAAUAAGAGGACCACACCCGGGGGGUGUUGGCCAAAGGCCCUCCGAUGCUAAAUUAGUUCAAGUAUUUGUAAGAAAAAUACUAGCUAACUAGGGUACAGAGGUGUAUUUAAGGUGUAAACCGGGCAGCCGAAGUCUUAUGUAAAAGAGAGAGAGAAAGGAGGUGGCUAGCGUUUGAGAGGAAUUUUCUGCAGAGUUUUUAGUAGAGAUUUCAGACGUACCUCAACCAUUGUGUGUGGCCAUCUUUUUAUAGUGGUCUUGGAGGCUAGGGUUUCAGAGGAAUAAUUCCGUAGAUGGAAAGGAAUUAUUCCUCCCCUAUUUGGAAUUGAUUUGAUUAAUUAGGGAUUUGAUUUAUUAGGGUAAAUCAAAUCCCUAAUUGUGGUAGGUAUCAAAUCAAAUCCUUUUUUAAUUAGGUAACUCCUCAUUUAAUUGGGAAUUGUGGUAGGAAUCAAAUCAAUUCUCAACCUAAUUAGGUAACGUUCAAUUUAAUUGGGUAAUUCCCAAUUAAAUUGAGUAACUCCCAAUUAGGUUGAUUAAUUCCCAAUUAGAUCAAAUAAUCCCCUAAUUGAAGGAAUUAUUUGACCUAGGGUCUGAUUUAAUUCGAUUCCCACAAAUGCCCCCCAGCUUCUGCAUGGUGCAUGGUGGCACGUAGGAGAUGUAAAUUAUCUGUUGGGCUGUCCAGCUGUAACUGGGCUUCCUUCGUGGACCUGGGCUCCCGAGUAGAGGAGGUGUUUGACUUGCCAAUUUUAUGAACACCCAAUUGGAAAGGGUUUGAGAUUCCUUGUAGGUCAAGGAAUUUUGCUCCUUAUAAAUGUAGGGCUCCUCCAAAUUAUUCUCGACAUCAGAAAUCUACUCCUCCAAAUUUGUUAGUGAGAGAGAGAAGACUUUGGAGAAUUUUUCAGCGUGCUUGAGACUUCAUCUUUGCAGCCCAUCCAAGGUAAUUUGAUAGGAAGAAUUUUAUUUUGAGUUGCUAUGACUUUUGGCAGCAAGCUGUGAGACUAAGGGCAUGUCUUGAGGUGCGCGCUAGGGCUUUAGGCAUGGCAAGAGACUCGGAAAGGCUAGCAGGUUCGUUUCCACCUACGCUGGGCUCAAGGAGAAGGCAACAGGGCUUCAGGCCUUGUGGAUGAAGUGGGCUUUCGCUGGGAGCAAGAGGCCUGGAGCUGAGGCAAGGAGACAAUGGGCCUGGUACGAGGUGUGGGCUGAGCAUGCCAGCUUUGGAGCAAGGGGGCCAGGACGACUGCUGGGCAGGAGGUGCGCUGGGCUGCAUGCGCGAGCUGCGCCGAGUGCUGGCUGGAGGAGCGAGCUGGGCUGCGCGCUAGGCCAUUCAUGCUGGGCUACUUCCGUUUUUUUUUUGUUUUUUUUUAAAUUUUAUUUGCUGUUGCUGCUUUUUUUUUUGUUUUUUUGUUUUUUUUUUGUUUGGUAUUCUAACUCGUAAUUUUUUUUUUCUUCUUACAGCUACUUGUUGAUCAACCAUGUCUUCCGGAGAUGGUAGCAAGGCUCCAAGCUCUUAGGUCCUUUUGUAUUUAUGGGGAGGCUCCAUAGUGCAUGGCAAGAAGUUUGUGGUCAACUUGCAUCGCGUCACGACUUAUGCUCAGUUCCAGAAGUGGCGGGCCACUUAUGCGUCUGCCAUUCCAGAUGACGUGCUGGUCAAGCUAUUGAAAUCUCAAACUGAUAACGAGCCUUUGGUGGACGUGAGUGAUCAUGAUGCUAGGAUCAUUACCUUCCGUCCUUUUUACUUCUCUUUAGGCUUCAAAUUCCCGUUGUCAAAGCUCUUCAAGAAGGUGUUCUGUGCCAUGGGGUGUGCUCCGAGCCACUGUACUCAUGUGCUUCAAGAAUUUGAGUCGUUUCUUCAUGUUGGAGCUGACGAUGCGAGAGUUCUUUUAUUUUUUUCGAAGUGAGGCACUUUGAGCGGUACGCCCAAGUUCGUAUCUACAAGGCCAAGCUGUUCCACGGUCUCAGUCAAGGAGAUCACGCUUGACAUGAAGAUGUGUUGGAGGUCAGCAGACGGUGGGAGGGUGACGUCGGUGACGGCCCACCUGUUCCCAUCACCUAUUGUGAUGGUAUGUCUCUUUACGAUUUUUGAUAUGCUCCUUUUAUUUGAAUUUCUUGAAGUGUGGCAGACUAACUUCUAUCUUCUGCUCGUAGUGAGUGACAUUAGCAAGCAAUUGGAGCUCCGACCAGACAUGGCUAAGGUCCGUCGUGCUUUGAACAUCCCUCUAAGGUUUCACGAGUGGCGCUGGCUGUUGAGUGAGUACCGGGAGGAAGACGGUGGUUUUCUCCUUGCCGAGGAUGUCGAAAGGUGGAAGCAGAACGAUCCUGACCCUGAUGAUCUGCUUGGCAGACAGGAAGAAUGUUCUGCUUAAUCGCUCUUAAAGAGAAAGGCUGCUGCCAAAUCUUUGAGAUGUGAAGCUACUUCUUCGCAUGCAAAGGAUGGGUCUCCAUCGAGGAAGAAACCAAGGCUCCCUUCUGCUGAGAAGACUCAAGUGGGGUCUGCUCCCUCAUCAUCUGCCAGGGUUAAGCAUCUCGUGGGUGCAGAUAGCAAGAAGGUUGGUGGUAUGCAUGGUACUCGGGGUGUUCUGCCCAAGCUUCCUGCUGACACGCUCGAAAACCAUGAUAUACUUCGUGAAGUGGCUCGUGCCCAACCUAGUUCUGCCAAGCGUCAAAGAGAUGUAGACAUUCCUCCUAGAAGUUCGAGUUGUCUGCAUCGGUCAAAAGAUGGAGACCGAAGCGGGAGGUCUGCUUAUGAUCCAGCAUUAUUGACUCAUUUGGAGAUGAGGUUGGCGAAGGCUAAGAAGGUGAAAGAGUCAUCUGCCCGGGUUAAGGGUUCUUCCUCGGCGUUGGUAGUUGGUCCCAAGAUGAACAAGUCUAGCUCUGUAGGGGAUGCAUGCGUAUCUGAUCUGCUCAAGAUGAACUUCCUAUCAAACCCGUCCUCUUGUGUUGAGUUGGUUGAUCACAUCCCUCAAGCGGGCGAUCUAGGCACUUUCUCGUGCCUUUCCUUAGAAAAAUGAAGGAAAAUGACAUUCCAUCUGAUUCAAAAAGGACUGGUUUUUGCUACUGAGACUAUUUGGAACUCAUCUGCUAUUGCCCCUCUUCUGUCCAACUCAGCGAGUUGGAGAAGAAGAAUGCUGAUUGGCUAGACAGCUUUCCGCCGAGCAGGCCCGUUACGAGAAGAAGAUGUCUGAUUUGAGGGCGAUGAUAUCUGAGCUGAAAAGCUCCCUUACCGAGAAGGAUUUCGAGCUCAACUCUUCUGCUGCUGAUUUGGCUAGUCGAAAAGAUACCUUCUUUCGUCUUGAGCAUAAGAAUGCUGACAUCUUCCUUAGCUAUAACAAACUCCUGGCUAGAUUUCAUGCCUACCAUAAGUCUGCUAAAGAAUCCAAGACAGAUGGAGCUGCUGAAGGCGUAGCCGGUCAGGUGGAUGCCGAAGAGGCUGCAGCUUAAAAGUCUUCUGCUGGCGUCUCAGAGUAGAUGAAGACUCUUUUUUGUUUCUUUUCAGCUUUUGUAGUUUGCUUUAUUGUUUAGAAUAACUGGUCUUAUUUGACCAUCUUCUUUUUGUUGAACUUGGCUGGUUGGUCUGUUUGUUAGGGAAAUUUCAGUUACAUUUUCCAACUUCAAUUUGCAUAUUUGACUUGUGAACUGCUUAAGUAACCAGCCUGUGUUUUGAUUGCACAUCCCCCUUUAGAGAUUUGUGAGUACCAGGGUCCCCCUUGGAGGACUCCGGCCAUGCACAGUAUAUCUCGUAGGAUGGUUCCCCUUAGGAAGUUGGCGAGUACCAGGGUCCUCUUUGAGAGACUCCGGGUGUGUUCUGCACAUCCCGUAUGAUGCCUUAAUCGUCGCCUUGCUUCUCCCGUAGGACGCUGCUUAUAGGCAACUAUAUGACUAUCCUGCCUUUCUUAGGAAACGGAUAGGAACCUGGAUAUUUCCCGCAUGAAGCAUGGAGACCUCCUUUUAAGAAAUUUUUGGUGCACCAUGCUUCUCCCUUAGGACGCUUUUUUCGCAGGCUGGGUCUCCAAAUGGACGCUUUUAGUCGUUGCCCUGCGUCUCCCUUAGGACGCUCCUUAUGGGCAACUGUGUGACUAUCCUGCCUCCCUUAGGAAAUGGAUAAGACUUGAAUAUUUCCCGCAGUAAGCAUGGCGACCCCCUUUUAAGAAACUCCUGGCGUACCCUGCAUCUCCCUUAGGAUGCUUUUUAAGAGGGCUGCUUCUCCAAACGGACGCUUUUAGUCGUUGCCUAUGUCUCCCCUAGGAUGCUCCUUAUGGGCAACUGUGUGACUAUCCUGCCUCCCUUAGGAAACAGAUAGGAAACUAGAUAUCUCCCUUAGGAAAUUCCUAGCGCACCUUGCGUCUCCCGAAGGACGCUUUUUUAGCUGGCUACGUCCCGAAACGGACACUUUUAGUCGUCGCCCUGCGUCUCCCUUAGAAUGCGCCUUAUAGGCAACUGUGUGACUAUCCUGCCUCCCUUAGGAAACGGAUAGGAACCUGGAUAUCUCUCUUAGGAAAUUCCUGGGGCACCUUGCGUCUCCCGAAGGACGCUGCUUAUGGGAAAAUAUUGUGUUUCGUGGGCAGAUGAGACAUUUUGGAAUGAGAAACUGAACUUAUAUUGAUAUUCAUAAGAUUACAGUCCUUUAUUUGAAAAUGGAAAUAACUUGGUUCAAAAACUUAGAACUUCUAGCAGCUACGAGGAAGCACUAUGGAUAAUACUUUCGGAGAUGGUGAGCAUUCCAUUGUCGUGGUAUUUCCUUCCUAUCCAUGGUGUCCAGUGUGUUGCUUCCUCUGCCCCGGACCUGCUGAUCACAUAAACGCCCUCCCAGUUAGGAUUCACUUUUUUUGACCCGUGUCUUGGUGCAGUAAUGAAAGCCUUAGCACGAGGUCGCCUGGUUGAAACUGUUUGACCUUAGCUCUUUUGUCGUAGUAAGACUUCAACUGCUAGUGAUAGGAGGCGACCCGAAUAAUGGUCUUCUCACGCCUGCCCUCAAGUAAGUUGAGGUUGAGCCUCAUCUGCUCGGAGUUCUGAUCAACACUGCCUACCUUAAGACUUAUAGAGAGGACAGUGAUGUGAGGUGGUAUGAUCACUUCUGUUCCAUAGGCGAGAGAGAAUGGGGUUUCACCAGUCGAUCUUCGCUUGGUGGUGUGAUAAACCCAUGGUACUCUGGGGAGUUCAUCCACUCAUUUCCCUUCAGCGCCUUCCAGCCUUUUCUUUAAGCAGUCCAAUAUGACUUUGUUGGAUGCCUUGGCUUGUCCAUUUCCUUGUGGAUACCUCGGGGUGGACAAGUGUUGUUUGAUCUUGUAUUUCACAAAAAAAGCGGUGAUCUGCUUGCCAAUGAACUGUGAGCCAUUGUCGGUAACCAACGACUGUGGGCAGCCAAACCGGCAUAUGAUGUUUCUCCAGAUGAAUCACUCCACAUCGGCUUCUUUAGUAAAUGAUAGAGCUUCGGCCUCGAUUCAUUUAGUAAAGUAGUCGGUGGGGACGAUCAUCAUUUCUUUCUUGGCGGGCGCUAGUGGCAAGGGAUCCACUAGGUCGAUGGCCCAUUGCAUGAACAGCCAUGGACUGUUUUGCGGAUGAUAGACUUCGGCAGGCAAGUUAGGGAUCGGCUUGUAUUGCUGACAGCGUCACAUUUCUUGGCACAUUCAGCACAGUCGUGACGUAUGGUAGGCCAGAAGUAGCCUAUGUUUAGAACUUUCUGGGCGAGUGACCUGCCCCAGAAUGGUUGCCAUACUCGUCGUCGUGAAUUUUACAGAUAAUCUCAAGUGUUUGAUGGUACUUUAUGCAGGUGAGAUGAAGGCCGGAGUAUGAUCUGUGGAUGAGCUUGUUGCCGUGCAUGUAGUAUCUCUCGGCCUUUUGCUGGACUUUUCUAGCUUCGGACUUGUCCGUUGGCAGGUUUCCAUUCGUGAAAUAGUCGAUGAUGAGGUCUUGCUAGCUGGGGUCCUCGUCAAUCUGCAUGGUAUUAAUCGGCUCUAUUUCUUCAAUGCUUGGUCGGUCAAGGUGUUCGACCUAGAUGGAGUGUUUGAACUGGGUAUCCAGCGUUGAACCUUGGCUUGCCAGUGCGUCUGCAUGCGCGUUCUUUGCCCGGGACACUUGUUGGAUAGUGAAGGUAGGAAAUGCCUUCAACAGCUCUUGGACUCUAUCAAGGUAUAAGAUCAUCCUUGGGUGCUUUGCCAUAUAUUCACCUGAGGCUUGAUUCGUGAUCAACUGUGAGUUUGAGUAGAUGGCUAGCUUUUUGAUUGCGAGCUCCUUUGCCAAGCGUAAGUCGGCGAGUAAUGCCUCGUAUUCUACCUCGUUGUUCGAGACCGAGAAGCCAAGCGUAAUAGCUUGCUCUAACAGGGUUCUAUCCAGGGUGGUGAUAACGACCCCUGCUCCAGCUCCUUUUUGGUUCGACGCUCCGUCUACACGCAACUGCCACAUGUCUCUGGGAUGGCUUGGUUCUGCGGAGGUCCUGUCUGCUUUUGAACUUCCCUCCUUUUGGUUGACUAACUUCUCUUUUUUGGCUGAUGGGGUGAAUUCUGCGACGAAGUAUGCUAAAGCCUGGGCUUUUAUUGCAGUUUUUGGCCCGUAGAGGAGGUCAUAUUGGCUUAGCUCUAUAGCCCACUUCAUGAGUCGCUGAGAAGCAUCAGGGCUGUGGAGGAUUGAUCUCAAAAGAAAGUCAGUCAUGACUAUGACUCGAUGAGCUUAGUAGUAGGGUCGCAGCUUUCUCGCAGAAACUACAAGAGCCAAAAUAAGUUUCUCCAAUUUCGGGUAACGAGUCUCUGCAUCGAGGAGAGCUUUUGACGUGUAGAAUACCGGAUAUUGGGCCCCUAUCUCUUCUCGGAUGAGAGCUGAACUGACAGCUGAGUUGGACUUACCUCACUAGGGACUGGAUUUGAGAGCAUGGAAGGUGAGGUGAGGUAAGUCUUCAGAUUAUGGAAAGCUACUUUGCAGUCCUCAUCCCAUUUCUCUCUUUGUCCUUUCUUCAAAGCUUUGAAGAGUGGUCUGCACUUGUCGGUUGAUCUCGAGAGGAAUCGGUUGAGAACCGCUGCUUUGUCCGUCAGACUUUAUAUCUCUUUCACCGUGGAAGGCGACUUCAUCUCUAGAAUGGCUUUGAUUUGACGUGGAUGUGCCUCGACACCUCGUUGCGUGGCUAGGUAUCCCAAGAAUCGGCCGGAGGAUACACCAAACAGGCAUUUACUUGGAUUCAACUUCAUGCGAUACUGGCGGAGCAAGCUGAAUGAUUGGGUAAGACUUCCGAUGUGAUCUGCACGUUUUGGGGCUUUGACCAGCAUGUCAUCCACGUAGACCUUCAUAGUUUUGCCGAUCUGCUUAUUGAAGAUUUUAUUCCCGAGCCUUUGAUAGGUUGCUUUGGCGUUCUUCAGCCCAAAGGGCAUGACCUUAUAGCAGCAGGUCCCUCUCUCGAUGAUGAAAAAAGUUUUUGCCUUGUCAUCCUCGUGCAUCAGGAUUUGUUUAUAGCUGGACUAGGCGUCCAUGAAGCUAAGCAGUUGAUUGCCAGAAGUGGAAUCCACGAGUUGGUCGAUUCUCGGCAAUGAGAAGUUGUCUUUAGGGCAUGCUUUGUUGAGGUCUGUGUAAUCGACACAAACUCUCCAUUUGCCAUUUUCUUGUUUUGCCACCAAAACAACGUUGGCAAGCCACUCUGAGUAGGAGGCCUCUUCGAUGAAGCCGACAGCUAGGAGUUUGUCAAUCUCGGCCUCGAUGAUAGCAAGUCGCUGGGGUGCGAAGUUGCGUCUCUUCUGCGCCACUGGCUUGCAGGCAGGGUUGAAGUGGAGUCAGUGACAGAUGAUGUUCUUGUCGAUGCCAGACUUGUCUGACGGCAACCAUGCGAACAUGUCUCUGUUGCUCUGGAGGAAGGUGGUAAGCUCCACAUUCUCUUCUGGCCUUAGGCGCGAACCGAUCCACUCUUUCCUAUCUGGUUGGUCAGGAUCCAAGGGUAUUAACUCGACGUCCUCCUUGGGUUUCCAUCCUUCUUCAGGAAAGACCUAUGGACGGAUUUCCUCGACUUGGUCCUGACGCUUUAAUUGCUAUAAGAUAGCAAGAUCCAGUUGCUCAACCUCCUCCAGAUCUGCCUGGCUCACAGGGAGAAACUGCGCUUGUUUACCUUUCUUUAGCCCUUGGGCGGAGCAUUUCCUCGCCAUUGCCUAAUCGUUGUUGAUUUGGCCGACACCGCCCCCAAGGAUUGGGUACCGAAUUUUCUAAUGUGUGGCGGAGGUGAUUGCAUUAAUUUUGCCAAUCGAUGGUCUGCCCAGAAUGCCGUUGUAGGGUAAGACCUUAUUAAUGACCAUGAAGGUUAUGAGCUGAUUAUAAGUGGGGAGUAGACGUCGAGGUCUAUCAUGCCCACGGUAACCGUUGUUGCACCAUUAAAAUCGCUCAGCAACCUAGCUAAUUUGUAAAUCUUUGUCUCCAAUCCCAUCUGUUGAAUGACCUCCAGUUGCAGGAUAUUGGCUGCGCUGCCCUCGUCUGUGUGGAUUCAGUCUACCAUGACCUGAGCAAUUUGAAUGCUGAUGACAAGGGCUUCGUUAUGUGGCAUGUAGAGGCCGAUCAGAUCUUUCUUUUGGAAGCCGAUUACAGGAUCGUCUUCUGCUGGUGGAAGGUCGGUCGAGAUUUGGGAGAUCACAGUGGUCUGUUUGAUCUUCCUCUUUUUUUCCUUUCUGGUCAGCCCAGACUCCUCGGAGUCAGCUAGGAUUGUGUUAAUUCUUAUGACCUUCUGAGGCGGCUCCUUGGCGAUGUCACGAUCUUCUAUCCGCUGGAUGACCUUCUUUGCAAUGAAUUCUGUGCAGUGACCUUCUCUCACGAGUUCUUCAAGAUGUGCUUUCCAAGCGAAGCAGUUGUUCAUAGUGUGUCCGUGCAUUUCAUGGACGGCACAGUAUUUGCUAGUAUUCCUUUUGUCCGGAUCUUCUUUCAAGGGUGGUGGUCUUCUUACCCAAGGUUGUUCUUCACUUGGGCUAAGAUUUGAUGUAUGGAGAUGGUGAACUUGGUGUAGUUCUCUCCUGCCGUAGCAUCCCCUUAUGGGUGCGACCUGCGCUUGUCCUUGUCCCUGUUGCUAAAUCCGUCGCUUCUUUGGCCUGCCCCCUUAGUCGGCUGAUCUUCCUGCUUAGUAGAGUUCUUUGCGGCGAUUCGAUCGUCAUCCCAAAGCGCAUAGCUUUCCGCGGUCUCGUAGACCUCUGCCAAAGUUUGGCUGGGAGUGAUGGUCAGCUCGUGGUACAAGUCGUGCUCAGUCGAAAGGUCUUUCUUGAAAGCAGAGGACGCAAUUUGGUCAUCACAUCCUACAAUGUUGGCCUUUUCUACUUUGAAUCUCUUGAUGUAAUCUCUAAAGGAUUCGUCGAACUUCUUGCGCAGGUUAUACAGGUGGUCAGGGUUCUUCUUGAUUGUUCGGUAAGAGGUGUAUUCUUUGGUGAAUAAGUAAGUCAGCUCCUUGAAGCUGCUGAUCGACCUGGAUGGCAGAGUAUGGAACGAGUCUUGGGCUUCCUCACAAGGUCAUUGCAAACACCUUGCACAUCAGCGCGUCGUCAACCUUGUGGAGGAUCAUGACACUUUUGAAGUGUUUUAGAUGGCUCUCAGGAUCGGAAUCCCCCUUGAAGUGUGUGAAUGUGGGCGUUGAGAAUCGCUUCAGGAGAGCAGCCUGCUCGAUUUUGGCAGUGAAAGGUGUAGAGUAUGCCUGGUCUACCUCAUUUCGUACAUCUUCGAAAUUUCCACCGGUCUUCAAGUCUCGAAGUUGGUCAUUCACAAGCUUCUCUACGUCUUCCGCACACAUUGCUUGUCGGCCACAUUGGCGACCUUCACGAAUUGUUCGAUGCUGACUGACUUCCUCGUUGAUUUCCGAGGAUCGACCUUCUUGUCUGCAUUGCCUAGGUGGAGUGUUGGUGGAUUGCGCCUACGAAAGAUUCUCUGUGGCUUGUCAAUGAGAAUCGGUUCUUCGAGAGUGAGUAACGAAGUGCCUUUCCUCAUGGUCCUUAUUGUGAGGGUUAUCCAGCUGACCUCCCUGGGGCCUAGCCUUUCCUGAAUGCUUCUCUGCGAGUAGACAGUUGAAUGCUUUUCUUCACGAUCCUCGUUGUGAUGGUUGUUUGGCUGACCUCCUUAGGGUCUUAGCCUUUGAUGUACAUUUCCCUGCCUGCCCAAGUAGGUGCGGACGUCGAGUCGUGGGCCCAGCCUUUCGUGCACGUCGUUCCUUAAACUCAAUCUGCUCUGAGUGUGGCUUGCAGAUGCUUGCGACAUGUCGGCAGGUCGAUCACGUUGUUGUCCCUCGACUUGUCUGCCCACUCUUGCUUGACCUGCUUGGUACUCGUUGAGCUGUCUACCGGCCCGUUCAUCCUUCCUUCUUUCCUCGCCUGGUUGUCCAAGGCCAAGGUUUUGAGCAAAGCUUAUUUGGUUGAGGAGCUGCCUCAUUAGAUUGUUUUGGUCGUCCAUUCUUUAAGCUAGCUGGUCAACUCUCAGAUUAAGGUCUGCUUGAUUUCAUGGAUCAGGAGGAGAGAAGUGUGUGGAGCUCAACUGCACAUAGGCUAGGGUUUCAUUAGAGGUGUAUGCGGGAGCGUGUGUCGAGCGUGGAGGCAAUAGAGGGAAUGCUUGGAGUUGCUCCAAGACCGGCCCUAGGUCGGCGGUGGUAACGAGUCCACCUUGAUGGGAAGUUCCACCAUGUUUGGCGGCAGUGACCGAUGCAGUGGUGAGAGGUGGUGGUGCCACCAUGUCGAUCGCGGGAUCGUUGGUGGAGUGGCUUUGGGCCGUCGCAAAUCUAGCCAUCAUGGCGGCUUUGCCUCUCGUGUUCAUGCUUCCAACCAUGGUUGUUUGGAAGGCUUAGGUGGAUUGGAAAAUUAGAGGAACGGAUUCCUUGAGCACGCAUUGAGUAUAACUCGUGCUCUCAAUGAAAGCACCAAUUUGUGGGAGCAAAUUUCCCCACGAGAAUAUUCGGUUCGAAAGAUUCCCCUUUCUUAUUCGCCGCCUCUUUCUCCUCGCAAAAUAGAACAAAUAAGAGGACCACACCCGAGGGGUGUUGGCCAAAGGCCCUCCGAUGCCUAAAUUAGUUCAAGUAUUUGUAAGAAAAACACUAGCUAACUAGGGUAUGGAGAUGUGUUUAAGGUGUAAACCGGGCGGCCGGAACCUUAUGUAAAAGAGAGAGAGAAAUGAGGUGGCUAGGGUUUGAGAGGAAUUUUCUGCAGAGUUUUUAGUAGAGAUUUCAGACGUACCUCAACCAUUGUGUGUGGCCAUCUUUUUAUAGUGGUCUUGGAGGCUAGAGUUUCAGAGAAAUAAUUUCGUAGAUGGAAAGGAAUUAUUCCUCCCCUAUUUAGAAUUGAUUUGAUUAAUUACGGAUUUGAUUUAUUAGGGUAAAUCAAAUCCCUAAUUGUGGUAAGUAUCAAAUCAAAUCCUUUUUUAAUUAGGUAACUGCUCAUUUAAUUGACAAUUGUGGUAGGAAUCAAAUCAAUUCUCAACCUAAUUGGUAACGUUCAAUUUAAUUGGGUAAUUCCCAAUUAAAUUGAGUAACUCCCAAUUAGGUUGAUUAAUUCACACUUAGAUCAAAUAAUCCCCAAAUGGAAAGAAUUAUUUGACCUAAGGUAUGAUUUAAUUCGAUUCCCACAAUAUUUAGAUGCAUAAUUGAAUGCGAAUAAACAUCACUCUCUCCAGUGUGAAAUGGCGAAAAUUCUCUUCAAUCAAAAGUGGGCUUACUUCAAAUUUAGUUGAAGAAUGAUGGUGUGUCUUGCCUGACAAUUGACAAUUAGGUUUAGGAGCGUUCCUCUAGUAGAAAAAUCUAAAUCAUUUGUGGUCAUCCACUCACUUGGUUAGUCUUCCAGAAUCAAAUACCAAAUCAACCCAAAGGAAGCUGCAAUUUUCUGAAUUGUAUACUUGUUUUAAUUCUUCCUAUCUUUUUCUCUCUUUCAUUUUUUUUGUCUCCCUCAAGUUAAUACUUAAGUGAGUUGCCAAAUGGGGGUAAAAAAGAGAGUAGAAGAGAUGAACCCCACAUUUGACUUUAAUAGACAAAUGCCCAAGAGAAGUACCAGUAAGAGCAUCUCCAAUUGGGAGGUGCUAUCCUAUAAUUUGACACACAUUUCUUUUUUCUUUUUUUUCAAUUCUAACAACAUGUCAUCUAUAUCGCAAUAGGCCGUUGUAGUUAAAUUUUCAAAUAACCAAGUUGCUCUCUAUUUUCCAAAGAAGACUAGAAAACAACUUACCAUCUAUCUGGUGCUGCUUCUUCCAAACAUUAGAAAAAACAGAGCUACACCCAGGAGGAGCCCAGGAGAUGACACAAUACUGCCUACUAUGAUUCUUACUUUCUUCACAUUCAAUGAGACUAUAAAAUAUAACCCAAGUGGUCUAACCCCCCAGGGCGGAAAUUGGGUUUAGCAAGUUUAGCACUGAUUGUUGUAUAGUCUUAAACAGUCCUGAUCUCUUGGACCCCUGUAGUCCAAGAGAUUUAUGGUCACCCACCGUUGGAUGUAAAUUCAACGGUUGACUUGAAUCGGGUAAUAAUAAUUUAUGUCAUAUUGCAUUUAUAUAUAUCAUUUUGAACCAUUGGAUUAAUAUCCAACGGUGGGUGACCACAAUCUCUUGGACUCCUGUGGUCCAAGAGAUCGGGACUGUAGUCUUAAAAUAAGUAGUUUAGCGAGUGCAAACUUCGACUUAAAAAAACUCUCAUGUAUAGCCGCGCGGCUAUACUAUUUACAUAUAAAUAUAUAAAAAAGCACCCCCUAGUCACGUGUCACAAAUAGUAUAGUCGAAAACAGUAGAGCCGCGCGGCUAUACUGUUUUUAAAAUAAAAAAAACCAUAUUCGAUUCUCCUUAUAUUUAAAAGGGGUAUAGCCGCAUGGCGAUACUAAUUUUUUUUUUUCAAAAAAAGGGACCCCAGUACUCCUUUUAUAUAUUAUAAUAUAUUGUCUAAUAUUUGGAAUAUUUACUCUAAAAUAAACAAUAUAUUAGGUUCUUUUUGUCUACAAAUUGACCAUUAAACUUCUUAAUCACUCUUAUACUUUCAAUUAAAUCUACUAGGCUAGGUUAUGAUAUUUUCACUAAAAAACUCCUCCUUUUUUUCUUCUCUUUCUCUUCCUGUUUUGUUUAACUUAAGCUUAAGUUUUGUAAUUUUUUUUCCCGCCCUUUUUACAUGUUUGAGUAGGGUACUUUAAUAUUGGGAUUUAUGAACUUUUUUUGUAUUUCUUCUUUAUAUUGGAAUAUAAAUUAUUAACUUUUGAGUCUUUAAUAGUGUAGAUGAUGAGAUUAUUAUUCAACCAUUUUAUAAUAUGAAAUGAAGGACAAUCAUGAUUGUGAUGAAUGGAUUAUUAAUCAAUAUGAAAUGAUAUUAUGAAGUGGGCUAAAUCGAGUAGUUAGUAUCGUAUUGUUGAGACCCAAAAAAUCCAAGGCUAGGCCCAAAUAUAUUAUGAAGUGGGCUAAAUCGAGUAGUUAGUAUCGUAUUGUUGAGACCCAAAAAAUUCAAGGCUAGGCCCAAAUAUAUUUCCGGUCCAAUGCGAUACCUUACCGAGAAGAAACCUUAUUUGGGCACGCGAAAGUUCGUCAUAUGCUCUUGCACACAUGCCAUGCCAAGCAAAUAAGCAACAUGCCACGCUACAAGCUUAAGUGGGCCCAAGCCACGUGAAUGCCUAGGGCCUGCUGAGUGGGUUGUGGUAUGGAUGGUUAUGAGUAUUCACGAGGCCCAUUGAUGGUCUAAGGAGUGGAAGUUUUGGGCUACUUGGGAGCACCAAAACUCAAGCCCAUUCAUUGAGCCCAAACAUAUGGGUAAGCAUGAGAUAAAACCUAGUAGCCCAUCACCUUAAGAAAUCCUAAUAGCCCAUAACAUGUGAGAAAAUCCCACAUCAACCAAAGCUUCCAGCAGUCUGACGAAAUCAAAGGGAACUCACAAGCCGUUGGAAACAAAACAACCCAACACUGUAACACCCCGACCCCAAAUUUCCCCAAAUUUAACCCUUAUUUAAUUAUUUAAGGGUAUUUUAGUCAUAUUUUUAACCGGAGAGAGUUUGGGGCAAUGACUAGUAUUUUUGGAUAGGUCGUACUGAGACGAGUUUAUGGACACGCAGUGAGCUCGAAUCGGAGUUGUAACGAGAGAGAUAUGGUCAAAAGAAGCCCAGUGGCACAAUCGUAAAUAUUUUGAAAUGAGAUUUUUUAUAAAAAUCUGGUUUUCUCUCUCUCUCUCUCUCUCUCUCUCUCUCUCUCUCUCUCUCUCUCUCUCUCGCUAGCGACCUCUCUCUCUCUCCCCCGUCGGUCUCUCCCCUCUUUCUCCUCGUAACUCCGGCCACCGGCCCCGGCUGUGGACGGGGCCGGUACCAAAAUGACCGAGGCGUCGUCCUCUUCCUACCCCAGCCACCUCCCACCGCCAGCCGUCGCGGAUUCGCCGGAAUCUGGAGAUGAAGCGGCCUACGUCGUCCAAAUUUCAAAGCUGCCGAUCUCCCUCCUCCGGCCACCAAUUCCGUCGACCCAGGUAUGGAUUUUGAACUUCUCGAGCUGCUCUAGCUGAUGGUUGGGUAGGAUUAGAUCGAUUCUUAGCUUAGACAACUCGAUUUUCAAAUUGAAAAUCGGCCGAACUUCGGCUGCCGUGAUCGGCCAUUUCCGGCCACUUUUUGGGGUAGGUCCAAGAACAAAAGUGGCUCCAAAUAGGGUGUUAUACCUAGGGUAGGAGUUUGGAGCCGUGGUUUUGAGAUUUUCCGGCGAAGCGUUAUCGCUUUGGGCACCCACGCGCUGCCGGUGCGUGCGGCGGCGCGUGGGCACUGUAGAAAAAGUAGCACUGUGUUCCGAUGAGAUCCUUAGGUUGUCACGAGUGCGUAGGAUUUUGCGGAUCUCAAUUCGGACGUCGUUUGACUAUCGAACGGAUAUUCGCAUAUUGCGCGUUAUUCGGGUUCGAUAGGUUGGGACCGUUGGAUGGACCCAAAUUUAAUAUAUGUUAAUCUAAUUAAUUCUAGGAUCGUGUAGGAAUUCACGGAUUGUGAAUCGGAGCCCCGGAUGUUCCGAAUAAUAAUUUUAAAGUUUGUAUUUUAUAUUAAUUGUCAGAUCGUGCGAUCGUGAGCAAUCUGACCGUUCGAUCUGAACCAAACUUGCAGGACAAGUGUCCUAUACCUUGUAGAACCCAUAGGGACCUUCGGAUCGGAAAUUGGAGGUCGUGGGUUCCGCAAGUCGGUUUGACCAGGGUUAGAGAAGUUUGACCCUUGGUUGACCGUGAGUCUCCCGGAGUAAUCUCACCUUUCUAGGGGAGAUUAUCGGGUACUAGAUGAUUGUGGACACAAUAUUAGAAUUAAUUUAUAUAAUUAUAAUUAUAUAUGGUUGUACAAGGGUACAACAGAGUCUAGAAUGUCAGUUUGGAGUGCUAUACGCACUACUUUAGGUACCUCCCCGGAUGUUGGGAUUUACUACAAGUACCACCAAGUGAAAUUGAGGUCCCGCGUGGCGUAGGUUAUCCAGCGUUGGGAUAGGUCUCAUACGUGGGGUUGGUUGUACCGGCGUAUGGGGAGAUUUGUGAUAUUAUGUUCAGGUCUCACGUGGCGUAGGUUAUCCGGCGUUGAGACAGGCCCCAUACGUGGUGUUGGUUGUACCAGCGUAUGGGGAGCUAUGUGAUAUUGUGUUGAGGUCGCACGUGGCGUAGGUUAUCGGGCGUGUCGACAGACCCCAUACGUGGCGUUGGUUGUACCGGCGUAUGGGGAGAUUUGUGAUAUGAAAUUGAGGUCCCACGUGGCGUAGGUUAUCCGGCGUUGGGACAGGCCCCAUACGUGGCGUUGGUUGUACCGGCGUAUGGGGAAAUAUGUGAUAUGAUGGCAUGGUCGCACGUGGCAUAGGUUAUUCGGCUUGUUGACAGGCCCCAUACGUGGCGUUGGUUGUACCGGCGUAUGGGGAGAUUAUUUGAAAUGCAGAGAAACGAAAUAUGGUAUCGCCCAAAUGUGGAAUUGGGUUUUAGGGAAGAACUACGUGUGGCUUGAUCCCUCAAGGAGGGUACGUAGGCAGCCUAAGGUUAAUAGGUGCAGCCGCAGACUAAAUGUUAGUCAUAAUUGAUAUUUGAAUUGUUUGGUAGUUGGUUAAGAAUUAUUGGAAGGCCGAAGGCCAUUUGUGUGAAUUGCAUGAAAUUAUAUUGUGCAUGCUGCCAGUUGGGAAUAUUAAAUGCGUUUUUAUGCAGGUAUAAAUUUUAGGAAAUGUCCAAUUUAUAGGGGAGACUCUGCCGAAUUUUCGGCAGGAAGUCUCAGUUUUUAGUAUCUGGGCCUGGCAUCGGGAGGAUGUCGGGAAUUCCAAAGGGUCGUCUCGAGUUCUGAAAAAUUCGGUGCGGGUCCUUUCAAACACCUUAUAAAAUAUCCAACGCCGUGCAUCUCUGUUAAAACCAGAUCACAGCCAAACCACCAAAACCAUGCAAACCCAUAUGCUGAUCACCAUUUUUACUAGCACCCUUACCCAUUCUUUCCUCUUCAAGCUUUGGUGAGAAAACAAGAAACAAAAGUGGGCGGAUCUUCACCCACAUGGAGAAAUCCAGCUGCCUGAGGGCCCUGGAACUCCAAAAAACUUCUUACCUACAUGCUCAGGCUAGGGAAGUUUCACCAAAUAAGCAAGAAUGGAAGAAAGUGAAGGAAAAGGGGAAAGGGUGGCUUGACGAAAUUAAGGUUUUCAGCACUUAUAAAAGGAAACACUUUCUAUCCAGCAAAAACAACUCACCCUGGUUGCUGCAAGCCUCCUAGCAACCAUGAGAAUUCAUUGAAGGCAAGCAUCCCCUUUGGAACCCUUCAAUUUCAUGCUUUGUUCUUCCAUCUUCCUCCUUUCUCUCUCUCUCAAAACCCACAUCCAGAGAGAGCAAGCAUCAUCUCUCAUCUUUGGAACCCUUCGAUUUGAAGCCUUGUUCUUCCAUUGCUUCCCAUUUUCUCUUCUGUCAAAUCACCUAGGAGCUUGACGAAACUUUCGUCAAGCUGCUGGAAAUAUGGUAAAGCCACCCAUGCUUCCAUCUUCUUCCUCUCUUUCCAUAAACACACAUCCAAAGAGCAAGCUUCAUCUCUCAUCCUCUAAACCUCUGCAAUUUCAAGCCUCAUUCCUCUAUCUUCUCCCAUUUUCAGCGGUAGUGAGAAUGAUUUCUGCGUGUGCAUGGGAAGGAUUGUAACUCAGAUGAGGAGGAGAUGGUUUGGAGUGGGGUGAGGCAGUUGGAUAGAGCUCUUGGCCUUUUCAAGUUUGGAUGGGAAAGAGCAGGGAUGAAAGAAGCUUUACAACUGCAAGGGCAUAUAUGGUGCGUAGGGGCUGAAGGCAGAACACUUACAUAUAGAGGAAACACAUUUUUUGUCCAUGGGAUUCAUGUUUGACAAACACUUGUCUUAGACUAUGAGUUCAAAUUUCAAAACCUUUUUUUUUUCUUUCUGAAAUCAGGACCAGUGUGGAGAACUAGCAAGGAUUGGAGAAACAGAUUUUUGGGCGUCACUUGACCACAGAUUGUUGAUUGCUCAAAUGUGUAGAAUUGGCCAUCUUAAAUGUCAAAAUGAUUUAUCAAUUGGGGUUUUUUUAGAAACGUUUAUGUUUGUCAAUAGAGACAGAAGUCAGAGAACAUAAACCUUUCUCAGCAAAUUGAAAUUCUCAGUGCAUGCUCUGUUCUUCCAUGGCUUUCAAACCUUCUCUGCCACGGUGAAAUGGAUCGAUAGAGAUAGUUUAGGCCGUUCCAUUUGUUUGAUGAAGCAUUCGUUCUAGGGAUUCUGUAUAUUCAUAACAAAAUCACUAGAAUGAUUCUUAGAAAUUCAUCACUGCUAAAGGCAAUGGGUUCAGCAUAAUAACUUCUUAGUCUUGCUUCUUGGUCCUUUAUUUUCUUUGCAUAAUACUCCAAGUUUACCUGGGUUCUACAGAGAAAAUCUCGUAGAUACCUCUUUUUGUGGUCUUCCAUGGCAUUUAAGUGCUGCUUUCCAUGGUGAAGUGGGCCUAUAGAGACUACCUGAGGUGUGUAGGCUUUGUCAUUUCCACGCCGUAAUCGCUCAGGAACUCUGUAGAUACACCUUCAAGGGGGACAAGGGAGACAAACUAUCCAAUUCCUUGCGCCUUACAAAUAGAUCGCAUGGGUUUUCUAUUUCAUCUGCAGCUUCAUCAAUUCCUUCCAUUUUUCUCCUGAUCAUCAUGCGCGGUGAUUCAAAUAUUUCAUAAUGAACAUUGAAAUGAGAUGCUACAAGCAAACUUAUGAAAAGAAACAGAAAUACCAAAAAGACAAAUCAAUGUAGAUGGUUUAGAAAAUCUAAACAUUGCAAUUAUACUCCUUUGCCCAACUUCUAGGAGCAAACGUACACAAAGACCUUAUUGCUUCCAACUUUUCCAACAGAAUUUCAUAUGAAUUGCUCCAAGUGAAAUCCGUAUGAAAAAUCGGUAGUUGGAUUUUCAUCCUGCUUUAAUAUGAUUAUUUAACUUCUAACAAAAAAACUCUUAUUACUUGAGCAAGUAAAAUACUAUUCCAGGUUUCUCCUAGUUCUAUAUGCGCUUAUAAUUGGUAUACUCUAUAAAUACCAUAAUCUGAAUUUCUCUGUUUUGAUUACUUUAAUUUAUUACUUAUGUUUUAAUUAUUGUUUACUUAGUGAAUUAUUAGUAUUUAAGAGAAGGCCUUCCAUCGAUUAGGCACCACGUGUCUAUAAUAAGUAAAGCCGUCCGGCUAUACUUAAAAAAAAAAAAAAUUGUAGUAUAGCCGACCGGUAUAGCCGCGCGGCUAUACUAUUUAAUACAUUAUAUUUAAACGGUAUAGCCGCGCGGCUAUACUAUUUAAUAAAAUAAAAAACAAAAGAAAAAGAAAAAUUACCCUCCUAUUUCAUUAGUUUGUACUUUAUAGAUACUAGCCCCUUGACACAUGCUCACGCAUGUGCCAAUUGGUUUUCUUUUUCUUUUUUAUUUUUAUUUUUAGAAUUAAGAAAAAAUAACAGGAUAGUUAUGUUCCAUAAAAGUAGGACCUAUUAUCUUAUUUUGUUUUUAAUUUUAAUUUUUUUAAUAUUAAAAAAAUAUGAAUUUACGAUAUUAUCCUCAUUUAAUUAAUAAUUUCAAUUCUUAAUGUUUGAAUUAACAAAGGGCAUUUUCUGGUAUUUUGAAUGUUUCACCAUUCUCUGCCUUUUGCUUUAUAUAUAUAGAUUAAUUUGCCAGUUUCAAGAUAUCCAAAGUACAUAUUAGACUUUCACUAUAUAAAUUUCAAUAUAUAUUUUUUAUAACAUGUGUUGUUCUUAUUCAAUAAUAUGUGAGAAUUAUUUGUAUAAUACGUGAAUUUUGUGUGUCUUACUGAAUUUUUUUAAAUACGUGUAUUAAACGUUACAAAUACGUACAUAUAUGUACAACACGACUAUUGUAAGUUUGCUAUAUAAAAAAAAGUGAGAUGUAUCUAGAACACGAAUGUAUUAUCGAAAAAUAUAUAUGUAUGUAUAUAUAUAUAUAUAUAUGUAAAAGCCUAUAGCCUCUCACCUAUACUAUUUAUUAAAGACAAUUUAAAAAUUACAACAACAAAAAAACCAGUACAGCCACAAAGCUAUACUAUUUUAAAAAAAAAAAAUAGAAAAAAUAUCAAGUACUACACAGGGCAAAGGCCCAGUGUAAAAUAGUAUAGCCGUACGGCUAUACGUUUUUAAGAAGAAUUUAAAAAACUAAGUAUAGCUCACCGACUAUACUAUUUUUUAAUAUAAAAAAACAACCCCAUCCAUUAGGCGCCACGUGUCAACAGAAGUUUAUUUUUAAAAAAAAAAAUUAAAAGACAAGGAGUAUAGCCGGGUGGUUGUACUAUUUUUUUAUUUUAAAAAGAAGACAGUCCAUCGAUUAGGCGCCACGUGUCCAUAAUAAGUACAGCCGCUCGGCUAUAUGUUGGAUAUUUUGAAACUAGCAAAUUAAUAUCAAUAGCCGGUCGUAACCUAUGCUGUCCACGUCACUCAUGUUUUACCAGAGUUAAAGCAUCCACAAUGAGCUCCCCAAACCAUCUCUUUAGACAAAUUUUAGGGAGAAAUUGGAAAAGUACAACUCCAACCAUGCUCCCUAUCCACCAACUAAAAUAGGGAGACCUCUAGGAGCUCCUAAAUCUGAGGAGAGGGAAAGGACUCUUAGUGACUCCCUAUAAUUUAAUGUUGCUUUGUUUUAUGCAUAUUUUAAACUUUUAAUUAAAUCAAAUUAUUAUUUUAUAUUAUUUUGUAUACAGAUGGACCAAUUAUAUUAAAUUAAAAAAUAAUUAAAGUAUUUGUGACUCUCUAAACUAAGGAGUAUGAUUAGAGUUCAAAUUUUAUAAAAAGCUCUUAAAAUAGCUUUUGUGUGUUUUUAGCUAAAUUUUAACUAAAAAAUUUGAAGAUUCUUUAUUUGGGUUUCUUUCAAGACGAAAACCAUAUCCACAACAGACAUCUUUGGCUGUUCAUCACAAUUGAGAGACAAUGAAGAAGACAUAAGGGAGAGGCUGCCAAAUACUUAUCACCUUAGCCACCACCAACACCACAAGACCAAUAUGUGUAGGCCAGGAGGCUUUCCAAUUUUAAUAUAUAUAUAUAUAUAUAUUAAAAAAUAAAAUAAAAAUCAAUCUAUUAUCAUAUAUAUUAUAAAAUAAAGAUUAUUGCUCCAUCCUCCAUGCACUUGCGUGCCCUCUUACAAAGUAUGAAGUAGAUUUUGUUAGCUGGAUUUAUAAGAUCUUUUGUUUUUUGGAAAUUUUCUGAAAUAAGGAAAAUCAAGUAAAAUUAAUAAAGCAUAAAUUGGAAAGGGAAAAUAUCUAGAGGAUGCAUUGUAGGAUUGCUCAAGCCAAUAAUUGUACCCUCUAAAUAUAUAGGGACAUAUUUUUUUUGUUUUCAUGACAUGUCGUCCUAAAAUUAUUGUUCUUAGCGGGCUCUCCACCCCCUCUCGAUUGAAAACCUAUUGUGUAAAUCUUCAAUCCUGAAUUAGAAAAGUACAACUCCAACCAUGCUCCCUAUCCAUCUCCUAAAAUAGGGAUACCUCUAGGAGCUCCUAAAUCUGAGGCGAGAGAAAGGACUCUUAGUGUCUCUUUAUAAUUUAAUGUUGCUUUGUUUUAUGCAUAUUUAAACUUUUAAUUAAAUCAAAUUAUUUUUUUAUAUUAUUUUGUAUACAAAUGGACCAAUUAUAUUGAAUUAAAAAUAAAUUAAAGUAUUUAUGACUCUCUAAACUAGGGAGUAUGAUUGGAGUUCAAAUUUUAUAAAGAGCUCCUAAAAUAGCUUGUGUGUGUAGGGGUCUUUUUCUUCUGGCAACUACAGAUGGGUUGGGCUACCGUAAGGAGCAAACUGAAGAAAAUAUCCCCUGUGUCUGAGUUCAAAGAUUCGGCCCCAAAAUAUUUCGAAAAGGCAGUAAAGCCUUAGGAAACACCUUAGUUACCUUCACCAACGAAAAUGACGGCUGCUUACAGGUAGAUUCUUAGUGCUUACAGAUGAAUUCUUAGCUUAGCAUGAGGAGAUCGUGGCAUGGAAGCAAAGUUAGCAUGAGUUUAGCACUAAAGAGAAAAUUAUGUGUUCUUGGGAGGAAGAAGGGGUGUCCAGGUAAAUGGGAAAAGGUUUUGCAAGUAGAUUUGGCUAAGAGAGAAGGGAGAGAGAGAAGAGGGUGGCUAGAGUGCUUCUUCCGGCAGCUUGACAGUGACUCUGUCAAAUGUUAGAGCAAUCUGCCAUAAGAGGGAAAAUGGGGAAGAAGGAUGAACAGUGCACAAAAUUGCUAGGUUUUUGCAAGUAAGAGAGGAAGCUUGCUCUCUGGAUGUGGAUGAUCCGUUGGGUAGAAGAGGCCCCAUUUUAUAGCCGCUGGAAACUAUCAUUUCUCAAGAAACCCUAAUAGUUUCUACCCAAUUUGGUCAAGCUUUUCCCUUCCUUUCUCAUCUCCUCCCUUGACUUUUCCUAUCUUGGUGAAAUUUCCUCUGUCUAUUUGCACAAAAUCAGGAGCUCAAGGCCUCCCUUUCCCGCAACUGUUCAAUGGGAGACUCCAUUCUUAGCUAUUUUUCUUCUUCUUUCCUUCCUCCUUCCCUGACCAAAUCUGAUGAAGGAAAGCAAAUAGGUGCACACAUUGGUUUGAAGGGUGCUUCUCCUUCUAGCAGCUUACAUGCCAAUAUCCCUUGGGUCCUUGCAUGUUUUUUGCUUUGAAACUUGUUUCUUCCUUCCCGUCAACUCACGUGGUCUUCCAUGCUUCUUCAUGGCUUUAUCUUUCAGCCAAAAGAUGGAGUUUUUACUGCUUGCUACUUUUAAUUGUAUGGGUCUUCUAGGAUAGGAAGUCAACCUACCAAACAAAUGGGCCACCUUUAUCAAAUAUUGGGCUGUUGGGGUUAGUUUUAGUGGGCCAUUUUGACUGGGCUUUUUGGUUGGGUUAUUUAAGUUAUUUUCCCUUUUGUGCUCACCCAUGUAUUUAGGCCUAAGAAAUGGGCUUGGGCUCCGAGUCUCCCAAGCAACCCGGAACCUCCAUUUCUUGGCCCAUUAAUGGGCCUCAUGACAACCUAUUACCAUCCAUACCACAACCCACUCAAGCAAGCCCCGGGCAUUUGAAUGGCUUUGGCCCACUUUAGGCUUGUAGUGUGAUUGGGUGUGGCAUAACGAUUUCUCGCUUGGCAUGGCAUGUUGCUUGGCAUGUUUUUUCAUUACGAUGCUUGAUGGAUUUGUAGAGCUACCUAUUUUUAUGAUCUUAAUCUUGAUUCCUAGCAUGACAAAUUUAUUUAUUUGGCAUGGCAUGCGGAGCGUGACUUGUGCGUGGCGAGUUUUGUAUGCUCCAACUUGGGCCUUUCCUAAAUAAUGUAUCAUUUUGGGUUAUGAAUUCUUUCGGGCCCAACCGUGAAUUUUUUGGGUUUCAACAGUGUGUUUUUAGCUAAAUUUUAACUAAAAAAUAGGGAGCAUGAUUGUAGAUCAUCUUAUAUACCUUAAUUUGAAGAUUCUUUAUUUGGGUUUCUUUCAAGAUGAAAACCAUAUCCACAACUGGCAGACAUCUUUGGCUGUUCAUCACAAUUGAGAGACAAUGAAGAAGACAUAAGGGAGAGGCCGCCAAAUACUUAUCACCUCAGCCACCACCAACACCACAAGACCAAUAUGUGUAGGCCAGGGGGCUUUCCAAUUUUAAUAUAUAUAUAUGGAGUGAAAAAAAUAAAAUAAAGAUUAUUGCUCAUCCUCCAUGCACUUGCAUGCCCUCUUACAAAGUGUGAAGAAGAUUUUGUGUGCUUCAAGUCAUUGACUAGAGCUGAAACAUGGUUAGCUGGAUUUAUAAGAUCUUUUGUUUUCUGGGAAUUUUCAGAACCAAGGAAAAUCAAGUAAAAUUAAUAAAGCAAAAUGGAAAGGGAAAAGAUCUAGAGGAUGCAUUGUAGGAUUGCUCAUGCCAAUAAUUGUACCCUCUAAAUAUAUAGGGACAUAUUUUUUUUGUUUUCAUGACAUGUUGUCCUAAAAUAUUUGUUCCUAGCGGGCUCUCCACCCCCUCUCGAUUGAAAACCUAUUGUGUAAAUCUUCAAUCCUGAACGAUGCUCCUAAAACUCAAGUGUCCCAGGCCAAUUAUUGCUCUCAUACCACUUGUUGCAAUACACAUCCACUCAUUCUCAGGGAAAGAAACCCAUCGAUAUUAUCUCAAAUUUAACCACUUUAGUCUAUUAUGAUUAACUAUGUAUUUUAUGGAUCAAUGCAGUUGUGAGGUUUUAUACCCAAUUAGAUCGACCAAUACAGAGAUCACAUGUGGACUGAAAAGCGCCAUCGGUAGGGGAGUGUUUGGCACCCUUUACUGCCGAGUGCAACACAAGACCCCUUACCAGGAACUUAUCUACUAGGACACGUGAAGCCACCACAAGUAAUAUCAACAGUCCCACAUCGAAGUUUAACAUAACAUGUACACUCCCCAGGACUGAUAAAAGUGGGCACAAGUCCCAAAAAUGGGGGAACUUGGACUUUCAGCAAUUCAUCCAUUAUUAUGUCCAAAUUACUAUACACUCCGUACUUAUUCUUACUUAAGCAUUGGAGAGCCUUCGGCCGGUACCACACCAGUGCCUAAGGGCUUACCGAGCGUUCUCUAUCUUGCAUAUUGAUCGCUCUACUGAAGCCCAUAAAGAGUUAAAGGUCAAGACAUCACUAAGUUGAGCCCAAAAGUGCUGAACCACAUCAAAAAUAUGUAUAGAUUGAAAAAAUAAAAUAAAAAUCAAUCUAUUAUCAUAUAUAUUAUAAAAUAAAUAUUGGAUAAAUUACUCAAAUGGUCCUCAAACUUAUACUCGAUUUACAUUUUGGUCUCUCAAUUAAAUUAUUUGUUCAAAUGGUCCAUCAACUCUAUAUUAUUUCUGCAAAAUCUACAAAGUGGUGGGAGGCAGACCAACAAAAAAAAUUAGCGAAGGCUUAUAACUCUGGUAAAACAAGAGUUACUUGGAUAGAAUAAUGUUACGUCGUACUGAAGAUUUUUGGGUUUCUUUAAUUGGUUAAGUGAAGAUUCUUUAUUUGGGUUUCUUUCAAGAUGAAAGCCAUAUCCACAACCACAACCACAACUGGCAGACAAUCUUUGGCUGUUCAUCACAAUUGGGCGACAAUGAAGAAGACAGAAAUUGGAGUACUGUAUGUUAUCACCCACACCACAAGACCAAUAUAAGGAGGAUGGGGAGGCUGCGGAAUACUUAUCACCUUAGCCACCACCUACACCACAAGACCAAUAUGUUGUAGGCCAGGAGGCUUUCCAAUUUUAAAUUAGAUAAAUCGGAAACUGUUUCGAUAUCCAAUUGUAUUCUAUAAAAUCAAUGAACACGGUGCUUCAAGAAAGUAAUAAAAUUUCAAUAAUUCAAUUGAGUGGUCAAAUUCAAGUGAUUUUUUGUAGUGAUGAUCUUUGAAUGAGUAUCUAUAAAAGAGACGGUUUGGAUUAGUGAAAUACAAUAUGGAGUGGGCCCUACCAGCAAUCCACGACAAAAUGUCUGCAAGCUUUCGUAAUAUAAGGAGGAUGGGGAGGCUGCGCAAUACUUAUCACCUUAGCCACCACCUACACCACAAGACCAAUAUGUUGUAGGCCAGGAGGCUUUCCAAUUUUAAUAUAUAUAUAUAUAUAUAUAUAUAUAUAUAUAUAGGGAUGUGAUUUCUCUACUCCCCUUUUCUCUACUUAUACUCCCUUUUGCUUUUAAAUACUUUUUAAUCAAUUUUUUUUCCGCUUUCCUAUUAAUAUUCUACCAUUUCCCUACAUUAAUUUCUUUUUACUUCACUUUUAUAUUAGUUCUUUUUCUUUAUACUUAAUUUUUCAACUUGCACUCCAUUUUCAUUAUUUUUUUCCUAAUCGAGUAAGAAAUUAAGUUUUUUUUCCCCAUUUAAUACUGAAAAUGGAGUGUAAGUUAGAAAAUUAGGUAUAAAGAAAAAGAAAUAAUAUAAAAGUAAAGUAAAAAAGAAAUUAAUGUAGGGUAAAGGUAGAAUAGAAAAGAGAAUGAACAAAAUUGAUAAAUAAAUAAAAAAGGUUUAAAAAGCAAAAAGGAGUGUAAAUGGAGAAAAGGGGAAUGAGGAAAUCAGCUCCAUAUAUAUAUAGAUUGAAAAAAUUAAAAUUAAAAUCAAUCUAUUAUCAUAUAUAUUAUAAAAUAAAGAUUAUUGCUCCAAGGAAAUGACAUCUUUUGUUUUCUGGGAAUUUUCUGAACCAAGGAAAAUCAAAUAAAAUUAAUAAAGCAUAAAUUGGAAAGGGAAAAGAUCUAAAGGAUGCAUUGUAGGAUUGCUGAUGCCAAUAAUUGUACCCUCAAAUUAUACAUGGACAUAGGGGUGGGCAUUCAAAUAGGCAAACUAGAAAUCCGAGCUGAACCGCACCUAGGAAAACCGGAAAAAAAACCGAGUUGACCAAAAAGUCAACAACUGGUCAAAAAUCGAACCGGACCGAUUUGGACUGGUUUUGGAUUCAGUUUAUAUGCAAUGCUACAUUUUUAGUCUCAUAACUAAUAUUUAUCCAAGUUCAAUUUCAAAACAUCUUUCUUUUUUAGCUUUAAUAUUUAUUUUUAUAUGAAAUUAAAUAAUUUAUUAAUUUUCAAGUAAAUAAAAUAAAAUUUCAGUUGAAAUUUAUAUUAAAAAAAUAAUUUUAAUAAUCCAGUUCAAAACCAAACCGGACCAUCCAGCUGUGAGGUACAUUUCUCCCACAUGCCACAAUUGUAUAUUCACAAUUACGUCUGAUACAUCACAUCAUGCCACUUGCCUCAAAUGAAUUUAAGUGAGUGUGGCAGUGGAAAGUAAUUAAGCUCUAUAUUGGUGGGUGGACUGUUACUUCUGGGUUCCCCUCAUCAUUCGUCUAUAAAAUGGUGAAGGCAGUUGCUAUUGUUACCAUAAGAGCCAGCUCCGACUUCCUUUAAUUUCUUGCUUCAUAUCCACUAGCUACAUCUGUUACCAAGUUAAUUUCAGUCCUAAUGGGGUUUCAUCUCCCACUCAUCUUUGCUCUUCUCAGUGUAAGCUCUGCAAUUUGAUUAACUUUUCCAUUCUCUCUCAUUGUACUCUAUAUAAACGAAAGUUUUGUGUUCCUAUAAUUCUCUCCGAUUUUAUUUAGUACGUACUUAAGUGUCGUCCACUAAUUAAUUACACUUUGUGAUUUGAUUUUAAUUUGAGUUCGAAUUAAUGUUGCAGCUAGCAGCAGUGGCACUGGCAAACCAUGCUGCUCAACCAGCACCUCAACUUUACUGGAACUCCGUCCUGCCAAACACACAGAUGCCAAGAUCUAUCAGUGAACUUCUGCAUCCUGGUUUGUGUUGAGCUCUUUAGAAUCUUAGAUAUCUCUUCUACCUGCCAUUUUACUAAAAUAUGUUCCACCACAUAUUUAUCAGUUAACCACUGUUAUUACAUGAGUGACACAUAUUCACAAAUCGGCUGAUCACUUAUUUUCCAUUAUGACGUUGAUAUAUAAUUUGCAGACUCCACAAAUGAAGAAAAGAGCACAAAUGACGUUGGCAAACCUGAAACUUUCCCAUUGGGCAAUAAACAUUACUCCAGUCAAAAACAUUAUGGAAGAGGCAAACCUGAAACUUUCCCAUUGGGCAAUAAACAUUACUCCAGUCAAAGACAUUAUGGAAGAGGCAAACCUGAAACUUUCCCAUUGGGCAAUAAACAUUACUCCAGUCAAAGACAUUAUGGAAGAGGCAAACCUGAAACUUUCCCAUUGGGCAAUAAACAUUACUCCAGUCAAAAACAUUAUGGAAGAGGCAAACCUGAAACUUUCCCAUUGGGCAAUCAGCAUUACUCCAGUCAAAAAAAGUAUGGAAGAGGUGCUUCUCCAUCCGACAAUCAACCACCAAUUCCAUAGAAAUUCAAACACGGCUACUUUCUUGCCACGAGAAAGCGCUCAAUCGAUCCCCUUCUCCUCUAACAAACUACCAGAAAUUUUCAACCAUUUUUCAGUGAAGCCAACAUCUGAGGAAGCCAAAACAAUUAAGCAAACAAUCGAAGAGUGUGAAGCUCCAGACCUUAAGGGAGAGGAAAUAUAUUGCGCCACAUCUUUAGAAUCAAUGGUUGAUUUUAGCACUUCGAAGCUUGGAACAAGAAACGUUGAAGCAAUCUCGACGGAGGUAUUGGAAAAAGGAGCCACCAUGUCCAUCCAAAACUAUACAACAAUGCCGGGACUGAAGAAGUUGGCAGGUGACAAAGUCGUUGUGUGUCAUAAGCAGAACUAUCCCUAUGCUGUGUUUUUCUGCCAUGCAAUAAAACAUACAGCAGCUUAUGCUCUCUCCCUGAAAGGCGAUGAUGGGGAGAAGGUUAAAGCAGUAACCAUCUGCCAUCUAGACACAUCAGAAUGGGACCCAGAGCAUAUGUCCUUCAAAAUCGUCAACGUUAAGCCCGGAACCAUUCCCAUCUGCCAUUUCAUUUCCACUGAUGCUAUUGCCUGGGUUCCGAACCACAAAUCUGCAUGAUCAUCACUUAGCACUAGUACUGUGCGUAUAAUAUGCCUGUAUAAUUAUCUCCCUACUUAUUUCUGCCUGUUCAUCAUGUGGUGUAAGAUAUAUGUUGAGAUGAAGUUUUUGGGAUUAGUGGUCGAAAUUAACCCGAUCAUGUUUUCUCUUGUAACUAUAUAGACUUCAACUUGUACUCAUAAUAAAGCAUGCUAUAUUUAUGAAGAGAUAUUAAUCUUCAGGCAAAUAGAUAUUAUGAAAACAUAUAUAGCAAUUUAUCCAGAAGAAAUAUUAUGAAAUGAAAAGAAUAAAAAGUAAAAAAACAGAAGGAAAGGAAUUCGCACCUGCUAUGUAUGAAAGGACCAAGAUUGUUUUCCCUUUGGUUAAUGACUAGAAAAGCUCACUUGCAGAUUGCUUUCUCUGACCGUAGAUGCAACAGAAAUUUUCUCUUAAUAAUAGCACAAUGAUCGGGUAAUUGUAAGAACAAGUUGAUUUAAAAUUCCUUGACCCAAAAAAAAAAAAAAAAUCAUUUCAAAUUCAGGUCAACCCAUAGAUUUCUUGCCUUUUUCUUCUUCAUCACGUUGGGCUUGUCUUCUUCUUGAGGAUUGUAUAGGCCCAGGAAAUGCUUUGAGGUAGUUUUUGGCCUUGGAAGUUGGGACCCAACCCAACUUCACAAAAAGAAAACAGAUUUGCCAAAAAUCAAAUUUCAAGUCUCUCCUCAGAUCACUAAUACAGAUCAAAUUUUGGAUUUGAUGAACUAAAGUGGUUUUACUUUCUCUGUCAGUGUUUGAUGACUUAAUUUGUUAUUUACUUCUUUUUUUUUUUUUACUUGAUCUUUGUAGGGGUUUUUUUCUUCCGGUAACUUAAACGGGCUGGGCUGCCGUAAAGGGUAGAUUGAUGAAAUUGUCUCCUUUGUCUGAGUUCGAAAAUCAAGCCCCAAAAGCGCUUCGAAAGGGCAGUAGAGCCUUAGGAAGCGUUCUAGUCAUCUUCACCAACUAAAACAACAGCAACUUACAGAUGAUUUCUUAAGGCUUACAGAUAAAUUUUCUAGCUUGGCAUGAGAGGCUUGUGACAUGGAAGCAAAAUCAGCAUGAGUUUAGCACCAAAGAGGAAAAUAUGGCUUCCUAGGGAGAAAUGGGAGUGUUUAAGGUGAGGAAGAAGAGGUUUGCAGGCUGAUUUGGCUGAGGAGAGAGAAAGAAAGAACAAUGUUCUUCCAGUAGCUUGACAAAGCUUCUGACAGAUGUGAAAGUCGUCUGCCAUAAGAGGAAAAUGAAGAAGAAUGGUGAAUAGUGCAUGAAAUUGCUGGGUUUUUGCAGGUAAGAGAGAAAGCUUGCUCUCUGAAUUUGAGUUGGUUUUUGGUUGGGUAGAAGAGGCCCCCUUUUAUAGCUGCGGGAAACCAUCUUUUUUCAAGAAACCCUAAUGGUUUCUAUCCAUUUUGGCCAAGCUUUUCCCUUCAUUUCUCUUCUCCUCCCUUGACUUUUCCUAUCUUGGUGAAAUUUCCUCUGCCUAUUUGCACAAAAUUAGAGAUUUUGAGGAGCUCAAGACCCCUUUCCCGCAGCUGCCUCAGUGGAGAAUCCCCAUUUUCAGUCAUCUUUCUUCCUUCUUUUCUCCCAUCUUCCAAGGUUAGGUCUGAUGAGGGAAAGAAAUGGGUAUGCACACUGGUUUGAAGGGUAUUUUUGCUUGAAACUUGUUCUCUCCCAUGUGCUGGAGCUUCCCAGCAACUUACACACAUGGAUAUUUUGGCUUUCAUCGUGGCUUUUGUUUUCAGCUAGGUGCUGGAGAUUUCGCAGAUAUUUUCAUGAGUUGCUUGGGCCUUCUAGGACAAUAGGUUGGUUUAUCAAGUGAAUGGGCUAACUUCAUCAAUUGUUGGGCUAUUUUGGUUGAGUUAAUGGACUAUUUUGGUUGAAGUAAUGGGCUAUUUUGGUUGAAUUAAUGGGCUAUUUUUCUCUCUUUGUGCUCACCCACAUAUUUGGGCCUAAGAAAUGGGCUUGAGUUCCGGGGCUCCCAAGCAACCCCGGGACUUCCAUUUCUCGGCCCAUCAAUGGGCCUCAUAUCAACUUAUUACCAUCCAUAUCACAACCCACUCAAGCAAGCCCUGGGCAUCUUGCGUGGCUUGGGCCCACUUAAGCUUGUAGCGUGACGUGUUGCUUAUUUGCUUGGCAUGGCAUGUGUGCAAGCGCAUAUGACGAACUUUAGCGUGCCCAAAUUGGGUUUAUUCUCGGUAAGGUAUCGCAUUGGGCCGAGAAUUUAAUUGGGCAGAACUGUGGAUUUUUGGGCCUCAACAAUCUUAUAUAUAUUGGUUUUCUUUUUUUCCUUAAUAUUCACCACCUUUCUGUUGCAUAAGUAUUUCAGUCUUAACGGGUUUCCAUCUACCACUCAUCUUUGCUCUUUUAAGUGUAAGCUUUUUUUUUUUUUUUUUAAGCACAAGAUUAGAGGGGAGGGGGAUUUCUCAAUGUAAGCUUUGCAGUUUCAUAAUUAAUAUUUCCAAUAUCUCACUGUUAGUAAAAUAUGGAACAGGAAAAGUAUGAAUAAAAUACACACAUGUUUUAUUUAGCAAAAUUUUGACAAGAUACAACUGAAAAGUUUGGCCACUAUAUAAUAUUUUGAUAUAAUUUCUACACUUCUUCUCAAAAGAUUAGAUCACUUCACAUCUUGUGUAUGUGAAAACUAAUGUAAAAAGUUGAAACUUUAUCGUAAAACCUCGACAAAAAUGAGCUCUACUAGAAAAUGUUCAAUUUGGAUUCGUUGAUUUAAAUGGCAAUUUGACACUUGAUAGAAAUUUUUACAUACAUGUGUUAGUGUUUGAUCACUUCACAUGUUACUUACUAUAUUUAUUCCACUCAAGUUAGGUAAAUAUUAUUAUCAAACAUUUCAAUUAAUUUGUGAUUUUUUUAUUAUUUAAUCAAUUAUGAAUUAAUGGAUUCUUCUUGUUGUUUUGAAGACCAAUAAAAAAAAAAGGGUAAGGAUGGCUUAUAACUCUGAUAAAACAACAGUGACGUGGACAGCAGAUGUUACACCGUACUGAAGAUUUUUGAAGAUUCUUUAUUUGGGUUUCUUUCAAGAUGAAAACCAUAUUAUCCACAACCACAAUGAAGAAGACAGAAAAUGGAGUAAUUCAGAUGUUACCAGCCAUCCACGACAAACUGAAGUCUGCAAAGCAUUCGUAAUCUAAAGGGAGACUUUGGAAAAGCCCAAAGGAGAGAGAAAAUUUUUAAAAGAAGCAAAAAUGGACAAAAUUGCCCUUAUUUAUUUUUUGAUUUCCUAAGAAAUCCUUUACAUUUGCAUGUCUUUGGUUUGAAAGUUGAGAGGUUAUUCUGUCUUUUUUCAAAAAGCUUUGGCUUUUUCCAAAAGUGAAAGUUUUUUUAUGGGUAAAACCUAAAUUUACUUAAUCCCUAAAAAGGAUGGGGAGGCUGCGCAAUACUUAGCCACGUGUAGGCCAGGAGGCUUUCCAAUUUUAAUAUAUAUAUAAAUUGAAAAAAUAAAAUAAAAAUCAAUCUAUUAUCCUAUAUAAAAUAAAGAUUAUUGCUUCCAUGGGCAGUGCUAUGCACAGGACAGUGCCUGCCCAGCACAAAUUUUUUUUAAAUAAAAAAAAAAAAUCUACAUAUGUUAUAAGCUCAUCCAAAAAAAUAAAAUAAAAUAAAAGUAAAUUCUACAUAUAUGUUGCCCAUCUAGGUGGUUCCAUAUCUUCUCUCUCCUUCUCUUUUGGCUAUUAGACUUCUUGUUUCUCUCUCUCUCUUUGCUACCUCACAUCAGCAAGUUUCUCCCUCUCUUUUUUUGGGGUCAAAUUCUUCCUCUAUUGACAAAAUCUUCUAUUAUCUUGGGUGGGCAACUUGGCAACAACAUCUUCUCUUCUCCUUUUGUCAACAACAAGUAUUAUUCUCAUUCUCUCAUUUGCUAUAUAUCUUUAAUUAUAGUUUUAAUUUAAAAUUGAGUAUUCUAGGGUUUAAUUAGGGAUGAAUUAUAAUUUUAGAAUUUUGUUGAAAUUAAUUAAGGCUUCGAUUAGGGGUGAAUUAUUCUACUGCUUUGGUUUGGAAUUUUGUUAAAAUUGAGUAUUAUAGGGUUUAAUUAUGGAUGAAUUAUAAUUUUUGAUUUUGGUAUUAUUGAGAUGUUAUUAUGAGAAUUUGUUUCAUUUUUUUAUUGGUAUAUUUGAUUAAAAUUCUUUCUACAUAUUAUUCAUAGGCUAUCUUUUAUUAUGUCGGAUCACAAUCGGAAUCCCAAGAGAACAAAGAAUUUGAAUAGUGUUGUUUUGUAUUGCAUUGCAUUUACUUUUGGUUUUAGUUUUGCUUUUAGUGUAAAUUACUCAAAUGGUCCUCAAAUUUGUACCCGAUUUACAUUUUGGUCCAUAAACUAAAUUAUUCAUUCAAAUGGUGCACCAACUCUUUAUUAAUCAGUGCUUUGGUCCUACCGUUAUGUUUUCUAUUAAAUUUAGUCAUGUGAGCAGCACAUGCUACAUUUGUAGGGGUAAAUAAGACUUUUGACCACUUUAUCACCUAUGUAUCACCACUUUAUAACCUAUUUGGAGAACAUAGGUCAGUUAUGGACGGUUUUACAAUUAUAUUUGACGGCAACAUUAACAUAAUGUAACAGUGGGAUCAAUGGAGCGAUUAAUAUAGAGUUGAUGGACCGUUUGAACGAAUAAUUUAAUUGAGGGACCAAAACGUAAAUUGAGUAUAAGUUUGAGGACCAUUUGAGUAAUGUACCCUUCGCUUUUAUAUUUGUUGAACUUUUAUUUAUGGAUAGAUAUGCAUUUGAGGGUAAGACCCAUUAUGUUCCCCCUGACUUGGUGUAUCUUUUUAUGUUUAUUAAUGAAAUUCACUCGAACUGUUGAGUUUAGUAUGUAAGUUUUGCCUAACCGGCUUUUGAAUCCUAGAACCGCCACUGUUGCUCCAUCCUCCAUGCACUUGCAUGUGCUCUUACAAAGUGUGAAGUAGAUUUUGUGUGCUCCAAGUCAUUGACUAGAGCUGAAACAUGGUUAGCUAGAUUUAUAAGGACCCAUCUCUCUAUUUCCUAGACAUAUACCCAUCUCUCUAUAAAUCUAUAUGUAAAACUCAAUUUCAAACUUAAAUGACCAGUAAGAUAUAAGAGGUCAUAGUAUUCCUAUGUUUUUACAUCGUUGCCACCAGACUUCUUAUUUUAUUUAUAAUUUAUUUCAAGCAUUUCAUUAACUGCCAUAAUUGUAAUUAAUACUCCAUAUUAAUAGCAUAUCAAUCACCCCAUUUCUUUUGAUUGCCAUUCCCUCUAACAUAUCGCCCCUUAAAAUUGAAAACCAAAAAAAAAAAAAAUGUAAAUUACAUAUCCAAUAAUGUACCUAUGAAAAAUAUAAAUAUAAAUAUAUACGUAUAAAAAUAUAGGUUUAUUAUUUACCAAAUAAAAAAUAUAAAAAAACUAGGUCAGUUGCUUUGUAAUUGAAAUUUCUAUACAUUUUCCACAAAUUAAAAAUAGGUACACAAUAAUUUAUAGAAAAUAUAGGUGCAUUAUUUAUCCAUAGGUAAAAAUACCUAUAAAUGCACAUAGGUAAAUUAUUUACCCAUAUAUUAUUUUUUUGCUAAGGAUUUACCUUAGUUUUUAGUAGAUUAAUUUACCUACCUAGAGGCAUAGGUAGCUUAAAAAAAUUGUAGCACCUUAGUUGGUUGCAUACUAAUUUACCUACCUAGAGGCAUAGGUUGCUAAGAAAAAAUGUAGGUAAAUUCAUGUACCUAAACACAUAGGGGUCAAAUAGAGAAUAACAUGUUAUUUCCCUUCGAACAAAUUAAUUUCAAACCAUAACAAUAAUUGAAUUCGGAAAUUGGUAUAAAUAAAAGGAAAUAAAUAAGCUAUCAAUUUGAAAAUUAAAAUAAGAAAUGAUCAAGUAGUCAUAUUUGAAAAAAAAGAAAAGAAUAUAUUCUUGGUUUUUAUAGGAACAACGUGUAUAUUCAAACCAAAUGGCAGUAACUACACCAAGCUUUAAUUACUUUUUUUUAAGGCCAAAAGUCACUUUUGGUCUCUGUAGUUUGACACUUCUAUUACUUUUGACGCUGUAGUUUCAAUUCCGUCAAUUUUGCCAUUGUAGUUUCAUAUUUGUAGCAAUUCAAGGACAUGUUAAUAUUAAUGUCAAUUUGUUUAAUGAUGCAAGGGGUAAUUUCGUCAUCCCAAAAUCCUUGAGCAUAAAAGCUUGUCUGAAAUUCUCCCCAUUUCAUAUUAGGGCUCGAAAUUCAACCACUAAUCCCAAUUUUUGAAGAACCCUAUACCCAAAUGACCAAUUUCAAGCCCUAAUAACAAAUUAGGGAAGUUUUAGAUGAGCUUUUAUGCUCAAGGAUUUUGAGUUGAAGAAAUUGCCCCUUGCACUGUCAAAGAAAUUGAUAGGAAUACUGACUUGUCCUUGAAUUGCUACAAAUACAAAAAUACAGGGUCAAAAUUAACAGAAUUUAAACUAUAUGGUCAAAAGUGGUUAAAGUGCCAAACUACAAGGACCAAAAGUGACUUUUAGCCUUUUUGUUUAAAUAAGGAAAAAACUUACCUAUUAAAUCCUUGGAAUCUAUACAAAAUUGAAACACAGUUAAUCAGCAUUGAAUUGCAGCUAAUUUCUUAAACAAGGGUAUUAUAGGAAUUUAAAAAGUAUAACAUUUAAUCCAUUGAGCUUGAUUAGGAAUCUUGAUGAGUUGGAUCCUAGUUAUAUAGUUUCUCUUAUAAAAAUCGGGUUUUAUUUAUAGACAAAUAAAACAAUGGGUUGUAGGUAAGAAAAUAUUAAUUUGAAGGGAAAGUGUCACAUCCUGGGAUCGGCUCCGCCGUAGCACGAUAUUGUCCGCUUUGGGCCCCCCUCUCUGCCCGCACGGUUUUGUUUCUGGGAGCUCACGAGCAACUUCCCAGUGGGUCACCCAUCCUGGGAUUGCUCUGGCCCCCAACUCGCUUAACUUCGGAAUUCCUAUGACUCCGAAGCCAGUGAGCUCCCAAAAGGCCUCGUGCUAGAUGGAUGCGGGUGUGUACAUAUAAGACACAUCACCCCCUCUCCGUUGGUUGAUGUGGGAUCUUACAGAAAGAGUCAAAUUUACUAAAUUAAUAAAGCAUAAAUUGGAAAGGGAAAAGAUCUAGAGGAUGCAUUGUAGGAUUGCUCAUGCCAAUAAUUGCACCCUCUCGAUAUUGAAAAACCUAUUGUGUAUUAUUAUCUUCAAUCAUGAAUGAUGCACCUAAAACCCAAGUGUCCCAAGCCAACCAUUGCGCUCAUACCACUUGUUGCAGUACACAUUCACCCGUUUUUAAAGAAAGAAAUUCUACCAAUCGAUAUUGUCUCAAAUUUAAUCACAUAGGUCUAUUAUGGUUAACCAUAUGUACUUUUAUCGGCCAUAUAGAGGUACCUUUUUCCAACGUGCAACAAUUGUAUUUGAUUCACAAUUAUGUCUGAUAUACAUCACAUCAUGCCACUUGCCUCAAAUGAAUUUAAUUGAGUGAGGCAAUGGGAAGUAAUUAAGCUCUAUAUUGGUGGGUGGAGUGUUACUUCUGGAACCCUCAUCAUUCGUCCAUACAAGGGAACAAUUCCCUUCCUUCUAUAAAAUGGUGAAGCCAGUUGCUAUUGUUUGUUAGAGUUUUAGGAUCUGAGUGUUAGAUUUUGUGAGAAGAGAGAAGAGAAUUUAGUGAAAACUUCCAAUACUGCUCUGCUAUACGUGUAGCAGAGAGAACAUUCUGUUUUGUUAUAUAUUUUCAGUACAACAACACACACUUGGUGUGAGAAGAAAAAUGACUGUUAUGCACAGUACCAGCUGGAUGCUUUCCAUCAAAGUAAUCUCAGCCAUUCACUAUCUAACCAAUCAAGCUAUGACACCUGGACUAAGUAUAAAGAAAUACAACUAAGCAGAAAACAAGACUCUUAAUCCUGAAAUCAACUUAAGCACUUAUAAUUCAACACUCCCCUUUAAGUCUUGAGGUGAUUUCACUCCAAGCAUGCCUCUGAGAUAAUUGAAUCUGUCUUUGGCCAGAGGUUUGGUAAAAAUGUCAGCCAAUUGUUCAUUUGUAGGACAAUAUUCCAGAUUGAUUACCCCUUCUUGCAAUGCAUCCUUGAUGAAGUGAUACCUCCUGUCAAUAUGCUUUGUCUUCUGGUGGAAUACAGGGUUUUUAGUGAUUGCAAUUGCUGAGAUAUUAUCACAAUGCAAUGGAGUAGCUUCAGUUUGAAGCUCUCUAAAGUCUUCUAGCACAAAACGGAGCCAAAUAGCUUGAGUAGUAGCCUCAGCUGCACUGAUGUACUCAGCUUCUGCAGUAGACAGUGCAACACAGUUCUGUUUCACUGAGGCCCAAGAAAAUACUCCACUUCCAAAACUAAACGCAUACCCUGAUGUGCUCUUGCAAUCACCAACUGAUCCUCCCCAAUCACUGUCACAGUAACCAACUAGAAUUGAUCUUUUGCCUUUCACAUAUUCAAGACCAUAGUCCAGAGUUCCUUUGAUGUAUCUCAAAACCCUUUUAGCUGUUCCAUAGUGUCUAUUUGUAGGACAGUGCAUGAAUCUAGCUAGCAAGCUUGAGGCAUACAUGAUGUCUGGUCUUGUAGCAGUUAAGUACAGCAAGCUACCAACAAUGCUUCUGUAUUGUUCUUCAUUUGCAGCUCAACUCCCAUCAUCCUUAGCUAGUUUCUCAGUGGCAACAAGGGGUGUUGUCACAGGUUUGCACUCAGUCAAACCAAACUUGCUCAACAAGGUGCUAGCAUAUUUCUUUUGAUGUAGAAAUAUACUAGACUCAGUCUGAAUAACUCCCAUGCCAAGAAAGUGAUGAAGUAAGCCCAAAUCAGUCAUCUCAUACUUAGCCAUCAUGUCUUCUUUGAAUUCAGCCAACAAUGCUUGACUGCUCCCUGUAUACACAAUAUCGUCUACAUAGAUAGACACAAUUAGAAUCUCCUUAUCUCCCCUUACUUUGGUAUAUAAGGUUGUUUCACUUAAGCUUUUCACAAAACCACAUUGAGUGAAGUAGCUGUCUAUCUCUCCAUACCAAGCCCUUGGGGCUUGCUUCAGACCAUAAAGGGCUUUAUGCAAACGAUAAACCUUGUCUUCUUUACCUUUAAUUACAAAACCUUCAGGCUGACUGACAUAAACUUCCUCUUGCAGCACACCAUUAAGGAAAGCAGACUUCACAUCAAGCUGGAACAAUUUCCAAUCCUUUUGAGCAGCUAGAGCAAUAAGUGUUCUAAUGGUGUCCAAUCUGGCUAUAGGUGCAUAAGUCUCAUUAUAAUCCAGUCCAGGCUUCUGAGCAUACCCCUUAGCCACUAAUCUUGCUUUAUUCUUUUGCACUGAGCCAUCCAAAUUCAGCUUUGUCUUGUACACCCACUUAACUCCAAUCACUGGUUUUUCAGUUAGUCUAUCUACCAAUUCCCAUGUUUCAUUCUUUUCAAUCAUCUGCAGUUCAUCUUCCAUAGCCUUAAGCCAAGAUUCAUCCUGAGCAACAUCAGCAUAUUUUUCUGGUUCCAUGAUACACAAGUUACACUGAGCUAGAACAUCAUCUAGCCUUCUCCAUUUUAGAGGGGUGUGAUCAUAAGCUUGAGUUCUCCUUUCUUCACUGCUUAUAUCACCUGGAGUUGAUGAAAUGCUCUCUUGCAUAUCCAAAGUUUGAGGUGUACCAGUAGAAUUCUCAUUAGAACUGUCAGAUUUCAAGUCCAAAUCAACUUGGUUUUCAAUUGAGUAUGUUGUCAUAACUGAACCAUUUUUGUUUGUCCAAUGCCAAGCAUUUUCUUCAUCAAAUGUCACAUCCCUUGAUAGUAAAAGCUUGUUAGAAACAGGAUCAAAAACUCUAUAUCCUUUUUCACAAGUUGCAUAUCCCACAAACACUCCCUUUGUACUCUUAGGAUCCCGCUUGUGUCUCAAUUCAGUUGGCACAUGAACAUAACACAGAGAACCAAACACUUUCAGAUGUGCAAUUCCAGGCUUCCUUCCACUAUAUGCUUCGAAUGGAGUAAUGUUGUUGAGAGCUUUGGUAGGACAUCUGUUCAGCAAAUAGAUAGCUGUAUGCACAGCUUCUGCCCAUAGGAAAUAAGGCAUUCCCUUCUCAUGUAACAUUGAUUUUGCCAUCUCAAUGACAGUUCUAUUCUUCCUCUCAACUACUCCAUUCUGCUGAGGAGUAUAGGCCAUUGUAAGCUGCCUUUGAAUGCCAUUAGCUUCACAAAACUCCAAAAAAUCAGUAGACAUAAACUCUCCACCCCUGUCACUUCUUAUGCACUGAACCUUGUGUCCAGUUUGUAAUUCAGUCAUGGACUUGAACUUCUUGAAACAAAAGAAGGCUUUUGACUUGUUUCUCAAGAAGUAUACCCAAAUCAUUCUUGUGAAAUCAUCUAUAAUCAGCAUGAAAUAUCUGUUCCUUGCAACAGACUCAUUUCUCAUGGGACCACAGAGAUCCACAUGUAUUAGCACUAGUACUUUGCUUGCUCUUUGAGCUUGAUCUUUUGGAAAAACAUUUCUGUGCUGUUUUCCAAAUUGGCACCCGUCACACACACCACUUUGUUCUUCCAAUUUUGGUAAACCAUGUACCAUUUCUUUAUCACUUAGCUGCUUCAAUCCUCCAAAAUGCAGAUGACCAAAUCUCUUGUGCCAAAUCCAUGUGGAUUGAAGAAAACUAGUCUUCAUUAGUAACUGUUUUUCAGCUAGAAAAGAGACAGGAUAGCAUCUGUUACUCUUCAUUUGCACCUUUAUGAUGAGAUAAUCCAUGGAUGGGCUAUCAAAUACCCUGCACAUCCCUUCUCCAAACACUAGACAGUACCCAUGUUCAUCCAUCUGCCCAACACUUAGCAGAUUUUCUUUCAAUCCUGGCAGAUACAUUACUUCUCUGAUGUAUUUCCUGCCCUUUGCUGUAUCAAUACUCAGUGAGCCAAUACCAGCUACACUCACUAAUGCACCAGUUGGCAUUUGUACUCUCCCAGCUACAUUAGUUCUCACAUCAACCAGCAAAUCUAAAUUUCCUGUCAUAUGAUUGCUGCAGCCACUGUCAAUGUACCAUUCAUUGGUUUUGAUCUCAGUGGUUGAGCAAUUGGCAUAAAACAGGUUUCCUGUAACCUCCAUUUGAUUUACACAAUUAGCCUUCUGCACAUUUUUGCUCACUGUACAGUCUCUAGCAAGAUGUCCAACUCUGUCACAGUUAUAGCAUUUUGGUUUUCCCUUAUACCUGCACUCACCAAAAUGAUGCUUUGAACACACCUUGCAUUGAGGCUUUGUGUUUUCCUGAUUUGAGAACUGUGUUGAAGUGUGGUUCUGUGCAGAAUAAUUAUUCUGCUGUGUCUUGUCUUUUGCCUCCCAUGACUUCCCUUUAGAGUUCCAGCUUCUCUGUGACUUAGAUGAACCAGACUGAGAAGCAUUUUUGUUCUGACCCUUUGAAUUCACAGUGAAUGAGGCAAAUGCCUUCUCAGCUGUAUCAACACUAUGCAUUUCAAGCCUUUGCUCCCGACUCUUCAAAAUGGCAGUUACUUCCUGCAAAUCCACAGUUUCUAGUGUCUUUGUGUUUUCAAUCACAAUGCAUAUAGGGUCAUACUUCUUACUUAGACUAAUUAACACCUUCUGAACCUACCUCUCAUUUGACAGAACUUCACCAAAUGUUUUCAUUUGGUUAAUCAAUUCAGUUAGUCUAGUAAGAUAUUCAGAUAAGGUUUCACUAUCACGCAUCCUACUGUAUUCAAACUCACGUCUAAGGUUUUGAAGCUUUACCGAUCUAACAUGCUCUCCACCAUGAUAUUCUGAGUACAGCAGAUUCCAAGCCAUCUUUGCAGAGUCAGCAUUGGCAAUUCUGGGAAAAAUCUGAUCAGAAACAGCAUUUUGAAUGAUACCCAAGGCCUUCGCAUCCUUCAUGAGAAUCGCAGCUGUUUUCUCAUCAACUUCUUCUUCUGAACCAUCCUCAGAUUCCUGCUUCGUCUUUGAAUCUGGGAUUAAAAACCCCUUCUCUACCAAACCCCAUAAACCAUAUGAUCUGAAUAUGGUUACCAUCUUAAUCCUCCAAAAUUCAUAGUUCUCACCUGAGAAAAUGGGGAUUCUAGCCUCUGAACUUCCAGAUCCAGCCAUUACGAAUUUCAGAUUCGCCUGGAAACAAGAUGUUUUCAGAUUUGACCCUUGAUCGAGCUCAAUCAGCUUCGUGAGCUUAGAAUGAGCUCACCUCGAUCGAUUUUCUUCACAGAACAACGCCCAGCUUCAGAUAAUCAAACUUGGCUCUGAGGCCAUGUUAGAGUUUUAGGAUCUGAGUGUUAGAUAUUGUGAGAAGAGAGAAGAGAAUUUAGUGAAAAUUUCCAAUACUGCUCUGCUAUACGUGUAGCAGAGAGAACAUUCUCUUUUGCUAUAUAUUUUCAGUACAACAACACACACUUGGUGUGAGAAGAAAAAUGACUGUUAUGCACAGUACCAGCUGGAUGCUUUCCAUCAAAGUAAUCUCAGCCAUUCACUAUCUAACCAAUCAAGCUAUGACACCUGGACUAAGUAUAAAGAAAUACAACUAAGCAGAAAACAAGACUCUUAAUCCUGAAAUCAACUUAAGCACUUAUAAUUCAACAUUGUUACCAUAAGAGCCAGCUCCGACUUUCUUUAAUUUCAGUCCUAACGGGGUUUCAUCUUCCACUCAUCUUUGCUCUUCUCAGUGUAAGCUCUGCAAUUUGAUUAACUUUCCCAUUAUCUCUCACUGUACUCUAUAUAAAGGAAUAAGUGUCGUCCACUAAUUAAUUACACUUUGUGAGAUUUGAUUUUAAUUAGAGUUCGAAUUGAUGUUGCAGCUAGCAGCGGUGGCACUGGCAAACCAUGCUGCUCAACCAGCACCUCAACUUUACUGGAACUCCGUCCUGCCAAACACACAAAUGCCAAGAGCUAUCAGUGAACUUCUGCAUCCUGGUUUGUGUUGAAUAAAUAUAGUAUGUUACUGGAGUACGUAUGGCAACAUAUUCACAAAUGUGUCACGUAUUUUCCAAUAUGACGUUGAUAUAUAAUUGCAGACUCCACAAACGAAGAAAAGAGCACAAAUGUCAUGAAUGCUGUUGGGAAUGGAAAGCCAAUUGACCACAAGGGCAACCUGAAAAUACUGUACUACCACAGCUUGCACGACGCCCAUUUUCUUACAAGAGUGAUGAUCGUCCCACUGACAAUCAACUCCAUUAUAAAAACGUAGCUAUUUUCUUCUUGGAGAAGGACAUGCGCCCUGGCACAACAAUGAGCUUCCAAUUCCCUAGAAAUUCAAACACGGCUACUUUCCUGCCACCAGAAAGAGCUCAAUCGAUCCCCUUCUCCUCUAACAAACUACCAGAAAUUUUCAACCAUUUUUCAGUGAAGCCAACAUCUGUGGAAGCCAAAACAAUUAAGCAAACAAUCGAAGAGUGUGAGGCUCCAGGCAUUAAGGGAGAGGAAAUAUAUUGCGCCACAUCUUUAGAAUCAAUGGUUGAUUUUAGCACUUCGAAUUUUCGAACAAGAAACGUUCAAGCAAUCUCGACAGAGGUAUUGGAAAAAGGUGCCACCAUGUCCAUGCACAAGCAUACAACAAUGCCGGGACUGAAGAAGUUGGCAGGUGACAAAGUCGUUGUGUGUCAUAAGCAGAACUAUCCCUAUGCUGUGUUUUACUGCCAUGUAAUAAAACCAACAGCAGCUUAUGUUCUCUCCCUGAAAGGCGAUGAUGGGGUGAAGAUUAAAGCAGUAGCCAUCUGCCAUCUAGACACAUCAGAAUGGAACCCAAAGCAUUUGGCCUUCCAAAUCCUCAAAGUUAAGCCCGGAACAAUUCCCAUCUGCCAUUUCCUUCCCACUGAUCAUAGUGUCUGGGUUCCGAACCACAAAUCUGCAUGAUCAUCACUUAGCACUGUACGUAUAAUAAGCUUGCACCCCUGUAUAAUUAUCUCCCUACUCUACUUAUUUCUGCCUCUUCAUGUGGUGUAAGAUAUAUGAUGAGAUGAAGUUUUUGGGAUUAGUGGUCGGGUUGCCUUAAAAACACAGAUUACAGAAACUGCUUGAACUUAACCCGAUCAUGUUUUCUCUUGUACUCGUAAAGCAUGCUGUUGUGGUUCUACUUAAUUUCGUUCUCCCCAAUGUUUGAGUGUUUAAUUGUUACGUUGGAUAAUGCUUGUAGUUAGAGAAGCCUUCAUUUAUAUCAAAGUCCUCAACUUGUAAAGAUAUCAAUGGUCCUAGUGCUGCCACGUGUAAGAAGAUUGAAGAAUAAAGCUGUUGAGAUAUUGUUAGACCUGUUAUGCAGUUUAGGAAAACUGUUAGUAUUGAUAAGAGAAGGUUAGAGAUGUUAGAGAGGUUAGAAAACACGUGAACAAGGCUUUAACUCAGCUGAUAUAAAGUCUGUAGUUGUGCUCAGUUGAACUUAAUGAGAAAUACAACAAGUCUCUUCUCUAUCUCUGAAAUUCUCUCUGCUCUCUCUGCUUUACUUCUUUUGUCUCUGCUCUACAUUUUUUUUCAAUCUUCCUAUCUUAACAAAACUAUCAAGAAUUAAUGCAUCCAGAAACAUAUAUACCAAGACGCAAAACAACAUAUUUUUCAUGCUCUGUCUGUAACACCAAAGCAAACUUCCUUUAUCACAAAAGGAUCAAAUUCCAGUACUAAUCUAAUCCAUCAUGUAAAGCAUACAAUCUACAAGUGCCUCCCUUAAUUUGUCCAUUGGAUAUAUAUGUCACUUUUUGGUAAUUUGGUAUAGCAGCACCACGUAGUCUUGAAAUAGUAGUGCGGCUAUACCAAAUAUACCAUUUGCCCCUGCAUUUAACAGAAAAGUAAACAAAAUUGACGGUAGAACUAUUUGUCCUAACGAAACUGCAGUUGAAAGACCAUGAGAACGAUUUUGAAAAUUGAGGGACUCAAAUGAAAAUUGGGUCUAAGUUCAAGAACCAAUAAAACGAUUAACCCAUAGAUUUUGGAUCCAGUACCACAUCCCAAAGAGAAAACCACAAGUUUGCAAGCAAGUUUGUCCAUAAUAACACUACGUACAGUAUGGGCAGUGCGCUAGACUCAUCUCACUUUCUCAACCUAUCCUAUAGUUGUCUAAAAGAGUUUCUAAUUUAAUGUACUGAGAUUUACGAAAGAAAUAUCAGAGAAACAAUUUUCAGGCAAUAAAAAAAUGUCUUGGCAAGAAAAUGUACAAUUUGUUACAUAACUUAUUAAAUAUGAACAGUUGAAAGAAAAAAGAAUCUGGAUGAGGGAUUUGCAAAUUCCUAUGGCCCAAUUACCUUUUUUUCUUUGUUGUUUUUUUUUUUUUUUUUUUGGUUCUUUUGAUCCAGUAGCAUAUUCCAAAGAAUGAAAACCACAGGCAUGCAAUGCAAGCUCUUUUCCCACGUUUUCCUCUGUUUUUCUCCUAUCAUGGAAGUGAUUAAAACACACCUCUAAGCUUGUUUUGCGUUUGGUAGCCGAGUGUAAAAGCUCAAUGCAAGAUAGUUUGAGGUAGAAUUUUCUCCUAUUUUAUUAGGACAAUGAUAAUUAAAAAAAAGUGUGAUUCAUUGAAUAUUUGCGGGGUUUUGUUCAGACCUGACAAAGUUCUAAGUCAACACAUCAAAUUCCUUUUUCCAACAUGCAACAAUUGUAUUUGAUUCCCAAUUUUUUCUGAUAUACAUCACAUCAUGCCACUUGCAUCAAAUGAAUUUAAUUGAGUGAGGCAAUGGGAAGUAAUUAAGCUCUGUAUUCGUGGGUGGAGUGUUACUUCUGGAACCCUAAUAAUUCGUCCCUACAGGACUCUAGAACUCUCAAACUUCUUACAAGGACUACUUAACUCUAUAGCUUAAUGCAUAUAGCAUAUAUAUGCAAACACAAUUAGAAAUUCUACAACAGAAGCAAGAUCAAUCUCACUAUGCCUUCUAAACAAACAAACAAAUAAAACAAGCAUAUUAAUUGCUUUAAUCACUCUACUAACAUCAACACAGCACACUUAGUUUACUAACAGAUGAUAUAGAAAGGAAAAAAAAGGACCAAUAGGGAGAAAAUGGUGAACUAAGGAGAGACUAAUACUUCUGGUCCUUAGAAGGCAUAACAGAAAUAAUAGAGCACACUGCUUGAAUGCAAGUCAGUAUUAGGAGCAAAACAGCUGCAAUGAAAGAAAUAGUUGCCCAAGGUGUAUUGAAAUAAUGUUGCCUCAAAUUUGCCUUCCAUUUGUUCCAAGGCUUUCUGCAGUAGCUAUUAAGGCGCUCAGAAAGAAUAGCAAAGUAGAAGCUUUCACGAUACACUGCAAUUCCUUUUCCGAGGUUGUUAAUCAGAGUGCACACCUCAUUGUAGUCACCAAGCAUAUUUUUGACAAUCCCAUCCUUCAGAAGGAACUCCACAUCCUUUUCGGUGUUCACAAACUCAUCCAUGAGUGAAACAUAAUCACUUAUGUAAUUCUUACGGCAAUGGCACUAUUCAAAGGCAAUGAGGUUACGGAGUGUGAGCUCUGUGUAAUCGUGUAUUUUUAGUUUUGGAAUUUCUAGAAUCCCAUCGUUGAAUUGUGUUAACGCAGCUUUCCUUUCCUAGCCUACACGGAAGUCAACUUCACAAUCUCCUCCUAGCAAUUAGUCUUUCCUGCUGUAAAUCAGAUUUCCUACUGUAAAUCGGAUUGUAUUCAUGUCUAUAUUAUUUCCUACUUUAAGUAGAUAUCUUGUACUAGUAUAAAUAGGGACUUUGUGUAAUCUGUUAAAUACAAGGAAAUAUAUACUCUGCAUGGUAUCAGCCUAACCUAGGGUUCUCUCUCUCUCCCUUAUUCGAUCCUCUUCUCCUUUAGGUCCACCUCAUGGCUUUGUCUGAAUCCACCAUCUCCCUCCCAAGCCCCAACUCUUCUAUUUUAUCAAGCUUAUUGACUCCAACUAUCUUCUUUGGCUCCGCCAACUCAAACCCUUUUUAGUCGGCCAUGACCUCUGGAAAUUUAUCGAUGGCAUUCAUAAACAACCUUCUGCCCACACCUCCACCUCUACCACCGCAACACCCACAACCACCACCACUCUUACCCAAAUCAAUCAUGCCCAUGCUCAGUGGUACCAACAAGACCAACUCAUUGUUAGCUACAUCACCAAUACACUCUCUGAGUCCAUUCUCUUUCUCACUGUUGGUUGCACCUCUGCCCGGGAUCUCUGGGAGUGUCUCCAACGCCACUUCUCUCAAUCCAGUAUGGCCAGUGAAUCUACUCUUCGUUUUAAACUCAUGGAUUUGCAAAAAGGCUCUGAACCCACUUAUGCUUACAUUCGUCAUGCUAAGUCCUUUGCCGAUUCACUGGCUGCCAUCAAUGAACCUGUCUCCCCAAAAGAACUUGUCACUACUGUGCUUUGGGGUUUAAGACCCUAUUGCAACAUCCUCGUCACAGCAAUUCUCAAUUUCCCUCUGCUUCCUAACUUUGCUAAUCUUCGUGCUCGUUUGUUAGCAUUUGACGCACAGACUCCUUGAAUCUCUCCUGAUCAAAACACAGCGCAAAUGGCCACCCAAUCCUCUCCUCACACCACCGGUCAUACUUCCUUCCCUUCUCACCGUGGUGGUGGCUCUUCCAACAACAGGCGUGGUGGCCUCGGUGGCUGGCGCAAUAGCGGCCGGGGUGGCUGGCGCAGCUUCUCAUCUUCCUGGAGCAACCCGUGGAAUGGCUUCCAGCAGCUCCAAUGACCUAAUCAACCAUGGCCUCCUUUUGCUCCAAGUUCUGGAUCUCAAAGCAACUGGCCUUCCUUUCAGCCUCCUUGGGCCUAAUCUGCCGCUUCUAUCAAACACUUUGCCCGGCCCAACUCAGCUCCUGGUGUCUUGGGACCCGCUUGGUGCACUACCUGCAAUACCAAUCACAUACUACUACAAUAUGUCCUCAUCGCUACAAUGGCCCAGAAUCCUUUCUUUGCUAGGGCUCAAUUCAUGUAGCCACCUGACUCUACUUGGUACCCUGACACAAGUACCACUCAUCAUAUGAUUGGUAGUCCUUCUAAUCUCCAAAAUCAAUCCUUCUAAUCUCCAAAAUCAACAGCCAUAUCAGGUUCAUAAUUCUGUAUUUCUUGGUAAUGGAGAUUCUCUCCCUAUCUCUCAUACUAGCUCUCUCUUUUGUCUUCCAUCUCUUCGUACUAAUCUUCUUUUUGUUGCCCAUUUUACUUGUGAUAAUUUAGUUUUCUUUGUCUUUACUCUUGACUUUUAUCAAAUCUAUGACUUAUGUACUGGUUCGUUACUCUUUCAGGGCCCUUCUAAAGAUGGUCUUUACCCACUUUCCAUCUCCUCUCACUCAUCCAUAGUCCCCCAUGCCCUUACCACCGUGCACUCUCCUGCUUGGCAUCAUUGCCUUGGCCAUCCAUUCCAUCGUGUGCUCUCUCAUUUAGCGCCAUCUCUAGGCUUUAAAGUUUCUCAUGCUUUCUGUAAGGAUUGUGCACUUAGCAAAUCCACCAAACUGUCAUUUCUUAGUAAUAAAACCUUUGCCCCAUCUCCCUUUUAUUUAAUUCACUCUGAUGUAUGGAUGUCCUCGGUCAUUUCUGUCACUGGUUAUCGCUAUUAUGUCUUGUUUACAGAUGACUUUUCUCGUUACUCCUGGAUCUAUCAUAUGCACCGUAAAAAUGAGGUCUUUUCUCACUUUCAAACCUUUCUUGCUAUGGUUAAAAAUCAAUUUCACACCACUGUACAAAUUCUUUAAAGUGACAAUGGCACUGAAUAUGUUAAUAAUGCUUUCUCUGAUCUUUGCAGUCAACUAGGCAUCCACCAACGUUUCACAUGUCCCCACACUCCCCAACAAAAUGGCCUAGCUGAACAUAAACACAGACACAUUGCCACCAUGAUCUGUCCCCGGUCAUUUAUUCAACCAUCUUGACCUUUUGCUUGAUCAUUUUCCACAAGCAACCGUCCACGUACCCCAAUAAUUUAAAAGGGCUGAUGAUCUUUAAUUUGGUGAAAGCUUCUAUCUACCUACCGUGCUAUAUAUGAGCUAUGCAAUCGUGACCGUGUUACAUGACGUCCCAAUGUCGUAGGGAUAAAAAAAUAAUAGUCAUGGUUUUCUUAUUAAUGUCAAUACAUUCAUAGCAAAGAGCUUGUAGCUCUAGUGGUUAAGAGCAAUUACCCAUGCACUUGAGAUAUUUUGUGUUUAAAUCCCCUCUUCCCCAAUAUUUCUUGUAUAAAAAUAAAAAUAACAAUAAUAAUGACAUUAAUGUUGUAUUCUAUAAAGUGUUGGACAUGUUUUAUACCCCUUUCUUGCAAAUUACAGUUUGCCACGUGUACAAAAAUAAUAGAUAAGUGUUGGACAUCAAGAGCACUUACAUAUAGGUUUAAUAGGUAAGUUUUGAAUAUUUCUGUAUUUAGCUUUAAAUAUUGAAAAUCAACCUAUUAGCAUAUUAAAGAUUUGUCCAUAUUCGACGUACAUUCUCUUAUUUUUCUCUCAUUGAAGUAAAUACAAAACUAAGCACAUAGUGGGAAAGUGCGUCACGAUUAGGGGUGGGUUUAGUCUAGGUUGGUUCAUUUUUGGGCUCAAUUUGAACACCGAACUGUAAGCUUCGGUUUGGCUAUUUUGGAAACCGAAACCAAACCAUAAUUGAUGAAAACCGACCACUUCGAUUACCUUCUGGUCUUCCAACCAGAAGAAAACUCAAAACUUUAACCAUACCAAGUGCAACAGAAUUACACCAGGCUGGAUUCAAGUUUAUGAUGGUUAAAGAUAAAAACUUAUUUGACAUACAAUUUGAGAAUGGAAUCCUCAAAAUUCCACACCUGCGAAUACGGGGUUUAACAGAAAUUUUCUUCCGCAAUCUUAUUGCCUAUGAGCAGUGUGAGCUUCAUGAUCAUUACAUCAACGACUAUGUCUUCAUCAUGGACCGCCUGGUCGACAGUGCCAGGGAUGUGGAAUUGCUUGUGAAGAGUGGAAUUCUUGAAUCUAUGCUACCGGACAGCGAGGCAGCAGGGGAAUUUAUUAAUUCUCUUGACUUGGGGCCUAUUUUAGGCAAGCUUGAAACAAGACUAUUUCAGUUCACCAUGGGCUGGCCUGUCUAUUAUUGUAGCCGCUAUACUAGUUGUGCUCACAUUUAUUCAAACAGUGUGCUCCGUAAUGGCGCUGUAGGUUCUUCAUUUCCUCAAUUUCAUGUUUAGUGGUUGCAGAUUUGUUGCUCAUGUACGUGUUUAUCUAAAGUUAAAUAAGAGUGAUUGACUGGAUUGACUGUUAGUCUGUUAGUUUGUUUUUCUGGGGUUUUUCCCCCCUGUUCGUCAAAAAAAAAAAUAAAAGAGUGAUGGCUUGUGCCUAUGAAAAUUACUUAGGAGUAUGCUCCACAGAGCCAAAAUAAAUAAACUAGGGAAGUGGAGGUUCUUCUGUUUGUAUAUAAAUGAGCAAUUCAAACUCUCAGUGCCAAGGGAGUUACCCUUGAUACAUUUGUUAAAAAUUAUAUAUUUGGUCUUACAUCAAACAAAUAAUUUGAAGGGCUUUUUUGACAACUGCUGACAGCGUUUGGCAGAAAAGUUUAGAAGCGCUUCUACGCUUCUAGAUCAUAAAAGUGCUUUACCAAAAAGCACUUAGAUUUCUUAUGAAAAUUUCAACAUUUUUAUAAUAAAAGCGCUUGCUAGAAGCACUUAUAAGCAGAAGUGCUUCAUAGAGAAGCAGUCCCAAACGAGCUUGAUUUUCAAAUGUGCUGCUUAAGAAGAAAUUUAAUACGUUUUGAAAACAAAAAAAAAUACGAAAUUUAAUACGUUUGUUUUACAAAUUGUAUUAAUUGUUAUCAAUAAUACUUGUGCACACCCACAACAUACUUCUUUCUUUCUUUAUUUUCCUUCAGUACAGUUCUGCCUUUCUUUAAUUAUUUUUAACGAAUGCAAAGAGUUUGUCACAAAAUCAAGGAUUGAAAAAAAAAGAGAGUAAAUUAUGUGCUAGAGAAACUUUCCUGCAGAAAUUGAAGAACAACUCUAGUUUCUCUCUUUCGCCUUGUACUCCCGCACUGAGGUUAGUAUUGUUAUAAUGUGCAGAUUAUACGGUCACUCUUGUAUAAUGGCGAGAAGGCUCUAAUUAUAUUUUUGAACCUCUUUGACAGGACCCGCCCCGAAUUUCCCGAAACCCAAGACGAAUUCUGUGGAAAUUCCCUACAUCACCCCGAUGUUGGGCCCACUUCUAAAACUAUAUCAUUUUUCCUAAAAAGGAAUAAGGGCACGAGACUUUCUACCGAAAUUUCGGCAGAGUCUCUCCUGUAAAUUGAACAUUUCCCAAAAUUUCAACCUGCAUAAAACACAUUUUAUAUUACCCAACUGGCAGCAUGCACAAAAUAAUAACAUGCAAUUCACAUAAACGGCCUCUGGCCCUCCGGUAAUUCAGAGCAAUGCAAACUAGCAACUCUAAACCUAAUAAAACAACAUAAGUAACAUUUAGCCAGCGGCUGCACCCAGGCACUACCCUAGGCUACCUACGUACCCUUACUAAGGGAUCAAGCCACACGUAGUUCUUUCAUACAAAAUUUCCAAAUCCAUCAACAUGCAAUCAAUUACAGAAUCCCAAACAAAAUCUUUCUCAAACAUCAUUAGUUCCCAACUCAGUAUAAUAAUCCUUAAUUCAUCUCUGUAAUAAUCACAAUAUCUCCCCAUACGCCGGAACUACCAACACCACGUAUGGAGCCUGCCUGUACGCCAGAUAACCAACGACACGUGGGACCUCAUCAUCAUAUCACAUAAUCUCCCCAUACGCCGAAACUACCAACACCACGUAUGGGGUCUGUCAACACGCCGGAUAACCUACGACGUGUGACCUCAACAUCAAAUCACAAUAUCUCCCCAUACACCGGAACUACCUACGCCACGUAUGGGGUCUGUCCACAUGCCGGAUAACCUACGACACGUGGGACCUCAUCAUCAUAUCACAUAAUAUAUUAACGAUCAAGAAAUAUCACUACGGUCAUUUAAUCCUCCUGGGAAGGUAAAACUAUCUCAGGAGACUCACGGUCAACCAAGGGUCAAACUACCUCAUACUUGGACAAACGAGCCCACGGAGCCCACAACCUCCGUUUUACUAUCCAAGAGUUCCUAUAGGUUCUACAAGGUUUAGGAUACACGGCUUGCAAGUUUGGUCAAGAUCAGACGGUCGGAUCGCUCACGAUAGGACGGUUACUGCAAACCUAGCCCUAGGGUUGGCAUUUUCGGAGUAUCCGAAACUCCGUUUUACGAUCUGUCGAAUCAUAGACGAUCCUAAGGAUUUGCAGACUAACUAUAAUAAAUUCAAGACCAUCCAACGGUCUAAACCUAUCGAACCCGGAUAACGCGCAAUAGGCAAUAUCCAAAUUGAAAUCCGAGCACACCUACGCACUCGUGAGGACUAGGAGAUUACAUCGGGACAUAGUGCCCUUUUUCUACAGUGCCCAUGAGCCGCCGCACGCACCAGCAACGCGUGGGUGCCCAAAGCGAUUAUGCAUCGCCAAAAAAUCUCAAAACCACGGCUCAAGACUCCUACCCUAGGUAUAACACCCUAUUUGGAACCACUUUUGUUCUUGGACCUACCCCAAAAACUGAUCAGAAGUGGCCGGAAUGGCUGAAAUGUAAUUCAAAAAUCAAGCUACCAACGCUCAAAAUCGAUGCAAUCCUACCCAACCAUCAACUAGAUUAUGAAGAAUGGAUAAAUUUCCAUACCUUGAUCGCCAACAAUGGCGGCCGGAGGAGAGAGAUCUGAUCCGGCGAAGUUCGAGUGAAAACGGCCAAAAAUCAUCUUUUUCAGGCGGCUGGAGGGCGACCGAUGUCAGGGAAGGGCAGGGUCGUGACGCUAAGGCUGAGCCUGUCCUUUUGGCACCGGUCCCUUCCGCAGCCGUGUCCGGUGGCUGGAGUUUCGAAGAGAGAGAGAGAGAGAGAGAGAGAGAGAGAGAGAGAAAUCUGAUUUUUAUCAAACCUUUUUGCCAAAAUUACGGUUAUGCCACUGAGGGUAUUUUGAUAGUAUCUCUCUCGUUACAACUUCGAUUCGAGCCCACCACGUGUGUACGGACUCAUCUAACUGUGUUGUACGCAACGGUAUAGUCGAAAUUCCCAAAUUAUUUCCUUGUCAAAAAGUCAACUUUAAACAUUAUAAAAUAUUUUAGGGAAAAAAUGGUAUUUUCUCUCAAUAAAUUAGUAACUAAUUUAUUUAGGACUGGGUCAUUAUACUCUUUUUCGCUUCAAUGGAUGGGAAAAAAUUUUAUGUAAUAUCCCACAUCGACCAACGAAGAGGGGGCGAUGUGUCUUAUAUGUACAUGCCCGCCUCCAUCUAGCAUAAGGCCUUUUGGAAGCUCACUGGCUUCAGAGUCAUGGGAACUCCGAAGUUAAGCGAGUUGGGGGCUAGAGCAAUCCCAGGAUGAGUAACCCACUGGGAAGUUGCUCGUGAGCUUCGAGAAACAAAACCGUGAGGGCAGAGAGAGGGGCCCAAAGCGGACAAUAAGGCCUCGUGCUAGAUGGAGGCGGGCAUGUACAUAUAAGGCACAUCACUCUCUCUCCGUUGGUCGAUGUGGAAUGUUAGAAUGGAAUUGUUACCUUUGGUGUGGAGGUGUUCUAUCAUUUGAGCAAGAAAUUCCCACAUAUUCUUCAACUAUUUUUCAAGCAUGCAUAUUCCUCCCUAUCAAUCUUUGGUUUCUUCCUUUACUGUGCAUAGUAAGGAUCCAGUCAGGGACGGACCGUCGCUAUGACUAUCCUGGGCUAUAGCCCAGGCAAAUUAUUUUUUUUUCUAGUCUAAAAUAGCAAUCCCACCGCUUGCUGUAGUACUUGUUCAGUUCGUCACAAACAUGAGCAUAAUAGAAGUUAUCAACAUCUAUAUAGGAACCCCAAUGAAAAGGCUGUUAACUAAUAAUGAAGUUAACCCGUCAAUUUUUCCGCAUAUCAGAUAUCUCUCAGAAUAUGCGAUUCCAUAUUCAAUAAGCCACUCCACAUGCCCUGAGGUUUUCAUCAAACCACCCAUUAAGGAAACAUACUGACUCAUGUAAUUAUCAUUACUCAUCGGGUAAUGCAAUUGUUCAAAGGCAAGGACAUUUCUCAUUAUUUAUGUAGCGAACCCCAAUGGAAAUGGUGGGAUCUUCAGAACCCCAUCGGUGCUACUGAAUUGUAUGUCAAAUAUGUUUUCACCUUGUCACGCCUCAAACUUGACUCCAGCGUGCUGUAAUUCUGUCAAGCUGGGUAUGGAUGAUGGGAGUUUGAUGCAGGAGCAUAGGGGUGGAUCAAGAUAGAUAUUUACUAUUUAAUUAGUUAUUUCAUGAUAUAUUGUUAUUUUCUUAUUUAGGUAGUUUUAUGAUAUCUUUUAUUAUUUAUGUGUGAUUUUAUAAUUAAUUAGUAUACUUUUGGACCAAGUAGCCUUGGUGCUCAAGUCUUGUAAAGCCUAUAAAUAAGGCUAAUGUAAUAGUUGUAGAAUAGAUGUCGAUGAUUAAUAAAAUCGUUUAUUUGUGGCAUGGAUUUGCUACGAUAUAUGUGAGUUUGCACUAGCCCUAGAUUUCAGUGCUCGUGUAUGUGGUUGGUGACCUGUGUCCGGAUCCCGAUCCCCAUCAAUUGGUAUCAGAGCUAUGGCUCAAGAUCUGCUAUAUCGGGGAGGUUUUUGGAUGGAGGGUCGUUUUAACAACUACAACGACAUGGAGGAAAUUAGGAGGAUGCUACGGCAACUUAUGGAACACAUUGCUCGCAUUGAAGCUCGAACCCAGAUAGGUAAGAGUUCUGACGGGGAGGGAUGUGUGAACCCUUAUCUGAACCGAGUAGCUCGCAUCGACACUCUAAGCCGUGAGAGUCUCGACGGGGAGUACGAGGGAGAUAGCCCUUUUCAUUAUUGUGCUCCGCUGUGUGAGUCAAGUGAAGAGGGGCACGGUUAUUCUCAUUGUGUCUUUGAAGGUAUAAAUGAAUUUAGUAAUUUUGGUGCAUCUUGUUAUUCAUCAAAGUUAUUAAAUUUGGAUUUACCUCCAUUAUUUGAUCCUUGCAAUUGUGAAAAUUGCAAUAAAAAUUGUUUGGGUGUUCAAAGCAAUUUUGAUAAGCAAUUUAUUGACCAGAACAGUGAAGAGAUGAGAAUUGAGAAAACUUUCGAAGAUAUUAUUGAUUUUAUGGGCAUUAAUAUUUUCACUUGGAAGGUUGCCAAAAAUCUGGUUGAUUUUGUCAAUCGGUUGAAGAUUCUAGAGAGAAACAUUUGCAUUGCUAGAGGGAGUAAGAAGUCAAGAAUAACGAAAUAUUCCAAAUAUCUUUUUAUUUGGAAAGGAAGGUUUCAAUUGGAUGCUAAAAGAUCCAAAAUUAAUAUGCAGCAAUUGAAGAUUCUACUCGGAUUUUCCUUAAUCAAAGGCUUGAAUUCGAGGACGAAUUCUUUCCAACUAUGGGAGUCUGAUGCAGGAGCAUAGGGGUGGAUCAAGAUAGAUAUUUACUAUUUAAUUUGUUAUUUCAUGAUAUAUUGUUAUUUUCUUAUUUAGGUAGUUUUAUGAUAUCUUUUAUUAUUUAUGUGUGAUUUUAUAAUUAAUUAGUUUACUUUUGGACCAAGUAGCCUUGGUGCUCAAGUCUUGUAAAGCCUAUAAAUAAGGCUAAUGUAAUAGUUGUAGAAUAGAUGUCGAUGAUUAAUAAAAUCGUUUAUUUGUGGCAUGGAUUUGCUACAAUAUAUGUGAGUUUGCACUAACCCUUGAUUUCGGUGCUCGUGUAUGUGGUUGGUGACCUGUGUCCGGAUCCCGAUCCCCAUCAGAGUUCCCCUCCAGCUUUUGAUUCCAACGGUUGAUAGAGUUUAAAUAUUUUCCUGAAAAGAUCAAUAAUAUGUGCCACUGAUCUAAAAGUCUCCAAAUUGUCUUCCAAUUUGUCAACAGGCAAUAGAUGUUCGAAGAAACUGAAAGAAAUACAAAUUAUUGAAAGCCCCUCAGUAAUGCUGUUAUUGUCAGCAUUAGCAGGGAGUGUAAUUUUCUGUGGGUCGAAAAGAUCCUCGAGAAUGAAGAAUGGCAACUGAUUUUCAAGCAACCACGUAUCUGUCCAUGCAUCUUGCAACAUACCUGGUUUGUCAAAUAUGCGGUCAUUUUCGUCCCAAAAUUUGAAGUAGUCCUUCAAUAAGGGCUCAAUAACGAAGGCGGCGCCCACUAGAAUGAUUGUUACAAAUUCAUCACUGCUAAACUUGAUGGGUUCUCCAUAACAACGUCUCAAUCUUGCUUCGUGGUCCUUUAUUUUCUUAAUAUAAUCCUCCAAACUCACAUUGGUCCGACCUAUAAAAUCUUGCAGGUAUCUCUGUUUGUUCUCUUCCAAUACGACAUUCAAGCCUUCCUUUCCAUGGUGAAGUGGACCUAUAGAGACCGACUGCCUGAGGUGUGCAGAGCUUUUCAUUCACACAUACGUAGAUAAAAUGUCUGGGGGCUCAGAGAGUGAUGAAUGUGCAACAGCUAAUGGGAGGGUUUAUAUUCCUGAAGUAAGAAAUGAGGAAACACCAGCAGUUGGGAUGAAGUUUGACUCGCUUGACCUCGUUUACAAUUUCUAUAAUAGAUAUGCAUUCUUGGCUGGCUUUGGUAUUCGACUUCAUUCUAGCUUUUGGGGGAAAAAUAAGAAAGAGAUUUUGAGGAAAGAAUUUGUAUGUUGCAAACAAGGUGCAUACAAGAAGGAUGAAACUCGGGAGAGAAAAAGACAACGGGGAAUAAGUAGAUGCAAUUGCAAAGCAAAGAUUGUGGUUGUGAAGACAAAUGGGAGCAAGAAGUAUACCAUUUCUCUUUUUGCAGAGGGACACAAUCAUAAGAUGACACCCUCAGAAAGAAUGCAUUUAUUGAGAUCACACCGUCAUAUUUCAGAUUCUACAAAAGUACUCACAAAACAGUUGGGUUCAGUUAAUAUUCCCAUUCAUCAGAAGGUAAGUAUAUUCGAGGUGCAAUCCGGAGGAAUGGAUAAAAUCGGUUUUAUCAAAAAAGAUAUCUACAAUCUUGAAUGUAGUGUGAAUGGGAAGCUGAGGAACCACGAUGUUGAACUAGUGACCGAGUAUUUUAUGGCUGAACAGAAAAAAAAUGAGGCUUUUUAUUUCAAGAUUGAGGGAGAUGGGCAUGACAGGUUUAGUCGAUGUUUUUGGGCAGAUGCAACUUCUAGACGGGCGUAUGGGUUUUAUGGAGAUGUUGUUGUAUUCGAUACCACAUUCAACACGAAUCGAUACGACUUGACAUUUGCACCAAUGUUGGGAGUUAAUAACCAUGGUCAGACAAUUGUCUUAGCAUGCGCAUUUUUGAGCAAGGAAACGACUGAGUCGUUUGUUUGGAUGUUUGAGGAGUUUAAGAAAGCCAUGCCAGGUGGGGAACCUAAAACGAUCAUUACAGAUCAAGAUGCGGCAAUGGCCAUAGCGAUUUCAAUAGCCUUCCCGAGUACAUUUCAUCGACUUUGCAUAUGGCACAUCACAUCAAAGUUCUCUGUUAAGUUACCACGUGACGCUUAUAAGGAGUAUUGGCCUGAAUUUCAGAAAGCCAUAUGGGAUACUGACAAUAAGGAUGAGUUUGAUGCAAAAUGGAAUAUUGUGGUUAUAAAGGCUGGUUUGACUGACCAUCCAUGGCUAAGUUCAAUGUUUGAUUUAAGGGAAUCUUGGGUUCCAGCCUACGCACGACAAUUUUUUGCCGCUGGAAUGUCAAGCAGCCAAAGAGCGGAAGGUUCUCAUGGUUUUUUCAAGCAAUACAUAUCAAGGAGAAAUUCGUUGAUGGAUUUCAUAAUACGAUUUGAGAGGGCAUUUUCUCAUCAACGUGAAAAAGAGUUAGUUGCUGAUCACGUAGAUGCAUUUGAAGUGGCUCAAUGUCUUCUACCGAUGCCAAUGAACAAACAAAUGGCUACCUUGUACACAAGGACAAUGUUUCAAAAGUUUGAGCAAGAACUAAUACAAAGUACAGCAUGUUUCCUAGAGCUCAAAACAGAGGAUGCAUGUAAAGUUGUGUUCAACGUGAGCGAAAGGAAAAAUUGGGAAACAAGAGUGGCAGAAGUCGUAUAUGUCAAAGAUUCUGACCACGCAUCGUGUAGCUGCAAAAGAUUUGAAUUUGUUGGAAUUAUUUGCAAGCACAUCCUAGCAUUGUUCAGAAGGGACCAGAUUGAAUAUAUGCCCGAUAAAUAUAUUUUGAAGAGGUGGAAGAAAACUGCGAAAUGUGGAUUGGUGUCAGAUGCAAAUGGCAACGAAAUUAAAGACUGUGCAGAUCCUGGCCUUCUAAUAAAGCGGAGUACAAUGUCUCGACUUGCUUCAAAUGUGGUUGAGGAUGCAUUAAUGAGUGAAGAAGGAUGUGAGCUACUGUCAGAGACUCUAAAAAGUUUGCAGGUGAAGUUGAAGUUGCUGAAGGAUGGACCAAGUAAUAACGAAGUUGGAGGGUCCAGCUCUCAAACACAAUAUAUGAAAGACCCUAAGAGAGUGAGGUGCAAAGGAAGGUCGAAAGGAAUAACGGGAGCAAAGGAAAAGGCAAUGAAGCGAGGGAUUAGACACUGUCGGGAGUGUGGACACAUUGGUCAUGAUAGAAGACAAUGCCCAGCCUUGAACACACCGUAAGAUGCUACCACUAUUUGUAAUAAUAUCUAAAAUAUGAAAAGGUAAAAUUUUUAUGUGCUUGUGUUUGAUGUUUAUGCAGGACAUCACCGUCGAACAAUGACAAAUCAACUCCAAUACAUCGUAGUGACCCAUUAUUCGACGAUUUUGACAAGAUGCACAGACCAACUGAAUGAUUGAUAUUUGUAUUAGACGAAAUGUGGUUGUUAUGAAGAUUAAUGAUCAAGUGAAGUUUUAUAGAUUCAGUUUUUGAAUGUUAUUGUGUUUUUGUUCAUGUCCACCGAUGAGCUCUUACUAUGUCCACUGGUAAUUGAAAUGAAAAUUUUCUUGGUUUCAUUCUUCCAAGACAUUUGGAGACAUGUUAAUUUUACGUCUUCUCCCUAUUUAUAAAUUUUCAUAGACAUUUGAUCAAGUUUGAAAUUUGUAGUUAUGUGAAGAAGCAAUGACUCUUACCAUGUAAAAUGGGCAGUUUAGGGUGAAAUUUGUUUUAACAGAGAUUCAUUUUUCAAUUCCUCAGGGUAAUGCAGCAAUUACAGCAGCCAGCUGUUGUUUCCAUUACCAGUAAUCAUUUCCAGCAGCAGCCACUUUUUCCGACUGGUUAUUAGGGGCACGAUUUUGUACACUUUUGUAAGUGAAGGAUACUCGAAGCACUUUGUUGGAACAGAGCAAAUAGAAACCAGCGGGUAAAAAAAAAACAUAACAUUGCAGCUAAUUACAUUUCGAUACAUAGGUGAAAAAUAUUAAAGGGUACACUAACUUACAUAAAUACUCAUAAUUCCACACACAAAAGAACAUUUGAUUGCAAAACAUAUUAUGUGCUUCCUCAUAGCAAUACCACGAUCUCCCCAACCAACUGAACAACGGUAGCCACAAUCACUGGGUCGUACUCGUCAGCUUCUUCUUAGCAGGUCUCACAUGCUUAUGGCCACUCAUAUCCCUAGUGAUAUACACGAAAUAAAUCUUCAGCAAUAUUUGGAAUUUUAUUAUAUAUAAAUAAACCAUAAACCAUUCAGUAAACAAUGUAUAGCACAUGUUAUGUAACUUAUGACUCACGUGUCAGUUUUUUUUUUAACACAUUAGUACUCCAGCUCUUUAAUGUAAAUGGACAUGAUAAGGAGCAUUUACUGAUUCCCGGCUUUCUAUGAUAUUGACUGCUUCUUGAAUAAUAUUUCCAUAUUUGCAAAAUAUAAUGUUAGACAUUAUAACACAUGAUGACUUGCAAUACAUAGUCCCAAUAAUUAUAUAUCAAGCAAAUGAAACUGAUAUUUGUGUUAUUUUAAGUUAGAUAAUGACAUUAAGGGAGUAUAUGUGCAAUACCACGGUCACCCUCAACCAACUGAACAGCGGUAGCCGCAAUCACUUAGUCGUAUCGGUCGGCUUCUUCCGAGCAGCUUUGACGUGCUUAUGCUCAUUCAUGUCACCCCCAUCGUCUAGUAUCUCUCUCACAGCAUCAGGGGACACAUAGUUCCAAUCAUAACUUGUAUGAGUAGUUGCCGCAAAUGCUCGGAAUUUGUCGAAUCCUUCGUUGAAUGCCAACUCCAGUUCAGUAUGGUGCUCUUCGCAUCGCAUAUGGUUCAUCAAACAACCUUUGAUUUCAUCAUUCAUUACUGUAUCCAACUCCUCAGCUUUCAGCUUCCUGCUAUGACUCAGCUUCAAGUACUUGUUCUUUUGGGAUAACGCUUUGUUCACCCUAAUGUUAAGAUCAGCCAAAAUUGCCUCGUCUUCAACACAUUUCUCGUGCCAUGAAUUGAUCAGUCUGGAAUUAUAAUCCAGCUUGCCACUGACUGCAUGUAUUGCCUGUAAUGGAUCAUCGGAGUCCCCCUCACUCCCAAAUGAUGUUGAAAAAGGAAGGGGUCGGCGAGUACAAUGUGGAAAUAGAACCUGCCACUCCAAUUUGUCAUCUUCGAUUGUGUUGUUGGCGCCUGAAGAGGUUGACAUGCUUGAAUAAUCCUCUUUGUUUUGGGAGGAUGAGGAUUGCAUAUGCAAUUUCGUUUGAGAAAGGGAACAUAGGUUUAUAGACCAACAUACCAAAGCUUGUGUGUAGUCAACAUAUGUACUUUUUGGCGGGAAUUUUUUAAAAAUAGGUGUUAGGUUUUGCUUUUCAAGCAUGUCAACCUCACACUCUCCUGACACCACUGCUAGUGGUUGAAACAAAGUCAAUGGAAGUGACAUCUACUUAGUUAACUCAACCAAACUAGUUAGGAUUAAACUUAGAUUGUAUCAGACCAAAAAAUAAUUUCUACUUUGUCAACCAAAUAUUUUUUGGCGGGAACCCUUUUCUUGGUAUUACUAUCACCCCUUUCAUAUAAAAUCUCCUUCCACACAAAACUCACUCCUCCACCGAAUCUGUCUCCAUCUACCGAUACUCUCUCAAGCAAACAAACUCAUUCCCCCCAAAGAAUGAGCAUAAGCACAACCAAGUUUGAUGUGAGCAUAAUAAACACCCCUCCAAACAAAGACCGGCUUCGACACGCAAGUGAGUCACCGGACAAGCAAUGUCACAUUGCUAGACAGAAUGACCAUUUUGUUGGAAGUUUUGAGUCUGAAAGAGUUGUUGCUUUUUGGAAGGAGAGGCAUCUUCAACUUGGUGAUGAAAUCCAAAGGGCAAGGGCACGUUUGGAAUUUGUGGAAGGCCAAAUUGAAGAUGACAAAAGGCAGGCCAAUCUGGAUAGGGCGAAGUUGUAGCGCAUGAAGCGUAGACACAAACGACUUCGGAGUGUAGCUGUUCAAAAAUACAAGAACUCAUCUAAUGUAGUGGAGUCAAAGAAGCGUGUGAUGCAAGCUGGAUUCGACUACUUCCGAUCCUAUGCAAAACUCGUCGUACCCGGGUUUGAUUGGUCAUCUAUUACCGUUUCCGACGUCACCAAAUAUACUCAGCAAGGGAAGUAACCAUUUUGGUUCUCGUGUUUUAGCAGAGGCAAAUAAGUGGAAUUGGAAUUUUGGUUACACUCUGCUUCAAAGCUAUUUUGAUGCUAACUACUAUGGAAGAUUUAAACCUUAAUAUUUUGAUGUCUUUAAUUACGAAAACAGAAGAUGCAAAGAGCUCAUCUACUUCAGCCAUAUGUUGCUGCCAUGUCCAUUUGUUUUUGAUCACUUAUCAGAUUUGGACAUGGUUGCAUCAUAUGCAAUGUUGCCUUUAUUUAUUAUAUGUUAGGACAAGGUUUAUGGAAAAGCUUUUGUGAGUGCGUUUGUGACAAGGUUAUGGAAUUAUUAUGUACACUUUAUAUAUUGUUUUUUGUACUGGUUCAUUUCCUACUAUUUCUUGCUUUCUUUAUAUUUUAUGUUUGUGGAAUCCCUCUCAAAGUUAACAUAUACUGUGAAAAAAAUAUUAUGCAACUGAUUAUAUAAUCACUCAUAUAGACUAGGACAAAUAUUCACUAAGGGUUUUAAACUUGCUUCACUUGUGUGAUGUUAUUGACAAAAAGUAUGGCAUUAUUUAUGUGAUUUGACAUGAUUGAAAAUAUAUUACUGAUUCCCAAUGCGGCGUCAUAUGGACAACGUAUUGAAUACCUGUGACGUGUUAAUAACUCAAGGUGCAGUUGCAUGUGGACAACUUCUUGAAUACCUCUGACGUGUUGAAAACUCUAGGUGCAGUUGCAUGUGGACAACUUAUUGAAUACGAACUGACGUCUUCAAAGCUCUAGGCGUAGUUGCAAUGAUGGCUUCAAAGCAUGUGCAAUUAUUUUUUAUGUACAUUAUUAUAACAAAACAUAUUAUUGUAUAUAGUGAAACUAAAUAUUGUAUUAUUAGAAAUUAUAUUUCGAAUAUUAUCCGAAAUAUACGUGUUAACGUGAAUUUGGGUUAAGAGGAAAGUGAGUUAUGUACAAAUAAUUUUCAUUUUCUCAUUUUCCGGGCAUUUUUUGGAUUUUCGUAGAAUUUAUUACCUAUGUCCACAGAUUGUUGCACUAAAAAAGCCAAAAUAAUAGCAAGAGGACACCUGGAGCGAUCUCAGCCCGUCACUGAUGACUACUUGCACAAGUGUACGUCAGUCAACAUGGCCACACCCUCCCAUUUUACCCUAAAUUAUUAUUUUAUUACUUUUCCUUACAAAAAUCAGAACUAAUUACACACAAAAUAAAAAAAUUAUCCGAAAAUUGCUACGAACUCAUUGACACUCCAUCUCCGUUGCUGAAUUCUCCGAUUCAUUGUUACGUAUUUGUAAAAUUAAUUCCCAACAUUAACGGGAGAUGCUUGUUGAAGUAGGUUAUUCAAGUUGAAGUUAACAAACAUCAAUACUUAGGGUUAAGAGGAAAGUGAGUUAUGUAACACAAUUUGGAUUAUUUCAUUGCGAGACGAAUGAUUUAUAGGUUCUCCUAGUUUUAUGACGUCACAAGUAGGCCGGAGUAAUUUUUGGGGCAUUUUUACGAUUUUCCUACUAUUUUUUACCUAGUUUCAAAGAUUUUUGAACAAAAGAAUCCAAAAUGUAAAAGAAGAUGACACCUGGCGCGAUCUCAGCCCGUCACUUUUCACUACUUGCACAAGUGUACGUCAGUCAACAUGGCCACAUCCUCUCAUUUUACCCUAAAUUAUUAUUUUAUUACGUUUUGUCUUGGAAAAUUCAUAACUAAAUACACAAAAAUUCAAAAUUAUUUCUGAAAAUUGCUACGAACUCAUUGACACUCCAUCUCCGUUGCUGAAUUCUCCGAUUCAUUGUUACGCAUUUUUAAAAUUAAUUCCCAACAUUAACGGGAGAUGCUUGUUGAAGUAGGUUAUUCAAGUUGAAGUUAACAAACAUCAAUACUUAGGGUUAAGAGGAAAGUGAGUUAUGUAACACAAUUUGGAUUAUUUCAUUGUGAGACGAAUGAUUUAUAGGUUCUCCUAGUUUUAUGACGUCACAAGUAGGCCGGAGUAAUUUUUGGGCCAUUUUUACGAUUUUCCUACUAUUUAUUACCUAGUUUCAAAGAUUUUUGAACAAAAGAAUCCAAAAUUAACAAGAAUAUGACACCUGGCGCGAUCUCAGCCAGUCACUUUUGACUACUUGCACAAGUGUACGUUACCGAACAUGGCCACAUCCUCCCAUUUUACCCUAAAUUAUUAUUUUAUUACCUUUUUUCUUGGAAAAUUCAUAACUAAAUACACAAAAAUUAGAAAAACGAUCCGAAAAUUUCUACGAACUUAUUGCGAUUUCAUCUUCCUACUGCAUUCCCUGUUUAAUGGUUAUGCUACAUUAGUAUUUUAUUAUUAUUUAUCCACAAUUAUUAUAAUUAUUAUGAUAUUACUUUUUAGGCUGUCCAUUUGUUAAUUAUACCACAUCCAACUUGUUGAAAACAAUUUUAUUUUCCGUGCGAAUAGGCCAUUUGUAGUGCUUAUCGGUUUCUCUGUUCUUCAAUUUGUUAAUUUUUUUAUUUUUUAGGUUGAAGGGAUGUUUUGAAACAUAAUAUGGAAAUAUACAAGUCAUCCAUUGUACUCCUUCCACACAAAAAAAUAGUCUACGUCAUUCACUGUUCAACACCCUAGGUUAAGACACGUGUAACCAAAUCCGUUCGGAUAUGCUAAGUGGGAAAAUGUCAUUCCCAAGCACUGGUGAAAAGACACUUAUUUACUCCAUGCAUGACUUUUGGUUUACCAAAUAUGAAGAUUGGGGUCGGUGAGCAAAAUAUCUGUGUCAGUAAAAUGUCAUUCCUAGCCAUCUAUGAUGUAAGUAAUAAUUCCGCUAUAUAAUAAAUAUUAUACAUUUAUAUAUAAAACGGUUUAUGACAAAAUACCAACAUUUGAACAACAUUUAAACUGAGAUAGGUAUAACGUAGCCAGCCAACCUAGAAGUGAAGAGAAGCAAGUCCACAAUGCAUCAAAACUGUAAAUUCGUACUAAAACUAAUGCAAAAAUACGUGAUUCCCUCGCACAACUUACUCACGCAGGAUUUUGCACCAAAAAAUACUCUCACGGUGCCAUUUGCAUCGGUUGCAGCAAGUCCAAAACGCAGGAUUUAUCUUGUCUUCACUAGGCCACCCUGGAAUAACAAAAUACCAUUCAUUGUUGUUACAAGCGCUGCACCGAUUGAACUUAAUCUUCCCAUAGUCAAACAUAUCUACGAUAUGUCUUGCAACAAAUGCUCCGCGACAUCUUCCUGUUAAAGCAUCCCUGGUUCCUUUCAUAUCAAUGUUGUUACGUUGAUUCAAAGAACACAAGAAUUGUAAUGCAUCCUCUUUUGACUGACCAAUUCCGGACAUACCAAGUAGUCCAACUACAUAUGCCGCUUCCAUAUGGCCUGCCGUGGCUGCAAUGCGCAUCCCAUACAACGCUUCCACCUUACCGUCUGUGAAAAAACCUUCGAAUGCUUCUCUAAAUAUGGACUCAGGGUUAUCGCAAGCCCUGCAUUGUUGCAAGAAAUGCUGGACUGCAGGUUUGGCACGGUAGCAGAUAGGAUGGUGUGGGUACUUUGCCAUUGAAAUGGUGUUCCACACUUGUGGACUGUUUGCCAAAAUGUUGAACAAUCGGCACACACAUGCCAUACGGAAGAGAUCUUCCGAUGAUUCGGUUGCCACGUAUAACAUCACUUGAAACCAAGCGGACUCCGGGAUAAAGGCUUCGGGCAUAUCGAAAUGGAGAUGCUUCCUUCUCUUUCCUCCGACUGUAGUGAAGUGUUUCGAAUUCAUUGAAAAGUUUUUGGAAUGGAACGAUUUGAGGAGUGGCAGAGGGGAUAAAUGAUAAUAUUUGGGGUACACGUUCUACUUCCGAGCCUCUGUUUAUAGUGUUUUGAAAAGGUGUUUCCAGUUGGGGUUUUUCCAAGUUGACCCUUUUGAAAGAAACUGAAUCCAAGUGAAUUAAAACUUAAGACAAAAGAAGGGAAAACGUCAUAACGGUGCAUACAGAGUCAGACAGUUAAAAAGUUAAUUAAAUGGCUAUUUGCAUAGCCAUUUUUGGGUUUAUCCCACUAUCAAAUUCAUUGAUACAAAUGUGAUGGAUUACUGACUAGUGACAGAAGGUCCCAUCAUAUACUUUUUCAUUUUCGCACACCCAACUAUCCCUAGUAAUGUUAUUAAAAUGGAACCAAUAAUGACGGAUUCUUAUCCAACUAGUUGCCUUAAUGAAAUAUAAAUAAAUUAAUAAAAUUGAAGCAGUGUCCCGUCAUUAGUCAGAAAAUAUAUUUGGUAGUGAAGUAGUUUCUAUUGCUUUUCGGGCUAAAAGAUGUCACAAUGCUGACGGUACAGGUGUCGACAUCGUGACCAACCCACCAAAUGAUCCCAAAAAAAAGUAAUAUAACUCGAUUUGGGCAGAGAUGAGAGAGAGCUGAGUGACAAGUUUAGGGUUAUGAGUGAAGGGGUAUGAAUGACAACUAUGAGUGAGAAGGUAUGAGUCCGAAGAGGUUUCAGUGAGAAGAUUUGAGUGAGAAGAGGUACAACUGAGAAGAUUCAACAUGUCUUCGUCUUCAUCUCCUGCUCAAACAAAGAGGUGUCAGUAUUGUGGAGCUACAAUGGUGCUUCGGGUUUCAAAAUCUGAAAAAAAAUCGAGGGAAGCCAUUCUGGAAGUGUCUAACCUCCUAUGUAAGUUUUAAUUUAAAGAAUAUGUAUGUGGGUGAAAAAAAACCUAUGUCUAACUCUGACAGAAUUAUAUUCCAUAUAUGAUGCCUGCAAUUAGGGAGCCACCAGUUGCAAUGGAUUCGAAUGGGUUGAUGUAACCUCCGCUGAAGCAGAACAUCAAGAUGACACGUAUGAUGUUAGAGUGCUGAACAUGCUGAAGUCCAUUAAGGACUUGGUAUUAGUUUUAUUAGUUGUAUUAAUUGUCAUUUUAUUUGUUCUUUUAAUGAUCAUUUAACUGCACGGUUUAAAAGAUUGUGAAAGUUCUCUCGCACAAGACAUAUUGCACGCACCACCAAUGAGACCCUAAACCCAUUUUGUAAUAUUUGGUAACUGCAUGUAUUUCGCAUGUUAUUGAAUGUUUAUUGAAGGUUUAUUGAUAGUUUGCUGCAUGUAUAUGGAAUAUCAUUGCCCCAAAAUUGGAUGUUUAUUGGGGCCACAAGUAUCACUCAAGUAAGAAUGAAGGGGAGAAACGGACCUUAUUCUUUCUUAUAGUAGGAAGAACAACUGUUAAGUUUAAUAUCCUAUUCAAUACGACUUCCCUAUGGUUGGUGUACUUGGGGACUGAAGUAUAUUGCAUCAUUAUUGUGGGCAAGGGCAUGUCUAUUGUGUGUGUUAAGGGAGUAUUGUGUGGGCAAGGGCAUGUCUACUGUGUGUAUAUUGCAUGUCUACUGUGUGUAUAUUGCAUAUCUAUUCUCUGUAUAUGGCAGGCCAAGUUUGUGUAUAUUGUUUGUCUGUUGUGUGUGUAUUGCUUGUCGGUGCGUUUGUGAAUUGUGGUUCAUUUUGUGUAUAUUGUCUUUGUUUCUACUUUUAUGCUACUGAGCUGCGGAAAACCUCGCAUGUUUAGACACCUAUUAUGAUGCAACACAUUGCGAUUAAUGGUGGCUUGCAUCAACAAUGACAUAUCACUUUGCAAUGAUGUAAUACACUUAAAAAGCCGUCUUCAAAUCCCAAUUCACAUAUGCAGUCUUAAAAUUCUAAUUCAAUGCAGUUUGGUUAACAAACAUGUAAAUGUCAUGAAGGAGUUAGCGGUAGAAUUCGAUAAGGACCCGUACGUCUCUAUUGUGUAUUUACAUUAGUUUGAGAAUGGACAUUCCCAAAACCUUCUCAUGUACCAUUUGUCAUCUUCAACCAAUAUCAUGGGAAGUAAGCAUCUCCCCUUGUUAUCUCCGCAGCCAAUUUCAACCGAAAAAAAGGCAUGUUGUGCGAGGUGCAAGUAGCUAACGGAAGCUUAGCGCUGAAAAGCUCAAUGUACUUUAACACAAACAUGCCACAAUCGCCUCUGAAGCAAAACAAGAACUCGAUCAAUUCAACUAAUGACAUUCUAAUGUAAUUGACAAUUGAAAGUAAUAAAAUUAAAUUGCAAGUUGUGCUUACUCAUUAGACUGUUGUGGAACAUCCACACGCUCUAUUGGCCACGGACACCACCAAUCUCGGCUGCAAUUGUUUGCAUAAACACCUUCUUCAUAAAAGUCGAUGGUGUUGAGAAGAUUUGGAAGCGUAAUUGAUAGCGGGCCGAGUUCUUCCUUUACGAUGUCAUCUGGAAUUAGUGAAACCUUUGAAUCGUACACUUUGAUUCACACAAUACCAGAUCAAACANNNNNNNNNNNNNNNNNNNNNNNNNNNNNNNNNNNNNNNNNNNNNNNNNNNNNNNNNNNNNNNNNNNNNNNNNNNNNNNNNNNNNNNNNNNNNNNNNNNNNNNNNNNNNNNNNNNNNNNNNNNNNNNNNNNNNNNNNNNNNNNNNNNNNNNNNNNNNNNNNNNNNNNNNNNNNNNNNNNNNNNNNNNNNNNNNNNNNNNNNNNNNNNNNNNNNNNNNNNNNNNNNNNNNNNNNNNNNNNNNNNNNNNNNNNNNNNNNNNNNNNNNNNNNNNNNNNNNNNNNNNNNNNNNNNNNNNNNNNNNNNNNNNNNNNNNNNNNNNNNNNNNNNNNNNNNNNNNNNNNNNNNNNNNNNNNNNNNNNNNNNNNNNNNNNNNNNNNNNNNNNNNNNNNNNNNNNNNNNNNNNNNNNNNNNNNNNNNNNNNNNNNNNNNNNNNNNNNNNNNNNNNNNNNNNNNNNNNNNNNNNNNNNNNNNNNNNNNNNNNNNNNNNNNNNNNNNNNNNNNNNNNNNNNNNNNNNNNNNNNNNNNNNNNNNNNNNNNNNNNNNNNNNNNNNNNNNNNNNNNNNNNNNNNNNNNNNNNNNNNNNNNNNNNNNNNNNNNNNNNNNNNNNNNNNNNNNNNNNNNNNNNNNNNNNNNNNNNNNNNNNNNNNNNNNNNNNNNNNNNNNNNNNNNNNNNNNNNNNNNNNNNNNNNNNNNNNNNNNNNNNNNNNNNNNNNNNNNNNNNNNNNNNNNNNNNNNNNNNNNNNNNNNNNNNNNNNNNNNNNNNNNNNNNNNNNNNNNNNNNNNNNNNNNNNNNNNNNNNNNNNNNNNNNNNNNNNNNNNNNNNNNNNNNNNNNNNNNNNNNNNNNNNNNNNNNNNNNNNNNNNNNNNNNNNNNNNNNNNNNNNNNNNNNNNNNNNNNNNNNNNNNNNNNNNNNNNNNNNNNNNNNNNNNNNNNNNNNNNNNNNNNNNNNNNNNNNNNNNNNNNNNNNNNNNNNNNNNNNNNNNNNNNNNNNNNNNNNNNNNNNNNNNNNNNNNNNNNNNNNNNNNNNNNNNNNNNNNNNNNNNNNNNNNNNNNNNNNNNNNNNNNNNNNNNNNNNNNNNNNNNNNNNNNNNNNNNNNNNNNNNNNNNNNNNNNNNNNNNNNNNNNNNNNNNNNNNNNNNNNNNNNNNNNNNNNNNNNNNNNNNNNNNNNNNNNNNNNNNNNNNNNNNNNNNNNNNNNUUUUCCUCUCCCUCAUCUCUAUUAUUUGGCCCUUCACCCCCUUCAAUCCCUUCAUCUUCUUUUUCCUCUCCCUCAUUUCUGUUACUUGGCCCUUCAUCCCAUUGAAUGUCAUCCAUUUCCCCAUAUCCCUUAAAUAGAUGUGAGACGACACAACGAUUCGUCCUCUGUUUCAGUAAAGCUAGGUCCCUCCUUACUUCCUGCUCAAACUGAGGACCUAAACAUUGGUCCAAUAGUUUUUCCAUCCGUAUGACCUUUAAGUGAAGGACGUCUUUUUCCCGCUUUUCUUGAAACAACUCGGACCUCAACAAGCUUACCACCUUGUUCAACUCAUCAAGAUCACCACAUGAAGAAGGAAUUGACUCUGCCGAGACAACAGCAGGGCGAUCCUGUGGCCAACUCCAAUAUGGCUGUCUCAUUUCCUCUUCACUUAGACAUAGCGCCCGCAACUGAACUGACUGUUUCAGAAUACAGACAAGAGUCAUAUUAAAUCAUUCUACUUCAUAAUUUCAUUCAAUCUUAUCAAUAGUUCUAAGGGCUGCAAACCAAACCUCUUUGCUCUGGAAAAAAUAAUUGUUCAACUUUCUCAUCUCUGGAACAGACGUAGUAGUUCUCCAUCGCAAAAUACGCGGGACAGCGGUCGGAUCAACAACCUUGCAGUAAUUCAGGUCCGCCAUUCUAGGAAUUAAUUCAUAUACCCAAAUCUACACAAUUCACAGGACAAAAGUCAUUAUUUAUGUUUUAAAGAAAAACAAAACAUAACUGACAUGAACAUUAUUACCAUGUACCUGGAAAGCAUACGUGAAACCUUUAAAACUCCAGCCACUCCUUUGCGCUUCACUAUGCUUAUCCUUCUUGCCCUUCUCAUUUCUCCGGCUUGUUCCCGUUACCUUACUUUUCCCCUUCCCUCUUCCCUCUUCAUUUUCCAAGCUUUUCACAUACUUUGUUGGUGCAGAAAAUAGACUGUCUUGGGUUUUGUCAAAGGACACCGAACCCCACGGAUACCUGUUGAACGCAUCCAAGUCCUCUACAAGGGUCAGGUAAUUUAGAUUGAUGUUCAAAUGUUUGUCCCUUCCCAAAACCACUAACUCAGCAAAGUAAACAAGAGGUAGCUUGAAGAUGUCAUCUUCCUCUGUGCACCUCACAAAUGCUUCUUCUAAAGCAUUGCAUGUAAUUCCUUCGUCUAUAAAAUAUCUUUUCUGAAGUCUGAUUUCAUUACUCUCUCCACUGGAAACUUCAGGCACUUCCCCAAAACGAAGCCCUGUGAUCAAACAGAAAUCCUGACGAGUGAACUGAGCAACGUCACACCCUAAUAAGAAACUCAGUCCAUCCAAGUCUUUCACACCCUGCCCCGCUACUCUACGCAACACAACCCCAUGCACAAUCUGUCCGCUAAACUGAAUCUUAUCUAUAUUCAGAAGAUGGCCAAAGCAUGAUGUCUUGAAUUGUUCUAAUUGUUCCGCACUCAACUUCGCUCGAAUUGCAGCUAGAGAUGAAUUUGCAUGUGAGCAGUUGUUCACCCGUGAUGAAUAUACCUCUGCCUCUGGCCAUACCAGCUCCACGUUGGAUCCCAUUUCCUCAAAUACAAUGUGAAAUAACGUGAACAUAUAUACUACCACGUAUUUGCACAAUCACAACUAGUCAACCAGGCACAUUACAACUUUUACAAAGUACAUGAGCAUAUGGAUUACUCAUCACAGGCUUUAACAUCAUCAAAGCAAUAUGACAAUUUUUGUGCAAAUACCUGUUAAUGCAAUGAUUAUGUGAAUUACAAACAAUUUCACGUGUUUUAUUUAUGGAUCCAUACUCGUGUGAGUGCAAUGUAGGCAAGUUCUGCACUUCACACACAUGACAAUUAUUGUCAUCUCAUACACAACCCAAAAUAAAUAAAUAAGAAAUAUAGUGGAAGGAAGCAAAGCAAAGCAUGUACUCUGCUAUCUGCUUGCUAAGCAAUUGCCACAUCCUUCUUUCUUUCUACCUUUUUCUUCAGUCACCCACAAUCGUCAUAGAUCAACCUUCAUUUCAAAUGCUUUGCACUUUUAUUCAUGAGUUUAUUAUUAUCUGUUCUCAUUUCUCAUAGGCAAAUUUAGUAACAAAUGAAAUAAUAUUUAUUUCACAAAAUAUAUAAAUUCUAGUGCCAGAGAGGUACUCUUCACUCUGCACUGCUUCAAAUGUGGAAGGUUUUGAGAUGUUAUUGACAUGUGAUUGACUUUAUUUUCAUUCGUUUUUUAACAUAUACCCAAGCAAAAAUUAACAUGCAAUUGAAGCACAAAUAAGAGAUGCCAAAUCCAACAACAUUGAUGGUACAAAUUGGGGAAAACCAUUACUCUAACCCUAAACUCAAAUUCCUUACAUUACUCAUCAAAUGCUUUGCAGUUCUAUUCAUGAGUUUAUUAUUAUCUGUUCAAAUGUUUCUCAGGCAAAUUUAGUAACAAAGGAAAUCAUAUUUACUUCAUAAAAUAUAUAUAUAUAUAUAUAUAUUCUAGCGCCUCUUCUUAAUCUGCACUAUGCACUGCUUCAAAUGUGGAAGGUUUUGAGGGCCUCCUCCAAUUCAACACCAUUAUCUUAUUCAUAUCAUUAUUGACAUGUUAUUCACUUGUUAUUGACUUCAUUUUCAUUCUUUUUUUAACAUAUACCUAAGCAAAAAUUAACAUGCAACUGAAGCACAACGAAGAGAUGCCAAAUCCAACAAAAUUUAUGGUACAAAUUGGGGAAAACCAUUACUCUAACCCUAAACUCAAAUUCCAUAAAUUACUCACCAAAUGCUGGUUAUUGCAAGGUGUCUGUGUGGGGUCUUUCUGUUUCUUUGCUCCACAAAUGGAACCUACCACUUCCAACGAAUACAGCUUUUCCCCUUCCCCUUCCACUGCUUCGCCUCUUCACUGAUUUGGAAUCCACACCUUUGCCCCUUCUACUCCAAAUAAAUACUUUCUCGGGGUCUGGAGAACGGAGUGGCGAAUCGUUGCCUUCAACUGUCGUUAGCCGUUGCCUUCAUUGGGUAUCUCAGACCUCUGUGUUUUAGAGAGAUGAGUUCUUUCUGUUCAAACUUCGAACUUGCCUCUUCUUCUUCUUUUUCGGACGUGUUUCCCUCUUCUUCUUCUUUUUGGACGUGCUGGAUAUUCAAUUCGGGUUUGGGUUCCUUACCUACCCAAUUGUGAAACUUUAACUCAAUUCUCCCCAGCCCUUGGAUUAAUCUGAUGGCUAUAAAGUGAACCCCUUAUAACUUACCCCUUAUAACUUUCCACUCAUUAUAGUCUUGGCCAGGUAUGGCGGCCAUGCUAGUAAGUGUUGGGUCUUUGACCCAACUUAAGCUAAAUGGGUCAUAAGAUGACCGAUCAUCUUAUCUCAUAAGGAUAUAUAAGUCAUGUUAUGAUUUAGGAUUUUAUAGGGUUUCCUUUGUAAGAGGUAAGAGAGAAACAAGCUCUCUCUCUCUCUACACAAGGAGGUCAGCCAUAGCAAGGGAAAGGCUCCUAGCACUCUCCUCUCUCUUAUUAUAUCAUCCUUCCAAGGACAGCUUUGGUAUGGUAAAGUUGGAGGUUGCACACUUUGUGCACUUUGGUAAGAACUCAUCCAAGGGAGCCAAGAUUAAAUUGGUUAGCUGUUGGAUUAAAUUGGUUAGCACGAUUCAACGGUUAAUAGAUAAAACUUCACAUAAAAGUCAUAUAUAAGGCCCUCACUAUAGAAUGACUCGUUAGUUUAGUCUCUUGUUACAUAUCAAAUGUUAGAGAUAUUUUUUAAUAAGGAUCUGCCAUACCACAUAGUUGGAUAAGACAUUAUACACGGCUUUUGUAAGAGCAUCUCCAGCGCUCCAAACUAGCCCAAGCAGCAGGGGGGCCUAAGUCUAGGAAGCAGCUCCAGCUCGCAAGAUUCAACCCAGGCAAGGUGUGGAACCCACGAGGAGAUCUAGCCCGUCACCUUGCCUUUGGGUUUCAGUCAAGCUGAUGUCAACGAAAGAAUUUCAAAUUUUUUUUACCGUUACAAUGUACGCGCCAACGAUAAAUUUUCUUUGGAUUUCUUGCAUUGAUCCACAGCUACCAAAAACCAACAGCUACAAGCCACGUGGCUUCUCCAGGAGCCUCCGAUCCAAAAAUCAUGUCAAAUCUAACGGCAGUCCAUUUUUUGGCUAAAAAUAUCAAAAAAUUAUGGAAACAUGUUCUAUAAAUUCCUACAAAUAUUAUUCACUUCCCACACCAAAUCUUCAUACAAAUUCAUAUCCUUUCAAUAUUUUUCACUUUCCAUACAAGAUUUUCUACUACUAAGUUUCGUUUGUGUAAAAAUACAAAUGACCUCUUCUAUCGAAGCCGGAGGCGCGUGUACAACCGUGGAAGAUAUUUUGUUGCGUGAGUGUUGGGUCAAAGUUGGUCAUUCCCUGAUCACGGGCAAUGAGAUGAAGUCCUCUCGUAGGAGUUUCUGACAUCGCAACGAAAGUAAGAUGUGAUAUGAAAAUGUAAGGAAUUUGAUGAGAGGAAUGGGAUUUGAGGAGUUUGAUGUAGGAAUUGAUGUAGGAAUUGAAUUUGGGAGGUAUGUAUAUAAGAUUUGAGGGUAUGUGUUUAGGGAUUUUGAUAAGAGGAUUUGAGGAAUUUAGAUUUGAAGGAUUUGGAUUUGGGGAAUUUAAAUAUGAGGAAUUUGAUUAGGGUUUGGGUUUGAAUAUGUGAAAUUUGAUAUGAGAGUUUAGAGACAACAGAUGAUCGAUUGCUCUGAUACCAUGCUAAAAUAUGAUAUGGUUUGAAUACUUUAGGUUGAGUUUUAUUCUUUUCCAUAAAAAGGUAUAUAUAGGAGUUUACAUGAGUGCUUUACAAAGAAAUAGAUACAAUAAUCAAUUAGGAUAAUAUCUCCUAAUUAUACAAUAAUUUGUCAACUAUAUAGAAUAGGAAAGUAAAUUCCUUAAUUAAUCAAGAAAAUAAAUCUCAUUGAUUAAUUAGGAGACUAACGUCAACAUUUAUAAGCCAUAAAAGAGCAGAAAAAGAGGUACUUAGGAGAUUUUAUACGUCGGACUAAGGUAAGCUUAAAGGACUAUAUCAAAAAAAUAAGGGACCAAGAAGCAAGACAGAGAAGUUGUUAUGCAAACCCAUUAAGUUUAGCAGUGAUGAAUUUGUAAAAAUCAUUCUAGUGGAUUCUGCCUUCACUAUUGAGUUCUUAUUGAGGUUCUAUCUGAAAGGAUCUGGACAUGAAGGAGACCGCUUAUUAAACAAACCGUGGAUGUUUACAGCCUGACAUGUGGUUGCUUGAAAAUCAGCUCCCAUUCUUUAUUCUUGAGGAUCUUUAUCACACAUACAUAAUAACCGACUCUUUUAGGAAUUAUUACAGUACUCAUGAUCAUGAGAGGCUUUCAAUAAUUAAUAUUUCUAAGAAUUUCUUCACAGCCGGAAUAUUGAAUUUGGAGGGGAAGGGAGACAAAUGGAACAGAAUAUCAUCUUCUUCUAGUGUUGGAAAUUUUAUAUUAUUUAAUAAUAUUUAAUUUCUAUUGUGAAUGAAAAAUAAGUUUCUUUAAGAAACGUGUGUCUUAGGCCAGUUUUUCUAACUGGUCGGCUUCCUUAGAUUUGUGCCUAUUGCUUUUCAAAGUAUAAUGAUGCAAUGGUUGUAUCUCGUUCAGGCAAAUGGAAGGUAUAUAGCAAUUUAUAGAACAAUACAGUAAUCCAGAAGAAAUAUUAUGAAAUGAAAAGAAUAAAAAGUAAAAAAAGAGAAAGAAAGGAAUUCCCACCUGCAAUGUAUAUGUAUGAAAGGAAGGACCAAGUUUGUUUUAAAAUGGUAAGAACAAGUUGAUUUUAAAUUGGGUUCAGAUCAACUCAUAGAUUUCUUGCCUUUUCUGUUCUCCUUCCUUGGACAUGAACUGUUUAAUCUUGGACUCUUCCCCAUCAUGUUGGGCCUGUCUUCUUCUUGAGGAUUGUAUAGGCCUAGGAAAUGCUUCGGGGUAGUUUUUGUGUUUUGGGCAUUGGGACCCAACUUCACAAAAAGAAAACAAAUUUGACCAAAACACAAAUUUGAAGGACAUUGAAAUUGUACCCGUAGGAUAGAUUAAAACACUAUAAGGGAGGUAAAUAGUACGUUUACAGAGUUUAAGUGUAAUAAAGGAAUAAAAACAUGCCCAGAGAAUUGAUAAGUGAUAUCAAUUCUUGAAUAUACGUGAAAAUUAUUUUAUGUGGUUAAACCCCACCUCUGGGGAAAAUCCACGGAACUUCUUAGUCCAACUUCUAUCACUUAUCCUAGACACAUUCUAGAUAAUGUUUGCCAACCUCUUCGUAACUCAACUUCUGUCACGAGAUGAUCUUUCAACACUUUAUGUCGAACGCAAUACUGGUCACGAUUUCUUCAAGCUCGCCGGAGUUCUUCCAAUUCUCCUUAUAUUGAAUCUGAUACUAGUCACGAUCGAUUCAAGCUCAUCGGAGAAAAAUCGCCACAACAAUCUUGGUGCCCUCAACCGUAUGAGUCACUGAACAUGCAAAUGAAUACAAUAUGAAUGAUAAAAGUGUUUGAUAAAUCACCAAGUUAUGGAACACUUGAUGAUUUAUCUCAAAUAAAAAUUCAGCUUUCCAAAGUUUAUGAAUUGAAAAUAUGACCGUUAAAGCUCUCUAAACAAAGAAGACGAAGGUCUUAUUUUAUAGACUUUUACUUUACAAGAAAGAAAACACGUUGAAAACCAAAUCUCCAAUUUCCAAGGCUUGACAGAAAAUCACAAAAUUAUCUUUCCUAUUCUAGAGAUUGGUCACAUGAAGUCCAACCAAUAGGAAAUGAGAUAUUUAAGAAAGGAAGAUUUUGAUCAAUAUCAAUAUCAAAUGAAUUCUUAUACGCCUAGUCAAUUGUUAUGGGUAUCUUGACUCCUUGAUAUUGUGAUAUGAUUGAAACAUGAUUUCCACGUUAGAAAAUUAAGGGGAUGUUAAAACAUGAAGGUAAUAGGAGAAUCAAAUUGAUUUGGGCCAAAAUUGCCUAAAAAGAAAACACUCCUUAAUAAACUUCAAUUUACUUUUAAAAAUAGUAAAACGUGAUUGAAUCGUUCUUUAAAACAAUUCCCUAAUAUACAUGCAUGAUAGUGAUAUCACUUACCUUUGAAUCAGAUGGCUUUCACGGGUCAAGCCACAAGUUUUUGUCUUGGGGAUUGCUGAGCUUCAUCAAUCCUGCCAAUGUCAAUUUUGCCCCUAAGCUCUCUCAAAGCACGUUUACAACCUAUGCUAACAUAUAUUAGAGUUUAUGUUAGUAUCAAGAAAAUGCCAACACUAAUUUCGUAACACGUAGAAAUUGUUAGAGAUUGAAGUUUUUAUCAUUUUUUCUUCCAGACUCUCCACCACUCACUAAUAUAGUUUACUCAUGUGAUGAGUUUACAAAACCUAUUUCUCUACUCUCACAAAGACUAUACUUAGGGGGGUGUAUUCAAUUAGGAUUCUAAAGCGUUUAAAAAGAUUUUGUUUAAGUGCCAGCUUUCAUAGAACUUGAUGGAACUUUAUAAUUCGUAUAGAACUUGAUAGACUUUCAGAAGACUUCUGUAUAAUUUUUUAAUAAAACUUUCUUAAGCUUUCAUAGAACUUGAUAGGCUUUCAUUCCAAACUUAUGUAGAUGGUAUAUUUCAUUUUAUCCCCAUCCUUGACAUUUAAAGAAAGAAACUUGAAUUUUUUCAAUCAAAUUUGUUUUUGUUACCAAAGCAGCAAAAACAAAAAGUACUUGUUUGCGAUGGAAGAACAUAUGCACAGUUCAAAAUGAAAAGAAUAAGAAGCAAAGUACCUAUUUGACCAAUGAAUGCUGUGUCAACUAGAGAAGCAAUUGGAUCGGCUGUCAAAGCCAAUGCUGCAGGCAAUGCAUCGAUGGUCCAAAUUGCAAUAAAAAAAUAUUUUGAAUAAUGGCUCUUGCAGACAAAGACCACAUAAAUUCUGAACUGGUCUAGCUUGAAUAAUAAGGUUAGAUUAGCCAAUUGAUGAGAUUAAAAGCAAAGCAAGUUGAUGAAUUUAUCAUCAACUAUUUAAUAACCACAGUCCUGAUCUCUUGGACCCCUGUAGUCCAAGAGAUUUAUGGUCACCCACCGUUGGAUGUAAAUUCAACGGUUGACUUGAAUCGGGUAAUAAUCAUUUAUGUCAUAUUGCAUUUAUAUAUAUCAUUUUGAACCAUUGGAUUAAUAUCCAACGGUGGGUGACCACAAUCUCUUGGACUCCUGUGGUCCAAGAGAUCGGGACUGUUAAUAACCAAUAGAGUAUUUAAACAUAAACAACAAUGUUUGAUCAACAAAACAAAUAGUCCAAAUAUCAUCCAAAAAACAAUAACAAAAAAUCAAUCAUUCCAAACAAACUAGUCAUUCUCAAAAACUCUCAAAAAACCCACUCAUUCCAAAUUGUAGGAUAUCCAAUUUGAGCACUCCUCAGGAGACAUUUUCAAAAAUGCAUCCUUUUUUGUGUUACUAUGCAACAAAGAGAGUGCUUUAUAACGAGCAUGUUCAUCCAAAUUUGGGGUCUCCUUAAUGGCAUCCCAUAUAUAACUCCGCUGCUCUCUCUCUUUUUCCCUUUUUGCCAAUAGGUUAUGGACCUCCCGGAAGUCGAUGACAAUUGAAUCAAUGCUAAGGCUAAUUCUUCCCAUAGCUUGCUGGGUGGUCACAUUUGAGAUAGCAUUCCCUUCCAAAUAUGUUCUAGUUCGUUUCCUCUAGUAACAAGCAUAAAUCCUAGUAACAAGCAUAAACCCUAACCCCAACCUAUAACCUAAUAACAAGAAGAAAACCCAACGAGGUAUUGAUCAAAGAAAAAUUAGGGAGCAUACCUUCACAGAUGGAGGAAGGAAGCUGUUCGUCUUCGCAGAGAGAAAAUCUAGGGAAAGAGAAAAACGUCUUAUGAAAUACUUGGGGGGGAGGUUGGAUUUAUUUUGGUCUUUUUUAUUUAUAACUCUCCCCUUAAAACCUACGUAAAUUUAUCACUUAAUGAAAUCCUUCCAAAUAUAUGACCUUUCGAAUACACCUAGAUUUGAUUCAACUUUUUUAUAAUCAUAAUUGAAUACACCCAUAUUUGAAUGGACUUUUUAAAAGUUCAUAUAGGUCCGAAAUGAAUAUACUCAAACUUGUAAAACCUCUUUUAAAGUUUGUAUAAAUCCAAAUUGAAUACACCUGGAUUUUUAAAAUCUUUUUAAACACUUUAUAAUCCUAAUUGAAUACACCCCCCUUAUUCUCAAAAGACUAUAUUACUUUACCUCUAUCUCUGUGAAAUGUAAAAAGUUGAAACUUUAAUGUCAAACCUCAACAAAAGAUGAACUUUCAUCAGUUACGUUGAAUUUGGAUUUGUUGAACUUAAGUGGUUUUAUUUUCUUUGUCAGUGUUUGAUGACUUAAUUUGGUAUUUAUUUCUUCUUUUUUUUCCUUGGAAAUGUGUUCCACCAACGUGAGGAAGAAAAAUAUGCACAAAUUAAUAUAUUUAAUAGAAGCCCAAGAUUUCGGAUGCAUAUAAUUUCUACAAAAAUCUACAAAGUUUUUUACUUUACAAACUUCUUAUGUCUACCAAUUUCUACUAAAAUUAAUUUCUCUGUGGUGCUCAAAUUCAUCAUAUGUGUGUCGUUAAUUUUAUUGAAAAUUGGAAGUUCCCAUCAUUUUUGUUUUUUGGGAAUUUUCUGAACCAAGGAAAAUCAAGUAAAAUUAAUAAAGCCUAAAUUGGAAAGGGAAAAUAUCUAGAGGAUGCAUUGUAGGAUUGCUCAUGCCAAUAAUUGUACCCUCUAAAUAUAUAGAGACAUAUUUUUUUUGUUUUCAUGACAUGUGGUCCUAAAAUUAUUGUGUAAAUCUUCAAUCCUGAACGAUGCACCUAAAACUCAUCCACCCAUUCUCAGGCCAAUUAUUGCACCUAGUGGGCUCUCGACCCCCUCUCAAAUUUAACCACAUAUUUUAUGGACCAUCCAGCUGUGAGGUACAUUCCCCCCACAUGCCACAAUUGUAUAUUCACAAUUACGUCUGAUACAUCACAUCAUGCCACUUGCCUCAAAUGAAUUUAAGUGAGUGAGGCAGUUGGAAGUAAUUAAGCUCUAUAUUGGUGGGUGGAGUGUUACUUCUCGGUUCCCCUCAUCAUUCGUCUAUAAAAUGGUGAAGGCAGUUGCUAUUGUUACCAUAAGAGCCAGCUCCGACUUCCUUUAAUUUCUUGCUUCAUAUCCACUAGCUACAUCUGUUACCAAGUUAAUUUCAGUUCUAAUGGGGUUUCAUCUCCCACUCAUCUUUGCUCUUCUCAGUGUAAGCUCUGCAAUUUGAUUAACUUUUCCAUUCUCUCUCAUUGUACUCUAUAUAAACGAAAGUUUUGUGUUCCUAUUGUUCUCUCCGAUUUUAUUUAGUACGUACUUAAGUGUCGUCCACUAAUUAAUUAUACUUUGUGAUUUGAUUUUAAUUUGAGUUUGAAUUAAUGUUGCAGCUAGCAGCAGUGGCACUGGCAAACCAUGCUGCUCAACCAGCACCUCAACUUUACUGGAGCUCCGUCCUGCCAAACACACAGAUGCCAAGAUCUAUCAGUGAACUUCUGCAUCCUGGUUUGUGUUGAGCUCUUUAGAAUCUUAGAUAUCUCUUCUACCUGCCAUUUUACUAAAAUAUGUUCCACCACAUAUUUAUCAGUUAACCAUUGUCAUUACAUGAGUGACACAUAUUCACAAAUCGGCUGAUCACUUAUUUUCCAUUAUGACUUGAUAUAUAAUUUGCAGACUCCACAAAUGAAGAAAAGAGCACAAAUGACGUUGGCAAACCUGAAACUUUCCCAUUGGGCAAUCAACAUUACUCCAGUCAAAAACAUUAUGGAGGCAUACCUGAAACUUCCCCAUUGGGCAAUAAACAUUACUCCAGUCAAAAACAUUAUGGAAGAGGCAAACCUGAAACUUUCCCAUUGGGCAAUCAGCAUUACUCCAGUCAAAGACAUUAUGGAAGAGGCAAACCUGAAACUUUCCCAUUGGGCAAUAAACAUUACUCCAGUCAAAAACAUUAUGGAAGAGGCAAACCUGAAACUUUCCCAUUGGGCAAUCAGCAUUACUCCAGUCAAAAAAAGUAUGGAAGAGGUGCUUCUCCAUCCGACAAUCAACAACUCCAUUAUAAAGACUUAGCUAUUUUCUUCUUGGAGAAGGACAUGCGCCCUGGCACAACAAUGAAGUUCCAAUUCCCUAUAAAUUCAAACACGGCUACUUUCUUGCCACGAGAAAGCGCUCAAUCGAUCCCCUUCUCCUCUAACAAACUGCCAGAAAUUUUCAACCAUUUUUCAGUGAAGCCAACAUCUGAGGAAGCCAAAACAAUUAAGCAAACAAUCGAAGAGUGUGAAGCUCCAGACCUUAAGGGAGAGGAAAUAUAUUGCGCCACAUCUUUAGAAUCAAUGGUUGAUUUUAGCACUUCGAAGCUUGGAACAAGAAACGUUGAAGCAAUCUCGACGGAGGUAUUGGAAAAAGGAGCCACCAUGUCCAUCCAAAACUAUACAACAAUGCCGGGACUGAAGAAGUUGGCAGGUGACAAAGUCGUUGUGUGUCAUAAGCAGAACUAUCCCUAUGCUGUGUUUUUCUGCCAUGCAAUAAAACAUACAGCAGCUUAUGCUCUCUCCCUGAAAGGCGAUGAUGGGGAGAAGGUUAAAGCAGUAACCAUCUGCCAUCUAGACACAUCAGAAUGGGACCCAGAGCAUAUGUCCUUCCAAAUCGUCAACGUUAAGCCCGGAACCAUUCCCAUCUGCCAUUUCAUUUCCACUGAUGCUAUUGCCUGGGUUCCGAACCACAAAUCUGCAUGAUCAUCACUUAGCACUAGUACUGUGCGUAUAAUAUGCCUGUAUAAUUAUCUCCCUACUUAUUUCUGCCUCUUCAUCAUGUGGUGUAAGAUAUAUGUUGAGAUGAAGUUUUUGGGAUUUGUGGUCGAAAUUAACCCGAUCAUGUUUUCUCUUGCAACCAUAUAGACUUCAACUUGUACUCAUAAUAAAGCAUGCUAUAUUUAUGAAGAGAUAUUAAUCUUCAGGCAAAUAGAUAUUAUGAAAACAUAUAUAGCAAUUUAUCCAGAAGAAACAUUAUGAAAUGAAAAGAAUAAAAAGUAGAAAAACAGAAGGAAAGGAAUUCGCACGUGCUAUGCUAUGUAUGAAAGGACCAAGAUUGUUUUCCCUUUGGUUAAUGACUAGAAAAGCUCACUUGCAGAGUGCUUUCUCCGACCAUAGAUGGAAGAGAAAUUUUCUCUUAAUAAUAGCACAAUGAUCGGGUAAUUGUAAGAACAAGUUGAUUUAAAAUUCCUUGACCCAAAAAAAAAAAAAAAGUUCUUUUCAAAUUCAGGUCAACCCAUAGAUUUCUUGCCUUCGUCUUCUUCAUCACGUUGGGCUUGUCUUCUUUUUGCGUUUUGGGCCUUGGAAGUUGGGACCCAACCCAACUUCACAAAAAGAAAACAGAUUUGCCAAAAAUCAAAUUUCAAGUCUCUCCUCCGAUCACUAAUACAGAUCAAAUUUUGGAUUUGAUGAACUAAAGUGGUUUUACUUUCUCUGUCAGUGUUUGAUGACUUAAUUUGUUAUUUACUUUUUUUUUUUUACUUGAUCUUUGUAGGGGCUUUUUUUUUUCCGGCAGCUUAAACGGGCUGGGCUGCCGUAAAGGGUAGAUUGAUGAAAUUGUCCCCUUUGUCUGAAUUCGAAAAUCAAGCCCCAAAAGCGCUUCGAAAGGGCAGUAGAGCCUUAGGAAGCGUUCUGGUUACCUUCACUAAUUAAAACAACAGCAACUUACAGAUGAUUUCUUGAGGCUUACAGAUAAAUUUUCUAGCUUGGCAUGACAUGGAAGCAAAAUCAGCAUGAGUUUAGCACCAAAGAGGAAAAUAUGGCUUCCUAGGGAGAAAUGAGAGUGUUUAAGGUGAGGAAGAAGAGGUUUGCAGGCUGAUUUGGCUGAGAAAAGAGAAAGAAAGAACAAUGUUCUUCCGGCAGCUUGACAAAGCUUCUGACAGAUGUGAAAGUCGUCCGCCAGAAGAGGAAAAUGGAGAAGAAGGAUGAAUAGUGCACGAAAUUGGUGGGUUCUUGCAGGUAAGAGAGAAAGCUUGCUCUCUGAAUCUGAGUUGGUUUUGGUUGGGUAGAAGAAGCCCCCUUUUAUAGCUGCGGGAAACCAUCUUUUUCCAAGAAACCCUAAUGGUUUCUAUCCUUUUUGGCCAAGCUUUUCCCUUCCUUUCUCUUCUCCUCCCUUGACUUUUCCUAUCUUGGUGAAAUUUCCUCUGCCUAUUUGCACAAAAUUAGAGAUUUUGAGGAGCUCAAGGCCCCUUUCCCGCAGCUGCCUUAGUGGAGAAUCCCCAUUUUCAGUCAUCUUUCUUCCUUCUUUUCUCCCAUCUUCCAAGGCUAGGUUUGAUGAGAGAAAGAAAUGGAUAUGCACACUGGUUUGAAGGGUGUUUUUCCUUGAAACUUGUUCUCUCCCAUGUGCUGGAGCUUCCCAGCAGCUUACACACAUAGAUAUUUUGGCUUUCAUCGUGGCUUUUGUUUUCAGCUAGGUGCUGGAGAUUUUGCAUAUAUUUUCUUGAGUUGCUUGGGCCUUCUAGGACAAUACGUUGGUUUAUCAAGUGAAUGGGCUAACUUCAUCAAUUGUUGGGCAAUUUUGGUUGAGUUAAUGGACUAUUUUGGUUCAAGUAAUGGACUAUUUUGGUUGAAAUAAUAGGCUAUUUUUCUCUCUUUGUGCUCACCCACAUAUUUGGGCCUAAAAAAUGGGCUUGAGUUUCGGGGCUCCCAAGCAACCCCGGGACUUCCAUUUCUCGGCCCAUCAAUGAGCCUCAUGUCAACUUAUUACCAUCCAUACCACAACCCACUCAAGCAAGCCUCAGGCAUCUUGCGUGGCUUGGGCCCACGUAAGCUCGUAGUGGCAAUGUUGCUUAUUUGCUUGACGUGGCAUGUGUGCAAGUGCAUAUGACGAACUUUCGCGUGCCCAAAUUGAGUUUCUUCUCGGUAGGGUAUCGCAUUGGGCCGAGAAUUUAAUUGGGUAGAACCGUGGAUUUUUUGGGCCUCAACAAUCUUAUAUAUAUUAGUUUUCUUUUUUUCCUUAAUAUUCACCACCUUUCUGUUGCAUAAGUAUUCCAGUCUUAGCGGGUUUCCAUCUACCACUCAUCUUUGCUCUUUUAAGUGCAAGCUUUUUUAUUUUUAUUUUUUUAUGCACAAGAUUAGAGGGGAGGGAGAUUUCUCAAUGUAAGCUUUGCAGUUUCAUAAUUAAUAUUUCCAAUAUCUCACUGUUAGUAAAAUAUGGAACGGGAAAAGUACGAAUAAAAUACACACAUGUUUUAUUUAGCAAAAUUUUGACAAGAUACAACUGAAAAGUUUGGCCACUAUAUAAUAUUUUGAUUUAAUUUUUUUUAUUUUUUUAAUAUAUAUUAUUUUUAUUCAAUAAUAUGUGAAAAAUAGGUGUACAAUAUAUGAAAUUUGUAUGUAUUAUUGAAAAAUUCGUAAAAAAAAAACAUGUUAUUAAAUGUGAAAAAUAUGUACGUAUAUGUAUAAAACAUGUAUUGUACAUUACUUUUUAACAAACUUGUAUUUUACCUAGUCUUUAAACCGUAUAUGGAAAACGGAAGUAUUAUUGAAAAAUACAUAUGUACGUAUAUGUAUAAAACAUGUAUUGUACAUUACUUUUUAACAAACUUGUAUUUUACCUAGUCUUUAAACCGUAUAUGGAAAACGGAAGUAUUAUUAAAAAAUACAUAUGUACGUGUAUAAUAUGAGUAUUAAACAAAAAAAUGUGCUAAGUACUUAUCUUUUAAUUUAAUAAUUCAUUUCAUUUUGUGAUCUCAUACGUAGUAAUGAGAGUUCAAAUUAAUGUUGCAGCUGACAAUGGUGGCUCUGGCAAGCCAUGCUUGAUGCAGGAGUAUAGGGGUGGAUCAAGAUAGAUAUUUACCAUGUAAUUAGUUAUUUCAUGAUAUAUUGUUAUUUUCUUAUUUAGGUAGUUUUAUGAUAUCUUUUAUUAUUUAUGUGGGAUUUUAUAAUUAAUUAGUUUACUUUUGGACCAAGUAGCCUUGGUGCUCAAGUCUUGUAAAGCUUAUAAAUAAGGCUAAUGUAAUAGUUGUAGGAAAAGAGAUGUCGAUGAUUAAUAAAAUCGUUUAUUUGUGGCAUGGAUUUGCUACGAUAUAUGUGAGUUUGCACUAGCCCUAGAUUUCGGUGCUCGUGUAUGUGGUUGGUGACCUGUGUCCGGAUCCCGAUCCCCAUCAAUGCUGUUCUCCCAGUACCUCAACUUUACUGGAACUCUUUCCUGCCAAACACAAAUGCCAAGAGCUAUCAGUCAACUUCUGCAUCCUGGUUUCUAUUAAGGGACUUUUCGUGAGCUUAUCAUCUACCCAAAUUUUACUCAUCCGACGUAAUUUUAAAAGUGAUUUGAUCCUUUGGCAAAGUAAUCUUGAACUACAAAAAAGGAGGGCACUCGAAUAGGCAUGCCAUUUGGUAUUACCCACCUCUAAUUUCUUUUAAAAUUUUAGUAAUUGAUUUUUAAGAUUAGAAAAUGGGAAAGUUCAAAACCGAAAAAGUUGUUUCAGUUUUGGCAAGUAUCGGAAAAGACUAAAAUUUUCCGACUUUAUUAUUACUAGAAACAAAGUCGAAGUAUUCACCAAUCAUGUGGCCUUCCAAGUGCUCAAGGUUAAGCCAGGAACCGUUCCUAUCAGCCAUUUCCUUCCCAAGUAUGAUCAUGUUGUCUGGGUUCCAACCCACAAAUCUACAUCAGUACCUGAACUAAUCAGUUCUACAUGAAUAUUCAUUCAUGGCAACCUUGGGCUAAGUAUUUGAAUUUAUGCUCAUAAAGCUUUAAUGCUUUUGAGGGCCAAUCGUUGUCUACAUAUGGUAUUGUAGCAUCUUUAGAUGGAAGAGGUCAGGGGUUCAAUUCUUGUUUUCCACUUCUUUAUUUGUUGGUUUAUCGAGUGUAGAGUGGAGUUGCACCUAUAUGUUCGUCUCUCACCCCAUCAUUUACCAUUGAUAUAUAUUUAAUAGAAGCCUAAGAUUUCGGAAGCACAUAAUUUCUACUUUACAAACUUCCUGUGUCUACCAAUUUCUACUAAAAUUAAUUUAUCUGCGGUGCUGAGAUUCAUCAUAAUUUUAAUAGAAAUUGGAAGUUUUCAUCAUUUUUGCUUUAAGUCUCUACUCCACUCACUAAUAAAGAUUACUCAUGUGAGUUUACAAAACAUUUUUUUUUUCUACUCUCUCCUGAAGACUACACUUCUUCUCAAAAAAUUAGAUCACUUCACAUCUUGUGUAUGUGAAAACUAAUGUAAAAAGUUGAAACUUUAUCGUAAAACCUCGACAAAAAUGAGCUCUACUACAAAAUGUUAAAUUUGGAUUCGUUGAUUUAAAUGGCAAUUUGACACUUGAUAGAAAUUUUUACAUACAUGUGUUAGUGUUUGAUCACUUCACAUGUCACUUACUAUAUUUAUUCCACUCAAGUUAGGUAAAUAUUAUUAUCAAACAUUUCAAUUAAUUUGUGAUUUUUUUAUUAUUUAAUCAAUUAUGAAUUAAUGGAUUCUUCUUGUUGUUUUGAAGACCAACAAAAAAAAAAAAAAGGGUAGUGAUGGCUUAUAAUUCUGGUAAAACAACAGUGACGUGGACAACAGAUGUUACGCUGUACUAAAGAUUUUUGAAGAUUCUUUAUUUGAGUUUCUUUCAAGAUAAAAACCAUAUUAUCCACAACCACAAGCACAUCCGGCAGACAAUCUUUGGCUAUUCAUCACAAUUGGGAGACAAUGAAGAAGACAGAAAAUGGAGUAAUUCAGAUGUUACCAGCCAUCCACGACAAACUGAAGUCUGCAAAGCAUUCGUAAUCUAAAAAGGAUGGGGAGGCUGCGCAAUACUUAGCCACGUGUAGGCCAGGAGGCUUUCCAAUUUUAAUAUAUAUAUAGAUUGAAAAAAUAAAAUAAAAAUCAAUCUAUUAUCAUAUAUAUUAUAAAAUAAAGAUUAUUGCUCCCAUGGGCGGUGCUAUGCACAGGACAGUGCCUGCCUAGUCCAAAUUUUUUUUAAAUAAAAAUAAAAAUCUACAUAUGUUAUAAGCUCAUCCAAAAAAAAAAAAAAAAAUAAAAGUGUUGUAAAUUAUAAGGUGGAGCCCACAUGUUGGAAGGCUUUGCCUACAAAAGGGUUCACACCCUCCCUUUGUAAUUAGACAUUGAGAAUACUAAGGAAGACAGAAAUGAAUAGAGAGAAAACAUUCCCUUCUCUCCAUCUCAAUUCCCUCUCCAAUUCCUCUAGAUUUAUAACACGUUAUCAGCAGCACGAAUCGCUUUCAAACAAUACCAGCUGAAUUUUAUGAUGAAACCCAGAUCUCUCAUCCAUCUCUGCUGCUCCACUACUUCAAAAUAAAUCCCACAGAAAAAGAAAAAGCCUCAAUGCUCUCUCUCUCUCUCUGUCUCGCUUGGGAGACUUGGACAAUUCCUCAUCCCCGUUACUGACAAUUUCAACAGCUUCAGGGGAAGCUAGUUUAUCUUCCUCUGCUCACGAAACCAUGACUCUUUCAGAGCCAAACAACAACACAAUAGACAACGCAUGGAGACCAGACUGGAGCUCGUCGGCUAAGGCACCGACGAUCCGACCCUACCCGUAUGGACCUUCCGGAUGUGGUUCCUGGGUCUUGUCUCAUGUGCCCUCCUCUCAUUUCUCAACCAAUUCUACAAGCAGCAGAGCUUCAAAUCAAACAGAUCAUGGCAUCGCUUUCACACCUCCCCAUCUUCCUCUUCCUCCUGUUCACCGCUUUCUAUUCUACAGCUUCGCAGUCCUUCAUCGGCGCAUCCAAAGGCGACAUACCGGCGCUCGCCUCAGAUCCGAACGCGGCGGCUCAGUGGGUGAACUCGAAUGUCCUCGCCUUCUACUCGGCCAGCAACAUCGACCUCAUCAACGUCGGCAACGAGGUCCUUUUUCUCCAACGACCAGGGCCUCAUCUCGCAGCUCCUCCCCGCCAUGCGAAAUGUCCAAUCUGCCCUCUCCGCCGCGUCCCUCGGCGGCAAGGUCCGUGUCUCCACGGUCCACUGCCUCGCCGGAUCGGGAUCCUUCCUUCAAGUGUUUCUCUGUCUUCGACUUGAAAAAGAAGGUCAUGGCAGGCCUAUGUAAAAAUUGCGAAAAGGAAGGCAAUCUUCAACCUUUUCUCCUGUCUCUCUCUUGAUCAAUUCAUGGAAGGCACAUUUGGGUCUUCCGGGGGCUCAUCAAAUGAGUCAGCAAUGUCAAAGGUGGAGGUGGUGGAGCAAGACUACGUGGGGAUGUCAUAUGAGGCAACCUCAUACCCAGCUGAGGCAGAGCUUGUGCUGGGCCUGGGCCUUGGCCUGAGCCUUCGUGGUGGUGGUGCAGGGAAGCAGCCAAAGCCAUGUGCAUGGGGUGAGCGUGGUAGAAUCUUGACUGCUAAAGUUAGGUGCUGAGUUACACUGUGUUCUCUGCUACUGACCCUAAGAGGAGUGCUAGAAACUUCCAUGUUCCGCCAUCAUUUCGCUUUCACUGUUACAAGGCACUGGAGUAUGUUUAAUUGAAAAGUGAGAUACACAGCAAGUUGAUCAGCCUAGUGGAAAGCAAAGGAUUAUUGCCAGGGAUAUGAACACCCACCGAAAUAAAGGGAUAAGUACUCUUUUUCCCUUCGACCAGUUUUUUUUUGUCCCACUGGGUUUUUACUGGCAAGGUUUUUCACGAAACAUAUUCCGUAUCAUUUGUGGUCUCUAAGAGGGAGUGUUGUAAAUUAUAAGGUGGAGCCCACAUGUUGGAAGGCUUUGCCUACAAAAGGGUUCACACCCUCCCUUUGUAAUUAGACAUUGAGAAUACUAAGGAAGACAGAAAUGAAUAGAGAGAAAACAUUCCCUUCUCUCCAUCUCAAUUCCCUCUCCAAUUCCUCUAGAUUUAUAACAAAAAGUAAAUUCUACACAUAUGUUGCCCAUCCAGGUGGUCCCAUAUCUUCUCUUUCCUUUUCUUUUGGCUAUUAGACUUCUUGUUUCUCUCUCUCUCUUUGCUACCCCACAUCAGCAAGUUUCUCCCUCUCUUUUUUUGGGAUCAAAUUCUUCUUCUAUUGACAAAAUCUUCUAUUAUAUUGGGUGGGCAACUUGGCAACAACAUCUUCUCCUCUCCUUUUGUCAACAGCAAGUAUUAUUCUCAUUCUCUCAUUUGCUAUAUAUCUUUAAUUAUAGUUUUAAUUUAAAAUUGAGUAUUCUAGGGUUUAAUUAGGGAUGAAUUAUAAUUUUGGGAUUUUGUUGAAAUUAAUUAGGGCUUCGAUUAGGGGUGAAUUAUUCUACUGCUUUGAUUUGGAAUUUUGUUAAAAUUGAGUAUUAUAGGUUUAAUUAUGGAUGAAUUACAAUUUUUGGUUUUGGUAUUGUUGAGAUGUUAUUAUGAGAAUUUGUUUGAUUUUUUGUUGGUAUAUUUGAUUAAAAUUCUUUCUACAUAUUAUUCAUAGGCUAUCUUUUAUUAUGUCGGAUCACAAUCGGAAUCCCAAGAAAACAAAAAAUUUGAAUAGUGUUGUUUUGUAUUGCAUUGCAUUUACUUUUGGUUUUAGUUUUGCUUUUAGUGUAAAUUACUCAAAUGGUCCUCAAAUUUGUACCCAAUUUACAUUUUGGUCCAUAAACUAAAUUAUUCAUUCAAAUGGUCCACCAACUCUUUAUUAAUCGGUGCUUUGGUCCUAUCGUUAUGUUUUCUAUUAAAUUUAGUCAUGUGAGCAGCACAUGCUACAUUUGUAUGGGUAAAUAAGACUUUUGACCAGUGGCGGAUCCACGUUGGGACAAGAGGGGUCGGACGACCCCUUGGAAGGCUGGAAAUUUGGCAAGGGAGUCCAUGAAAGCCCCCUUGGACAGCUGCUGGAAGCCCCCUUGUAUGCACACAAUGUGCUCGACGAAAUGCCCCAACGAAAUGUCCUGCGCAGCUGUGCUGCGCCUUGCGCGUAAUUUUUUUUUAAAACCAGCCUUGCCAAACGACGUCGUUUGGUCAAGGCUCAGUCAAAUUUUUUUUUAAUUAACCUGGCCUCAAAACGACGUCGUUUUGGGCCAGGUUUAAAAAAAAAAAAACAGAACAGUACACACGCACAGCAGCUCUGCACAGAUUCAUUUUCUCCAAACCUUUCAUUCCCAAUUCCACAGCCCCUCUUCCCAUCCUCUCAAACCCUAACCUCCCAACCUCCCAACCUUGGACAACCUCCAUCAACUCUUCACCGGUGGCCCAAUGCCGAUCACCACCACCUUCUACCGCCGUCCGCCGCCCAUUUUUUAAACUACAAGUAAGUAAGCAUGGAAAAUCUGAUAUUAAUAAUUAUAGUGAUAAUAUAUAUUGUUGAUAUUGAUAUUUUUUUUUUAUGUAAUGAAAUUUAUGGAUAUGAAUCAUAUUGAUUGAUUGAGUUUAUGCUUGAAAUUUAUGGAUAUGAAUCAUAUUGAUAUUUUUUUUUAUGUAAUUAAAUUUAUGGAUAUGAAUCAUAGUGAUAAUCAUAUUAAUGUAGAUUGAUUGAGUUUAUGCUUGAUUGAUAAUAUGAAUUGAUUGGGUAUAUUAAAUAUUGAUUGCUAUUUGAUAUGAUAAUUUGGUAUAUUGAAUAUUGAUUGAUAUGGGUUUAGGGAGUAUAUUGAAUAUUGAGAGUGGGUUAUUGAAAUUUUCAUAUUCAUAUGAUAAUUAGGAUAAAAAUUAAUGAUUGAUUGAAUUAAUUGAUUUGUAGAUUUAUGGAACGAUUCUUUAAAAGAAAAUUAUCUACGGAUAGUUCUUCUCUGUCUAAUCCGGGUAGUUCAAAUGCAAGACCAAUUGAAGUAGAUGAGAUCUUAGCUAAUCUUCAAGCAGACCCUGGACUAAGAACUCGAAUGGCGGAUUAUAGUCCUAAUAUUAGGGAUGAGAUCCGAAGAGCAUAUCUACAAAAGGGACCUUGUCAACCUAGAAGUUAUAAAUUCCCACAAACUAAUCAAUCAGGAAUUAAUAGACGCUUCAUUGCUCAUUGGUUUGAUGAUCAUGAUUGGUUGGAAUAUAGUAUUGCUAAAGAUGCUACGUUUUGUCUUCAUUGUUAUCUCUUCAAAUCUAAUUUUGAUCAAGUGGGUGGUGAUGCAUUCACUGGGGUAGGCUUCAAUAAUUGGAAGAAGGCGAAAGAAAGAUUUAACCUUCAUAUUGGACCGGUUGGUAGUGUUCACAACCAAGCUAGAGAAGUUGCUUACAAUUUGAUGCAUCAAACUACACACAUUGAAACAAUUGUGCUCAAGCAAACAAGCCAAGCUCGCACGGCUUAUCGCACUUGCUUGAAUGCAUCACUUAAGUGCACUAGGUAUUUGUUGCGGCAAGGGCUUUCUUUUCGUGGUCAUGAUGAAAGUGCACAAUCAAGUAAUAAAGGGAAUUAUUUAGAGCUCUUGCAAUUUCUUGCGGAUCAUGAUGAAAAAGUUAAGGCCGUUGUAUUGGAAAAUGCUCCGGGAAAUUUAAAGUUAAUAGCUCCUUCAAUUCAAAAAGAUCUUGUCAAUUCUUGUGCCAAAGAAACCAUUGAUCUUAUCUUGAGUGAUGUAAAAGAUAGAUAUUUUUCAAUAAUGGUGGAUGAAGCACGUGAUGUUUCAAUAAAGGAGCAAAUGGCAAUGGUGUUGCGUUAUGUGAAUGACAAAGGACAAAUAAUUGAAAGGUUUGUGGGGGUUCAACAUGUAACCGACACUACUUCAAGUGCACUAAAGGAAACAAUUGAUGAAUUCUUUUCUUCCGCGAAUUUGAGCUUUUCCAAGCUACGAGGACAAGGUUAUGAUGGAGCUAGCAAUAUGAGAGGUGAGUUCAAUGGCCUUAAGAGAAAGAUUUUGAGAGAACAACCUUGUGCAUUUUAUGUUCAUUGCUUUGCUCAUCAACUUCAACUAGCUCUUGUUGCGGUAGCAAAGAAAAACAUUGAUGUCAACUCUUUUUUCACAACGGCUAAUAGUUUGGUUAAUGUGGUUGGAGCAUCUUGUAAGCGUCGCGAUGCACUUAGAGCACAAUACCAAGAAGAGCUUGUGAGAGCUUUUGAAGAUGAUUGUCUUAUAACGGGGCGGGGCUUAAAUCAAGAAAGGACUCUCAAACGUGCCGGCAAUACACGAUGGAACUCACAUUAUGGUACGUUGAUUAGUAUCAUUUCUAUGUUCCCAUCUGUGGUGAAUGUGCUUCAAAUGAUUGUUGAUGAUAAUCUUAAUGAUAGUUCGGGUGAAGCCUAUAAGUUAAGGAGAGAAAUACAAUCUUUUGAGUUUGUGUUUCACUUAUUUGUAAUGAAAGCUAUAUUGGGAAUAACAAACACUUUGUCUCUAGCAUUGCAAAAGAAAGAUCAAGACAUUGUGAGUACAAUGAAUUUAGUGAAAACAUGCAAGGAAAACCUGCAGUUGAUGAGGGAUAAUGAGUUUGAAGAAUUGGUUGGGCAAGCAUCCUCGUUUUGUUACAAAUAUGAUAUUAUAGUUCCUACCAUGGAUGAGGAAUAUGUAAUUCCAGGGAGAUCAUGGCGUAAUGCUCCAAUGAAGACAAAUUAUCAUCGUUAUCGUGUGGAGAUCUUUAUUCAUGUAAUUGAUGGGCAACUUGCGGAAUUAAAUGAUCGCUUCAACGAGGUAAGUACUGAGUUACUUACUUGUUUGGCAUGCUUGAGUCCAAAAAAUAACUUUGUGACUUUUGACAAACGAAAGCUAGUUCGUCUUGCUCAAUUUUAUCCUUAUGAUUUUUCGGAUAGAGACUUAUUGAUGCUUGAAGAUCAACUUGGUGUUUAUGUUCAUCAUAUGCGUUCGAGUAGUGAUUUUUCUCAAUUGGAAGGGAUUAGUAGUCUUGCGGAAAAAAUGGUGGAGAAAGGAAUGCAUGAAAUAUUUCCUUUUGUAUUUGCUUCUUACAUUGGCUUUGGUUUUACCGGUUGCAACUGCAUCAGUGGAGAGGGCAUUUUCCGCUAUGAAUAUUAUUAAAAAUCCACUUCGCAACAGAAUGGGAGAUCAAUGGUUGAAUGAUAGCUUGCUUGUUUACAUUGAGAGAGAUGUUUUUGCUUGUAUUGAUAACGAAAUUAUAAUGCAAUGUUUUCAGAAUAUGAAAACUCGUCGUGGACAAUUGUAACUUGUAUUAUUGGUUUUGUUAUGAAUUAUGAAUGAAAGUACUAUCUUUCUAUCUUUUUAGCAUUAUUUUCUUUGUAGAAAAAUUUCAGAACUUUUACACUAAGCCCCCUUGGCUACAUAAUCCUGGAUCCGCCACUGCUUUUGACCACUUUAUCACCUAUGUAUCACCACUUUAUAACCUAUUUGGGGAACAUAGGUCAGUUAUGGACGGUUUUACCCUUACAUUUGACGGCAACAUUAACAUAAUGUAACAGUGGGAUCAAUGGAGUGAUUAAUAUAAAGUUGAUGGACCAUUUGAAUGAAUAAUUUAAUUGAGAGACCAAAAUGUAAAUCAAGUAUAAGUUUGAGGACCAUUUGAGUAAUUUACCCUUCGCUUUUAUAUUUGUUGAACUUUUAUUUAUGAUAGAUAUGCAUUUAAGGGUAAGACCCAUUAUGUUCCCCUGGCUAGGUGUAUCUUUUUAUGUUUAUUAAUGAAAUUCACUCGAACUGUUGAGUUUAGUAUGUAAGUUUUGCCUAACUGGCUUUUGAAUCCUAGAACCGCCACUGUUGCUCCAUCCUCCAUGCACUUGCAUGUGCUCUUACAAAGUGUGAAGUAGAUUUUGUGUGCUCCAAGUCAUUGACUAGAGCUGAAACAUGGUUAGCUAGAUUUAUAAGGACCCAUCUCUUUAUUUCCUAGACAUAUACCCAUCUCUCUAUAAAUCUAUAUGUAAAACCUAAUUUCAAACUUAAAUGACCAGUAGGAUAUAAAAGGUCAUAGUAUUCCUAUGUUUUUAUAUCGUUGCCACCAGACUUCUUAUUUUAUUUAUAAUUUAUUUCAAGCAUUUCAUUAACUGCCAUAAUUGUAAUUAAUACUCCAUAUUAAUAGCAUAUCAAUCACCCCAUUUCUUUUGGUUGCCAUUCCCUCUAACAUAUCGCCCCUUAAAUUUGAAAACCAAAAAAAAAAAAUGUAAAUUACAUAUCCAAUAAUGUACCUAUGAAAAAUAUAAAUAUAAAUAUAUACAUAUAAAAAUAUAGGUAUAUUAUUUACCAAAUAGAAAAUAUAAAAACCUAGGUCAGUUGCUUUGUAAUUGAAAUUUCUGUACAUUUUCCACAAAUUAAAAAUAGGUACAUAAUAAUUUAUAGAAAAUAUAUGUACAUUAUUUAUCCAUAGGUAAAAAUACCGAUAAAUGCACAUAGGUGAAUUAUUUACCAAUAUAUUAUUUUUUUGCUAAGGAUUUACCUUAGUUUUUAGUAGAUUAAUUUACCUACCUAGAGGCAUAGGUAGCUUAAAAAAAAUGUACCACCUUAGUUGGUUGCAUACUAAUUUACCUACCUAGAGGCAUAGGUUGCUAAGAAAAAAUGUAGGUAAAUUCAUGUACCUAAACACAUAGGGGUCAAAUAGAGAAUAACAUGUUAUUUCCCUUUGAACAAAUUAAUUUCAAACCAUAACAAUUAUUGAAUUUGGAAAUUGGUAUAAAUAAAAGGAAAUAAAUAAACUAUCAAUUUGAAAAUUAAAAUAAGAAAUGAUCAAGUAGUCAUAUUUGAAAAAAAAGGAAAGAAUAUAUUCUUGGUUUUUAUAGGAACAACGAGUAUAUUCAAACCAAACGGCGAUAACUACACCAAGCUUUAAUUACUUUUUUUUAAGGCCAAAAGUCACUUUUGGUCCCUGUAGUUCGGCAUUUCUACCACUUUUGAUGUUGUAGUUUCAAUUCCGUCAAUUUUGCCAUUGUAGUUUCGUAUUUGUAGCAAUUCAAGGACCUGUUAAUAUUAAUGUCAAUUUGUUUAAUGAUGCAAGAGGUAAUUUCGUCAUCCCAAAAUCCUUGAGCAUAAAAGAUUGUCUGAAAUUCUCCCCAUUUCAUAUUAGGGCUCGAAAUUCAACCACUAAUCCUAAUUUUUGAAGAACCCUAGACCCAAAUGACCAAUUUCAAGCCCUAAUAUGAAAUUACGGAAGUUUUAGAUGAGCUUUUAUGCUCAAGGAUUUUGAGUUGAAGAAACUGCCCCUUGCACUGUCAAAUAAAUUGACAGGAAUACUGACUUGUCCUUGAAUUGCUACAAAUACAAAACUACAGUGUCAAAAUUAACAGAAUUUAAACUAUAGGGUCAAAAGUAGUUGAAGUGUCAAACUAUAAGGACCAAAAGUGACUUUUAGCCUUUUUGUUUCAAUAAGGAAAAAACUGACCUAUUAAAUCCUUGGAAUCUAUACAAAAUUGAAACACAAUUAAUCAACAUUGAAUUGCAGCUAAUUUCUUAAACAAGGGUAUUAUAGGAAUUUAAAAAGUAUAACAUUUAAUCCAUUGAAUUUGAUUAGGAAACUUGAUGAAUUGAAUCCUAGUUAUAUAGUUUUUCUUAUAAAAAUCAGGUUUUAUUUAUAGACAAAUAAAACAAUGGGUUGUAGGUAAGAAAAUAUUAAUUUGAAGGGAAAGAGUCAAAUUUACUAAAUUAAUAAAGCAUAAAUUGGAAAGGGAAAAGAUCUAGAGGAUGCAUUGUAGGAUUGCUCAUGCCAAUAAUUGCACCCUCUCGAUAUUGAAAAACCUAUUGUUUAUUAUUAUCUUCAAUCCUGAAUGAUGCACCUAAAACCCAAGUGUCUCAGGCCAACCAUUGCGCUCAUACCACUUGUUGCAGUACACAUUCACCUGUUUUUAAAGAAAGAAAUUCUACCAAUCGAUAUUUUCUCAAAUUUAAUCACAUAGAUCUAUUAUGGUUAACCAUAUGUACUUUUAUCUGCCAUCCAGAGGUACCUUUUUCCAACGUGCAACAAUUGUAUUUGAUUCACAAUUAUGUCUGAUAUACAUCACAUCAUGCCACUUGCCUCAAAUGAAUUUAAUUGAGUGAGGCAAUGGGAAGUAAUUAAGCUCUAUAUUGGUGGGUGGAGUGUUACUUCUGGAACCCUCAUCAUUCGUCCAUACAGGGGAACAAUUCCCUUCCUUCUAUAAAAUGGGAGCAAUUCUCUCACUGUACUCUAUAUAAAGGAAUAAGUGUCGUCCACUAAUUAAUUACACUUUGUGAGAUUUGAUUUUAAUUAGAGUUCGAAUUAAUGUUGCAGCUAGCAGCGGUGGCACUGGCAAACCAUGCUGCUCAACCAGCACCUCCACUUUACUGGAAUUCCAUCCUGCCAAACACACAAAUGCCAAGAGCUAUCAGUGAACUUCUGCAUCCUGAUUUGUGUUGAAUAGAUAUAGUAUGUUACUGGAGUACGUAUGGCAACAUAUUCACAAAUGUGUCACGUAUUUUCCAUUAUGACGUUGAUAUAUAAUUGCAGACUCCACAAACGAAGAAAAGAGCACAAAUGUCAUGAAUGCUGUUGGGAAUGGAAAGCCAAUUGACCACAAGGGCAAACCUGAAAAUACUGUACUACCACAGCUUGCACGACGCCCAUUUUCUUACAAGAGUGAUGAUCGUCCCACUGACAAUCAACUCCAUUAUAAAAACGUAGCUAUUUUCUUCUUGGAGAAGGACAUGCGCCCUGGCACAACAAUGAGCUUCCAAUUCCCUAGAAAUUCAAACACGGCUACUUUCCUGCCACGAGAAAGAGCUCAAUCGAUCCCCUUCUCCUCUAACAAACUACCAGAAAUUUUCAACCAUUUUUCAGUGAAGCCAACAUCUGUGGAAGCCAAAACAAUUAAGCAAACAAUCGAAGAGUGUGAGGCUCCAGGCAUUAAGGGAGAGGAAAUAUAUUGCGCCACAUCUUUAGAAUCAAUGGUUGAUUUUAGCACUUCGAAGCUUCGAACAAGAAACGUUCAAGCAAUCUCGACGGAGGUAUUGGAAAAAGGUGCCACCAUGUCCAUGCACAAGCACACAACAAUGCCGGGACUGAAGAAGUUGGCAGGUGUCAAAGUCGUUUUGUGUCAUAAGCAGAACUAUCCCUAUGCUGUGUUUUACUGCCAUGUAAUAAAACCAACAGCAGCUUAUGUUCUCUCCCUGAAAGGCGAUGAUGGGGUGAAAGUUAAAGCAGUAGCCAUCUGCCAUCUAGACACAUCAGAAUGGAACCCAAAGCAUUUGGCCUUCCAAAUCCUCAAAGUUAAGCCCGGAACAAUUCCCAUCUGCCAUUUCCUUCCCACUGAUCAUAUUGUCUGGGUUCCGAACCACAAAUCUGCAUGAUCAUCACUUAGCACUGUACGUAUAAUAACCUUUACCCCUGUAUAAUUAUCUCCCUACUCUACUUAUUUCUGCCUCUUCAUGUGGUGUAAGAUAUAUGAUGAGAUGAAGUUUUUGGGAUUAGUGGUCGGGUUGCCUUAAAAACACAGAUUACAGAAACUGCUUGAACUUAACCCGAUCAUGUUUUCUCUUGUACUCGUAAAGCAUGCUGUUGUGGUUCUACUUAAUUUCGUCCUCCCCAAUGUUUGAGUGUUUAAUUGUUACGUUGGAAUAGGCUGCUAAUGCAUGUAGUUAGAGAAGCUUUCAUUUAUAUCAAAGUCCUCAAACUAUCAAGAAUUAAUGCAUCCAGAAACAUAUAUACCAAGACGCAAAACAACAUAUUUUCCAUGCUGUGUCGGUAACACCAAAGCAAACUUCCUUUAUCACAAAAGGACCAAAUUCCAAUACUAAUCUAAUCCAUCAUGUAAAGCAUACAAUCUACAACUGCCUCCCUAAAUUUGUCCAUUGGAUAUAUAUGUCACUUUUUGGUAAUUUGGUAUAGCAGCACCACGUAGUAUGCAUUUAACAGAAAAGUAAACAAAAUUGACAGUAGAACUAUUUGUCCUAACGAAACUGAAGUUGAAAGACCAUGAGAACGAUUUUGAAAAUUAAGGGACUCAAAUGAAAAUUGGGUCUAAGUUCAGGGACCAAUAAAACGAUUAACCCAUAGAUUUUGGAUCCAGUACCACAUCCCAAAGAGAAAACCACAAGUUUGCAAGCAAGUUUGUCCAUACUAACACUACGUACAGUAUGGGCAAUGUGCUAGACUCAUCUCACUUUCUCAACCUAUCCUAUACUUGUCUAAAAGAGUUUCUAAUUUAAUGUACUGAGAUUUACGAAAGAAAUAUCAGAGAAACAAUUUUCAGGCAAUAAAAAAAUGUCUUGGCAAGAAAAUGCACAAUUUGUUACAUAACUUAUUAAAUAUGAACAGUUGAAAGAAAAAAGAAUUUGGAUGAGGGAUUUGCAAAUUCCUAUGGCCCAAUUACCUUUUUUUCUUUGUUUUUUUUUGGUUCUUUUGAUCCAGUAGCAUAUUCCAAAGAAUGAAAACCACAGGCAUGCAAUGCAAGCUCUUUUCCCAUGUUUUCCUCUGUUUUUCUCCUAUCAUGGAAGUGAUUAAAACACACCUCUAAGCUUGUUUUGCGUUUGGUAGCCGAGUGUAAAAGCUCAAUGCAAGAUAGUUUGAGGUAGAAUUUUCUCCUGUUUUAUUAGGACAAUGAUGAGCUAUAUGUGACAACAAAUUGCUUUAAUAAUGAAAAUUAAAAAAGUGUGAUUCAUUGAAUAUUUGCGGGGUUUUGUUCAGAGCUGACAAAGUUCUAAGUCAACACAUCAAAUUCCUUUUUCCAACAAUCGUAUUUGAUUCACAAUUUUGUCUGAUAUACAUCACAUCAUGACACUUGCAUCAAAUGAAUUUAAUUGAGUGAGGCAAUGGGAAGUAAUUAAGCUCUAUAUUGGUGGGUGGAGUGUUACUUCUGGAAUCCUAAUCAUUCGUCCCUACAGGACUCUAGAACUCUCACACUUCUUACAAGGACUACUUAACUCUAUAGCUUAUUGCAUAUAGCAUAUAUAUGCAAACCCAAUUAGAAAUUCUACAACAGAAGCAAGAUCAAUCUCACUAUGCCUUCUAAACAAACAAACAAAUAAAACAAGCAUAUUAAUUGCUUUAAUCACUCUACUAACAUCAACACAGCACACUUAGUUUACUAACAGAUGAUAUAGAAAGGAAAAAAAAGGACCAAUAGGGAGAAAAUGGUGAACUAAGGAGAGACUAAUACUUCUGGUCCUUAGAAGGCAUAACAGAAAUAAUAGAGCACACUGCUUGAAUGCAAGUCAGUAUUAGGAGCAAAACAGCUGCAAUGAAAGAAAUAGUUGCCCAAGGUGUAUUGAAAUAAUGUUGCCUCAAAUUUGCCUUCCAUUUGUUCCAAGGCUUUCUGCAGUAGCUAUUAAGGCGCUCAGAAAGAGUAGCAAAGUAGAAGCUUUCACGAUACACUGCAAUUCCUUUUCCGAGGUUGUUAAUCAGAGUGCACACCUCAUUGUAGUCACCAAGCAUAUUUUUGACAAUCCCAUACUUCAGAAGGAACUCCACAUCCUUUUCGGUGUUCACAAACUCAUCCAUGAGUGAAACAUAAUCACUUAUGUAAUUCUUACGGCAAUGGCACUAUUCAAAGGCAAUGAGGUUAUGGAGUGUGAGCUCUGUGUAAUCGUUUAUUUUUAGUUUUGGAAUUUCUAGAAUCCCAUCGUUGAAUCGUGUUAACGCAGCUUUCCUUUCCUAGCCUACGCGGAAGUCAACUUCACAAUCUCCUCCUAGCAAUUAGCCUUUCCUACUGUAAAUCGGAUUGUAUUCAUGUCUAUAUUAUUUCCUACCUUAAAUAGAUAUCCUGUACUAGUAUACAUAGGGACUUUGUGUAAUCUGUUAAAUACAAGGAAAUAUAUACUCUACAUGGUAUCAACCUAACCUAGGGUUCUCUCUCUCCCCCUUAUUCGAUCCUCUUCUCCUUUAGGUCCACCUCAUGGCUUCGUUUGAAUCCACCAUCUCCCUCCCAAGCCCUAACUCUUCUCAUUUUAUCAAGCUUACUAACUCCAACUAUCUUCUUUGGCUCCGCCAACUCAAACCCUUUUAGUUGGCCAUGACCUCUGGAAAUUUAUCGAUGGCAUUCAUAAACAACCUUCUGCCCACACCUCCACCUCUACCACCACAACACCCACAACCACCACCACUCUUACCGAAAUCAAUCCUACCUAUGCUCAGUGGUACCAACAAGACCAACUCAUUGUUAGCUACAUCACCAGUACACUCUCUGAGUCCAUUUUCUCUCUCACUGUCGGUUGCAUCUCUGCCCGGGAUCUCUGGGAGUGUCUCCAAUGCCACUUCUCUUAAUCCAAUAUGGCCAGUGAAUCUGCUCUUCGUUUUCAACUCAUGGAUUUGCAAAAAGGCUCUCAACCCAUUGAUGCUUACCUUCGUCAUGCUAAGUCUCUUGCCGAUUCACUAGCUGCCAUCAAUUAACCUGUCUCCCCAAAAGAACUUGUCACUGCUGUGCUUCGGGGUUUAGGACCCGAUCACAAAAUGCUCAUCACAGCAAUUCUCAAUUUCUCUCCGCUUCCAGACUUUGCUGAUCUUCGUGCUCGUUUGUUAGCUUUUGAUGCACAGACUCCUCGAAUCUUUCCUGAUCAAAACACAACGCUAAUGGCCACCCAAUCUUCUCCUUACACCACCGGUCAUACUUCCUUCCCUUCUCACCGUGGUUGUGGCUCUUCCAGCAAUAGGCGCGGUGGCUGGUGCAGUAUUGGCCGUGGUGGCUGGCACAACUUCUCAUCUUCCUAGAGCAACCCGUGGAAUGGCUUCCAGCAGCCCUAAUGACCUAAUCAACUGUGGCCUCCUUUUGCUCUAAGUUUUGGAUCUCAAAGCAACUGGCCUUCCUUUCAACCUCUUUGGGCCCAAUCUGCCGCUUCUAGCAAACACUCUGCCCGACCCAACUCAGCUCCUGGUGUCUUGGGACCCGCUUGGUGCACCACAUGCAAUACCAAUCGACAUACUACUACAACAUGUCCUUAUUGCUACAAUGGCCCAGAAUUCUUCCUUUGCUGGGGCUCAAUUCAUGCAGCCACCUAACUCUACAUGGUACCCUGACACAAGUGCCACUCAUCAUAUGACUGGUAGUUCUUCUAAUCUCCAAAGGAAAUUAAAUGAAGGAGUCCUACGAAGGCUCAAGGCUCGAAAGCACACGAUCCGGCUCUGCUGCGGAGCUCACUCAACUACUGGCUGAGGGGGCGCAAAACAGAAAAUUGUGAGUGGACAAAAAUAAAAAUUCAGUUCAGUGUAAACCAACGUAAUAUAACCCCACCGUUUAGAAAACCAUGCAAGAAAUCCAAAUGCAUCUCAAAACCAUCAUAAUCAUCAAAUCAAAAUCAAAUACUGGAUGCCAAGUCCGAAAUCCAUAAAGAAAGCUUUACAAACCCACCAUCCAAAUCUUACAAUCCCACAACUAAACUCUCGAAAGCGUACCCAUUGGCAGUACCAGCAAGGAAGUAUCCUCACCGAGAAACAAGAACAAAAGAAUAGCUAUAUAUAUAAUUAUAUAAUAUAACCACACCUAGUUGUACCGGGAAAACAAUCCAACCGGGGGAUUGUUUGACUAGUCACCAUGGCAGAGUCAAAGUAAACAAAUUCCUCAAUUCACCAUGUGACUAGGGAACGAGCUGUCCAACUGGGGGACCAACUCUCAGCCAGCAUGUACCGUCGAUAGCCUCAAAACCCGUACGUCUGUGACCAGUCCUACGCGUGCAGACUACCCAAUCAAGGGUUUACAGCAACAUCCCAUCAAGGAUGCCCUAGGUUCCCACAAUUCCAAGUAUCUCAAGUUUGCGUAUCCAAGUUCCAAAUCCGGGGAGGUACAUAGGGUAGUGCUUAUAGCACUCCAAAUUGACAUUCUAUACUCAUCACUUUCCACAAUCUCAUCUCAACAACCUAAGUACCCCACACAUAGCCAAACAUAUAUAGAAAUUCUCAAAAUCCAUAUAUACAUACUCAAGAUACUCAAAUAUGUCAAAAUCCAAAAUAUAUUUCCAAUGCAUCAUAAAAAUAUCACUUUUAACAAUUGAAUAAAUAAUAUAUAUCCAAUAUACCAAUUAAAACAUCAUGCAUAAUAUUUCCCAUCAUAAAAUCAUGCAUAAGAUUUGAAAACAAAGUCCACUCACAAGUAGUCCCACACUGCUUGACCUUGAGAGGGUCCCGCCUACUGCGUAUGCGUGGUUGGAGUACCUAUUUCAGAAUACGUAUACGAGAUUAAUAAGAAGCGUUUCGAACGAGAACUUUGAAUUAAAUAUCCUAAUUUCCCAGGUUUCUAGUAAGUGUACUAGGAACGAGACGUUCUAAGGUUCCACUACCCAAUUCGAACCAUGGAAGAGCUUCGGGAGACACUCGGUCAACCGGCGGUCAAAUUCCCAAAUCGGGUCAACUGGCCCACGGGACCCACGACCUCCGUUUUUAAAAUCCGUAAGUUCCUAAAGGUUUCACAAUGUCUAAGAUACUACUAUCACAAGUUUGGUCCGAAACGGACUGUUAGAUCGCUUACGAUCGCACGAUCAGACGGUUAUUGUAAAACGUAAACUUUAAGUUAUUGAAUCAGAACAUCCGGGGCUCCGAUUCACGAUCCGCGAAUUCCUACACGAUCCUAGGAAGGUCUAGAGUAACAUAUAUUGGAAUGGAGUCGAUCCAAAGGUCCGAACAUAUCGAACCUAGACCGGAUAACUCCUAAUAUGUGAGAUUCGUUCGGGGUUCGAACAUCAACCAAAUUGGAAUCCUAAGGUACCUACGUGCUCGUGACAUUAAGGGGAUCAAUUGGGACAAAAAUGCCCCUCUGCUACAGUGCCCACGUGCCACCACACGCGGCGGUAGAGAGUGGGUGUCCAAAGCGAUUUCUCUUCGCCGGAAAAUCUCCAAAUUACAAGCCACUCUCCUGGCUACAGGUUCUACUCAACGAGUGGAACACUUUAUUCAACUACAGCCAAGUCCAAUUCGGACGGCAAGUGGCCGGAAACUCACGGUUUAACCCGGAACUUCAUGGCUUGGAUUGGGCGACCAUCGUCACCAUUGUCGUGGCACAACCUAGGAAAUAGCUAAAAGGAGAGGAGGGCUACCUAUUCCAAGCGAUGGCGCAGCUCGCGGUAGCCGAAAAUGUAGCCGAUGACGUUGGCAGUUUUGGCCGGUUUUUCACGUCGUUGCCAUCGCCGUUUGUCGAGUUUUCGAUUGGAGAAAAGGGGUGGGGUGAGUAGAGGAGGAAGAGAGGAAGCUUUUGCAAGAAAUGACACUUGUCAGGGAGGGGGGGGUUGGGGGAAGAGAGAGAGAGAGAGAGAGAGAGAGAGAGAAAAAAAAAAAAUUUCAGAUUUUCAUCCAAACCCUUUUCGAAAUAUUUACAAGUUUGCCACUAAACUACUUUUGGUUGCCAAAUCUUCGUUAUAACUCCGAUUCAAGCCUACCACGUGUCUACGGAUUCGUCUCAAUACAACCUACCCAAAAAUACCAGUCACUGCCCCAAACUCUUUUUGGGUAAGAAAAUGACCAAAAUACCCCUACCCCAAGGGUAAAUUCAUAAUUUCACUUCAAUAAUUUAAUAAAGAAUUAAAUUUGGAGUCGGGGUGUUACAUUAACUACCUGUUUAGUAGGUGUGGGGUUUUAUACAAAAAGCAUCGAUGUUAUUGGGAGUGGAACCACUUAUUAUAAGUUGUGAUUUAUUUAGUCAAGUUUCCUAUGUGGGAUUUUCUAUUCUUCAACAAGCCCCCUCAUGUGGGACCACCACAUAGUGGGCCACAUGUAAAGCUAAGUCCACAUCGGAGUCAAUCAUUCAAGCCCAAUACCUAAACACCACGUAUUGUGUGAGGGGUAGGGGUAAACAUUCAAGCCCAACAUGUGAACCACCAAAUAUUAAGUAAGGGUAAAGGCUCAAUUCAGGCCCAAUCAAUGAACCCAUUAUGAUAUCAUGUUAAAUUUCAGAUAGACGGGACUGUGGCCCACCACUAGCAACAUUGAUAUUGUCCCCAACUUAACUACAUGUUUAGUAGGUGUGGAGUUCUAUACAUAAGGUCUCGAUGUUUUUAGGAGUGGAACCACUUAUUAUAAGUUAUAAUUUAUUUAGUCAAGUUUCCAGUCAACCUGACUUUGAUACCAUGUUAAGAUUUUAAAGGGACGAACUCUUGGCACUAUUAGUAACAUCGACAUUGUCCCCAACUUAACCACCUGUUUAGCAAGUGUGGGGUUUUAUCCUAAAGGCCUCGAUCUUAUUAAGAGUUGAGUCAUUUAUUAUAUGGAACUUUCUAUUUUGUUAACUCUGUGUAUUCUUCAUCAAUGUGAACACCCCUAAACCAAUCAUACCUGAUACGAAUUGAAACACAAGUUUGUUUUUUGCCUUUGGUAGAUGAGUAGCUAGAAAAGCUCAAUGCACUUGCUCUUCUGCUACAUUUCAAUAUAAGAACAAGGUUUGGAAGUCAGGUCAACUCCUCAUAGCUUCCUUGCCUUUGCUUUGACAUGUCUAUGCACUUCUUGGGGAAGUUUGAAUAAUCCAUUGCAGGCCCCAUGACAACUAAGGAACCAACAUUUUGUAGAAGGUUUUGUCUAUACCUUUUGACUAUAAGUAAAAUCUUUUGUAUCUGCUCUUAUGUUUCGGUGAAGUUUCUAUGUGUCCUUUGUGCCGAGUUUCUAUGCGUCCUUUGUUGAACCAAAAAAUGAGGUUGUUUCUUACUAGAUUCAAAUACUUAAAAGAAAAAAAGAAAUUGUUGUUUCUUAAUGGAUUUUAUGAUGAACAAUAUCAAACUCUCCUCUUAUACGUCUGUUGGUAAAUUUUAACAACAAUAUUAAAACCUUGCAAGUGCACAAAUCAAAUGAUAGUAUAGUAAGCAAGCAAGGGUCGAUCCCACGGAGAUUGUGAUCUAAAGAGAUGUUUAUCAAUGUCACGCAAUGAAAAUCAAAACAAAGGACUUCCAAACACACGCCAACACCAAGGGGGGUUUUGAUUUGUUUUUGUGAAUCAAACAAAAUAAGGAAAAGGAAACAAAAGAGAAUUUAAAUUAGAGUUUAAGAGAAAUUGGUUUAAAAUCAAUCAAGAUCAAUAGCUAGGACUUACUAUCCACCUCCAAACAAUCAAUCAAUCCAUAAACAACAAUAGAUAAUCAAUUUCUAGUAAGCACACUACUACAAAAAAGCAAAAAGACGACGGUAAAUCACCGUCGUGUAUUCGGUUUUUCAAUGGUCGUGGAAUCCACCGUCAUCUUUUCCCUCAUAAACCACGACGCUAAAUCACCGUCGUUGUUACAAUAUACAACGUCAUCAACAAAUACAAAACGACGUCUUUGUACUGCAAAAAGAUCUAAAAAAGCAAUCGAUGAUGAGAAAAGACGACCAACUCUCUAAACAAACCGUCGUUAAAAAGAAAAAAUAUGACACAUAUUAACAGAACAUGGCCGCAAGAUAGACAUACAACGACGAAAAUUAAAAUAAGACGCCGUUAAAUAUCAUUUUCACGACAAUAAAAAAUAUGUCGUCUUUAAAUACAUUAGAAGACGACGUUAUUGAUACCUACUACGUCGCCUAUAUAAAAAUAACCGUCGUAAAAUAAAUUUUCCACUUCGAUUUUUCUAUAAAAGAUGACGUGGAAAUAGUUGUCAGUGUCAUUAUUUACGACGUAUGUAUUUAUAGAGUAGACGUUGAACAACGAAACAACGUCGGUUACAAAUAUAUGAGAGUCGUAUUACAAAAUUUAUACGUCCUAUUUUCAGAAACAAACAACGACGAUAAAUAUUAGACGUUGUUAAAUAAAACAACGUCGAAAACAAAUAAAAACAGACGUGUUUAGUCUGCUAAAGUUCUAAAAAAUAGUCGAGGAUGAGAAUAGACGACCAACUCAAACAAAUCACCGUCGUUAAAAAGGAAAAAUAUGACACAUAUUAAAAGAACAAGGCCGCAAGAUAGACAUACAACGACGACAACUAAAACACUACGCCGUCAAAUAUAAUUUUCACGACAAGAAAAAAUAUGACGUCUUUAAAUACAUGAGAAGACGACGUUAUUGAAAUAUACUACGUUUCUUAUUUACAAACAACCGUCGUGAAAUAAAUUUUCCACUUCGAUUUUUCUAAAAAAGAUGAUGUGGAAAUAGUUGUCAGUGUCAUUAUUUACGACGUAUGUAUUUAUAUAGUUGACGUUGAAAUGCGAAACAACGUCGGUGGCAUUUAUAUAGUCGACGUUGUAUUUAUAUGUAUUCAUUACUCACGACGCACUUAUUAAUAUAGACGACGUUGAACUUCUAAACAACGUCGGUUCCAAAUAAAUGAGAGCCGUAUUACAGAAAAUAUAGAUGGCGUUGAUUAUGAUGAGAGCCGUAUUACAAAUAACGUCGUUUAAUUGAUAUUAGACGGCGGUUAUAAUGAAUUACCGUCGGAAUUCAUUUCGUUCCUCUUCGUUUAUAAAAGAACUUGCGACGUGGAAAAUGUAUGAUGACGUCGUAUUUUUUAACGUUCAGAUUAUAUAUCUCGUUUUUUAGACGUCGGUAUUAUGGGAUUGGAGUCGUGUUAUUUUGAAUUACAUGGCGGUUCUUAAUCCUUCCCCGACGUGAUAUCCUGAAUAAUUGCUUCAUAAUAGCGUCGUGGUUCUUCAUUGUUACGUUGCUUUAAGACGUCGGUAAAUAUGCUGAAUAACUGGUUCACAAUAACGUCGUGUUUUAUUUGAACGUAGAAAGUGAAGAAAUCACAUUACAAUAUAUUACAAAAUUAAUGUCAUACACUGCCAAUUACAUAAGCAUCAUUCAAUCCAUAUAUCUUCACACCCAUCUCGAAUAUUUUGACCGCCUAACUCACCCACCAGUUCAUCAAAUGUGUCAACAUUUGGCAUCCCUCUAGUAAAUGGCUCACACUCAAUUAUCACAUCACCUAAGACUUCAUCACCAAUAACAUUAUUAUAUUCUCUAUUAGGCAUUGAUAACACUACCGACCAACCACGAUGCAUCGGGUCGUCAACAAAAAAUAUUUGUUUGACUUGAGAAGCCAAAACAAAUUGGUCAUUCCUAUGUCCAAUUUUACUCAAAUCUACAAGGGUAAAUCCAAGUUCGUCGACUACAAGACCAGAACUAUCUAUCCAAUCACACCUAAAGACUGGGAUUGUAAACUUUUGGUAGUCAAGGUCCCAAAUUUCUUGAAUGACACCAUAGAAACCCAUAUUUGAGAGAAUUGAGUUUUUAUCCUUGGCACUAGCAACUUGCAUGGUAUGUGCAAGUAAAUAAACUCCACUAUUUUGAGUUGUCCGCACAUCAUCUUGUGCCUUGAUAUUGAAUUUAAUACCUUUAAUAAGAUAGCUCCUAUAUAAUGGCACAGCCAUGUUUGGACCAGCUGCUAGCCACCUUAAAUUUUCUGAUACGCCAUGAUUGUCUUCCUCAAGUUCACUUUGAACCUGCAAAUUAAUCAUAUAUCUUAAUGCAAUCUAACAUAGAAAUAAGAAGAAAAUUAAAAGAGAAAUAUGUUAUUCAACAACAUAUACCUUGAAGCGUAGCCAUUGAAUGAAAGUGUUAUUGUGCUUAUCCUGCAGCCACUUUGUGAUUUAAGGUAUGACAAUCAUGUGAUUUAAGGCCAAGAAGUCUUGAAUCUUGUAAAGAUACAAGAUUUUUAAUAUUUGAAGAAUAACCUUCAGGGACCUUCAUACCAUAGAAAGAAUUGCAAACCUCUCUCUUCUCUGCUCUUGACAAAUUCCAAGGCCCAGGAGGCAAACGAGUACGUCUUUCUCCAUACUCGGGUUGCAAAUCAGUUUUGACCCCCAUGUUCAAUAAAUCUAAUCGAGCAGCAAUCCCAUCUUUAUUUUUUCCAGGGAUCUCCAGCAAUGUACCAAUGAUACUAUCGCAAACAUUCUUCUCAAUGUGCAUAACAUCUAGGGCAUGCCUCACAGGAAGGUAUUUCCAAUACUCGAGAUCAAAGAAUAUUGAUUUCUUCUUCCAACAAACUCUGUCACCAUUUUCAACCAUGUGCAGCACUUCUUCUCCGGUUAAUGGCUCGGGAGGUAUGCCAUAUUCAGGUUUCCCAUUAAAAGCUGCACGUUGCCUCCUAUAUGGAUGAUUGAUUGGUAACCAUUUUCUAUGCCCAAUGUAACAAAUUUUGUGGCCAUUUUCAACCUGUGACUAGGUGUAUCAUCGCCGCAUAUUGGACAAGCUUUAUAUCCUUUAACAACACAACCAGAUAAGUUUCCAUAGGCGGGGAAAUCAUUAAUUGUCCACAUUAAUGCAGCUCUGAGUGUAAAGUAUUCUCCAUUAUGUGCAUCAUACACUCCUCUAAUCCCAUCCCACAAAGAUUUUAAAUCAUCAAUCAAAGGCUCCAAGUAGACGUCUAUAUCAUUUUCGGGUUGUUUAGGACCGGAAAUCAAUAAGGUUAACAUCAUGAACUUUCGUUUCAUGCACAGCCAUGGAGGGAGAUUAUAUGUAACUAAGAUAACCGGCCAACAACUAUAUCUGCUACUUAGAGAACUGUGGGGAUUGAAUCCAUCAGAUGAAAGAGCCAAUCUCAAGUUUCUCGGCUCAUUACCAAACUCAGGCCAUUUAUCAUCAAGAAGUUUCCAAGACGGGGAAUCCGCCGGAUGAGACAUCUGACCGUCAAUUGAUUUUCUAGCAGCAUGCCAAGUCAAACUCUUAGCUGUCUCAUGUGAUUGAAACAUCCUUUUAAACCUUGGAAUUGGAGGAAAAUACCACACCACCUUCGCUGGCACAUCCUCUUUCAAGAUUGAAUCUUUGCCUUCCUUCCACCUUGAGAUACCACAAGUAGGACAAUUAGUUGAAUCCUCAUACUCCUUCCUAUACAAGAUGCAAUCAUUGGGGCAUGCGUGCAUUUUCUCAUAACUCAGCCCCAAUGCACACAAAGUCUUUUUUGCCUCAUACAUAGAGGUUGGUAUUGUAUUUCCUUCUGGAAGCAAAUCGCCUUGAAGUAUCAAUAAUUCUGUAAAACAGACAUCACUCAUCCCAUGUUUUGCCUUCAAAUUAUACAACUUCACUAAUGCCGAUAACUUCGUGUACUUUCUACAACCAGGGUACACUGGUUGAUCUCCAUCCCCAAUCACAUUGGCAAACUCAUACGGAUCGGAACCAAAAUCACCAAAAUCAUUAUCAUCCAUAUCAAUUUCUUCAGACACAAAACUGUACCUACUAUGGCCAUCAUCUUCUUCAACAUUUCUACUAGCAUUAGUAGUUGCUUCCCAAGGUUCUCCGUGAAAUGUCCAAUUCUUAUAGCUUUGGUCAAUUCCAUUAAAGUAUAAGUGAUCCCUUAUAAUUCCAACCCCAAACAACUUCAAAUUAACACAUUUAACACAUGGACAACGGAUAUGUGUUGUAGUUAGAAGAUUUUCUACAGCAAAGUUCAAAAAUGCUUCCACCCCAAACUCAUAUGCCUUCGAUCUUCUAUCCGAGUGCAUCCAUGACUUAUUCAUCUCCGACACUAUAACCUAUUAUCUAUAAUAAAGUGAAAAUACAGGCAAUGACCAUCACUAUAGCAGAUUAUACAAAGAUCUAAUAGCAAGUAAUACAUAACAGAGACGACGGGUUUUAAACAAAAACAGACGUAUUUGGCAUAUAUAGACGACGGAUUUUCAACAGACGUCGUCUAAUAUAAGUAAUACAAACGACGGUUUAUGAAAAAACCGUCGUGUAUAAGUAAUACAACGACGGUUUUUUCAUAAACCGUCGUGUAAUCGUCGUCGUAUGCCUAAAAAGGCGUCGUGUCUCAGUUUAUUUUCAAGAACCCAAAACCCAUUAAGAACACAACAUAUAUAUGAAACCAAGCAAGAAACCAACAUAUACAUGAAGCCAAGCAUGAAAACAAUAAAUCCAUUCCCAAUUCAACAUAACAUAGGGUGAUUAAAAGAUCCGACAAAAUUAAAACCAUUCCCAAUUCAACAUAACAGAUAAUGUAAUCCAUGAACCCAUUAAACAGAAAAUCCAUGAACCUAUACCUAUAAGCACAUUAUUAACAGAUCGCAAAGCAUAUACCUAAAACCCUUUAACAAAACAACCUAAUAUCAUUCAAUGAAUUUACAAAGGGAAGAUAGGGUUUGUACUUACAGGUUGGACGAGCUCACAGAUUCGACGAAGCCUGGAGAGUGCAACUUUUAAUUAGAGCAGAAGUGAGAGAGCGAAUGUUAUGUUGCGCGAAAUCUGAAAAUUUUAGGGUUCAGGGUUAGAAGUAUAAGAAUAAGAGCCAAAUAUAAAAAAAUUUAGGGCGCGCGAAAAUUUUUAGAGCGCGCGCUCUUUAAAACGUCGAAAGAAAAACCAUGGCGAAAGUUCUACAAGAACCGACGUAAAUGUAAUAUUCCACGACGAAAACACUUAACGUAACGCCGUUUAUUUUGACGUUCAUUUUUCGGAUUAAUUUUAAAUUUAUUUUGAAUAUUUUGAUAUAAAGACGACUGAAAAACCACGUCGAAGUUAAGAAAUUGAAAACGUUGUAAAUUAUAAUAGACGACUUACAUAUUAAAAUGACGUCGUUUAAAGUGGAAACCAUGUCGGAUAUUUUACUGCACGACGUAACAUAUGUAUUCCACGACUCAACCACCGUCGUUAACAAUUAAUACCCUAAACCCUUAAAACUAAAUUAUAUAAUUUUAAAAAUUAAGUUUAUAAAAGGGUUUAUGGUUUUACAGCCUAAUAUAUACCCUAUACUACCCAAAAAUUAUACUUUAAAAAUAAACCCCAAUAAAUAACAACCCUAAUCUCUAAACCCUAGACUCUAAACCCUAAACCAUAAAACUAGAAGUGAUUUUAUGACUCAUCAAAACAAUUUUGUUUUGGAUGGUCAUUUUAAAUUUUUUUUAUUCAAAAUGAAUUUUUUCAAGGUUUAGGGGGAAGAAAAUAUAUCAAUGACUUCAUAGGAGUUGACUUUUCAUUUUUCUGAUUUAUUUUAAAUUUAUUUUGAAUAUUUUGAUAUAAAAAUAAUAAAAUAUUCUUAUCACAAUAACAAACCACGUCGGUGUUAAUAAAUUUUAGACGUUGUAAAUUGUAAUAGACGACUAAGUUGUUAAAAUGACGUCGUUUAAAUGAGAAACCAUGGCGGAUAUUUAACUAUCCGACAUAAAAUAUAUAUUCCACGACUUAACCGCUGUCGUUACAAAGUACUACCCUGAACCCUUAAGAAAUUGAAGACGUUGUAAACCAUAAACGACUCAAUUGUUCAAAGAACGUCGUCUAAAUAUCCUUUUACGUCGGAUUUGGUUAAAACGAAACAACAAAAAACGACGGCUUUUGACUUUAUUACGUCGUUGGAAAAGUAUUACACGUCGGUUACGCAAUUUGUAUGUUUGUUUUUUUUUUUAAUUUAAGAAAACCUCAACAAAUUUUUACAUUAUAUAUUAUAGACAAAAUUUGUACAUUAUACAUAAAUAUCAAGUGUUCAAUAAUUCCCCUAUUCCAGGUGAAGGCAAACAAACUCUGACCAUUCAUUCCGGACUUCAUCAAUUGCUUCUUGGGGGUAUGGCGCUUCCUGUUUUCCCUUGGCAUACUGCAUAAACAAUGACUAUUAGGGUUUAUAAAUAAAAAGAAAUUCAAUCACAGACGACGAUAUUUUUCAUAACCGACGUACUAUAUCUAUUCAACGACGGUAAUUUUACAUGACCGUCGUUGAUAAUACAAAAAACGACGUAAAAUGUAUGAAGGUAAUUUCUUCUUACCUUCUUCUCAAACCCCAAGGAAGGAUCCAUGAUGAUGUCCCUCAUGAAGCGCAUCACAUAAUACCCGCAUUCGACAUUGCUGGGUUGCUUUGGUGUCCCUGACAGAGUUUUCCAAAUGGCUGCCUUACGGCCUGGUCUGGCUAUGUGAGAAUUAUAAAUUUUUAUAGCACUGUUCACAAUGUUUUUGGCCUCUUCAUCGACCACACGAUUUCCUGGCAGAGGAUCCAGAAAAUAGACGGUUUCUCUCUUUGCUCUUACAAUCAGCAAGAUCCAAUGACGGCUGCACAAAAUUAAUAUAAAAACGACGGUUAUUUACAAUAACGACGUAUUAUAAUGUUUCACACGACGAAAUAAAGUAGCAAUCGACGACAUUUUACAUUUAUCACGACGAUAAAUAACUACCGACGUGGUUAGUAGUUUCAAACGACUCAAUAAAAUAAAACACCGACGUGGUUAGUUUAUACGCUGUAAUUUAUUGAAAAUCAUAAAAACAAAAUCCUGUUAAGGAGACUAACCCUGGAUUGUAAGGCAUCAGGAAAAUCUGUUCACCGUCAGUCUUUUGAAGUCGAGCUGCUAGUAAGCGUGAUCUGUCAGCUAUUGUGCCAGAGUUGGCACUAACUGUAGCAAGGUCGAUAAAGCCAACCAUAUUGCACAUAUUUGCUCGUUUCAAAACAUCGUGCAAGUGCCUAAAUAUAUAAAAUAAUAUAAACAAGUCAGCACAAAAAAACACACGACGGUUAUGUAUAACAAAACGACGUAUUAUAAAAUUUCACACGACGUACUGAAAUAGACAACGACGUUAUAAUAUAUUUAUCACGACGGUAAAUACUAACGACGUGGUUAGUUAGUUAAGACGACGUAAUAAAUAAACCAACGACGUAUUAUUUUAGAAUGACAAACCUCAUAUAUACAAAAAAACACGACGGUUAUGUAUAACAAAACGACGUAUUAUAAAAUUUCACACGACAUACUGAAAUAGACAACGACGUUAUGAUAUACUAACGACGUGGUUAGUUGGUUAAGACGACGCAAUAAAUACACCAACGACGUAUUAUUUUAGAAUGACAAACCUCAUAUAUACAGCAAUGACAGUGGCUCCUAUUUCUUCCAUGCCUGCAAAUUGUGUAAUAUCUUCAGGCAGGAGGAAGGUAUCGCGCUCUAGACCAAACACCUCCUUAUCAAUUGUAAAGUGCAGGGUCUUAUCCUGAGGCACGAGUGUCGUUUCCACAUAACGACAAAGGGAGUUUAAAGAAGAUGGCGCCUCCAUAUUUGAAUAAUCAACAACUUUAAUAACCUGUUUAAAGAAAUAUAAAAAAUGACGUGGUAAUUCAAUAAAAACGACGGUUUAAGGAAUAAAACGUCGUCUGAAAAGAAUUUAAACGUCGUCUGAAGAAACCGUCGUGGUGAAUAAUUUAUUACGUCUUAAAAAAAAUUCCGCCGUCUAAGUUGUAAACAAACGACGGUUUAAAGAAAAAUAUCGACGUCUGGAAUUUUGAAAAACAAAUAAAAAAGGCAAAGUUAUGUGAACAUACCUGGUCGUCAUCUUCUUUCUCCUUUUCAUCAUGUUUUUCUUCUGUCUUCCCUUCAUCUAUUACGUCGAGAAUGACUAACUCCGUCGUCUAAAAACCACAAAGUUUUAAAAUAACGACGUUUAAUGGCGUGUAAAACAAGUAAACUAAAUACGACGUGGUAUUGAAAUACAAACGACGGUUUAUGUUUAAAAUCGUGGUGGUAUGUAUUUCAAACGACGGUUUUAUUAAUAAUAACGACAUCUAAUGGUUUUUAAAAAAACAGAGAAUUCAAAGUUCAGAUAUGUUACCUUUUCUUCCUGAUGUUUCCCAUUUUUGGCAGUAUCAUCCUCAAAAUGCUGGGAUCUCACAUCACCUCCAGAGCAGCUUGCUUUGUCAGACAUUGGAUUUUUGGGACUUUGGCUAAUUCUGGGUUUAAGCAUGCUUGGAUCAAAAUUGGGAAUUAAUUGGGAAAGCUGACUCAGGAAAUGCUCCCUCUCAGCCUCUACCAAUUGUUUCGUUCUAGCCUCCAUCCUUAAAGCCUCUUCCCUUGCCUUAGCUUCCAUCUUUUUAGUCUCUUCUUGAAGGAGAACUCUUAAACUGUCCUUCAAACGGUCGUCAAAGCUCACUCUCUGUGGUUUGGGUAAAUUGAAAUAUUGCCUUGGUGAGAUCCCAGCACCUACUCCUCUCACUCUGCCUGGAUGCUCGGGGCCCAAAGCCAUGGUCAGCACAUCAUUGCUGCCAGAAACAGUGACUUUGCCUUCCGAGACUUGUUUUUGCAAUUCAUCCUAAAACAAAGAUAUAUAAAAAAGUAAGAACAAAAACACACGACGGUUAUUUAUAUACAAACGACGUAUUAUAUAAUUUCACACGACGCAAUAACAUAUAAAUCGACGUUAUUAUAAUUUAUCACGACGGUAGUUUUUAAACCGACGUGGUUAGUUUUUAAAACGACGAAAUGAAUAAACCACCGACGUCUUAUGCUUUAUUUACAGAUAACAGAGGGAUGAUUCAAUAUUCACACCUUUAACGACCUUGUUUAAAAUAUUUCGACGUAGUAAUUCAAUACAAACGACGCGAAAAUGAACCACCGACAUCUUAUGCUAUAAUUACAGAAAACAGAGUAGUGAUUCCUGAUUUAGACCUUUAACGAUGUGGUAAUAUCAUUCACACGACGCAAAAUAUAACAUAAGACGUAAUAAGAAUUAUUCACAGUUUAAUAAAAAUUUAAAACAGAGUGAGUAGGCUUACAAUUAAUUUUGCUUUCUCUGCCACCUUUGGAUCCGGGAUGUUACCAUGUUUGUCCUGUCUAGCUCUCUUCCAUAAGGUAGAUCGAUCAAUUUCUACCCCAGGCAUGGUUUCCUCCAAUUGAUCCUCCAAACCAGCAUAUCCUUUUCGAGACAAUCGAUGAUUGUACUCAAGUUUCUCCCUAAUCUGUGCAUGUUGAGAAUGCACAGACUCAAAAUCUUUGGAUAACCUUGAAGCUACAAAGGCAUCCCAUUGUGCUUUCUCUAUGAAUUUAUAUAUUUCAGGGGGUUGGCUUAAUCUCUCCCUGUCAUUAGUGUAUGGAAGGAUAUAUUGCCUCGUUAGUGUAGACUUGAAAUCCUUCCAUUUCUUGGCAGCAGAAGCUAACACAGAGCUCUUGCCCCCUUGACCUACCACAAAAGCAAUGUCAACUGCUUCCCAAAUCUGCUCCUUUAUAUCCUUGGAGAUUUGAGCCUAUUUCAUGUCCACAAGUGGAACUCUGGAGCGUGCCAACACACCAAUGUAGGACUGCAUCUCACUAUGUGCUUGGCCAAUUCCUUUCCCCCUUUUAUUGUACUCAACAAUUGGCCUCAGUUUCUGAAGUUUUCUCUUCACAACAUGAGGCAUUGUGCUCAUACCUCGACCAGACUUUGAAUCAUCAGAGAUUGUUGUCGUGCUGGUUCGUUCUGUCUCAGCAGAUGAUGAAGCAAACUUCAUCUUCUUCGAAGGCUUCACUUGAGGAGGUACCAUUCCAAGGUCCUUACCUCCAUUUUUCUUGGAGCCAGAAUCCUUACUUUGGUCUUAGUGAGAAACCAUUUUUACAGACAAAACUGCAAGUGAAAAUAUUUCAGGAAAAGAUUAAGAACACAAACGACAGUUAUUAAUAAAAUACGACGUAUGAUAUGAUUUUAAACGACGCAAUGAAAUAAUCUCAGACGUAAUAAAUGUUUAAAACCAAGGUAAUUAAACAACGACGAAAUAAUUAACUAUAAACGACGUGAUAAUUAACUAUAAACGACGAAAUAUUUAUAUAACGUCGUGGUAUUGAUGUUCACACGACGUCAGUCGUAAUAUACCGUCGUCUAUAUAAGGAUCCAAAACCCUUCUUUCUUUCUCUGUGAAUGUUUGAUUGCAGAUUUGAUUUUUCUGAACCAUGGUUUUUGUUUUCUAAUUUGAUAAAAUACAAGGCCAAGAAAGAAAGUUUUGGAAUCUUAUAUAGACGACGGUAUUUUAAUAUGACGUCGUGGUAUUAACAUUCACACGACGUAAAACAAUAAGAUACUGUCGUCUAUAUUAGAUACCAACCCUACUUUCUUUUUCUUUAUAUUUUAUCAAAUUAGGGAAAAACAAAAACCAUUGUUCAGAGAAAUCAAACCUGCAAUUAAACAAGCAAAUAAAAAAAAGACUAUAAUUUUAAAAACAACUUUGUCAAUUUUCAGACGACGCUAGAACGACUGACGAACCGUCGUGGUCUACAUAUUUAACCACGUACAUAAGAAGCUACCGUCGUCUUAUUUAGUUGAGGUAGUUGUCUUCAAAGUUGGAAACUUUCCCUCUUUGUCUGUAUAUUUUAUUGAACUUGGAAAGAAGUAAAAUGAUUUUGGCCAGAAAAAAGGUAAAAAGAUUUUUCAAACAAAAAACGUAUGAGCAUGCAAAACAACAACCAAAAUAGUGAAAAUGAAAGCUUACCUUUUGCGUGCAAUGAAAGCAAGAGGAAGAUUAUGUUUAAGUUCAGAGACGACGAAGAAGAAGAGAGGAAGACGAUGAGAUACUCUGACAGUGCUCUGACAAGGAAAAAAGUCUAAAAGUUUUCUCUGGGAGAUUGAACUUUUUAAUCGGGUUUGAAAACGGCGCAUGUGUAUGUCAGGUAGACGAAAAGUUGCUUACAUAUAAAACCAUUUCAAAAAAAUAAUACGGCGGUUACAUAUAACUACGACGUAUAAAUUACAAAAUACGACGGUACAUUUAACUUCGGACGUGGUAAAUAAAUACGACAGUAGUGUUGUAGGUACCGUCGUAGUAAACUCAAAAAUUAAAGUACAUAAGUAAUAACUCGCGUCAUGGUAGAUUAUUUAACACGUCGUUUUUAUUAAUUUACCGACGUGGAUUUCUGUAAUAUACGUCGAUAAUACCGACGUUGAUUUUACAAUUUAAACGGCGGUUUUUUUGUAAGGACCGCCGUUGGUUUUAAAAAUUUAUUCUAUAAAUUUGUCGCUUUCAUUCAUUUUCGGUUUACAUUUAAGGUUCCAAGUUCUUCCUCUCUCAGUCUCUCACGUCUCAAAGACAAUAAUUUGGAUGUCUUUCUCAAAGAGAAAUUGAGCUUACUCGCAUCAAAUAUAUGUCCACAAGAAGAAGCUUGUCAACUAGCCUUCUCACUUCCUUGAUCAAGCCUGAUAGGACACUUAGUGCUUCUGAAUACUCCUUGCUUUCCAUCAAAAGAGAUGCAAGCCUGGCCUCCACUCGCUGUCGAAGGAAAGUUCGCUUCUCAGGGAAAUCUUCUUGAUUUUCUUGGCUAAGAAGAUCCGUCAGAUUUGUGAUAGCCUCUUCCUUUAUCCGUAGAGCUUCAGAAGAAGAAGAUGGGUUUCAAGAAUGCGAUAAAGAAUAGAAAUGGCUUCAGAUGGCCUCUAAAGCAUGAGCAAUCGAAUCAGUAGUUGUUGGGAGAUAUGAUGAAGACAUUGUCAAUGCUUUGAACUAUACAAGUCCUGCAGAAAGAUAAAGGACCAAACUGUUAAAGAAACUGAAACAAUGGCGGUUUUCUGUUCUACCGUCGUCUUUUCUCGUCGUCUAUAUUAAGGUAAGAUGGCGGUAGAUUUAUAAUUACCGACGUAGAUUAUUUUGUUAAACGUCGUUAAGUGUACUACAACCGACGUGGAUUUUAUUUUUAAAUUAUAAAUAGAGUUUUUUUUCCCCUAUUCUUUCAGUUUUAGUUUUCAAUUACAAAGCGUGAUAAAUAGAUUUUUCUUUCCCGAGGAAAUUUAAAAUGAGGGAAAUUAAUGUUCUAGAAUUUGUAAACUAACACGACGCAAUAUUUGCAAAUCUGUGUCAUCUGUUAAGAUUAUGAUGUGGAACAGAGUUCCAUCUGGUAAGAUUUCGUAACCCUUGGGAUCUCAGACAAAUCUGAUUAUGUCGGCGGUUUUCUAUAUAAAUCGUCGUGGUUAUUUCAAUUCUUGUCAUUAAGUAGAUCUACCGACGUAGGAUAAGAAAAUCAAAGAAAAAAAUUGUUAACAAAAAUUCUUAUUAAGACGACGGUUAAAAUUAAAGGUACGACGUAUAAAAUGAAUAAAUACGACGUUAAAUUUUAUUGUACGAUUUAAAGAUAACGUCGUAGAACUAUAAGAGAAUGACGUCGAUAUAUUUAUAUUUUCCGUCGUUGUACAUUAAUUUAAUACGGCGAUAUUUUGUAUUUUAAAGCCGUGGAUUUGUUUGUAAUUAUACGGCGUCUUAUACGAAAACCUCGUCGUGUUAUUUUAUGAGUAAAAACGGCAGUUUUUAUUGAAAUCGUCGUCUUUACUUUCUACGUCGGUCGAUUCAUAACUUCUGCCGUUCUUUGUUGGCAUUGAUUUUACACUGCGAAAAUCUGUUUCAAAUAGACGUCGGUUGUUUAAUUAUGUACGUUGUUGUUUUUGAACAGCCAUUUGAAUCUCCAUUUUUUAGUUGUCUAAGGUUGUAUUACACGACGGUGUUUUUAGAACCGUCGUCUUUUUAAAAACCACGACGGUUUUCACUUAGACCGUCGUUGUUUUCUGGUCGUCUUUUUCACUUUUUGUAGUAGUGGCAUAUGAUGACGACACUCACAACAAGAUCAUGGCAUUUGACUCGAGUUGUAUGAUUCUCUCUUAAGUGUAUGUAAAGUGUAUGACAUUUACAUCAAUACGUGUAUUCUUAAUUGAAAUCUACUAUGGCAUUUACUCAAAUUAACAAUCAAGAAUCCAUUAAGAUCAAAGAGAAUAUGAGUGUCACAAAAACCCUAAAACAUGGCAUUUGUUAUUAGGAAUUCAAGAAUCGAUUUCUCAUAACUAGUUCUUAACCCAAUUAUUCGUUGCAAAUAAGAACACAUUCAAUAUGGCAAUUGACCUAUGUUCUACAACAAUUUAAUUCCAAUACAUGCUUCUAAGUUAGCUACUCAAAGAAACAAAAUAUCAGAAUUCACAUAACAUAUAGAAACCGAAAACAUCACGCUUGUAGAAACUAAAAAUCCAUUAACCUUGUUUAUAAAAUUGAAAUCAUGUUUAGGGCUUCAAGAUUAAGCCCUAACUAACAAGAAAUUAGUUACUCAUGGUCUUGGAUGAACUCAAAAAUAAAUACAUAAGAACUGAAAAUUAAAGAAGGAAGGAAAAGAAAGAACUCGUUCGCAGCUUUCUCCUCUUGCGCUGUUGAUCUCUUUAGGACGUGAAUCCUUUUUAUCAGCCUUGCCUCGUCUUUUAUAUCACUUAUAUCAGAGUUCUAAACCCUAAAAUUGACUGAAAAGUCGUCCAAGAAGUCUUGGUAAACAAGGAAUCCAAAUAGGAAAGUAAAAAUCACAAUUCCUAACUCCACUGGGAAAUACAGCUCAGCCCAAUGUUCACACGAUUUUGGGAUCUUCGACCUUGUAGAAAAAUCAUUAAAAAUAUAUUUUAGAAAGAUAAAUGUCUUAUCUUUCCAACCAUAUAUAGCACGUAACUUGAAAAAUUCGGAAAGGCUUCCGUUUCUUCACAUUCACGUAGCAUGUACGAAACUGUCCUGUCUGCACGUGGGCUAACUUUACUUGUAAUACUGUACCAAUUGGCUCGGUAGAAAAUUCUAGAAAAAUCAUAGAUUGAACUUCAAGAUGUUAGCUUUCAUCUCCAAUCAGGGGCGGCCUUGGGGAGGUGCAAGUGGCGCCACCGCACAGGGCCCCCGAAAAAAAAAAUAUUUAUAUUAUAUAUAUAUAUUAAUAUUAUAUGAAUCGUAUAUAUAAUAUAGCGUCUGGAUAUUUGCACAACAGCGUGUUCAGGGGAGUUGGAUGGAGCACAUCUCUCUUUGGCAAAAGGGCCCGAGUUCGAUGCUCCUUGAUGUCGUUCUACUGGCUAGCCUUUUGUGAUAUUAUUUUUGCAUUCAAACUUUACAUAAUUAUUGAACCAUUGGAUUAAUAUGCAACGAUGGGUGACCACAAUCUCUUGGACUCCUGUGGUCCAUGAGAUCGGGACUGAUAUUACAUGACUUAUUUUAUUAAAUUAUUAUCAUGUUGAUGAUUGGUUGUAUGAGAAUAUAGUUUGUAGAAAUAUUUAUCUAUUUCUUGUUGGGGUUUUCUUCCAGGUUAUAGGGUUUUGGAAUUUUUCUUUGUAAUCUAAACAUGCCACCUACUAGAAAAUACGUUUAUGGAUAUACAAAACGGCUUAGAAAAAGAAAAUUCGAGGAAUUGACUCAAUCUCAAAGAGGAGCUCUUGAUAGAUUCAUUGUUAGAGAAUCACAUGCUACAAUUGAUGAAAAUAUUUAAAUUUUUAUGAAUUUAAUUUCUGAUUUUCAUUGCAUAUUUAUUGAUGGUGAAUUUUAGUUAUAAAAAAAAAUUGUUUAUGACAUUAAGUUAUGGCAAAUUUUUAUAGUAUUUUCGUAUUAGAUUAUGCAAGGCCCCAAUUUAAGUUUCGCACAGGGCCCUCAAAAUCUCAGGGACGGCCCUGUCUCCAAUUGGUCUUGUGCUAAAAUUCCUCCGAAAAGUUGAUUUUCCCUUAAAAACCUUCUAAGAGUGCAGAAAAGCUGAAAAUCAGAAAAAUAAAGUAAUAAGCCAUUUUUAAAUCUAAUUCUCUUACAAAACCAAAGUAAAAAGAGUACAUAAAUGAGUAUAUUUAUGGACUUAUCAACGUCUUCUUCGUUGGACUUGGGGUUGUUUUCCUUAUAUGUCCCCUAUAUAUAUAUAUGGCCUUUAGUUGAGCCCACAAAUACCUUCAGUUAGUUUUUGGGUUUAGGGGCCUACAGAACCUGCACUAAACAAUAAAAGAAAAUACCUAAUUAGUUUAGUACGAAUUUAUAAUGAAGGCUUUAUUAGGUGAAGUUUUAUUUCUUAAUCGUUAGAUCAAAUUGGUUAGCAUCUGAAGUCGCCCAAAGAUUUGAGAGGGAUUCCACAAACAUAUAAUAUAAAGAAAGAAAGCAAUAGUAGGAGAUGAACCAGUACAAAAAACAAUAUAUAAAUAGUACAUAAUAAUUCCAUAACCUUGUCACAAACGCACUCACAAAUGCUUUCCAUAAACCUUGCCCUAACAUAUAACAAAUAAAGGCAACAUUGCAUAUGAUGCAACCAUGUCCAAAUCUGAUACGUGAUAAAAAAAAAAGGACAUGGCAGCAACAUAUGACUGAAGUAGAUGGGCUCUUUGCAUCUCGUGUUAUCGUAAUUAAAGACAUCAAAAUAUUAAGGUUGAAAUCUUCUAUAGUAGCAAGCAUUAAAAUAGGUUUGAAGCAGAGUUUAAAGAAAAUUCCAAUUCCACUGAUUUGCCUCUGCUCAAAGACGAGAACCAAAAUGGUUACUUCCCUUGCUGAGUAUAUUUGUUAACGUCGGAAACGGUAAUAGAUGACCAAUCAAACCCAAGUACGACGAGUUUUGCAUAGGAUCAGAAGUAGUUGAAUCCAGCUUGCAUCACACGCUUCUUUGACUCCAUUGCAUUAGAUGAGUUUUUGUAUUUUUGAACAGCUACACUCCGAAGUCGUUUGUGUCUACGCUUCAUGCGCUGCAACUUCGCCCUAUCCAGAUUGGCCUGCCUUUUGUCAUCUUCAAUUUGGCCUUCAACAAAUUCCAAACGUGCCCUUGCCCUUUGGAUUUCAUCACCAAGUUGAAGAUGCCUCUCCUUCCAAAAAGCAAGAACUCUUUCAGACUCAAAACUUCCAACAAAAUGGUCAUUCUAUCUAGGAAUGUGACAUUGCUUGUCUGGUGACUCACCUGCGUUUCAAAGGCGGUCUUUGUUUGGAGGGGUGUUUAUUAUGCUCACAUCAAACUUGGUUAGUAAAUCCAUUCUAUGGGGGGAGUGAGUUUCUGUGGAGGAGAGAGUUUCAGUAGAUGGAGACAGAUUCGGUGGAGGAGUGAGAUUUUUGUGGAGGGAGAAUUUCUAUGAAAUGGGUGAUAGUAAUACCAAUAAAAGGGUUCCCGCCAAAAAGUAUUUGGUUGACAAUGUAUAAAUUAAUUUUUGGUCUGAUACAAUCUAAGUUUAAUCCUAACUAGUUUGGUUAGUUUGGUUGAAUUCACUAACUAGAUGUCACUUCCAUUGAGUUUCUUUCAACCACUAUCAGUGGUGUAAGGAGAGUGUGAGGUUGACAUGCUUGAAAAGCAAAACCUAACACCUCUUUUUUUUAAAAUUGAAAGAAAGUACAUAUGUUGACUACACACAAGCUUUGGUAUGUUGGUCUAUAAAGCUAUGUUCCCUUUCUCAAACGAAAUUGCAUAUGCAAUCCUCGUCCUCCCAAAACAAAUAGAAUUAUUCAAGCAUGUCAACCUCUUCAGGCGCCAACAACACAAUCAAAGAUGACAAAUUGGAGUCGCAGGUUCUAUUUCCACAUUGUACUCGCCGACCCCUUCCAUUUUCAACAUCAUUUGGGAGUGAGGGGGACUCCGAUGAUCCAUUAGAGCUAAUACAUGCAGUCAAUAGCAAGCUGGAUUAUAAUUCCAGACUGAUCAAUUCAUGGCGCGAGAAAUAUGUUGAAGACGAAGCCAUUUUGGCUGAUCUUAACAUUAGAGUGAACAAAGCGUUCUCCCAAAAGAACAAGUACUUGAAGCUGAGUCAUAAAAGGAAGCUGAAAGCUGAGGAGUUAGAUACAGUAAUGAAUGAUGAAAUUAAAGGUUGUUUGAUGAAUCAUAUGCGAUGCGAAGAGCACCACAGUGAACUGGAGUUGGCAUUCAACGAAGGAUUCGAAAAAUUACGAGCAUUUGCAGCAACUACUCAUACAAGUUAUAAUUGGGACUAUGUGUCCCCUGAUGUUGUGAGAGAGAUACUAGACGAUGGUGGUGACAUGAAUGAGCAUAAGCACGUCAAAGCUGCUUGGAAGAAGCCGACCGAUACGACUAAGUGAUUGCGGCUACAGUUGUUCAGUUGGUUGAGAGUGAUCGUGGUAUUGCACAAAUUAGAAGUAUAUUCCCAUAAUGUCAUUAUCUAAUUUAAAAUAACACAAAUAUCAGUUUCAUUUGCUUCAUAUUGUAACACCCCGACCCCAAAUUUCCCCAAAAUUUACCCUCAUUUAAUUAAUUAAUUAUUUAAGGGUAUUUUAGUCAUAUUUUUAACCGGAGAGAGUUUGGGACCAUGACUUGUAUUUUUGGAUAGGUCGUACUGAGACGAGUUCAUAGACACGUAGUGGGCUCGAAUCAGAGUUGUAACGAGAGAGAUAUGGUCAAAAGAAACCCAGUGGCACAAUCGUAAAUAUUUCAAAAUGGGAUUUUUAUAAAAAUCUGGUUUUUCUCUCUCUCUCUCUCUCUCUCUCUCUCUCUCCCGCGACUUCUCUCUCUCUCCCGUCGGCUCUCUCUCUUUCUCUCCUUGUAUCUCCGGCCACCGACCACGGCUGUGGGCGGGGCCGGUACCAAACUGACCGGGACGACGUCCCCUUCCUUCCCCGACCAUUCCCCGCCGGCAACGCGGCCGUUGCUGGCCGGAAAAUGCAGAAAACCGCCGGGAGGUCGUCGAAACUUCAACGCCGUCGAUCUCCCUCCUCCGGCCACCAUUUUCGUCGACCCAGGUAUGGAUCUUGAACCUCUCGAGCUGUUCUAGCUGUUUGUUGGUUGGGUUUUGAUCGAUUCGAUCUCUAGAUCACUCGAUUUUCGAAUUGAAAAUUGGCCGAAACUUCGGCCGCCGUGAUCGGCCAUUUUCGGCCACUUUUUGUGGUAGGUCCAAGAACAAAAGUGGCUCCAAAUAGGGUGUUAUACCUAGGGUAGAAGUUUGGAGCCGAGAUGUUGAGAUUUUCCGGCGAAGCGUUAUCGCUUUGGGCACCCACGCGUGCGGCGGCGCGUGGGCACUGUAGAAAAAGUAGAUGUGUUCCGAUGAGAUCCUUAGGUUGUCACGAGUGCGUAGGAUUUGGCGGAUCUCAAUUCGGACGUCGUUUGACUAUCGAACGGAUAAUCGCAUAUUAUGCGUUAUCCGGGUUCGAUAGGUUGAGACCGUCGGAUGGUCCCAAAUUUAAUAUAUGUUGAUCUAGGUAUUUCUAGGAUCGUGUAGGAUUUCACGGAUCGUGAAUCGGAGCCCCGGAUGUUCCGAAUAAUAAUUUAAAGUUUAUAUUUUAUAUUAACCAUCAGAUUAUGCGAUCGUGAGAAAUCCGACCGUCUGAUCUGAACCAAACUGGCAGGAAAAGUGUCCUGUACCUGGUAGAACCCAUAGGGACCUUCGGAUCGGAAAUUGGAGGUCGUGGGUUCCGCAAGUCUGUUUGACCAGGGUUAGAGUAGUUUGACCCUUGGUUGACCGUGAGUCUCCCGGAGUAAUCUCACCCUUCCAGGGGGAAUUAUCGGGAGCUAGACUAUUGUGGAGGGUUACACAAUAUUAGAAUUAUUUAUAUAAUUAUAUAUGGUUGUACAAGGGUACAACAAAGUCUAGAAUGUCAGUUUGGAGUGCUAUACGCACUACUUUAGGUACCUCCUCGGAUUUUGGAUUCGCUACAAGCACCACCAAGUGAAAGUUAGGUCCCGCGUGGCGUAGGUUAUCCGGCGUUGGGACAGACCCCAUACGUGGCGUUGGUUGUACCGGCGUAUGGGGAGAUUUGCAAUAUGAUGUUCAGGUCUCACGUGGCGUAGGUUAUCCGGCGUUGAGACAGGCCCCGUACGUGGCGUUGGUUGUACCAGCGUACGGGGAGAUUAUGUGAUAUGAUGUUGAGGUCCCGCGUGGCGUAGGUUAUCCGGCGUUGGGACAGGCCCCAUACGUGGCGUUGGUUGUACCGGCGUAUGGGGAGUUAUAUGAUAUGAUAGUAUGGCAUGGUCGCACAUGGCGUAGGUUAUCCGGCGUGUUGACAGGCCCCAUACGUGGCGUUGGUUGUAUCGGCGUAUGGGGAGAAUAUGUGAAAUGCAGAGAAAGGAAAUAAGGUAUCACCGAUGUGUGGAAUUGGGUUUUAGGGAAGAACUACGUGUGGCUUGAUCCCUCAAGGAGGGUACGUAGGCAGCCUAAGGUUAUUGGGUGCAGCCGCAGACUAAAUAUUAGUCAUAUUUGGUAUUUGAAUUGUAUGGUAGUUGUUUGAGAAUUAUUGGAAGGCCAAAGGCCAUUUAUGAGAAUUUGCAUGAAAUUAUAUUGUGCAUGCUGCUAGUUGUGGAUAUUAAAUGUGUUUUUAUGCAGGUUGAAAUUUUGGGAAAUGUCCAAUUUAUAGGGGAGACUCUGCUGAAAUUUCGGCAGGAAGUCUCGGUUUUUAGUAAGUGGGCCUGGCAUCGGGGUGAUGUCAGGAAUUCCAAAGGGUUCGUCUCGGGUUUUGAGAAAAUUCGGGGCGGGUCCUUAAACAUAUAUAAUUAUUGGGACUAUGUAUUGCAAGUCAUCAUGUGUUCCUUCUGUCUAACAUUAUAUUUUGCAAAUAUCAAAAUAUUAUUCAAUAAGCAGUCAAUAUCACAGCAAGUUGGGAAUUAGUAAAGCCCCAUUAUCAUGUCCGUUCACAUUAAAGAGCUGGCGUACUUUUUCUCAAAAAACUGACACGUGAGUCAUAAGUAACAUAACAUGUGCUAUACAUUGUUUAGUGAAUGGUUUAUGGUUUAUUUAUAUAUAAUAAAAUUCCAAAUAUUGCUGAAUAUUUGUUUUUUCUAUAUCCCUGGGAACAUGAGUGACCAUAAGCAUGUAAGACCUGUUAAGAAGAAGCUGACUAAUACGACCGAGUGAUUGUGGCUACCGUUGUUUAGUUGGUUGGGGAGAUCGUGGUAUUGCUAAGAGGGAGCACAUAAUGUGCUUUGCAAUCAAAUUUUCUUUUGUGUGUGGAAUUAUGAGUAGUUCAAAUGUUAGUGUACCCUUUAAUAUUCUUCAACCGUUUGAAAUGUGAUUAGCUGCAAUGUACUUUUUUACACGCUGCUUUCUAAUCACUCUGUUCCAACAAAGUGCUUUAAGUAUCCUUCAGUUACAAAUGUUUACAAAAUCGUGCAUCUAAUAACCAGUCGAGCUCAGAUCUUAAUAACAAGUAAAACACUAGAACAUAACAUUCGGAAAAAGUGGGUGCUGCUGGAAAUCAUUACUGGUAAUGGAAGCAAGAGCUGGCUGCUGGAAAUGCUGCAUUAGCCUGUGAUAUAAUCAAUGAAUCUCUGUUAAAACAUAAUUCACCAUAAACUACCCAUUUUACAUGGUAAAAGUCAUUGCUUCUUCACAUAACUCAAAAUUUGAUACUUUAUCAAAUGUCUAUGAAAAUUUCUAAAUAGGGGAAAGACGUAAAAUUAACAUGUGUCCAAAUUUCAUGCAAGAAUGAAACCAAGCAAAUUUUUAUUUCAAUUAUCAGUGGACAUAGUAAGAACUCAUCGGUGGACAUGAACAAAAAAAUAAUAAUAUUAAAAACUGAAUCUAGAAAACUUCACCUGAUCAUUAGUCUUCAUAACAACCGAAUUUCGUCUAAUAGAAACAUAAAUCAUUCAGUUGGUCCGUGCAUCGUGUCAAAUUCAUAGAAUAAUGGGUCACUACGAUCUAUUGGAGUUGAUUCGUCAUUGUUCGACGGUGAUGUCCUGCAUAGACAUCAAACACAAGCACAGAAAAAAUUUACCUAUUCAAAUUUUAGGUGUUAUUAUAAAUAGUGUUAGCAUCUUACGGUGUGUUCAAAUUUCUUGCGCAUUGUCUUCUAUCAUGACCAAUGUGUCCACACUCCAGACAGUGUCUAAUCCCUCGCUUCAUUGCCUUUUCUUUUGCUCCCGUUACUCGUUUCGACCUUCUUUUGCACCUCACUCUCUUAGGGUCUUUCAUAUAUUGUGUUUGAGAGCUGGACCCUCCAACUUCGUUAUUACUUGGUCCAUCCUUCAACAACUUCAACUUCACCUGCAAACUUUUUAGAGUCUCUGACAGUAGCUCACAUCCUUCUUCACUCAUUAAUGCACCCUCAACCACAUCUUAAGCAAGUCGAGACAUUGUACUCCGCCUUAUUAAAAGACCAGGAUCUGCAGAGUCUUUAAUUUCGUUGCCAUUUGCAUCUGACACCAAUUCAGAUUUUGCAGUUUUCUUCCACCUCUUUAAAAUAUAUUUAUCGGGCAUAUAUUCAAUCUGGUCCCUUCUGAACAAUGCUAGGAUGUGCUUGCAAAUAAUUCCAACAAAUUCAAAUCUUUUGCACCCACACGAUGCGUGGUCAGAAUCUUUAACAUAUACGACGUCUGCCACUCUUGUUUCCCAAUUUUUCCUUUUGCUCACGCGAAAGACAACUUUAGAAGCACCCUCUGUUUUGAGCUCUAGGAAACAUGUUGUACUUUGUAUUAGUUCUUGGUCAAACUUUUGAAACAUUGUCCUUGUGUACAAGGUAGCCAUUUGUUUGUUCAUUGGCAUCGGUAGAAUACAUUGAGCCACUUCAAAUGCAUCUACGUGAUCAGCAACUAACUCUUUUUGACGUUGAUGAGAAAGUGCCCUCUCAAAUCGUAUUAUGAAAUCCAUCAACGAAUUUCUCCUUGAUAUGUAUUGCUUGAAAAAACCAUGAGAACCUUCCACUCUUUGGCUGCUUGACAUUCCAGCGGCAAAAAAUUGUUGUGCGUAGGCUGGAACCCAAGAUUCUCUUAAAUCAAACAUUGAACUUAGCCAUGGAUGGUCAGUCAAACCAGCCUUUGUAACCACAAUAUUCCAUUUUGUAACAAACUUAUCCUUAUUGUCAGUAUCCCAUACGGCUUUCUGAAAUUCACGCCAAUACUCCUUAUAAGCAGAAUGUGGUAACUUAACAGAGAACUUUGAUGUGAUGUGCAAUAUGCAAAGUCGAUGAAAUGUAGUCGGGAAGGGUAUUGAAAUCGCUCUGGUCAUUGCCGCAUCUUGAUCUGUAAUGAUCGUUUUAGGUCCGCCACUUGGCAUGGCUUUCUUAAACUCCUCAAACAUCCAAAUAAACGACUCAGUCGUUUCCUUGCUCAAAAAUGCGCAUGCUUAGACAAUUGUCUGACCAUGGUUAUUAACUCCCAACAUUGGUGCAAAUGUCAAGUCGUAUCGAUUCGUGUUGAAUGUGGUAUCGAAUACAACAACAUCUCCAUAAAACCCGUACGCCCAUCUAGAAGUUGCAUCUGCCCAAAAACAUUGACUAAACCUGUCAUGGCCAUCUCUCUCAAUCUUGAAAUAAAAAGCCUCAUUUUUUUUUUCUGUUCAGCCAUAAAAUACUCGGUCACUAGUUCAACAUCGUGGUUCCUCAACUUCCCAUUCACACUACAUUCAAAAUUGUAGAUAUCUUUUUUGAUAAAACCGAUUUUAUCCAUUCCUCCGGAUUGCACCUCGAAAAUACUUACCUUCUGAUGAAUGAGAAUAUUAACCGAACCCAACUGUUUUGUGAGUACUUUUGUAGAAUCUGAACUAUGACGGUGUGAUCUCAAUAAAUGCAUUCUUUCUGAGGGUGUCAUCUUAUGAUUGUGUCCCUCUGCAAAAAGAGAGAUGGUAUACUUCUUGCUCCCAUUUGUCUUCACAACCACAAUCUUAGCUUUGCAAUUGCAUCUACUUAUUCCCCGCUGUCUUUUUCUCUCCCGAGUUUCAUCUCUCCUGUAUUCACCUUGUUUGCAACAUACAAAUUCUUUCCUCAAAAUCUCUUUCUUAUUUCCCCCCCAAAAGCUGGAAUGAAGUCGAAUACCAAAGCCAGCCAAGAAUGCAUAUCUAUUAUAGAAAUUGUAAACGAGGUCAAGCAAGUCGAACUUCAUCCCAACUGCUGGUGUUUCCUCAUUUCUUACUUCAAGAAUGUAAACCCUCCCAUUAGCUGUUACACAGUCAUCACUCUCUGAGCCCCCAGACAUUUUAUCCACGUAUAUUAUUGAUCCACUUCUAUAUUAUUGCAUAGCAAAUAUUAAUUCAUUAAUAAAUCAUUACUGCAUCACAACAUAUCAAUGCAUUCCACUUACACAAAACAUUGCCCAAAUUGACACAAAACACGCAUAGCCUAACUUGUUGGAUUCCGAUUACACAAAACGCAAGCAAAAUUUAAUAAUAGUUACGUCAUCUCUUGUGAAAUAAUCUAGAAAAAAUAACAUUAGAACCAACAUGUUCAACUAAGAACACAAAUGCAAUUCAAACCAGCAAUCACAUAACUUCACCCAAUAUCCUCUCCAAAUGCUUACUCCUAAUGUCAUUAAGCCUAAGUUUAGGAUCUUUUACCUACAUUUCAUAAUUUUUCACCCCCACCAAAAAUAAUCAACUAAGUAUACUGAAUAUUCAUAAGGAAAUGACGCAUUAUUGAUGCCACAAAUGACGAAUUUCCUACCCUCACAAAAAACAAAUCAAACCCAAUUAAAUCAAUCCAGCAAGAGUGAACUUACCUCUCAAAAUCAAUCGGGAGCUCCGAAGUCAGUAAGCUUGAGAGAAUGUGGUGGACAUUAGAGAAGACUCUUUGGUAUUGGAGACUCCAUCUCUACCAAAAUCGAGGAACGAACUGCUGCUACGGCGUCUAGCUACAGAAAAAGAUAUGCUACUUUACUUUCAUCUGGAAUCUUGUUUGCUGAACGAAAAAGAGAAAGGGUUUUCACUUGAGCCAUAGAAUCAAAACAAGGCAACAUCUAGGUAAGAGCCAUUAAUCGUCAUAUCGAGGAUACCAUAGAUCGCAGGCCUCCCAAGGAGCUGAUGACAAUGGAGCGACUAUAGGGUUUGGGAGCUUUGGAUCCUUCUAAUUGUGGGUUUGCGUUACAUUCAAAAAAAGAGGAGUGUGUUGUUGAGUUUUUCACAUAGAGGGAAAGAGGGAAAGAUCUUCAACUGAAGUUGGGUUUCCAACGGGUCAAAUUUCAACCCGGUUCUACAUGCACCCUCUUUUAAAAACUCACCGUUGGAUUUCAUCCAACGGCUCGUACAUACCCCUCAAAAACACCCCUUAUAACUUUCCACUCACUAUAGAAGCUCUCCCCAGGAAAUGCUUCGAGGUAGAUUUUAUGUUUUGGGCCUUGGGACCCAACUUCACAAAAAGAAAACAAAUUUGACCAAAAAACAAAGUUGAAGGACAUUGAUAUUGUACCUGUAGGAUAGGUUAAAACACUAAAAGGAAGGUAAAUAGUACGUUUACAGAGUUUAAGUGUAAUAAAGGAAUAAAAACAUGCCCAGAGAAUUGAUAAGUGAUAUCAAUUCUUGAAUAUAUAGAACGUAAAAUAAAGGAAUACGUAGAAAAUUAUUUUAUGUGGUAAAACUCAAUCUAUGGGGCCACGGGACUUCUUAGUCCAAAAAAAAUCCAUUGAACGAUGAUUACAAGAAGUACUCACACACUUAUCCUAGACACAUUCUAGAUAAUUUUUACUAACAUCUUUGUAACUCAACUUCUGUCAUAGGAUGAUUUUUUGACACUCCUUAUGUUGAACGCAAUACUGGUCACGAUUUCUUCAAGCUCGCAGGAACUCUCCUUAUAUUGAAUAUGAUACUAGUCACGAUAGAUUCAAGCUCAUCGGAGAAAAACAGCCACAACGGUCUUGGUGCCCUCAAUGGUAUGAGUCACUGAACAUGCAAAUAAAUACAAUAUGAAUGAUAAAAGUGUUUGAUAAAUCACCAAGUUAUGGAACACUUGAUGAUUUAUCUCAAAUAAAAACUCAGCUUUCCAAAGUUUAUGAAUUGAAAAUAUGAUCGUUAAAGCUCUCUAAACAAAGAAGACGAAGAUCUUAUUUUAUAGAAUUUUUCUUUAUAAGAAAGAAAACACAUUGAAAACCAAAUCUCCAAGGCUUGACAGAAAAUCACAAAAGUAUCUUUCCUAUUCUAGAGAUUGGUCACAUGUAGUCCAACCAAUAGGACAUGAGAUAUUUAAGAAAUGAAGAUUUUGAUCAAUAUCAAUAUCAAAUGAAUUCUUAUACGCCUAGUCAACUAUUAAGGGUAUCUUGACUCCUUGAUAUUGUGAUAUGAUUGAAACAUGAUUUCCACGUUAGAAAAUUAAGGGGAUGUUAAAACAUGAAAGUAAUAGGAGAAUCAAAUUGAUUUCGGCCAAAAUUGCCUAAAAAGAAAACACUCCUAAAUAAACUCAAUUCACUUUUAAAAACAGUAAAACGUGAUUGAAUUGUUCUUUAAAACAAUUCCCUAAUAUACAUGCAUGAUAAUGACAUCACUUACCUCUGAAUCAAAUGCCUUUCAUAGGUCAAGCCACAAGUCUGUGUUUUGGGGAUUGCUGAGCUGCAUCAAUCCUGCCAAUGUCAAUGCUGCCCCUAUGCUCUCUCAAAGCACGUUUACAACCUAUGCUAACAUAUACCCUAAACCCUAGUAUCAAGAAAAUGCCAACACUAAUUUCGUAACACGUAGAAAUUGUUAGAGAUUGGAAGUUUUUUUUCUUCAAGUCUCUCCACCACUCACUAAUACAGAUUGCUCAUGUGAUGAGUUUACAAAACCUAUUUCUCUACUCUCACAAAGACUAUACUUCUUCUCAAAAGACUAUAUCACUUUACCUCUAUCUCUGUGAAAUGUAAAAAGUUGAAACUUUAAUGUCAAACCUCGACAAAAGAUGAACUUCCAUAAGUUACGUUGAAUUUGGAUUUGUUGAACUUAAGUGGUUUUACUUUUCUGUCAGUGUUUGAUGACUUAAUUUGGUAUUUACUUCUUCUUUUUUUCCUUGGAAAUGUGUUCCACCAACGUGAGGAAGAAAAAUAUGCACAAAUUAAUAUAUUUAAUAGAAGCCCAAGAUUUCGGAAGCACAUAAUUUCUACAAAAUUCUACAAAGUGUUCUACUUUACAAACUUCAUAUGUCUACCAAUUUUUACUAAAAUUAAUUUAUCUGCAGUGCUCAAAUUCAUCAUAUGUGUGUCCUUAAUUUUAGUGAAAAUUGGAAGUUUCCAUUAUUUUUGUUUUACGGGAAUUUUUUGAACCAAGGAAAAUCAAGUAAAAUUAAUAAAGCAUAAAUUGGAAAGGGAAAAUAUCUAGAGGAUGCAUUGUAGGAUUGCUCAUGCCAAUAAUUGUACCCUCUAAAUAUAUAGGGACAUAUUUUUUUUGCUCAUACCACUUGUUGCAGUACACAUUCACCCGUUUUCAAAGAAAGAAAUUCUACCAAUCGAUAAUGUCUCAAAUUUAAUCACAUAUUUUAUGGACCAUCCAGCUAUGAGGUUUUAUCUCAAAAACCUUCGGUACAUUUCUCCCACAUGCCACAAUUGUAUAUUCACAAUUACGUCUGAUACAUCACAUCAUGCCACUUGCCUCAAAUGAAUUUAAGUGAGUGAGGCAGUUGGAAGUAAUUAAGCUCUAUAUUGGUGGGUGGAGUGUUAGUUCUGGGUACCCCUCAUCAUUCGUCUAUAAAAUGGUGAAGCCAGUUGCUACUGUUACCAUAAGAGCCAGCUCCGACUUUCUUUAAUUUCUUGCUUCAUAUCCACUAGCUACAUCUGUUGCUCUUCUCAGUGUAAGCUCUGCAAUUUGAUUAACUUUCCCAUUAUCUCUCACUGUACUCUAUAUAAAGGAAUAAGUGUCGUCCAUUAAUUCUCUCCGAAAGUGUCGUCCUGAUUUUAAUUAGAGUUCGAAUUAAUGUUGCAGCUAGCAGCGGUUGCACUGGCAAACCAUGCUGCUCAACCGGUACCUCAACUUUACUGGAACUCCGUCCUGCCAAACACACAGAUGCCAAGAUCUAUCAGUGAACUUCUGCAUCCUGGUUUGUGUUUGAGCACUUUAGAAUCUUAGAUAUCUCUUCUACCUGCCAUUUUACUAAAAUAUGUUCAACCACAUAUUUAUCAGUUAACUACUGUCAUUACAUGAGUGACACAUAUUCACAAAUCGGCUGAUCACUUAUUUUCCAUUAUGACGUUGAUAUAUAAUGUUGGGAAUGGAAAGCCAAUUGACCACAAGGGAAAACCUGAAAAUACUGUACUACCACAGCUAGCACGAAGCCCAUUUUCUUACAAGAGUGAUGUGGGGACCAAAUCUCAUGUAUCAUAGCUUAACCCAUAUGCCACAACUAAAAGACGUGGGAUGAUCGAACAGCAUACCCACAUGGUCAUGGAUCUCUUCAGAUAAUCAAUAUUAAACAACCCAUAAACUUCUCCCUUUGAAGAACAAAUUAAAACCAAUUUCUAGAGGAAGGUUACAAAACAUUUUAGCCCGUGAAGAACAAAUCAAGACAAUAUAACCCAUUUGAUAACAAAAUCAAAAUGAGAUUUACCAAUACUAGAUGACCACGGCGCCAGUAUAAUGGUACGACGGCGGCGUUAUUGUAACGGUGGAGAAGUGGAUGGUAUGACGACGGUGUUAGUGUGACGGUGGAGGAAACGAUAUUAUGAAGGAGGCGUUGCUAUGUUCGGUGGAGGAGUCGUGUGUUUCACAGUUCAAUAUAUCCUUUUUAGUCAUUUUAUAUUAGGGUAAAUCAGUAAUUCAAUAAAUAAUUUGAUAGUAUGGUGUACUCAGUUAAUAUUAGGGUUCAUUUAACAGCACUCAAAUUAACUAGUGUAGAGUCUAUCUAUAUUAUUAAUACUAAAAAUAAAUAUAUGACUAAAUAACUCAAAAAAAAAAUAAAUCUACAAUCUUUUUUUUAAAAAAUUUUUUUUAUAGAAUUUUAUUAGAUUAAUAGGCACUACUAAAAAAUCUCCUUAUAAACUACAAAUACACGCAUAACUUAUACUAAUGUGAGCUACUGACACCACCUGCCACAUGACAGUUGUCCAAGCAUAGUGUUGUCAUUCAUUAUUCCCCACAGCAACUAACAUCCAAUAAAGGGUUGGGGCCCACCCAUACUCCACCUCUCUGUAUGUAGCUCUUUGAGAAUACAGAAGAAAUAUUUUUUAGGGAAAUAGCUUAAAAUGAUACCCAUUUCAUAAUUUUAAUUAAAAAUACCACCCCUUUCCAAUUUUUGUACAACUAUCACCUAUAAAUAUAAAAUUAUUGUCCACUUAUUGCUGAUUUUUCACAAGUUCAGAAAUUUUGGAAAGAAGAAGCUCACACAGCUCUCUCUCUCUCUCUCUCUCUCUCUCUCUCUCUCUAGCACAACUCUCUUUCUUUGGUAUCUGUCUAUCACAGCUCUCUGUGUCUCUCUUGGCUCUCUCUAUCUUGGCUCUCUCUCUCUCUAGCACAACUCUCUGUCUCUCUCUUUGCUCUCUUUCUCAUAGCGCAGCUGUUUCUCUCUCUAGCUUCGUUAUGUCUCUUUCUCCCCUAUUCGAUCUCUUGCUUUCUGUUUGGAAUCGCGAACCCCUCCCUUUAGCUAUGUCUUCUGAAUAGCUGCUUGCAACCUUGAAGCUCUAGUGGAUUGCCGACCUCGAAAAGGUAGUGUUGAUGGUUAUUUUCUUAAUAUCAGUGGGAUUAUGUGAAAUGGGUUAUAGUUUGAUUGUUUGGGUUUGUGUUAAAUUCGUUUUGGCUUUAAUUUCUUUGGGUUAGGUUUUGUUGAAUAUUCAUACUCAUUCAUCUGGGUUUGUACCAAUUGCAUUUAGAUUGGUCUGGAUAUGUGAAUCUUGAAACUUGGGAUUUUCUAUUUGAUGUAGUAGAUCUGUAUAGUGUGAUUCUGUUGUGUUCCUCUUAUUUUACAGUCGUAUUGCUGUUAUAUUGUCAUUAUAUUGCUUAUAUAUUGCUGUUAUAUUGUGGUUAUAUUGCUAUUGUAUUGUUUGGUUAUUGUGGUUAUAUUGUGUUAAUGAAAUGUUGUUUUGUCAUGGUCAGAAAUGGAGACAAUUGUUAUUCUCGUGUGCUACAAUGGAAAAUGGGUCACCUCGAAGAAGAUGUGCAAAUACGAAGGGGGUGACUCAAAAGGCUUAAUAGUUCCACGGACCAUCAAAUUUGUUGAACUGUUGGACCGUGUGCAUUAGAUUGGUAAUACAAACAGCAGGGAAGACAAGGUUUGCUUAAAAUUCUCAGUUUUGGUGGCCUCGAAUGAGUGGAAGCACAUAAAUAUUGAGGACGAUGAUGAUAUCAAUUUUUUUAUGAAGUACAAUUCCGAGGUAACACCUUCAAAACUAGCUCCCUUACUCGUGAGUAUAGAAGAUAAAGGAUUGACAAAUGAUGUAGUUCAUAGUAUGCAUAUCACGACAGAUAGUAGUCGGAUGGGUCAUUCUUCAGUUGCCAUUGUUGAAAGCAAUGAAGUAACUUGGAAUAAUACGAAUGUCACUGAUGUGGGAGGUGAAGUAGGGACAGAUUUUGUGGAUAUGAUUGAUUUUAGCGAGGUGUAGGAGAUGCAUGGUGGUGAUAAUAGUACUGAAAGAAAUGAAGUGUCAGUGUACUCUGCCCCUCCUAAUUUGGGCUGCUUCAACAUAGCUGCCCAGUUGCCAAUAAUGCGUUUAGGAGGAGAAUCUGAACCCACUCGUCAACAUUAUUGGAGUCAAAUAGGUGAACAAAAUCGGUACAAUGCAGCCGGUGUAAAUGAUGAAGAAGCAUAUUUGGACAGCGGGUUUUCACGAAGUGAUUGGAAUCCGAAAAUUACAGUUGGGCAAAUUUUCUCUAGUAAGAAAGCAUUGUUGACGGAGUUACGGUUGACGGCAUUAAGAGGCCACUUUGAAUUUAAGGUGCAAUUCUCUUGCACUAAAAGGUUGCUUGUGGUUUGUUGUCAACGUCCAUGCCCAUGGCGGGUCCGAGCAUCGAGAAUUGGAGAAUACAGCUUCAUGAUUGUGAGGUGUACAACUGUCCAUGAAUGUGAUUUGAGGUUCGUAAGUGACAAGCAUCGUCAAGCAACCGCAGCACUUGUAGCCACUUCACUUAAAAGGAAGUGACAUUAUGAGAGAUGUGAAACACAACUUUGGUUGCACCAUCCAUUAUUCGAAAGCUUGGAAAGCAAAGGAGUUAGCUCUAUUGUCCAUUAGAGGAUCAGCGGAGGAGGCAUAUUAUAUCCUUCCAGCUUAUUGCUAUGAAUUGGAGCGUAUGAAUCCCGGCACAAAAACACACAUCCAAACUGAUGAGAACAAUCACUUUGUGUAUUUAUUUAUGGCGGUUGGCGCAUGUAUUAGAGGGUUCCGUUCUUCCAUGCGCCCAGUGAUAGCCGUGGAUGCCACUCAUUUAAAAUCCAAGUACAAGGGUGUUAUGUUUGUAGCAAAUGCAUUCGAUGGUAAUUGAAAUAUAUAUCCUCUUGCUUUUGGGAUCGGGGAUUUGGAGACGGAUGCAUCAUGGCAUUGGUUUUUCACUAAACUUCAUGAAGCCAUUGGUGAGUGUCCCAAUCUUGUUAUUAUUUCUGAUCGCAAUGUUAGCAUAGAGAAUGUGUGGAACAAAAUUUUUCCAACUGCACAACGUGGCAUAUGCUUUUAUCAUAUGAAGGGGAACAUGAAACGCACUUGCUAGUUGAAAAAGCGUGAUCACAUACUUAUGCACUUUGAGCAGGCUGCGAAAUCUUAUUCCAUUGCUGAAUUUGAUUGUCAUUUUUGCAAGAUCAAGCGAAAGGAACAUGUUGCUCAAUAUCUUGAAGAGACAGGGUUACAUAAGUGGUCUAGAGCUCACAUGGAUGGACGCCGCUACAAUGUAAUGACAACAAAUAUUGCAGAGUCAAUCAACUCAGUCCUUAGGUUUGCAAGGAUGCUGCCAGUGGUUCAUUUGAUAGGGGAAAUUGUUAAUCUCCUUGUGAAAUGGUUCACCGAACGUUGUGAGUUGGUUUUGAAUUGCACAACAACAUUGUGCCCCAAUUUUGGAGAGAAGAAGUUGAGGAACAGGUUGGAGGAUGCUGCAAGGAUGAAUGUGGUUAAAGUAAAUAAUGCACAGUUUAAUGUUUUGGACGGUGAUAUGGACGGCCUCGUAGAUUUGGCGAACAGCAGUUGUAGUUGUAGAAAGUUUCAGCUUGAGCAGCUACCUUGCAAGCAUGUAGUUGCAGUUUGCCGCUUCUUGAAAGUAAAUGUAUACGCAAAGGCUUCUCGGUAUUACACUCAGAAAACCUGGAUGAUGCUUAUUCGGAUAGCAUCUACCCGGCACAACCUCACGGAAUGUGGGAUAUUCCUGAAGAUGUUCGAAGUCGAGUUGUGCUGCCUCCCAUGGCAAGGGUCAUGCCAGGCAGACGAAAGAAGAUCAGAAUUCCCUCGCAAGGAGAGGGCACCAUUAGAAGAAAGUGCUCAAGGUGCGGUUCCGCAGGCCACAAUAAAAGCACAUGUAAAAACAAUAUUCCAUUGCGCAAUGUAUCUUAGACAAUAUGAUUUGUGUUGCUUUGGUAGGUCAUGUAAACUCUACUUUUAUUUGUGGUGGGUUUCGUGUUAUGUUGAAUGGGAAUUCUUUUAAAUUUGCAUAAUUUGGGUUGCAUUGCUACAGCAUGCUGUAUUGCUGACAGAUUGCUAUUAUAUUGGACUUUUAUUGUACUGGUAUUGCUUCCAGAUUGCUAUUAUAAUUUGAGUGCGAAAUUAAAGGGACUGGAAUGUAAUUCCAAAUGGAUCCAAAUCAUUAAAGUUCUUAGAAUUCCUAUAUUACACAGUUACUGUGAUACUCCGACUAUACCUUCUUUUAUGAUUACAAAUUCGGCCAAUGCAUAGGCCAGAUGUGGGGCAAAUACAAGGUGAAAUGUCCUAUGUGUUUGACUACAUAUACUUGUUGAAGGAGCAUUACGAAUGCUAACCUCAAUAGAUUGCUCAUGUCUUGCCAAGAACACUCUUGAAUUUAUGCAAUGUGCCCAAGCCAGUCCCAAAGCUGGACUCACCCGUCUGCCUGAUGUGUCCAGGGACUCCAAGUUUCCCAACCUCACCUCAUUCACUUUAUCAUGUGGCCCAAUAAAAUCCACCACUUGGUUGGUGACAACCACCGCCAACCCAAACUUAUUUGCUAAACCCUUCAAUGUCCCAGAUAUGUUGAAAAAUAUUUCAAACCGCCAUUUCAAAUCUGCUGGUGUUGUCUGAUACUGUGAUCGGAACAAUGCAGCAAUGGAAUCAAUGACAAUGAGUUUCACAGGUAGGUGGGUGUGAUCAAUGGCAAUAAAUGCUUCUAUGUCUCCAAGGACAUGGAUGAGUUGUUGAGCAUCAUGAACACCAUGAACAUAUAUGUCUUCCAAUGGCUCCAACCUUAUUAAGUUGGGGUAUGAUGCAUGAUAAAGGUUGCCUAGUUGUUGCAAUCGACGAAAUGGGAAGCUGAAUUCUGUGAAUAUGUAGACGGUGGAGCCCUCUAGUCCGCCAUGUGAGGGUGGGAGCUGAGCUGGUACCGUAAGUUGGAGACAAAGUUGCGUCUUCCCAGAACCACUCUCCCCUACCAAUUCUGUUAUAGAGUUGCAGGGUAUCCCACCCCCCAAGCAGUCAUCUAGUAUUGGGCAUCCAAUGGAUAAUUGAGGGGUUGAAAGAGGAAGGAGCAUGAGGUUUUAGGGUGUCAUAUUUGUGUAAUUUAGGGGGGGAUGUGAUGGUGCUACAAGGCAUGCAUUAUAUAUAUAUAUAUAUGUAGAGUUCAUUUUGAAGGUCUGUAUUGUAGGCCAUAUGUCUUUUAAGGGAUGUAUAAUCCAUCCUUUUUUCAGGUUGUAAUUAAUUUUUUGUUUAUUUAUUAGUAUUUUUUUGGACCAAAUAAUUUAAAAAACAUUAUGAUGCAGUACGUACUGUAAUAGGAUCAUAUUGUAACUCUAUCAUCACUCUAUUGUACUCUUAUUGACAUAAUAUUGCCGUUAUAUGCAUGUUUAUUAUAUAGUUAUUACUGCUAUAUCGCCACUGAACUGGACACCGAUAAACUGUAUACGCACAAAUACAAAAAGAGGCUUCAUCAUUCCAUAAAAUCCUAUUUCCAAACUUACAUAAUACAACAACAGGCCACCCCAUCGUUACAUAAUACAAAAAUACGCCACCUCAUAGUUCCAUUUCCCUACUGUUGACAAAUUCGAAGUUGCAUACUCUUCAAGUGCGGUGACCGCGACGCAUGAAAUUCAUGACCCCGGCCACAGUGAUGUUGGCCUAGUUUCCUGCCGGAUCCACUAUUUUUGCAAACUUACGAAAUAGUUCGAAUCCGCUUUCCACUUCUUCUUGCUUCAACUUGGCCGUUGCUUCUGAUUCCUUGAAUACCAUAAUUGCAGUGGUAGGGGCAAUUUCAAUUUUUGCUUUCAUUGUCUUUAUAUGUAGGAGAUGCAUGCGCGCAUGAUAACGAGAGCGAAUUGUGCGGUUUUUUAUGACACCCCAUCUAGUUUGGCCCUCCACAAUUUUGAAACUAUGUCUGCAUGAAGAUUUUUCCAAAACAUGGUAUUGCCUCGACAUUGCUGCAUGCCAUGGACCAAGUCUGCAGGGAGUGAAUUGGGUGACUUGGCUUGUGUUUCAGUCUUCUCUCCUUCAGUAAUUGAAAGUGUUGGGUGUGGUGUGAGGUUAUGGUCCAUGGUCUUCGAUAUUUAUUGUAGCCUAGUGUACAACUUAAUUGGAAAAAAAGGGGACUAAAUGCGAUGGGAGUGAAAUCAGUGGGGAAGGUAGUGGCUGUAAGCAGGAGUUAAUGUGAUGGAAGUUUUCAUUUCAAACAACUGGGUUGAUUAAUAUAGGCAAGUUUUAAUGACCUGGAGUAACUCAGAGAGUUAUUGGUGGGAGGGAUUAGAGGGAGUAAUUGGCGGGAGGGAUUGGCGGGAGUCUUAGGCGGGAUAGUAUUGGGCGGGAGUUAUUACCCAGUUGACUGUAUGCCUUUUUGUAAUAUAUUUGUAUGUUGGACGUUCCAAACUUGGUAAUUUUCCCAUUAUGUAAUUCAAAUAAGGGAUUUGCCUAUUUGCCUAAUUGACCAACUCAUUCAAAUUGACCAAUAUGGUUAUUGUCUUAUUUCUCAUUUCAGCAAUCUCAAUUCGUUUCCAUUUUUCCAUUCUUCAUAUUUUCCUAUUUUCCAUGUGUCAUCCAAUUUUCCAAUUUUCCAAUUUUUCAUUAUUUUUGCCUAUUUUUUCCUAUUCCCUAUUUUCCUAUUGUGCAAUUUCCCAAGUUUCCUUUUGUUGUAUUUCUAGUUUUCCAAUUUUUCAAUGUUCCCAUUUUCCCAUUAUGUAAUUUAAAAAAAGUUGCCUGCUUUGCCUAAUUCAGAAAGUAAUUAAAAUGGUCCAAUAUGGUAAUUGUCUUAUUUUCCAUUUCCACAAUUUCAAUUCGUUUCCAAUUUUCUUAUUUUCCAUGUGUCCCUAUUUCCUAUUUCCAUUUUUCAAAUUUUAAGUUUUUGUCCAAUUAUCCAAUUAUCUUUUUUCCAAUUGGACUAUUUUCUAAGUUUCCUUUUUUUCCUAUUUCCAAUUUUCCAAUUUUUCAAUUUGCUAACUUUCCUUUUGUUCUAUUUCCAAUUUUGCUAUUUUCCAAGUUGCCUUAUUUCCUAUUUUUCAAUUAUCCAGUUAUCCAAUAUUCCAAUUUUCCAAUUAUCCAAUUUUCAAUUUUCCAAUUUGCGAAUUUGCCUAUUUUCCAAGUGUCCUUUUUUCCUAUUUCCUAUUUCAAAUUUUCCAAUUUUCAUGUUUUCAGAGUUUCCUUUUUUUUUCCUAUUUUCCAAGUUUCCUUUUGUCCAAUUUCAAAUUUUCCAAUUUUCCAAGUUGCUUUAUUUUCCAAUUACCCAAAUUUCCUAUUUUCCAAGUGUCCUUUUUUCCUUUUUCCAAUUUUCCAAUUUUCCAAGUGUCAUGUAAUCCUAUUGCCUAGUUUCCUCUUUCCAAUUUUUCCUUUUUUCCUAUUUCCAAUUUUCAAUUUUCCAAAUUUCCCAAAUUUCCAACUUUCCAUUUUUUCGUAUUUCCGAUUUGCCAAUUUUCCUUUUGUUCUAUUUCCAAUUUUCCAAGUUUCCUUAUUUCCCAUUCUCCAAGUUUUCACUUUUCCUAUUUUUCAAUUUCGCUAUUUUCCAAUUUUCUGUUCUGAAAUUCGCAAUAAAUGCUUAGUUACACAGUCCUAUUUUGGGUUGAAAUCCACAAUUUUCAAUUUCCCAUUAAGGUUUGCUUUUUUGUCGUUUGGAAGCCAAUUUUAUUGUUGUUAAUGUAAUGUUGUACUGUUGUAAAUUACAGCCAAUGAGUUAAUGAUGUAGUUUGCAAUCCCAUCAAUUGAAUGCACCAACUAAAUACCCAAUAUACUUCAUAUAAGUUCGUACAUAUAACUCAACCUUCCUAUACAGAACUGCAACAGAGGCACCUUCUUAACGGGAAAGGUAAUUAGUCUUACUAAAACGCAAAUAUUCUCCACUACAGCUAACCAAUUGUCGUUUACAACUGGAGACUGAAUCUACCUUUAUUUGUUUUGUUGCAGGCAACAGCUGUGAAUUGUCCCCGGCAAUACUUAAAGAUGUCGGAUGUACGCCCUCCAAAUGAGCAUGUCACAGUUACCCGGGGGACCAGCCGUGGCAUGUGCCAUUCCCAUCUCCACCUCGGACUCCCAAUCAUGAUCCCACUUCAUCUGGAAGUGAGGCUGAGAGCAAUGAUCCGCUUGACAAAAUCUCUGCCGUCAAGCACCACCUCCAAUAUAUGUCAAAGGCAACGGAUUGGUGGGAGAGUAAGUGCGAUAUUCAUGGCCAAGUUAUGGGAAACUUGGCCAACAAGUUGAACAAAGCAUACGCUGGAGAGGUGAAGCAAACUCUAAAAGCAAAAAGUCGGAGCAAAGAGUUAGAGUCCUUGAAGUUGAAAUUGGAAGAGAGAAAGAAAAAUGCUGUCGAAAAAUUCACACAAUCUGAAGAAUAUAACCAUGAAAUGGUUGAAUGUUUCAACAACGGCUUUGAAAUGUUCCGAGAUUAUGCUUCGGUCAUCUCACCAGACUACAAUUGGAGUGAAAUUGAUGUAGCUGGUGUUUGGCAGGUGCUGAAUAUGGGUGCUGAGGGAAUGGCUCAUCAUAGCCUCGUGCAUGCAGCAAGGAGAAAGGACAAAGACUUGGAUCUUUUGAUGGACCUGUAGUAACAGUGAGUGCUGCUUCAGUUCAACUCACCUGAGUACAUGGAUCUUUUGUUGCCUUCAUUUUCCCUUCGCAGGCUAGUAUUGUUAAGGUUCGGUGGCGAUUUCUUUUGCAUGUGUAAAAUGUUGUCUGUAAUGUGUAUGUAUUGUAUGUAGAUUGACUUAAUAUUGUAGUUCUAUUGUAUGUAUAUUGCCUUAAUAUUGCCUUUGUAUAGCAUAGAUAGUGUAUGCAUAUUGCCACCGUAUUGGAUGUAUAUUGUAAAACUAUUGGUAUCGUAUUGCCCUUAUAUUGCUCUAAUAUUGCCUCUAUAGUGCACCUAUAUUGACCUAAUAUUGCUCUUAUAUCGUAUGUCAAUGGCAUGUGCUCUAAUAAGUCUCCAGUUCGUUGAAAGUAAUCCUGAAUUCAAAUAUGAUGGACAAGACAAUUGUUAUCCAUCCUUAUAUUACCAUGAAUUGAUUUGGACCUUUCAAAUGAUAGUUGGAGUUGCACAUGGAUUCAUAUUCAAAAGGAAAGUAAUUCUCUCCCUCAAUGAAUUGUCGUUCAAAAGAAGGCAGCUAUCAAAUUUUGGGUACAAAAAGGCAACAUCCACGGUAAAUUAAUUGGGCACAAACCACAUAUUACAAAACCAGGAUGAUUUUUGGCAUGCUUCAAAAGAGAAGGGCCAAAUACAACAGAAAAGAAAAUCCAUUCAAGCUUGUACAAUAGAAUGCACAAUAACCCUUUUACAUGUCCUUCCAACACCAGUGUUUUGCCUACUUUAGAGUCGCAGGAGGAGAGCUUAUUGCCAUUGUGCAAUUCGAGGGGGCAGUCAAUUUGGAAUGGUGGCAUAAACAUGUUUACUCCACGGAUCACCUAUAUGGGACAGAGCUUCCUUCUUCCCUUGUCGUCUGUAGGUUUCAACUUCACACUUUUUAUAUACAUGUAUGAGAACUUGUGGCUAUUUAUUUAUGGCCUUCUAACACUUGUUCUGCCAUUCCAAAGUGGGUUGGAGACUUUUUGAGUUGAAUGACUGGAAAGACUUCAGAUGACAGAAACUAGAGAGUUUGAAGAAAAAGGGUUACCAAGAACAGCAGUCAUGCCCACGACAUAAACUAAACAUGCUAUAAGCUCCACAGUAAUAUUUACUUCAUCUCCAUAAUCAGAAUAUUGGGAAAAAAAUACCACGGAGAAAUACGUGAAAUGAAAAACAACUCGGCAGUUACUGUGAGAUUGUGUACAUAAAACUUGGAACAACCAAACCAAUUAAAGCUAAGCCAUCUCAUACGUAUACCUACAUCAAAUAACAGUGUAUGGUCAUCUUGUUUAGAAUAUUGCAAUCAACACUUGGUUGAGACCGACCUGCAAAAACAACUGGGUUAAGUACAGAUGAAGCCAUUUAUGAAGGGCAGUUCCAGAAUUAAGACCUACGUUAAUUUGUAACUGCCACCGAAUCAGUUCAUAGUGCCAAAUGCAUCUACCAAGCACACAGAUAUGACCAGCCAAAAGAAAAAAAAGCAAAGUAAAAAAGAUAAAAGAGGCAUGCCAUAAAUGGGAACCUCAGCAGAAAUCAUCAGAUAUGCAUACAAGCAGAUUGAGUAACAUCUCACUAAGUAGAGGUCAUGUUGGUAAUCGCAUGUUGUGUUUGCACACAGACAUUUGGUUUUUGCAAACACAACAUGCAAUUGCAUUCCAUGAUGUGUGUGUUGUGUUUGCACACAGACAUUUGGUUUUUGCAAACACAACAUGCAAUUGCAUGAUGUGUGUGUUGUGUUUGCACACAGACAUAUGGUUUUUGCAAACACAACAUGCAAUUGCAUAUUGUGUGUGUUGUGUUUGCACACAGACAUAUGGUUUUUGCAAACACAACAUGCAAUUGCAUAUUGUGUGUGUUGUGUUUGCACACAGACAUUUGGUUUUUACACACACGAUAUGUAACAUUUAGUUUUACCCUUUUAUUCUUAUUUUCUUCGUUCAAACAUGGUGGUGAGAAAAGCACCAAACCAUCCCAUCAUAUAAAGCAAAACUCAUACAAUAUUUUAGAUGCAAAAGUUAUAUAUUUUAUAUAAAUGCAUCAUCCGCAUGGCUUGAAAUUACAAAUUCACGUUCACAUAUUACUUUUCACAAGCGCACAGACUAACAAUAAUAAUAAUCAACCAAGUAGUUGCGACAUUCAUCCUAUUACGUCCAUAUUGAUAAUGUCAGAAGUUUCAUCGAUAAGCCUCAUCAAACUACAAGUUUUUUAAUUUGAAUUAUGAAUUCAGAACUAAAAGCUCAUGAUAUGCAGAAAAUGACAUACAUUGUCCACAAUCGACUUUUCGAUAUAUUUCUGCUCUAGCAAUUUAUCGUCCAAAUUCUGGACUCUCUGUGUCAGGUGCUUCUUUGUGUUCUAUCCAGCAUAAGAAUAUUUAAUAGUGUGAUUUCAAUUGUUUAUACAAAUUCUAUAAGUAAUAUUGAUGAGUGCUGUAAAUCUAUUUGAUAUUGGGAACAAACAUGGUCCCACUAACAGAAACUCAAACAAAACAGGAAUUUUUUUUUAUUUUUUUUGGCAUAGACAGCCGAAAAGAAACUUACAGCAAUAGCCUCUGUCACGCUCUCCAGACGUUUAUGCAAUUUUGAAACAGCAGCAUUCAUACUACGCUUUGUCACAUACAGAAGAUCUGAGAAUUUUAGACCCUAACCAUUUGUGAAGAGCAAAUAUUAGAUUUGCUUAAAGAAGACAACAACUCACAGAACCAAUGGAUGAAAUAAUAUGAACAUAAAUAUAUCAUUUGGAUACCUUCCACCACAUGUAACCAUAACCCAAUGCCCCCAAGGUAGCUGUUGGCAUUAUUAGUGAUGUCAAACCUAUUAAAAAAAUCAAAAAAAAAAAUAUAACCAAGUAUAAAAUGUUUCUAUUGCAUUAUGAAAUACAUACGUGUAAGGAAUUAAUCGUUUUACAACUUAACCAAAAAGUCAAGGCAGGAGCAUGCAUUCAUUGAGUGGUUAUAAGCAAGAGGAAAAAGCACAAAGCAUGCUAAGAAUUCAUUUGAACACAGAAGAGAAAGUAAGCUACCUUGGAAUUUGGCUGUCAUUCCCCUUCAGGACGGCUCUCUGUAGUGACGAGUCUAGUUGUCGGACCUCAGCUGCCAGUCGGCGCACCUAAAACAAAGUAACACAGGAAAAUUGAUAUCCAUUACAAAAAACAAAAAUUGAACACGAGAAAGCAUCCUUCGACACUAAAUUUAUAGCAGUUUUUCCAAUACCUGUGAUGCGAUCGCAUAAAAGUCACCUUCUGAUUGUUCUCCGGUUCCAUUGAACAAAGGCUGCAAACAAAACAGAAAUAGACACAAAUCCAUCAAUUUUUUGAGCAACAAGACACAAGCUCCGAAAUAAAUAAACUAUCUAACUGAUCAAAACCCUAGUUUACCAAAUGCAUUACAAAAUUAAAAACUCAUACAAAAAUAACACCAAAUACAAAUGUUCUGCGAGUUCCACUAGCAAAGCAGAGUACAAAUCAUGAAAAUGGUACCUGAAGUUCACCGAUCAAUUCAGAUAAUUGACCAUUCUUACGCAGGAUGGUGCUCGUAUACCCUGUAGAAAGAGAACAAUCACUCAGAUCAAAUGUAGCUAAAUACACAAGGAAACUAAUCCAGUAUGCAAGAUGAAAGAGGAGUGAUUGGUACCUACUCCAGCGAAGAUCAGCAAACACAGUAUGAGGUUCCAAAUUCAAAUAACAACAUAAUGCUAAGCAGAGAAGUAGAAUUGCUGCCGAAAUUAUUUAAAACGAACUAAGUCAAAACUAAAUGGAGAAAUGUUAACAAAGUUGUAUGCUUCAGUAAGUCCAGUAACAGAUUCCCAAAACCACAGAGACAAAAUGUGAACAAUGGCUACAAAAGCAUCCAUAAAGAGCAACUAUGUUUAUAUAUGGAGGUGUACAAAAUAGUUAACCUUCAAAAUCGAAACAGUGUGUGUGCCAUGUAAGGCAAUUAGCCACUGCUUCUAGACUAUACAAUAUUACACCUCACAAUAAUAACUAAACCAACUAGCUCUAGCAAAAAGGCAGGAUGACCAUAUAAAGUACCCCCAGCAAAGCAUCUACGUCUGCAUCUUCAUAUCAAGGAGUUCCUGACAUAAGUAAUGAGCAAAGUGAAUUCCCAAGUCAUAAGUCCAGAAUGAGGUGAAUUCACGGACAUUAAAACAUUUACCUCAUAAAUAUGCCUCCCCCCUUAAACCCUCAAUUGCAAGCCUCAGCCGGUAAUAUUUGAUCUUCAAAGGGUCAACUUUAUCUACCGAAAUCCCAGCACUGAGAUGCUCGAUGAAUUUGACGGUCAUGAUUCCGCAAGACGUACUGUGAGACCAAUAAGUUGGGAAAUUAGAACUGCAGUUAUGUAAGAUUUGGAUAAACUGCACUAAAUUCACAAAGCUUACCCAUCUCGUUGUUGUGGCACAUCUGCAAUGCUGCAAACUGAGAAUGGCGUAAACGUCAACAUCUUCAGCCCCUUUUGCUUAACCUUUUCAACCUCAGAAUCUUCAUAAAAGUGCAUAUCGUACAGCACUCGUGCCAGCGUAUCGCUAAUAGGGUGCAGAAGUGUAACCAGCUUCGAACAUUUGGUAAAAGCAACAUAUGAGUCAUACACAGUUGCAGUAUGUCAGACGAAAUCAAUUUCGAUUGCAACCCAGUAAGACCCUUUAAGAUUAUAUGGAAUAUAGACCUUCCGGACUUUUGUCCAAGCUUGGCCAUACCCGUGUUGCCACGUACCGCGUACAAAGUAAUGUAUAUUCUGCAGCUUGCUGGGUGGAAGGUCAACGGUGUUUGAAGCAACUGCCUUCUUCGAUCCACGUUUCUUGGCAGUCGGUUUGAACGGAUCUAGAAAUUGCUGCAUAAAUUGAAAUGAAGGCAUAUUAGAAAAUCACAACCGAAAGCAAAUGAAGCAGCGAAUGUAACAUGGUAACAUGUUUACCUGCAAGCAACAAUCUGCUGUUGUCCAGUCAGUUCCAAAUACCAACGGAUGAGAGAGUUGCCUUUUCCAGAUAAGAAAGGUUGCCAUGUCCAGGUGCUGAAAGUUGACACACAUAAUAUCAGCACAAUUUCAUACAACUGUACACUUAAAAAAGGUGAGAAAACAAUUUAAUUAUCGCAAUAAAGUAGAGCUUUGUGUAUUCUUACCCUUGAGCUAAUCCAUUCCGUUUCAUCGAUAAGUCUGUAGAAAAAAUCAGCGCCCACUGAAAAUAAUUCCAGCUGCACCUCCGCACUACAAAAGGCAAACUUGCAAUGGUUACUUUUAUAGUCAUCUCAUAAUUCUGACUUUGUUGAUGACAAAAAUACACAUGUAUAUUAAAGCAAACUCUACGUUUUCUCAUUAGUCUAUGACUACAUACUAGAAUAGGAUGAAGAUUGGAAUUCAAAGGUAAAGAAUCCUAACCUGAUAUCGUUUUUCCAGGCAGUACAAAACUCUAUUACUGCCUUCACAUCUUCAAUGGGCACGGAUUUUGAUGGAUCAAAACAUGGCGGGGUUGCAGUCGCAGCCAACACACUCAUCGUCCUCUUCUUCCUCAAAGGAUCAGUAAAUGGGCUCAACAAUGUCUGCGCCGGGCGCUUCUGUCUGCACCCUUUACCUUCCACUUCUUUUUUUUCCACACUCGAACUACCUUCUUCAUCACCAGCCAUACUAACUGUGGGUAGACUUGGAGGAUUCAUCGGACCUCCCGAUGGCAUACUCUUAGUCACUUUCCAAUCUUCUAACAGAGACAACACUUUUUGGCAGAUUUCGUCACACCCGGCCACAUCUUCCGGGGUAGGCAGCUUCUCGGAUUGUGCCUGCUCAGCUGCUUCAUGCACUUGUAAGUGAGGAACUGAAGCGGCCAUUUCUGCCUCUUCGACUACCAUGGCUGCGGAAGGUUCGGCUCCAUCACCGGGAACUUGUGUUUCCAUUACCGCCGGUUCUGUAGGCGGACUAACAUGGUCAUGUAAUGGCGACAAGUGAUUGUCGCCUCCUUCAUUCAUAUGAGGACUACUGAGGUCCUCAUGUCCUUUCCCACCUUCAUUCACCCCACCAUUUCGUUUUUUCAGCUGCUCUAUCUCCACAUUAAAAUAAUGCUCCAUUAAAGCCAGGGUGUUGCGGAAAUCCUCCACACACUUUUUAUUUUUUUCGAACUCUCUUUCAACUUUCAAUGACUCCUUCCGUACCAUGUCUUCCAACUGAUGCACUCUGUUGCGAAGCGCUCGAUUUGAUAUGGCAACUUUGGCCAAUUCAUCCUUUGUCCUUUGAAAGUCACGCUUCAAAGUGCGUAACUCUCUGGACGCGACUGUACCCUGCAUUCAGUUAUAAUGCAAGUGUUACAAUAUUUUCAAAAUAUAUUGCAACAAUACAGCAGUUAUUUUCCUAUUGUAUUAUGACGUAUAUCUUGGAAAAAAAUGUAAUGCUUGCCUUAGAAGACGACGGAAGGCUAGCAGUUUCGUCAAUGUCCUUAUCUUUUUCUUCUACAGAGGCAGAAGUGCUGGUUUUUUGUUCAGCGUCAUCGCCAAACAACUGAACAAGUUCUUCAGUGUCGUCAACACUGUCACCCCAAGUCCAAUACGGCUGCUGCUUGUCGAUUACAGAUGGCCGGAGAAGUUGCACAUCAACCUGCAAUUUACACAUACAAUAUACAUAUCAGUAAACUUAUUAUAUUAUAUUUUCAUAUGCCUAACAUUAUCAUUAAAAACUUAACUAACCUCACGGUUCUCGAAUACUUGGCUCAUUAGCUCAUAAAAACACGGCGAACUAUUGCUCCUCCAAUGUAGUAAACGAGGGAUGUAGGCAUUAUCUUCGUGCACCACCAAAUGUAGUGCAGCCAACGCUGGAAAAACCUCAUAAGCCCAAAUCUGGUUUGAGGAAUAAAACGUGAGUCACUGUAAACAAAUGAAAUUUAACUUCAACAUGAAUGGAAAUUUGCUCACCUGAAGUGCAUAGGCAAAACCUUUGAGGUGGUACUCUCUUGGUCUACCAGUUGCCGUUGUUUUUGCUUUCUUUUCAGAUUUUUUUGUUUUUGCAGCUUUUUUGGGCACUUUCACUCGCUGGUAAUCUGUACAAAGUGCCCUCAGAAGUGACACAAUUGUCUUGGCAUAACACACAGCACCCCAUGGAUACUUCCCAAACUCUUCAAGGUCUUCCACCAACUUCAAAUAUCGCAUGUCAAUCUGGACAUGUUUUUCACUGCCCAACAGCACAAACACAGCAAAGUAUACAAAUCUGAGCUUCAAUACAUCGUCCGCAUCAACGCAUUUGAGGAAGGCCUUUUCUAAUUCCAAAACAUUGACAGUUUUAUAGUUGCCAAAGUACUUCCUUUUCAAUGAGCAGUUCUCAUUAGUGGGAAUCGGAAUAAAGGGAAGGUUUCCAAACCUUAGCCCUGUCACGAUGCAAAAUUGCUGCGCCGUGAAUUGGAUCACCUUAUUGCCAACGAUGAAUUUGAUCCCGUUGAGUUGGGAAACUGUCUUUGGAUCAGCUUUCCUCAGCAGCAAGCCGUGGACAAUUGGCGAAGUCCACUUGAGGUCCUCAAUCAGUAGGAGAUGCCCAAAACAACUCUCUUCAAACCUUUGUAGCUGUUGUUCACUGAAUUUCUCCUUUAUCGUGCUGAUUGCAGUCUUCGUAUGGGAUAGGGACAAUGCUUUUCCUUGGAACUUUUCUUCCUCUGCAAUCAUCAACUUCAUUUGAGCAACCAUCUUUCCCUGCAUGCCAAUAUUAUAAAAAAAAAUUCAGUCCGUUGCAAUCUAGACAAUAACAAGCAAUAAACAAUCAGCACUUAUCUACAGCCUAUUAUAGGAUAUUAAGUGAAAACAAAAAAACAAAAAAUACAGGGCAUAAACAAAACCCCAGCUAUUUACAACUGACCUACUAAUUCAAUAGCUCAAAGCCACAUCCCAAGACACCCAGUACUCUACCACUCUUGCAUAAUAUAAUAUCUAAAGACACAUCUCAACACACCAGAUAAUCAUGACACAGCUUCAGCUAGAAUGGGAAUGUGCGGUAGCACAAGCCUAAUUGAGAACAAUUCAAGACUAACGAUAGAAAUCUAUCUGACUAGAAAGAGUUUUAAAAAAACAAGAAGACAUCGGGAAAGAAUUGAUUGACUUCAAGGUAUAAUGUAAUGGAACAUCCUAUGAAUUAGUGGCAACCAUAAUAAUGACUCCACUAUGGCCCUCCUUUCAAAUGUAAGAAAAUGAAUGAAAUUGGCACCAUCCCUUCAGUUUUUUCUUAACAAAAUAAGAGAUUUGUAUGUAUUCUCUGCUUUAUCGAUAUCAAAGAUAAAUUAAUAAAUAAACCAUCAAAACUGUAUAAAAUGUUUGUUAGACAUGUACAAUUACAAAAUUAUAAGUUCUCCUCAGAAACAAAGUUCUCUAAGUACGCAAACAAGAAAAGCAAAAGCUUAAAGAGUUAGCUUAUAGCAAAAUCAAUGUCCCCAUUUCUCUAAACCACACCUGCUGGUGGUAGGUUCCCAUCUUCACUCAUUUCCCGCUUUCUUUUAAACAGACAAUGAUCAAGCACAAAAGAGCAAACUUUUAAAUAACUCAUAUUACACCACAAAUAGUUCUAAAGAAAACUUAUUCAUAUCCAAUAUGCAACCCCUAAAGUUAGUAAACAGAGUUAUAAAAAAAUAUGUCAAAUUAACAAGCAUUAUUCUCAAACAAAAAGUAUGAUAUGGUUGGGAGUUUACAAGUUCAAAAUGAUAUACACAGGUUAAUUGUCUUAGACUUUAGAUAUCAUCUUCAACAAAGAAAAUAGAUACCGAUUAGACUUGUAAGAAGGUUAAAUGCAAUGGUCAUAAAGACCCAUAGUAAGCCACCAAAUACCAAUCAAUAACUGCUAUAAAAACCAUAAUAAAACCAUAAUAAACUAAAAAUACAACAGCACUAAAAUGCCAACACAACAUCACUACAUUAGCAAUAUAGUAGCAACAAAACCACAAUACGACAUCAAUAGCAACAGCAAAACAACAGCAGUGCAAGCAUCAGUCCACAAAGAACAAACCCAUUCACUGUUUCAAACAAGGAAUCAUCAUACUAAGAUCAUUUCAGAGAAACCCCAAAACCAAUUUCAGUGAAACCCCUAAACCAAUUUCAGAGAAACCCCUAAACCAAUUUCAGAGAAACCCCUAAACCUUCAACCAAUUUCGAACAAAUCCCUGAACCAAUUUCAUAGAAAUGCAUAAACCCUAAACCAACUUCAAAGAAACCCUAAACUGUAAGAAAAUGACGAUGAACAGUACCUGUUCAAGGUGAACGAUGGAGUUGAGCUUCGAUGAACAAAUUUCGCUCGGAGAGGAAGAGAGAAGAGAGAGUCAGAGCUGAGCGACGAGAGAUUAAGGGCUGAGCGACGAGAGAGUGAGAGCUGAUCGACGAGAGAUGAGAGAGUGAGAGCAAAGUGACGACAGAGUGAAGAGAAAUUGAGAGAAGGAGCCAAGAGAGAGAGCUGAGAGAGAACUUCAGCAAAACUGAUAGAGAACUUCAGCAAAAGUGAUAUGUGUACAAUAAGGGGACAAUAAAUAUAUAUUUAUAGGUUAUAGUUCCAAAUUUUUUUAAAAAGAGUGGUAUUUUCAGUUACAAUUAUAAAAAUGGUGGCAUUUUGAGCUAUUUCCUUAUUUUUUAUUCAACAUGGACGCAGAAACUGUUGCUAAACUGCAAACUUCUUAAAAUAUUUGUCUCACUUUCUCAACCCUAUAUUUGUCUAACUUUCUAGAUCCAUGUACUGAGAUUUAUUAGGGAAAUAUUGUAGAAACUGAUUAUUUUGAAAUAUUAAAUGUGAAAAACUGAACAAAAAUUUGAUGGGUUACAUAUUUCAACUCAUUUCAGCAGCUUAGAUUUUGAAGACCUCGGAAGAGGCCAUGCAGUGAGCCUAGCUAGUGCACUGUUGAUCACUUCAGUGUCUACCGAUCUGUAAUUUUUCCAGAUUGGUUAUAUUUUCCUUUACAUAUUCUUAUAUUAUUCCCAGCUGUAAGUGUUUUACACACUUGUCUAUUAGAAAAGGGGAGACUUAUAAAUAAAUCCAAAAUGGGUACAGUAUUUAUAAAGAAUGACAAAAUUAAAGUGUUUGGGCAAUAAUGCCCUUAUUCAUUUUGAGAUUGCCUAAGGAAUAUUUUUUCUGAUUUUCAGAAGAUGCCAAAGGACCGUUGUUUGAUGAUUGCCGUAAGGAGCUAAGAAAACUUGCUUUGAUAGUUUUGGACAGAUGCAUGCUACUGUUGCUGGGAUGAUCUCUUCACGUGAAAUGAGGAUGAUGAUGCUUCUACACUACACAAUCCAACGAAUUCACAUGUCUAUUUCAGAUACAAGUAUAAACUAACAAGGCUUUAAAAUAUGGGCUGAUGCACUGUUGUUGAUGUUGCUGACACUGUUACUGUGUUGUUGAUACUGUCACUGCGUUGCUGUUGGAAAAAGCACAAGGACUUCACAUGUUGCUUUCGUCUUUUGUGGAGGAGAGAGACCUAGGACUUGCAUGUCUUAGAUAUUUAAGAUAAGGGGCUUUCGUUCCAUUUUGAAAAUACUUUGGGUGUUUUUGAAAGGUGAUUGUUUCUUUUGGGUUUCUCACUAAAUUUCGCUUUAGAAGGGAAAAUAAUAAUAAUAAUGUCAAACAAAGUAGGGUAAAUAUUCAGAUAUGCUCAUAUUAUUAUUCUUCUCCAAUAUUGAGGUAUUUAUACAAGUACAAAGAUGUGUUAACCCUAAAUAAAAUAGGAAAUAUAUCUAAAUUAUAAUAGGCAGUAAAUCUCUAUUACAAUAGGACUAAAUAAUAAUUGGUAAGUAACCAAAAUUCUAAUGAAAUAAGGAAUCAAAAUCCUAACUAAGUAAGGACUCGCCAACACUCCCCCUCAAGUUAGGGCAAACAUAUUUCGCAUGCCUAACUUGACAAGCGAGUCAUAGAACACCAUACUUGAGAAGCACCAAUUGUAGAGAAGGUCUUUUCGUCAACCACGAGUGAAACAAGUGACAAACUAAAGCAAAGUUCGCAGCGGAAACACAAGAGCGAAUCCUAAAAAAUAGGGCACAUAGCAGAACACAAAAAUCCUGGAGCACGACAGUAGAUAAGGCAGAACACAGAAACCCUGUUAGCACGGCAAUAGGUAAGGCAGAAAAAGUCAAGAGCAAAGGCAAGGUCAACAGGCGUGACCACAACGAAAACACACCAGCAAAGACAUGAGCAACAAUAUUAGCACCAUAAUAGACAUGAGCAACAAUACUGGUACCAACAACAGCAAUACAAGGCACUGGCACCAGCAAGAGCAACAAGGCAUGGACAUAACAUGCAUAAUCAAUAGUAAUCAACAUUGUCCCCAACAAGAGUCAUAAUAGGCAUGAGCAAUAACAUUGUCCCCACUAAGAGACUUAACAGGUAUGAGUAACAGUACUGGCACCAGCAAAGGGCAUAGUAGUCAGCAGCAAUAACAAUGACAAAUACUUCUAUUAUUGCAGAGACAACUUCUCUUCACUCCCCAUCUCCCCUUGAAGAGAAGGGGUCAUCGGAACCAUAAGAAAAGUGGCACUUAAGAAACAGAAGUUGACUGACGCUCAAAUGUAGAAGAAUCAGCCAUGGCAAAUAGGUAGCUGAAUUGCAGCGGAAUAGAUGAGCAGCGGUGUCACUCCCCCUCAUAUCUGAUAAUGUAUGAGAGUCGAGAUUUGGAGAAAGCAAUAUCGAAAAAUAAAGUUGCAGAACCCAAAUAAAGUUGCAUCUAUCUCCCCAUCAAAUCCGACACUGGUAAAGGGUCGAGAUUUGAAAGAGGAGAAAUUGAAAUAAUAGUAAAGAGACUCAAACAUGCAGUCUCAUGGCAGAAACAAAUGCAAGAGGGGAAGAUGGUAGCAUACGGUUGUCCCAUGAAGAAAAAACUUCAGAAAAGGAGAAUAGUAAGGGAGGAAACCUAGCAAAUCAUGAACAGAGACAAAGACAAAGAUGCUCAAACUGAGAAGCGGAAAGGCAACUCAAGAGAGCAACCGAAGAAGACAGAGGCCCGCAGAACAGUCAAAGUUAAGGCUCGGCGAGUGGUGACGAUGCUCGCGGAGGAAAGCAACGGCUCGGUGAGCGGUGAUGAGGCUCACGGAGUAAAGAGACUUGUUAUGAAGUUUCAAAGAUAGAGAAGCUGAGACAUCAAGAAAGACCAUCUGGCAUACAAAGAUGAAAAAUAAAAAUUUUGGAACAGUAGCAAAGAAGCAUGUGAAGGCUGGUGCGGUGAAAACACAUAUGAAAGGAUGAACAAAAGAAGAUGACUAUACAAGAUGAAGACCCAUGAUGGGUUAGGAAUGAGGAGUGCCAACGACUCUCAAUUUGGCAGAGGUUAUCGCAGGUUAGGAACCUGGCUCUGAUACCAUGUCAAACAAAGUAGGGUAAAUAUUCAGUUAUGCUCAGAUAUGCUCAUAUUAUUAUUUUUCUCCAAUAUGGAGAUAAUUAUACAAGUACAAAGAUGUGUUAACCCUAAAUAAAAUAGAAAAUAUAUCUAAAUUACAAUUGGAAGUAAAUCUAUAUUACAAUAGGACUAAAUAAUAAUUGGUAAGUAACUAAAAUUCUAAUGAAAUAAGGAACCAAAAUCCUAACUAAGUUAGGACUCGCCAACAAAUAAUAGUACAACUCUUAUUAGCAACAGGUUACAAACUUCUUCUACAACACACCAACAUGAAUCUAGCCCUGAUCCACUCUUUUACAUACUUGAAAACAAAACAAAACACGAAAAACAAAAAACAAGAAACAAGAUAGGGAGAAAAUGGCUACGGAGAGACUUCCUGCUAAUCAGGGGCGGCCCUGGGGUGGUGCAAGUGGCGUCACCGCACAGGGCCCCCGAUUCUUAAGGGCCCCCAAAAAAUAAUUCUUUAUAUUAUAUAUAUAUAUAUUAAUAUUAUAUGAAUCGUAUAUAAAGUAUAGCGUCUGGAUGAUAAAGAGACUCAUUAUCAUUAUCUUAGUCAUAAGAUUCAAAAUGAAUUGAUACUUUUGUUAGCUUCUGAGCUCAAAAGUGCAAUCAUUAAAAAGAUUGAAGAAGCUAAAUAUUUUUCUGUGAUUCUUGAUUGUACUCCAGAUGCUAGAAACCAAGAACAAAUGAGUUUGAUAGUAAGAUGUGUGGAUGUCUCUACUAAUUCAAUAAAGGUUGAAGAAUUCUUUUUGGAAUUUUUGAUUGUGAAUGAUACAACAGGACAAGGACUUUUUGAAGAGUUGCAAACGGUGUUGCAAAAACUUAAGCUUGAUAUUGAUAAUGUGAGAGGACAAGGCUAUGACAAUGGAUCAAAUAUGAGUGGGAAAUAUCAAGGUGUCCAAAGAAAAUUUUUGGAUGUAAAUCCUAGAGCAUUGUACACACCUUGUGGUUGUCAUAGUCUUAAUUUAACACUUUGCGAUAUUGCAAACUCUUGUGGAAAAGCAAAAGAUUUUUUUGGAAUCAUACAACGUAUUUAUACAUUGUUUGCUAAUUCUACAAAGCGGUGGAAGAUAUUGAAAGAUAAUGUUAAACACUUAACUCUGAAAUCAUUGUCAGUUACACGUUGGGAAAGUCGUAUUGAAAGUGUGAGAGCAAUAAGAUUCCAAGCUGCAGAUUUAAGAGAAGCUUUACUUCAGUUAGCAGAAAGUGACGGUGACUCCAAAAUAACAAGUGAAGCUAAUUCUUUGGCAACAUAUGAACUUGGAAAUUUUGAGUUCUUAUUGGGCAUGGUUAUUUGGUAUGAUAUAUUAGGUGGUGUCAAUGUAGUGAGCAAAAACUUACAAUCUGAAGACAUGCUUAUUGAUGUUGCUAUUGAUAAAGUGAAAGGGUUGAUUACUUUUUUUUUGAAAAGUAUAGAGAAAAUGGGUUUACAGAAGCUAUGUGUACUGCUAAAAAAAUUGCUACUGACAUGGGAAUUGACCCGGUGUUUCCUGAGAAGCGAAAAAUUCGUAGAAAAAAACAUUUUGAUGAGAAUACUUGUGAGCUAUCCCAAUCAGUUCCUGAAUCAACUGAAGAAAAGUUUAGAAUUGAUUAUUUCUUGUAUUUAGUGGACCAAGCUAUUGGUUCUUUACGAAGAAGGUUUCGACAAUAUCAAGAGUAUGAGAAUUUUUGGGUUUUUGUUUACUUCAGAGAAGUUAAAUUCAUUGGAUGAUUGCGAUUUGAAGAAUAGUUGCAGUCAUCUGGAAAGCAUUUUGAAAAAUGACAAGUUUUCUGAUGUCGAUGGGGAGGAUUUAUUUGUUGAGUUGAAAGUUUUACAAGAGCUUUUACCAAAAGUAAAUACCACAGCUACUGCAAUAUUAAAUUUCUUGAAAAGAUUAAAUUGUUUUCCAAAUGCAUUCAUUGCAUAUAGAAUCCUAUUGACUAUUCCUGUUACUGUUGCAUCUGCGGAAAGAAGUUUUUCAAAAUUAAAAUUGUUAAAAUCAUACUUGAGAUCAACUAUGUCGCAAGAAAGAUUAAAUGGACUAGCUUUGAUUUCAAUUGAAAGUGAACUUCUUGAAAAACUUGAUUAUGAACAUUUGAUUGAUGAUUUCUCUUCUAAAAAUUCAAGAAGAUCAAUUUUCAGACAUUAGUAUUGUACUAGCUGUGUUUUUUUUUUUCUUCUAGGGUAAAAGCUCUCAUAAUAAUUUUAAUUCUUCAAAUAAGACAGCAAAUACAAUGUGAUGAAUUUUGGAUAAUCAGGUAUGUUUUUGUUGUUGCUUUUGUGUUUAAUGCAAUAUAAUCUAAUUUUUUUAAUGACAUUUGUGUGCAACUACUCUUUGAUUUGUGAUUGCCAAUUUUUUUUUCUUUCUAUUAAACACAGAUUGCUUAUUGGAGGCAGCAAGAGACCUUAUAGGGGCACAAGGAGCUUAUUUUUGUACAAAACAUUUAACUUUAUCAAAUGGAAACAUUUAAAUUUUUAUGAAUUUGAUUUCUGAUUGUCAUUGCAUAUUUAUUGAUGGUGAAUUUUAGUUAUAAAAAAAAAAUUGUUUAUGACAUUAAGUUAUGGCAAAUUUUUAUAGUAUUUUCGUAUUAGAUUAUGCGAGGUCCCAAUUUAAGUUUCGCACAGGGCCCUCAAAAUCUCAGGAACGGCCCUGCUGCUAAUACUUGAUCAAUAACAGAGAUAAUAGAGCACACUGUUUGUAUGACAAUGAGUAUCAGAAGAAUAAUAGCUGCAAAGAGAGAAAUAGCUGCCCAAGGUGUGUUGAAAUACUUUUGUCUCAAAUUUGCCUUCCGUCUGUUCGUGGUCUUCUUGCAGUACUCGUUUAGUUUGCCAGCAAGAUCACCAAAAUAGUAGUUUCCGUGGUUCGGAGCAACUUUACUGCAAAGCUUGUUAAUCAUAAUGGAAACCUUAUUGUUGUCACCUAGCGUGUUUACAACAAUUCCAUUGUCAACAAGCAACUCUACAUCCUUUGGGGUGUUUACAAAUUUAUCCAGGAUGAAAACAUAAUCGCUUAUGUAUUUAUCCACGCAAUGGCCUUGUUCAAAGGCAAUGAGAUUUCUAUGUGUAAGCUGUGUAAUCAUGUAUUUCAAUUUUUGGAAUUUCCAAGGUGUUUUUCUUGAACUGUAUAUCGAAUAAGUUCUUGCUUGAUCCCACGUUAAACUUAACUCCGGCCUGGUGUAGUUUUGUCAUGCUGGGUGUACUUUGGAGCCCUCCAUUUUUUUUUCUUUUGGCAGAUGUAAAGUUCUAAUAAAAUCAACAAAAUGUAAAGGUUUUUUAGGAUCAGGAGGCAUAAAAGACUUACGGAAGGCUGGUGAGUUCUCCAAGUUUUCUAAACGCAGUGCCUGUUGGAAGAACUUGUAAGAGAGUUCAAUUAUUGAAGGCUCCCCAGUCUGAGCACCUGUGAGAUUGUAAAGAUCCUCGAGAAUGAAAAAUGGCAGCUGAUUUACGAGCAUAAGCAUGUCAGGCAAUAUAUUUUGUAGCACCCAUGGUUUUUUAAAUAUCCAAGCAUCAUCAUCCUGCAAUUUUUCUUCCUGAAAUUUUUCUUCGGAUUUAUUCCUCAACAAUAGCUCAAUGACAAAGGCGGCAUCAACUAGAAUGAUAUUCACAAAAGUAGCAAUGUUAAACUUCUUAGGGCUAGUUUGGCGGCGUUGUGCUUUUAAAAAAAUAUGCUUCUGCUGUGCUGUGAAAAUAAUUAGCUGUGAAAAAAAGCUACUAGGCGUUUGGUAAACUGUUUUUGAAAAACUGCUGUGAGUAGUCAAAGUGUUUGGUAAAUUUUUAUCAGAAGUACUUUUAGUGUGUAUAAUGACCAAAAAGGACAUGAUGAUGAAAUUGUUUGUUAUUUUCUUCAUUCUUUUUCUACUUUAAAAAAAAAAAAAACCCAAUUUCACUACAUAAAUUUUUAUUCUUUUUUAAUUCACACCUUUUUAUCAAAAAAUUUAAUCUACAAUUAACAUACAUAUUUUACCAUAAAUUAUAAAUUACUAUUAUAACAAAAGUAAUUCUAAAUAUUGUUAUAUUAAUAUGGGCUUCGGACAUGACAAAAAUACAAAAAUUGUUCAAUUUUAAAAUGCCCCAAUAGAUCACUACAAUAUAAAAGAAGCUAAUUAGAUGCAUUCAUUAAACUUGUAGCGAUGCUAUUUCUUAAUGCAUUCAUUAGCUUCUUUUUUUGGUUUCCAAUGGUUCUCUAACAAUUUUAACUAAAAAAACAACCAUAAUGCUUUGUGAACAAUAAAUUCAAGUCCAAAUCUGCUAUUGCCCACACCAUACAUAUAUACAUAAUUGUUCCUUUCAUAAAACUUGAAGAUUCAAUAGUAAUUACACAGUUUACCAAUCUUGAUUCCAACUAUAUCCAUAAAAUUAAACUAUAAUUAGAAAUAGAGGAGCUACAUGUGAUUACUCAUAAAUGCUUCCCACUCUCAUCAUCAUCAUCAUCAUCAUCUUCCUCCUCUGUACUUUGCCUUUCACAAAUGGACAAGACCAGAUGGUAACGUACACGACAUGGUCCACAUAUAGAUAAAUUUUGGGUUCACUGGAGAACAUAAAAGAGUUUUUACACGAAUACAAAGUUAGUUAAGUAGUGAAUAAAGUAAAACUAUUCUGUACAAUUCUAGCUGAUGCAGUCCAAAAAGAAUAUAUGUCUAAUAACUUAAAUAACAAUAAAGAGAAACAAAAGCCUCAUGAAAAAUGCUAGAGUAAAAGUUACAUAACUGAAUCGAUGGACAGAGAACUCCACAGGCAGAGAAACAGCAACAAAAAUUGUCAAAACAGUAGCAAGACCAUGUUGGAGUCAAGGCCAAAGAUCAUAUUUCCUGUGUAUCUUCUUCCAUUCUGAAUUAUUCUCGUAUUCAAAUACUGUAACUCUAUUUCAAGUGCACCCCAAAAUACUUAUCUAAGGCCAGUACAUAGGACUUCAUAAAGGGUGCGAUAAAAAAUAUUGCCCCUUAAUUGAUAAACAGAACCAAGAUCCCAACAGCACACCAAAACUAUACCAACCACACCUACAUAAUAUGGACAGAAAAUCCUGUUGUUCCGAUCUCUAACCACACCAAUGACAUUCAUUAGGAAAAUACAAAAGAUGGGUACCCUGCAUUUCUAACAUUUAAGAUAAAAUUCACUGCCAGCUAAUCACAAAUUUGAAAAGAUGGCAAGAAAAUUGGCUAAGCUUUAACAAAAACCAGAGCAGUCCUUGCAUAGACCUGACUUUUUGCUCCAAGCUUUAGCAGAUCACUUACUGGUAGAGAGCAGAGAACAUGUAUGUGAAUAUCUGAAGUUGGAAGGGUAAGCCAUCACAAACACCAAGAGAUCUGAUUCUCAUCUCUUGUUACAACAACAAAUCACAAACACCAAUACAUCUGAUUCAGAAUCUCAUAAACAAUGGAGGAACAAACACAUAUUCACACACAUAUAAAUCCCUAAACAGAAAAAAUAAAAAAUAAAAAAAAAACCAUGAAAGUCAUAGGAGAAUCAAAUUGAUUUGGGCCAAAAUUGCCUAAAAAGAAAACACUCCUAAAUAAACUUCAAUUCACUUUUAAAAACAGUAAAACAUGAUUGAAUCAUUCUUUAAAACAAUUCCCUAAUAUACAUGCAUGAUAAUGACAUCAUUUACCCCUGAAUCAAAUGCCUUUCACUGGUCAAGCCACAAGUCUGUGUUUUGGGAAUUGCUGAGCUGCAUCAAUCCUGCCAAUGUAAAUUCUGCCCCUAGGCUCUCUCAAAGUGCGUUUACAACCUAUGCUAACAUAUACUAGAGUUUGUUUUAGUAUCUAGAAAAUGCCAACACUAAUUUCGUAACACGUAGAAAUUGUUACAUAUUGGAAGUUUUUAUCAUUUUUUCUUCCAGUCUCUCCACCACUCACUAAUACAGAUUACUCAUGUGAUGAGUUUACAAAACAUAUUUCUCUACUCCCACAAAGACCAUACUUUUUCUCAAAAGACUAUAUCACUUUAUCUCUAUCUUUGUGAAAUGUAAAAAGUUGAAACUUUAAUGUCAAACCUCGACAAAAGAUGAACAUCCAUCAUCAAUUACAUUGAAUUUGAAUUUGUUGAACUUAAGUAGUUUUACUUCUCUGUCAGCGUUUGAUGACUUGAUUUGUUAUUUACUUCUUCUUUUUUCCUUGGAAAUGUGUUCCAUCAACGUGAGGAAGAAAAAUAUGCACAAAUUAAUAUAUUUAAUAGAAGCAAAAAUUAAUAUUUACAAAAAUAUGCACAAAUCAAGUAAAAUUAAUAAAGCAUAAAUUGGAAAGGGAAAAUAUGUAGAGGAUGCAUUGUAGGAUUGCUCAUGCCAAUAAUUGUACCCUCUAAAUAUAUAGGGACAUAUUUUUUUUUGUUUUCAUGACAUGUGGUCCUAAAAUUAUUGUUCUUAGCGGGCUCUCCACCCCUCUCGACUGAAAACCUAUUGUGUAAAUCUUCAAUCCUGAAUGAUGCACCUAAAACUCAUGUUGCAAUACACAUCCACCCAUUCUCAGGCCAAUUAUUACUCCUAGUGGGCUCUCCACCCCCUCUCAAAUUUAAGUGGUCCAUUAUUAUUAACCGUAUAUUUUAUGGACCAGCCAGCUGUGAGGUUUUAUCUCAAAAACCUUUCUCCCACAUGCCACAAUUUAUGUCUGAUACAUCACAUCAUGCCAGUUGUCUCAAAUGAAUUUAAGUGAGUGAGGCAGUGUUACUUCUGGGUACCCCUCAUUAUUCGUCUAUAAAUUGGUGAAGCCAGUUGCUACUGUUACCAUAAGAGCCAGCUCCGACUUUCAAAAUAAAAAUUCCAACAACGGUCUUAGUGCCUUCAAUUGUAUGAGUCAUUGAACAUGCAAAUGAAUAAAAUAUGAAUGAUAAAAGUGUUUGAUAAAUCACCAAGUUAUAGAACACUUGAUGAUUUAUCUCAAAUAAAAAUUCAGCUUUCUAAAGUUUGUGAAUUGAAAAUAUAAUCGUUAAAGCUCUCUAAACAAAGAAGACGAAAGUCUUAUUUUAUAGAAUUUUUCUUUACAAGAAAGAAAACAUGUUGAAAACCAAAUCUCCAAUUUCCAAGGCUUGACAGAAAAUCAAAAAAAUAUCUUUCCUAUUCUAGAGAUUGGUCACAUGUAGUUCAACCAAUAGGAAAUGAGAUAUUUAAGAAAGCAAGAUUUUGAUCAAUACCAAUAUCAAAUGAAUUCUUAUACGCCUAGUCAACUAUUAAGGGUAUCUUGACUCCUUGAUAUUGUGAUAUGAUUGAAACAUGAUUUCCAUGUUAGAAAAUUAAGGGGAUGUUAAAACAUGAAAGUAAUAGGAGAAUCAAAUUGAUUUGGACUAAAAUUGCCUAAAAAGAAAACACUCUUAAAUAAACUUCAAUUCACUUUUAAAAACAGUAAAACAUGAUUGAAUCAUUUUUUAAAACAAUUCCCUAAUAUACAUGCAUGAUAAUGACAUCACUUACCCCUAAAUCAAAUUGUCACGCCCCGGACCUGGGGGUCAGUGGAAACCCCACGUUCGGUGCGUGAGAAAAUAAAAAGUAAAAUAAAAUAAAAAGAAUGCCGAAACAAGGGUUUAAAAUAAACUUCUCUUAUAAAAAUAACUCCAAAAUCUUACAACUUUACAAGAAAUAAAUAAAGCCCUAUCAUUCUUAUCUAAUUCAGCCUCAACUGGUUUAGUCCUUGUCUUGCCCACUAAUUCAUCUAAAAAAUGAAGAGUGUUGCUAAACGAACCCUAAAAUUAAUUGAGUACACCCUACUACCAAACGAUUUAUUGAAUUUGUCACAUCUCGGGAUCAACUCCGCCGUAGCACGAUAUUGUUCGCUUUGGGCCCUCCCUCUCUGGCUCGCAUGGUUUUGUUUCUGGGAACUCACGAGUAACUUCCCAGUGGGUCACCAAUCCUGGGAUUGCUCUAGCCCACAACUCGCUUAACUUCGGAGUUCCUACGACUCCGAAGCCUGUGAGCUCCCAAAAGGUCUCGUGCUAGAUGGAUGCGGGUGUGCACAUAUAAGGCACAUCACCCCCUCUCCGUUGGUUGAUGUGGGAUCUUAUAGAAUUACUAAUUUAUCCUAAUAUAAAAUGACCAAAGAAGAUAAAAUAAUAUUGGUAUCUAUUGCUUUGAAUCCAUGCCUUCAAACAAAUUGACUUAAUUUUUAACAAACAACACGGAGUCCAGGAGAAGUGUAUUGAUCCAAGUUGAUUUUUGUAUGCGUAAAACUUAAACAAUCAAUAACACAAAGCAGUUCAUGCUGAAAUAUUGGAAACCCACACCCAAAGAGUUCUCCGCUGCGAGGUUGAAGGCAGGAGAGAUGGGUGACAGAUUUUACUUCCACUGCGAAGUUGGAGGCUAGGAGAGUCUGUGACUGCCAUGGUUGAGGGAGAAGAUGCGUUCAAAAUGCCUAUUGAUAUUUUACAUUAUUGGCUUUUUUCAAAAGUGAAAGUUUUUUUAUGGGUAAAACCUAAAUUUACUUUUUCUAUACAAGUUAACAGUGUUUGUGUAUUGUGAAAAGGUGGAGAGACGUGUCAAAAUUUUAGACAAAGGACAGGAGGAGAUAGGGAAUUUGGGGACAGCAGAUCUCAACUCCCUUGAGACCCUAUUCUCUACGCCACCCCUCCCCCUCAACAACCCUAGUCACCAUUUCUCCUUCAACUCCAACGGCAACUCAUUAAAACCCAAUUCUCAAAUGCAACAAUCUAAUCCCAAUCCCAAUUCAGAUGUUUCUAAAAAACCCAUUGUCGUGGUGGAGAACUGCAAUUCCAGGUGGUGGUGGUGGUACCACAUGGGAGAGAGAAAAAAGAAGAAGAAGAAGCAGGAGAGAGAGAGUUUUUUAUUUUAUUAUUAUUUUACUGUAAUUUUUUAAUUUAAAUAAUUAAAAAAAUUAAAAGUUAAAGAGGAUGUACCAUGGGUAUUUUUGGUAGUUAAAUAAGGUGUACUUAGGGUCAGUUUGGCAUUGCUGUGCUGUGAAAAUAAUAGCUGUCAGAUUUGCUGUGAGAGAAAUCAGCUGUGAGAGAAAUCAGUUUGGCGUUUGAUAAAAUUUUUGUUAAAAGUGUGUUGAUAUUGAUUUUAUGCUUAAUCCGAAAAUGAUUGCUGCAUAAUCAUUAAACCCAGCGCCUCUUCGAAACUGAUUCCUAUAUAAUCAGAAAAUGAAAGCACCUCAUUAGCUGCUUUCCUUUAUAGCUUUCUCUCACAGCAAUUUUUAACAAUAAGUGAUUUUCUCACAGUUUACCAAACGGGUUGGGCUUCUCAAAAUUUUUUAAAAAUCACUUAUUACCCCAAAUAAGCAAUACCAAACGGGCACUUAGUUAAUUUUACAUUUUAAUUUAAACAUUAGGGUGUACUCAGUUAAUUUUAGGGUUCGUUCAGCAGCACUCAAAAUUAAACAAGGUGAGGGAUGAGCAAGUAGGGACAUGAGACAUUGCCACAGUAGAUUGAUAUAACUAAAUAUUAUUAUAAACAUAGAAAUAUAUAAGUAUUAUUAUAAUAGGAUUCAUAAUAAUUAAUAUAAAAGUAUAACAACAAUAUUUACAUUUAUGUACCAAGAUAAUUACACAUAUAAAUAUAACCAAUAUAUAUUUUUAUAUAUUUUAAAAUAUAAGUCUUUACGUAAAUGCCUUUCACGGGUCAAGCCACAAGUCUGUGUUUUGGGGAUUGCUGAGCUGCAUCAAUCCUGCCAAUGUCAAUUCUGCCCCUGAGCUCUCUCAAAGCACGUUUAAAACCUAUGCUAACAUAUACUAGAGUUUAUGCUGUAUCUAGAAAAUGCCAACACUAAUUUCGUAACACGUAGAAAUUGUUAGAGAUUGGAAGUUUUUAUCAUUUUUUCUUCCAGUCUCUCCACUACUUAUUAAUACAGAUUACUCAUGUGAUGAGUUUACAAAACCUAUUUCUCUACUCUCGCAAAGACUAAACUUCUUCUCAAAAGACUAGAUCACUUUACCUCUAUCUCUGUGAAAUGUAAAAAGUUGAAACUUUAAUGUCAAACCUCGACAAAGUGUUCUACUUUACAAACUUCUUGUGUCUACCAAUUUGUACUAAAAUUAAUUUCUCUACAGUGCUCAGAUUCAUCAUAUGUGUGUCCUUAAUUUUAGUGGAAAUUGGAAGUUUCCAUAAUUUUUGCUUUAAGUCACUCUUCUGAAGGAAGUUGAGGUUCCACUUCAUAAUCCAAAAUGUCAGGUUGACUUAUGGCAAACAAUGUAAAUAUGUAGGAGUACUAUGACCUUUUAUAGCAUUUUUAGUUUGAAUUUGGGUUUUAUACAUAGAUUUCAAAAUUAAUAGGUUGAUGCCUAGGAAAUAGAAAUUGUAAGGGCCUAUAUUAGAGUAGCCCUCUUAAAAAUAAUAUUAAUUAAUGAAUAUUUGUUCUUCUUGUUGUUUUGAAGUAGUGGUGGGAGGCAGACCAACAAAAAAAAAAUAUAGUGAAGGCUUAUAAGAGCAUUUACAAUCAUGCUCCCUAUUUUUUAGUUAAAAUUUAGCUAAAAAUAGAAAAAAAGUUAUUAUAGGAGCUCUUUAUAAAGCUCCUUUAUAAAAUUUGAACUCCAAUCAUACUCCCUAGUUUAGGGAGUCAAAAAUACUAUAGUUAUUUUUUAAUUCAAUUUGAUUUUGGUUAAUCUCUAUAAAUAUGAAAAAAUAGUUAGCAUUAAUUAAAAGUUUAAACUAUGCAUAAAACAAAGAAACAUUAAAUUAUAGGGAGCCACUAUGAGUCAUUACUCUCUCCUCAGAUUUAGGAGCUCCUAAAGGUCUCCCUAUUUUAUGAGGUGGAUAAGGAGCAUGGUUGGAGUUGUAUUUCUUCAAUUUCCUCCCUAAAAUUUGUCUAAGGAUGUGGUUUAGGGAGCCCAUUGUGAAUGCUCUAACUCUGGUAAAACACGAGUGACAUGGACAACAUAUGUUACGUCGUACUGAAGAUUUUUGGGUUUCUUUAAUUGGUUAAGUAGCAUCCACACAGCUUCCUAAAUCAUCUCCUUAGACAAAUUUUAGGGAGGAAUUGGAAAAGUACAACUCCAACUAUGCUCCCUAUCCACCAACUAAAAUAGGGAGACUUCUAGGAGCUCCUAAAUCUGAUGAGAGAGAAAGGACUCUUAAUGACUCCCUAUAAUUUAAUGUUGCUUUAUAUUAUUUUGUAUACAGACGGGUCAAUUAUAUUAAAUUAAAAAAUAAUUAAAGUAUUUAUGACUCUCUAAACUAGUGAGCAUAAUUGUAGAUCAUCUUAUAUACCUUAAUUUGAAGAUUCUUUAUUUGGGUUUCUUUCAAGACUUAUCACCUUAGCCACGCCACCUACACGUCUGCAAGCUUUCCUAACAAGGAAGGGGAGGCUGCGCAAUACUUAUCACCUUAGCCACACUACACCAAAUUGACGUCUGCAAGCUUUCGUAAUCUAACAAGGAAGGGGAGGCUGCGCAAUACUUAUCACCUUAGCCACACCAACACCACAAGACCAAUAUGUGUAGUCCAGGAGGCUUUCCCAUUUUAAUAUAUAUUAUCAAAUAAAAUAAAAAUCAAUCUAUUAUCAUAUAUAUUAUAAAAUAAAGAUUAUUGCUCCAUCCUCCAUGCACUUGCAUGCCUCUUACAAAGUGUGAAGUAGAUUUUGUGUGCUCCAAGUCAUUGACGAGAGCUGUAACAUGGUUAGCUGGAUUUAUAAGAUCUUUUCUUUUCUGGGAAUUUUCUGAAUCAAGAAAAAUUAAGUAAAAUUAAUAAAGCAUAAAUUAGAAAGGAAAAAUAUCUAGAGGAUGCAUUGUAGGAUUGCACAUGCCAAUAAUUGUAUCCUCUAAAUAUAUAGGGACAUAUUUUUUUGUUUUCAUGACAUGUGGCCCUAAAAUUAUUGUUCCUAGCGGGCUCUCCACCCCCUCUCGAUUGAAAACUAAUUGUGUAAAUCUUCAAUCUUGAAUGAUGCACCUAAAACUCAAGUGUCCCAGGCCAAUUAUUGCUCUCAUACCACUUGUUGUAAUAAACAUCCAUCCAUUCUAAAGGAAAGAUAACCAUCGAUAUUAUCUCAAAUUUAACCACUUAAGUUCAUUAUGAUUAACUAUGUAUCUUAUGGACCAAUCCAAUCAUGAGGUUUUAUACCCAAUUAGAUCGACUAAUACAAAGUUCACACGUGGAUUGAAAAGCGCUAUCAGUAGGGGAGUGUUCGGCACCCUUUACUGCCGAACGCAACACAAGACCCCUUGCAUGCCUUCACUAAGUUGAGCCUAUCUAUUUUUUAGCAUUAACAAUAUAUAUAGAUUGAAAAAAUAAAAUAAAAAUCAAUCUAUUAUCAUAUAAAAUAAAUAUUAUUGCUCCAUCCUCCAUACACUUGCAUGCCCUCUUACAAAGUGUGAAGUAGAUUUUUUGUGCUCCAACUCAUUGACUAGGGCUGAAACAUGGUUAGUUGGAUUUAUAAGAUCUUUUCUUUUCUGGGAAUUUUCUGAAGCACGGAAAAUCAAAUAAAAUUAAUAAAGCAGAAACUGUACCCUUUAAUUAUAUAUGGACGUAUGUUUUUUUGUUUUCAAGUCUUAGAUGACAUGGGGACCUAAAAUUAUUGCUCCUAGUGGACUCUCGACCCCUCUCAAAUUUAAGUGGUCCAUUAUUAUUAACCACAUAUUUUAUGGACCAUGCAGCUGUGAGGUUUUAUCUCAAAAACCUUCGGUACAUUUCUCCCACAUGCCACAAUUGUAUAUUCACAAUUACGGCUGUUACGUCACAUCAUGCCACUUGCCUCACAUGCAACAAGUCUGUGUUUUGGGGAUUGCCGAGCUGCAUCAAUUCUGCCAAUGUCAAUUCUGCCCCUGGACUCUCUCAAAGCACAUUUAAAACCUAUGCGAACAUAUAUUAGAGUUUAUGAUGUAUGUAUCUAGAAAAUGCCAACACUAAUUUCGUAACAUGUAAAAAUUAUUAGAGAUUGGAAGUUUUUAUCAUUUUUUCUUCCAGUCUCUCCACCACUUAUUAAUACAGAUUACUCAUGUGAUGAGUUUACAAAACCUAUUUCUCUACUCUCGCAAAGACUAAACUUCUUCUCAAAAGACUAGAUCACUUUACCUCUAUCUCUGUGAAAUGUAAAAAGUUGAAACUUUAAUGUCAAACCUCGACAAAGUGUUCUACUUUACAAACUUCUUGUGUCUACCAAUUUGUACUAAAAUUAAUUUAUCUACGGUGCUCAGCUUCAUCGUAUGUGUGUCCUUAAUUUUAGUGGAAAUUGGAAGUUUCCAUAAUUUUUGCUUUAAGUCACUCUUCUGAAGGAAGUUGAGGUUCCACUCCAUAAUCCCAAAUGUCAGGUUGACUUAUGGCAAACAAUGUAAAUAUGUAGGAGUACUAUGACCUUUUAUAGCAUUUUUAGUUUGAAUUUGGGUUUUAUACAUAGAUUUCAAAAUUAAUAGGUUGAUGCCUAGGAAAUAGAAAUUGUAAGGGCCUAUAUUAGAGUAGCCCUCUUAAAAAUAAUAUUAAUUAAUGAAUAUUUGUUCUUCUUGUUGUUUUGAAGUAGUGGUGGGAGGCAGACCAACAAAAAAAAUAUAGUGAAGGCUUAUAAGAGCAUUUACAAUCAUGCUCCCUAUUUUUUAGUUAAAAUUUAGCUAAAAAUAGAAAAAAGUUAUUAUAGGAGCUCUUUAUAAAAUUUGAAUUCCAAUCGUACUCCCUAAUUUAGGGAGUCAUAAAUAUUAUAGUUAUUUUUUAAUUCAAUUUGAUUUUGGUUAAUCUCUAUAAAUAAAUAAAAAUAUGAAAAAAUAGUUAGCAUUAAUUAAAAGUUUAAACUAUGCAUAAAACAAAGAAACAUUAAAUUAUAGGGAGCCACUAUGCCAAUAAUUGUAUCCUCUAAAUAUAUAGGGACAUAUUUUUUUUGUUUUCAUGACAUGUGGCCCUAAAAUUAUUGUUCCUAGCGGGCUCUCCAACCCCUCUCGAUUGAAAACCAAUUGUGUAAAUCUUCAAUCUUGAAUGAUGCACCUAAAACUCAAGUGUCCCAGGCCAAUUAUUGCUCUCAUACCACGUGUUGUAAUAAACAUCCAUCCAUUCUAAAGGAAAGAUAACCAUCGAUAUUAUCUCAAAUUUAACCACUUAAGUUCAUUAUGAUUAACUAUGUAUCUUAUGAACCAAUCCAAUCGUGAGGUUUUAUACCCAAUUAGAUCGACCAAUACAAAGUUCACACGUGGAUUGAAAAGCACUAUCAAUAGGGGAGUGUUCGGCACCCUUUACUGCCGAGCGCAACACAAGAUCCCUUGCAUGCCCUCACUAAGUUGAGCCCAACUAUUUUUUAGCAUUAACAAUAUAUAUAGAUUGAAAAAAUAAAAUAAAAAUCAAUCUAUUAUCAUAUAUUUUAUAAAAUACAUAUUAUUGCUCCAUCCUCCAUACACUUGCAUGCCCUCUUACAAAGUGUGAAGUAGAUUUUUUGUGCUCCAACUCAUUGACUAGGGCUGAAACAUGGUUAGUUAGAUUUAUAAGAUCUUUUGUUUUUUGGGAAUUUUCUGAAGCAAGGAAAAUCAAAUAAAAUUAAUAAAGCAGAAACUGUACCCUUUAAUUAUAUAUGGACAUAUGUUUUUUUGUUUUUUUGCUCUCGACCCCUCUCAAAUUUAAGUGGUCCAUUAUUGUUAACCACAUAUUUUAUGGACCAUCCAGCUUCGGUACAUUUCAAAAAGCUUCGGUACAUUUCUCCCACAUGACACAAUUGUAUAUUCACAAUUACUUCUGGGUACCCCUCAUCAGUCGUCUAUAAAAUGGUGAAGCCAGUUGCUACUGUUACCAUAAGAGCCAGCUCCGACUUUCUUUAAUUUCUUGCUACAUCUGUUGCUAAGUUAAUUUCAGUCCUAAUGGGGUUUCAUCUCCCACUCAUCUUUGCUAUUCUCAGUGUAAGCUCUGCAAUUUGAUUAACUUUUCCAUUCUCUCUCAUUGUACUCUAUAUAUAUAAAUGAAAGUUUUGUGUUCCUAUAAUUCUCUCCGAUUUUAUUUAGUACGUACUUAAGUGUCGUCCACUAAUUAAUUACACUUUGUGAGAUUUGAUUUUAAUUAGAGUUCGAAUUAAUGUUGCAGCUAGCAGCGGUUGCACUGGCAAACAAUGCUGCUCAACCAGCACCUCAACUUUACUGGAACUCCGUCCUGCCAAACACACAGAUGCCAAGAUCUAUCAGUGAACUUCUGCAUCCUGGUUUGUGUUCAGCUCUUUAUAAUCUUAGAUAUCUCUUCUACCUGCCAUUUUACUAAAAUAUGUUCGACCACAUAUUUAUCAGCUAACUACUGUGAUUACAAGAAUGACACUUAUUUUCCAAUAUAAUUUGCAGACUCCACAAAUGAAGAAAAGAGCAAACCUGAAAUUUUCCCAUUGCAGGGCAAUAGAGUUUACACUCAAAGCCAUUAUAAAAAACGUCCUCCUCCUCCAUCUGACGAGGGCAAACCUGAAACUUUCCCAUUGGGCAAUAGCCAUUACACUCAAACCCGUUAUAAAAAACGUCCUCCUCCUCCAUCUGACGAGGGCAAACCUGAAAAUUUCCCAUUGGGCAAUAGCCAUUACACUCAAACCCGUUAUAAAAAACGUCCUCCUCCUCCAUCCGACGAGGGCAAACCUGAAAAUUUCCCAUUGGCCAAUAGCUUUUACACUCAAACCCGUUAUAAAAAACGUCCUCCUCCUCCAUCUGACGAGGGCAAACCUGAAAAUUUCCCAUUGGCCAAUAGCUUUUACACUCAAAGCCAUUAUAAAAAACGUCCUCCUCCUCCAUCUGACGAGGGCAAACCUGAAAAUUUCCCAUUGGCACGUUCUCCUCCAUCUGACAGUCAACUAAAGCAUUACAAAGACUUAGCUAUUUUCUUCUUCGAGAAGGACAUGCGCCCGGGCACAACUAUGAAGUUCCAAUUCCCUAGAAAUUCAAACACGGCUACUUUCCUGCCACGCGAAAGUGCUCAAUCGAUCCCCUUCUCCUCUAAGAAACUACCAGAAAUUUUCAACCAUUUUUCAGUGAAGCCAACAUCUGAGGAAGCCAAAACAAUUAAGCAAACAAUCGAAGAGUGUGAAGCUCCAGGCCUUAAGGGAGAGGAAAAAUAUUGCGCCACAUCUUUAGAAUCAAUGGUUGAUUUUAGCACUUCGAAGCUUGGAACAAGAAACGUUGAAGCAAUCUCAACGGAGGUAUUGGAAGAAGGAGCCACCAAGUACAUGCACAACUAUACAACAAUGCCGGGACUGAAGAAGUUGGAAGGUGACAAAGUCGUUGUGUGUCAUAAGGAGAACUAUCCCUAUGCUGUGUUUCUCUGCCAUGCAAUAAAACAAACAGAAGCUUAUGUUCUCUCCCUGAAAGCCGAUGAUGGGAUGAAGGUGAAAGCAGUAACCAUCUGCCAUCUAGACACAUCAGAAUGGGACCCAGAGCAUUUGUCCUUCCAAAUCCUCAACGUUAAGCCCGGAACCACUCCCAUCUGCCAUUUCCUUACCACUGAUGCUAUUGCCUGGGUUCCAAAACACAAAUCUGCAUGAUCAUCACUUAGCACUGUACGUGUAAUAAGCUUGGUCGGGUUGCACCCUAGGCCUGCAUAAUUAUCUCCCUACUUAUUUCUGCCUCUUCAUCAUGCGGUGUAAGAUAUAUGAUGAGAUGAAGUUUUCUCUUGUAACUAUGUAGACUACUUCAACUUGUACUCAUAAUAAAGCACGCUGUUGGGGGGUUCUACUUAAUUUCGUUCUCUCCAAUGUUUGAGUGUUGAAUUGUUACGUUGGAAUAGGCUGCUAAUGCAUGUAGUUAGAGAAGCCUUCAUUUAUAUCAAAGUCCUCAAACUAUCAAGAAUUAAUGUAUCCAGAAACAUAUACCAAGACGCAAAACAACAUAUUUUCCAUUCUCUGUCUGUAACACCAAAGCAAACUUCCUUUAUCACAUCAUUUAAAGGAUCAAAUUCCAGUACUAAUCUAAUCCAUCAUGUAAAGCAUACAAGUGCCUACCUAAAUUUGUCCAUUGGAUAUAUAUGUCACUUUUUAUUUUUUGAUAGAGAUAUAAAUGUUGAAAAAAUUAGAGUACACAACUCUUAUAGACACUACUACGAUUUACUAUUUGCGCGACGGAAGUUUGCGCGACGAACAUUGUUUCGUCGCGCAAAAAGCACUAUUGCGACGAAAAAAAAAUACCGUAGCGCAAACAACAUAACACAAGCGCGACAAACAGUUUCGUCGCGCAAACAAUCUAUGCGCGACCAAUAUUAAUUUCGUCGCGCAAAGGUAGGGGAAAAAAACCCGGUUUUUUUUUUUUGGCGCCAUAAUCUUGCGCGACAACAACAAUCGUCGCGCAUGACAAUAUUGCGCGACAAUUCAAAGAAUUCGUCAGGUAAAGAUGGACAGAAAAUUGUCUCAUUUUUUUGGCGGUAAAAAACUUUGCGCGACGAAAUUUUUCGUCUCAAAAGACAACUUAGCGCGACGGAAAUAUGUACCGUCGCGUAAAAAAACGAGGGAUACUUAUUUUUGGCGCCAAAAUGCAGGGUGGAUAAAAAAAAUUUUGCGCGACGGAAUUACCUUCGUCGCGUAAAGUGUAAUGCCGGUGCUUUCUUGCGCGACGAAAUAAAUAAUUUGCGCGACGUAAUUUAAACCUUGCGCGACGAAAAGUAUUAUUUGCGCGACGAAAUUUUGUGCGACGAAUAAUAUGUUUCGUCGCACAAAAAAGCAGAUGUCGACAGGUAAUUGCGCGACGGAAAUGUUGUUUUGUGCGAUGGAAAAGUGGGUUUUCGCGACGGCAUUUUGCGCGACGGAUAUUGGUGUUCGUCGCGCAAAGUCCUUCUUCUUCAUAUUAGUAUCUGCCAUUGCAGAGGCAGAAUGCAGAAAUUGCAUUCUGCCUCUCUCUCACUCUCCCUGCCGCUGCUCUGCUGUGAAUUCAAUACGUUCAUUGGGUAUGUAUUUUUUGUCGUUAGUUUAAAUGUAUUAAUGUAAAUUCGUAGUAACGCUAUUAAUUUUGUUAUCGUUAGGGAUAUUUGUGAUUAGUGAUUGGUGGAGAACGAUUGAGAAGGUAUGUUAUUGUAAAAGUUUGUUUGUUAUGUUUGUAAUUUUUUUGUGAAGUUAUAUGUAUAUAAUGUUGUGAAAUUGUGCGUGACAUAGCACAAUGUGUUGUGAUGUACGAAGUUAAUUGAAAUUAACUUCGUACUUUUAUUUUUAUGUUUAGUAACACGUAGUUUCCCGUUCGAGAUUAGUUGGAUUUCGUGCAUGGAUGAGUAAUGCAUGACUGCGGUCCAAUUAAUUCUUGAAUUGUCCCAUUAUUUGGACAGUUUGGUAAUGCAUAGUGUUGUCACAUAAUCUUCGGCUACAGGAUUAGGUUUCGAUUGUGGAGAUUUCGGUGUCAUCUCGGUACGUUCUUCGAGUGGUACGUAGGUAUUUAUACCUAUGCCCACUUCAAGAACUGUGUCGAGAUGCUGCCGAAAUUAAUCCACGUCGAAAUCUAAUCUCAUGUAGCCGUAGGUUACGUGACAGGACUAUGCAUUCCCGAAUGGGAUAGGGCCCUUACCGGAGGCAUAAGGUGACAUUAUAACUUCGUAUGAAGUUGUUGUGAUUGUUGUGUCGUGAUUGUGGUUUCAUGAAUUAUGAGCAGAAGGUGGAUACAUAACCCGAAUAGAUGCGCAGACGAAUACUUGGAUGGAAUCGAGGAUUUUAUUGAGUUUGCACAUAGACACAACCCGGGUGCAAGUAGAAUCCGUUGUCCUUGUAGGAGGUGUAACAACACGUUGUGGGAGACAAUUGAAAAUGUUGGAUUUCAUUUAGUAAGGAAUGGAAUGAUUGAAACAUAUAGCAUUUGGAACCUUCACGGCGAACAUGUAGGCCAUGCUUCGUCUUCAAAUGCCCCAAGAGUGGACAAUGUUGAACCUAUUGUGGAUCCUAAUGAUCAAGUCAUGGGUAUUAUACAGGAUGCUUUUCCAUUCGCAUCGACCAACAUCAAUCAGGAAGGGGAAGAUAACGUGCCUACACCAAUAGACAGUGCGGAGUUUGAACAGUAUGAAAAACUGUUAAAAAAUGCCAACCAAGAGUUAUACCCGGGGUACGAGAGCUUUUCCGUUCUCACUUCUAUUGUGGAGCUAAUGCACGGAAAAAUAAAGUAUCGUAUGUCGAACUUGUGUUUCGAUUACUUUUUGGGGGUUUUCAAGAGAAUGCUUCCGACGGAUAAUUAUUUGCCGAAAGACCAGAAACAUGCACAGAAGGUGUUGCAUGGUCUUGGAUUGGGUUAUGAAAAAAUCCACGCUUGCAAAAACAAUUGCAUGUUAUUCUACAAAGAGCAUGAAACGUUGGAUACAUGCCCUAUAUGCAAUGAGUCGAGGUUCAAAAUGACAUCCCAGAAUAGAACGACUAAGAUACCACAAAAAGUCAUGCGUUAUCUGCCCCUUAAACCUGGGUUGCAGCGAUUGUAUAUGUCGACGCAUACUGCCACAGACAUGAGAUGGCAUAAGGAAAAACGGGUAGACGAUGAUGUGAUGCGGCAUCCUGCAGAUGGGGAGGCAUGGAAAGAGUUCGAUCGAACGUUCCCCGAGUUUGCUGCUGAUCCCCGAAAUGUAAGAUUGGGACUUGCCACUGACGGAUUCAAUCCGUAUGGGGUUCUAAACCAACACCACAGCACUUGGCCGAUUUUCGCAUUCCCAUAUAAUUUGCCGCCUUGGAAAUGCAUGAAAAAAGAAUACAUGAUGAUGACUGUUUUGAUAACUGAGGAUCCUGGCAGGUCAAUUGAUGUGUACUUAAGGCCUCUGGUUGAUGAGCUGAAAGAUUUAUGGACAAACGGUGUUCGCACGUACGAUAAAUCAACUGGGAGGAUGUUCACUUUGCGAGCAGCAAUUAUGUGGACUGUGAAUGAUUUUCCAGCAUAUGCAAUGGUUUCUGGGUGGAGCACAAAAGGUUAUAUGGCAUGUCAUGUAUGCAAGGAAGAUGUAACUUCUGGUUGGCACGCGGGAAAAGUUUGUUACCUUGGUCAUCGGAGAUGGUUGCCAUGGGACCACGAGUGGCGAGAAAAAGAUAAAGAGUUCAACGGGAACACAGAGCGUCGCCUCAGACCUGGAGAAUGGUCCGGUGAUGAGAUCUUGGAACAGCUGAACCGUUUGGAUUUUGGUCCGUUCGGAAAAACAAUUAGUCGGACCAGACCUUCUACACAUUUGAACUGGACGCACAAGCCUAUGUUUUUUGAGCUCCCAUAUUGGUCGAAACUGAAAUUGAGGCACAAUCUAGAUGUGAUGCAUGUUGAGAAAAAUGUAUUCGACACAUUGGUGGGCACGAUUCUAGAUAUCGAGGGGAAGACGAAGGACACGAUCAAAGCUCGUCUUGAUUUGGAAAGAAUGGGCAUACGAAGGGGUUUAUGGAUGAAUAGGGACAGUGAUAAAGCUAGAAGGGAUCUUGCAUUCUUUUCUAUGAAACCGAAUGACAAAAAGGAGUUUCUAAAGUUUGUAUCGUCUGUCAAAUUUCCCGAUGGGUAUGCUUCUAAUAUCGCACGUUGCGUGAAUGUCGAUGGGGGUAAAUUUACUGGACUUAAGAGCCAUGACUGCCAUGUUCCUGUGGGUAUUCGACACCUACUGCCGGAAGAUGUGGUGAAGCCAAUCAUGUUGUUAUCCAGAUUUUUUUCCCAACUGACGGCAAAAACAUUGCGAAGGACAGACAUGUUUCAGUUGCGCCAUGACAUUGUCCAAGUCCUAUGCAAGUUUGAGAUGAUAUUUCCUCCGGCUUUCUUUACAAGUAUGAUGCACGUAAUGGUUCACUUGCCAGAAGAGGCAUUGCUUGCUGGUCCUGUCAACUAUCGCUGGAUGUAUCCAAUAGAAAGGUAUAUAAUCUUUAUCAUUUGUGUAUGCAUCAUUAUCGACACUUUGCUAAUUUGUAUCAUAUCGUUUUAUUUUGGCAGGCUUCUCGGAGAGCUGAAAAAAAGUGUACGCAACAGGGCAAAGCCCGAAGGAUUAAUUAUAGAGGCUUGGGUUCAAUAUGAGUCGCUUACUUUCUGUGGAAUGUAUUUAAAAGAUGUGGAGACGGUUUUCAAUCGUCCUCAACGCAAUAAUGACGGAGGUAUGAGAAAUGAAAAACUUUUUGUUUUUGCCCAAAGCGCAUGACCAUUUGGAGAUCCUGGACGAGGAGAGUCGUUUUCUAGAAAUGACAUGGAGGUAGCGCAUUGGUUCGUACUGAACAAUUGUGAUGAGAUAAUGGCCUACUUAGAUGAGCAUGAACAGAUGAUGAAGCGAGAACAUCCAUCACAUUUGGUUGCCCGGAAACAUCGUGAAUUAUUUCCACAAUGGUUUUUGGAUUCUGUAAGUUAUAACUGUUUUGUAAUUGACAAAUAUAAAUUGUAGUAUUUAAUUUUGUCAGACUAACAUGUAAAUGAUUUUGUAUACUAUUAGGUGAAUAAAUUGAAAUCAUCGAAUUCCCCCACUUACAGUGAUGAGUUAUAUAACUUGGCGUUCGGCCCAAUUCGUGCUGAGUUGUUCUCGGGUUGUAAUGUUAACGGCGUCAAAUUUUUGGGGGCCGCACGAGAUGACAAGUUGUGUAUGCAAAACAGCGGUGUCCAUGUCCCAGGUGGAGGCGAAAGUACGGACAUUGAUUUCUAUGGCAAACUGACAACUGUCGUGCAAUUGCUUUAGAAAGAUCGAUACCAAGUCAUCAUGUUUAAGUGUCGAUGGUUCGAUACCAACCCAAAUAGGGCGGGAAGUGUUAAAAUCGACCAUGGAGUACUGUUUGUGAACAUGGCGUCCCAAAUUGUGUAUCUAGAUGACCCUAAAGCCGGGAGCGGGUGAAAAGUUGUGCAGAAGAUGGAUCAUAGGAACGUGUAUGAUAUACCAGAACUAGACCCAAGUGACAACGACGUCGACAAUGUGGCUGACCAACGUUUAGAAUCUUCAAUGGAAAAUGAUGCGGAAACACUUCGAGAUACAAAUGUUAUACAAGAACCGUUUCAAAUAGAAGGAGUGUCUUCAGUAGAAAUACCGAUUCAGUCAAUUACAAUUGACCUCGGUGAUCUUCCCCGAUACGAUGUUGCAGUGGGUCCUAGCAACGCCGAUGAUGCAGUUAUAGAGGAGGAGGAGGAAGAAGAUUGGGAGACCGAGAGUGAUGAUAGCGAUGAUAACGAAAGUUAUUAUAGUUCAGAUGAUGAAUAAUGAAUUUAUUUGUAAAGUUAUUAUGUUAGUGUAUUCAUUUUGUGUAAUACAAAUCUUUGAAUAUAUGUAGUUGUCCAUAUGUAGUUGUGUAUUCAUUCUCCAUAUUUCAUCACAAACUUCAUUGGAAUGUCAAUACUUUAGUCAAUACUUAUUACGACCCCAUGCUUGUCGAUUGGUUUUUAUUUAUUUAUUUAUUAAUGUCUUUAACUCUUCAAUUAUUAUUUUUUUCUUUUGAGAUAUAGUUAUUUCUUCAUGUUUAAACAAAAAAUAUAAGUUAUUUCUCCAAUAUUAUCUGUGUGCCACUUAUUUUUCUUCACUUUGGUUCAUGAUUAGUGGCAUCAAUCUAGUCAAACCGAUAAAAUCGGUCGAUUCAAAUCUUAAUUAUCAAUUUAGUUUGGUUUUGAUGAAGAAAUACAAAGCCUUUCCAAAAAAUACAGAGCAUAAAAAAUGAUGAAUACAAAACCUUUCCAAAAAAUACAAAGCAUACACAAUUUGAAUUAAAUGAGGAUUUAUGGCGCCAAAUCCUUGCGCAACGAUAAGGAGCCCUUCGUCGCGCAAAUAUAUAUUAGGUAACGUUAUAGUAUAAUAUAUACCCACAUAUAUAUUUAAAAUUGGCGAUCGAAGUAGUUCAUUGUAUUCAUAUGAAGUGUAGGACUGUAGCUGCAAAAAAUCAUCAACAUCGGAGUUAAAAUAACCGUUCAAUCAUCACUUUUUAUUUAGAACCGUCGAAAAGUUUUACCCCGUUACUUAAUCUCUGAAUGUUUUUUUUGUCUGAUUUUUGCUGUCUAUGAUCUCGAAGUAUAACAAAACAAGUUUGACGGCUGGAUGACUGAAGCUAGUUUCGUAGACUGCGUGUGCUAUCAAAAUCAUAUAUUCACCAAAAACUCAAAAAUUUGUUCAUACAUUUGUGAAAAUGUAACUUAAUGUUUAUGUGGUAUCCCCUAGUGUAAAAAUAUGAAAUUGAAGAUCAAAUUCAGUCAUUGUAUUCAUAUAGGGUCAACAAAUGUUGCUGUAAAAAAUGAUCAAAAUCGGAGUUAAAAUAACCGUUAAAUCAUGACUUUUCAUUUAUAACCGUCAAAAUAUUUUGUCCUGUUCCCUGAUAUCUGAAUGUUUGGUCGUUUUGAUUUUUGGCGUAUACGAUCUCCAAGUAUAAACAAAUAAGUUUGCCGGUUGGAUCAUUGAAACUAUUUUAGGGUUUAGGGUUUAGGGCUUAGGGCUUAGGGUUUAGGGUUUACAUUUUAGGGUUUAGGUUUUGCGCGACGAAUAAACAUUCCUUUCGUCGCACAAAGUGAAAGUGACAAAGAUUGCGCGACGGAUAAGUCUUCCAUUCGUCGCGUAAUCUGGGACACACAUUUCA